rnacentral:lncRNA from 1 species
GCACGGGCGCGUGCGGCCGGAUCGAGGCGGCAGCGCCGGGGACUGUGAGGCUGCUCGACUCGUCGAACGUCGACGUCGACGACUCGGGCGGCCCGGAUGAGCCGGAGCUGGACGGCUGGUUAACGGUGCUGCGGCCGCAGCCGCUCUUGCUGGGCGUGGGGCUCCGGGGCGCGCCCGAGCCGGCGGAUUUCGCUGGUGACCGCGCUCCCUCGACGCGCUUCUUGAGGUACGAGUUCCAGUAGUUCUUCACCUCGUUGUCCGUCCGGCCCGGCAGGUGCUGCGCUAUCUGAGACCACCUGCGCCAGAGAAAAUUUUCACCAUGUCAGACAAGCAAAUCAUUGUGCAGUCACUCCAAUAAACAAAGCUAUGAUUGUCACAGACUUGUAGCAAUAGUACAAGUCUUCUCCGUUCGGAUUGUCAAUGUCAAAGCAUCUGUUAGACUAUCAUUGGCCUCAACAGUUGACUAGUCUUACAAGCGUGUUCACAAAUGAUUGUACUACAGAUAUCUUUACUAUGUCAUCGCAAAAAAAAAAAAAAAAANNNNNNNNNNNNNNNNNNNNNNNNNNNNNNNNNNNNNNNNNNNNNNNNNNNNNNNNNNNNNNNNNNNNNNNNNNNNNNNNNNNNNNNNNNNNNNNNNNNNNNNNNNNNNNNNNNNNNNNNNNNNNNNNNNNNNNNNNNNNNNNNNNNNNNNNNNNNNNNNNNNNNNNNNNNNNNNNNNNNNNNNNNNNNNNNNNNNNNNNNNNNNNNNNNNNNNNNNNNNNNNNNNNNNNNNNNNNNNNNNNNNNNNNNNNNNNNNNNNNNNNNNNNNNNNNNNNNNNNNNNNNNNNNNNNNNNNNNNNNNNNNNNNAAAAAAAAAAAAAAAAAAGAUAUCUUCACUAUGAAAAUUAAGAACCUCACUAAAUAUGACAUUGCUUGCACCGGCAGGCAACUGCAAAGACCCUUUAGAAAAGGAAGCAUUAGAUUAGACACAAGUUUAGCUGUUCUUUCUUCCUUUUUUUGUCCAAAAAGAGGUUAUCCGUGACCAAGCAACCUUUCCAGCCAGUAGCUAGGUUUGUGAAAGUGAGGCUCUUGUUCACUAUCGCCAAACGGACAAACGAGUGCCUCGAUAUUGAACGCAGGUGUUUUUUUUUUUUUUUUNNNNNNNNNNNNNNNNNNNNNNNNNNNNNNNNNNNNNNNNNNNNNNNNNNNNNNNNNNNNNNNNNNNNNNNNNNNNNNNNNNNNNNNNNNNNNNNNNNNNGCAUCACAAUGCAAUCAUAUAGUGACAUGAUAUGGCCAUUAUCAUCUUUGCUCUUUCGAUCUCCAUCAUCUUCAGGCAUCGCAUGAUCAUCAUCGUCACCCGCGUGACACCAUGAUCUCCAUCAUCAUGAUCUCCAUCAUCGUGUCUCCGUGAAGUCGUCACGCCAACUACUACUAUCACUACUACUAUAGCUAACCGUUAGCAAUGAAGUAAAAGUAGUAAGCACAUGGCGUUGCAUCUCAUACAAUAAAUUUAAGACAACUCCUAUGGCUCCUGCCGGUUGUCACACUCAUCGACAUGCAAGUCGUGAAACCUAUUACAAUAACAUGAUCAUCUCAUACAUCAUACAUGCAACAUCACAACUUUGGCCAUAUCACAUCACAUCACAUGUCAAACCCUGCAAAAACAAGUUAGACGUCCUCUAAUUGUUGUUGCAAGUUUUACGUGGCUGAUUUGGGUUUCUAGCAAGAACGCCUUCUUACCUACGUGACAGCCACAACGAUGAUAUGCCAAAGCUAUUUACCCUUCAUAAGGACCCUUUUCAUCAAAUCCAAUCCGACUAGAGUAGGAGAGACAGACACCCGCUAGCCACCUUUAUGCACUGUGUGCAUGUCUGUCGGUGGAACCAGUCUCACGUAAGCGUACGUGUAAAGUCGGUCCGGGCCGCUUCAUCCCACAAUACCGCUGGAAAAGAAUAAGACUAGUAACGGAAAGCAAAUUGACAAAGCAUCGCCCACAACUUUUGUGUUCUACUCGUGCAUAGAAUCUACGCAUAGAAAACCUGGCUCGGAUGCCACUGUCGGGUCACGUAGAAUAAAUUCAAAAUUUUCCNUAGGGCAUAUUUCCAACAAAUUUAGCGUCGAGUGUGUAUGCUCAAGAUCUUUAACAAAAAUAGAUUGACAGAGAUAUGGAGGUAACUUAUAGACAUGACCACUUGAGGGCACAUCGUAGCUAAAAAACCUAUGGUAAUAGCUUGUUUCUUGUUAACUUGAAACAGAGAACAUGAAGCAUCUUAUGAUAUAUGCAGAUGACAAAGUGAGAGUAAACAACAAUGUGAAACAAAUGGUAGCAACAAACGACAUGUGAAGUAAUCCAAGCAGCCAAAGACCGAUACAUUCAUCACCUUUUUAUUCCUAGUGCACCCUUUGAAAUUGGAGAACAUAAUCUUCAUGAUAGGAAUAUUCAGAGACGAUUGAAAAUAGGGAAUAUGCACCUACACACAUCAUAAGGUUGUUCCCAGAUGUGGAUGCGAGCAGGCAUCCAUGGUCGAUAAUGAUUGCGGUACAUAAGGGGGUUUUAAGCACAGUUUUCACCACAAUUGAAGGGUAAUGGAGGCGGAGAUAACGAGGGCUCACCAAUGGAGUGGUGCGUGCUCCCGUUUCAUGCGCAUUUGUGGCAUGGUGGUGGAAGGGAUUGCAGCAAAAAAAUGGCAGCGGGAAGAUGAAACACCUUGAGUUAAUGCACAACAGCGGAAGAGCUAGCGAUGGUGGCUGGCAUGGGAAUCGUCGGGCGUAACAGAUCGUCGUCGUCGUUGAUGGUGGAAGGGUUAGUAGUGACAAGCGAUGGCUAGAUGGAGGGAAGCAUGGGUGCUGGAGGCUGCAUGUAGAACAUCAUGGACGGCAUCCGUUGUCAAGAGAUCACCGGGGAAGAUGACGGAAGGGCCCUAGGUGAGCGGUGGCGGCUGGCCGAGCGACAUGCAGGCGAUGCGAAAGAUGAGGAUGUUUUUUUUUCUAUAUCCUAUACCAUGGGCUUCAAACCUUUUUUUUUUUGCGUGGAAUGGACUUGAAACCUGCAAACAAUUCGGCUGCAAACACCCUUCGCAUAUAGGCGAGGGAACACGAAUCGAGCGACCGAGGCAGGAAGGAGAGCGGGUCGCUGCGAGGGGGAAAUAUGGGUGACGUGGCUUCACCACAUGCCAGGAAAGGAAUUGAUGAUGUGGCUUUACCGCUGAGGUGGACCGAGGUGGAUGGCUACAUGCAGAUUGCUAUGUGGACAACUUGCACGUAAAGAGAAUUGGGACCAACUUCUUAUGUAUUAUAGAUUCUAAUCCCUUAUGGGCCAUACUUGAUUAGAUUACGCCAACCUUUUUCCUGUAAUACUAGCUAAGGGCCAUAUGUAGCCAUGAUCUCACAAAACCAUAUCUUCCAACGAUAUCUUUUUGAUUUGAUAAUUCCGCAGCACAGAAUAGUGGUCAUGUCACAUGUGCACUGCCUCUAAUUUUCUUUGGGUCCUGUGGAUCAUGGGGCAUGCAUAACCUGUUUUGUUUACUUUUUCUCAUGAUUACUGUUCACCACAAGGACGCUGAGCUAGUCCAUACUUUUAUGUCGUCGGUUACACAUAUAUGUAGACCAGGACGAGCAGUAAAAUAUCACUGAAAAAUCGAUCCAUUGUCCUUGCAUUAUGUAAACAGAACAGUAAUGGUGUUCCCUGCCAAUUCAGUGCAAAUCGAAUCGUCAAAUCCCAAAUCAUUCACGCGCUCAUUUAUUUCCUAAUAAUAAUAAGAAGAAAUCUCAUCCAGCGAGUGUACCACCUAUAACAUUCUCAAGAAAACUGGGCGUUCUGGAACGAAGAUCUUCAACUUUAGAUUACUGAACAUACUCGUUGCGUUCUAAAAUAUAAGAUGUAUUAAUUUCCCCCAAAAGUCAUAUGUUUCUAUUGCCAAGUAUAUAGAACAUAUAUUAAUAUCUACAAAAUAAUAAUAAUAAUGAAAAUAUAUUUCAGUGAUACUGUUUGGAUAUUGUAAAUGUUAGAUUCUCUAUAAAUUUGGUCAAACAUGAAGAAUUUUGACUUUUCAAAAGCCUUAAUACACUUAUAUUUUGAAACAGAGAAAAUAAUUAUCACCUGUAGUAUCUUCGAGACGGAUAACUUCAAAUUUGACUUCUCAAAAACUUAAAUUAUUUUUGUGUUUUUGAUGUUCAUCCGCGCAUUACGAGAGCCAUUUCGACCCCCCCCCUCCCCCCUCCCAAGACCCCCCNCCCCCCCCCUCCCCCGUCCCAAGUCCCUCACUUACUGAACUGGGUCACUUUGGACCGUAGAUGGUUUUUUUAAUGGUUUUGAGGAUGACUUUGUUGGGUAGGCAAGAUAUGGUAAUUUUGAUGAUUAGCAGGUGAUGUGGCUGGGAACAUGAAUAGUUUCAUAACUUAGUAUAUACUUAUAAAUUUUUGAUUGAAUUGUUUAAUUUGAAUUGCUAUCAAUUUUGUUUUUGUUUUUCGAAAGGGGAGGGGGGUGAAACCCGGCCUCUGCAUCCAAGAAUGCACACAUUCAUUUUGAUUAAUUUAUUUAAUAAAGUCUGACAAAAUAAACACAUGAAUUCAGCCACAGGCACCUAUUUAACUAUCUCUGUCGGUUAUAACGACUAGCUUGAUGAAAUGCAUGGCCUCGUGUCAUAGUACCAUCGAAUCCGAUGGCCUCACCAGACUGUUUGCCGGCAAAUCAAGAGUACCAACCGGUCUGAACAGAUCACCCAACGGCGAAUCAAGUGCCGCGGACGAAUGGCUAUCAAAAUAGAACGUGAUAAACACCAUUUUUAGGAUUAGGACACAACUCUCAUCUCGAAUUAAACAUCCAUCGCCAUGCCCGAUCAUUUCAGGUUAAAAUAAUGACUGAGGUUAAGUUUGUACUCCGUCUCCAAAGUGCUCAACUGUAGGAAAUAUUAUAGUCCUUUCGAUUGUUCCUCAGUAGAAAAAGAAAGACUACAAAAUCGAAUUGUAGUAGUCCCGAUCAUUUCAAGGAAGCAAAUGGGGAGCUGCCUUAGAGAAGCAACCAAGGAAGGGGGCUGCCGAUAUUUCAUUCGACGACCAAAUGACGGAGCCAUUGUUAAUCUCGUGGUUGGUACAAUGAACUGUAGAGAAAUAGGGUGCCUCUAGCAAUUGGGACACGAAGCUAGUUAUCAUUUUCCUUGGAACUGGCAACUUGCAUAUUUAAAACUUGUAUUAAAAUAAAGUCUUGGACUUCUAUGAUGAUCAACAGAUAACGACAUGACAUAUAUAGAUUUAGGACUAUAUUAAACACGUACCAGUUUCUUUUCUUCAGAAUGAGACUUGUCGUGAAAGGGAAAACAAAGCUGCACUUGUCAAGGACAGAACGCCGUCGGUCUAAAUUCUAUCAUAUCUCGGGACAAUUUGGACAAAGUGUUUGGCAGGACAUUUUGCGAAGCAACGAUACUGUCGGUAGGUCCUUUCUAAGGCAGUAUCGUUCGACGGUCGCACAACGCCUCUGCUCGGCAACGGACGAGAUUAAUCCAAUUGAUUUGGUGAAUGGUGAUGUACUGAUGUUGAUGUUGAUGUCGUAUAGCGCAGUCAAAACAUAGGUCGUUUCUUGUUCAAGACCUGUGCAAGUCAUCAACCAUAAACACGCUCUCUGACUGCCUUAGCAUUCUGUCUACUGCGCUCUACCCGAUUUCCAAAAUACUCUGGCUGCCUUAGCAUUAGGACGAGUAUAAAAAGCGUUAGCUUUGUAGGGCAGUGAAUAUGGCUGUCUUUCUAUUUGUAUCGAAACUCAAGCGUAACACGAUAUGUUUGUUGAUGACUGCACUGUAACGACUAGCGUUACGAUAAGGUCAAUAAUGACAAAAUGGAUAAUGACUGGGAACUCAAGUUCUCAUUGGUUAGUGCAUACAAUCAUGAUGGGCUAAUUUGGCCCUUUGUACGUCUACGAACACGCUAUUCGUCCAUGCACAUAAUUAUCUCCCUUGAAUUGUUCGGACACAUGUAUAUAACUAUCAAAUAUGCUCGUGCGUUGCAACGAAAAAAGAACAAUUAAGUUAUGCAGAUGUGGUAGAUAUAAAAAAAUAUCUAAAUCAAAUGCUAUGAUAAGAUAAUGAUUUUCAAGAUGUCAUUUCACAAACUAUGUUUUAGUGAUGUCAUGAUGAAAGGGACUUUUAAAAAGUCAUUUCAAAAACUAGAAAUGUGAUGGUCUCAUCACGACUUGAUUUGCUAACGUGCCACAACAACAACAAAAUUACUGACCAAACUACUUUGAUGGACCCUUGCCUGAGCUAGACUAAUCCAUGAUGUGUCAUGCCUUGACCUAGCGUAACGGUGUUUUUCACAACCAGUAGAACUGUGGUACCAGAAUAUCCGUGUAUGGAGGUAAACUAGACAUUUAGUCAUUUUCAUAUAGCUUACAAAAACUAACCCAUAGGAACCUCUCGCAAUAAUUUUGGGGCUCAACAUUCUAUAGAACACGGAAACCUUUUUUUACUGGAUGUGCGAGGGACUAAAUAAAAUCAUAAAACAACUUCUAUAGAUCCUCUAAUAAAACCUCUACCUAAGCGAUGGUCCGUUUUGUUCGUUACUUACGAAUUGGUUUUAACUUUUGUGAACAUUCUCUGAUAUUUCAUGGACAUUCUUUUCAAAUUCUUGAAUAACUUUUGAAUACAUGAUCAUAUUUUAAAAAUCAUGAACAUUUUUUAUUUCAUGAUUCCUUUUAAAAUAUGUGCACAGUUUUUUGAAAUCACGAACAUUUUAUGAUUUCCUGAAUGUUUUUUGAAAUCACAAAUAUUUUAUGAUUUAUCUAUAUAUUUUUUUCAGUACUCGCAACUUUUUGAAAUUUGGAUGUCUGGAAAUACCAGAUUAAUUUGAGAAACAAAACCAAAAAAAAAAAGAGAGAGGAAAAAAAAAAGCGGCGUCACAAACAGCUUAUGGGCCGGCUCAUUACCAGGUGCAGGGAUUGUUAUUCUUUAAUAUGUUUUCAAUACAUGAUCAUAUUUUAGAAAUCAUGAACAUUUUUUAUUUCAUGAUUUCUUUUAUAAUAUGCGCACAGCUUUUUGAAAUUACAAAUAUUGUAUGAUUUCCCGAAUGUUUUUGAAUUCACAAAUAUUUUAUGAUUUAUCUAUAUGUUUUAUCAGUAGUCGCAACUUUUUUGAAAUUUGGAUUUUCUGGAAAUCCCAUAUUAAUUUGAAAAAAACAAAAACAGAAAUGAGAAAGGAAAAAAAAACAAGAGGCGUCAGGAACAGCUUAUGGGUCGGCUCAUUACCACACGCAGGGUUUGCUAUAUAUAAGAGAAAAGGAGAGAAAAAAAGAAAAUCCCAGAUUAAUUUGAAAAGAAAAACAAAAAUGAGAAAGGAAAAAAACAAAAGGUGUCACUAACAGCUUUUGGGUCAGCUCAUUACCACGUGCAGGGCUGCUAUAUCAUCAUGAGAUCGAUGAAAUUAUCAAAGACGUCUCGUAGUCAAUGAAAACCACUCUUACCACUUAACGUGCAUCCUCGAAAAUUUUAAAAUAAAUACGGGCAACAAAAUUUAAACACUGGUGGGCUGGAAUACCACGUUGACGAACCACAGAUUGAUUCACGCCUUACUACUAUGACAUCCAACCCAUAAUAGGCGCCCGUACCUUGUUCCUUUUUCAUGUCUAUCAGUUUUUUUUUUUUCUAAACAUGGCUAGCCUCUCUUUGCUCGUGGGAAUGAGCAGCUCCACUCGUUCAUUUCACUCACAUUCUUCCUAAUUCCUAUUGGCUCUACCCUGUAAGAAACCUGUCCUUAAUUAAUCGUUUACUCGGUGCUACUACUAUCAUACGUAGCGUUUUCCACCGUUCCUGCUUAUAUUAGUCGACCGUGGAACAGGAGCUAGGUAGUCAAUUGAUGUUCGUUAUCUUGGUGAUUUUCAUACUGGCCUCUGUCAACCUACUAUCAGUAGGAUGUUCUUUUCACUAUUCAUUUAUCGUAUGUGGAUUAACAGGGACAGACCAACGUUACAAUAUUCACGCGGUCCAUUCGGCGUCCAACACUGUCCAUGUAUCCCUUUUGCAGAGAUUCCAGUACUAUUCUAAAACCAAACAAGCAAAUGGCGAGGAGGCGACGGUAAACUAUACUCGAGGUUUCUCUCUCCGCACACAGAUAGUUAAAUAUCAAGAAGCAAGGUGUAUACUUCCACUUCAAAUUAUUGUUUUCAAAAAAGGAUGUUUUAUUACUUAAUUUAAGUAUUGGAAAAGGGUCCGUGCGUUGCAACGGGGAAAAAGAAUACCACACACUCUUAAUUUACCAAAAGUAGUCUAUAAUUUAAGUAUUUAUAGCUACGACCCAAACGAAGACGAUCUUAGCCUACAAAAAUGCAGUUUAAGAUUUUACUGGUCUUCUAUUUAAAUACGGCUUGCAUGUAGAUUUAAUAUGUAGAAAGAAACGGUCAAGUGAUCUUUAAUUUCGUCUCUAAUCCUAAUUUUGCUGAGAUGUUCAUCCACAAUCCAAAUCAGUACUGGUAUGAAAGAAAGAUGGGUAAAACACUAUUGAUUAAGAUUGCAUCCUAGAUAAUUUUUAAAAUGGUUAAUGGGUAAAAUAACAUCAUAUUCAGAUUCUACAUAUUUUUCUAAUCAAAAUUCAUAUAUAACAUGUUAGAUUUGAACUUGCGGUUUAGAAGAUAGGAGUAUUUAAAAAAUAUAUUUAAUAUGUAUAUUCAGAUUGUACAUAUUUUUCCAAUUAAAAUCCAUAUAUAACAUGUUAAAUUUAGAGUUGCGGUUUAGAAGAUAUGAUUAUUUAAAAAUAUAUUUAAUAUGUAUUACGGGUAUAAUGUCAAAAACAUCAAGGUUUUUUUAUAAAAUAGCAUGACGGACUAAGAAUACCUAUUUUUUUAUUAGUAGGUAUAGAUUACAUAUAGUCUCUACAUAACUAAGAUGCACACAGCAAAAAAAUAAGUUCUCACAUAAAGGAUAAAUAAAAGGCAAAAUACAAAGAAUCAUGUGGACUCCCUAUAACGCCUACAACGUAGGGGCCAAUACUAAGAUCAUGUUGUCACUCAUGUUAUGAAAAGUAUCUUCCGUCGUAACCUUCUAUCGUGUAAAUAGGUCUAUAUUCUUCAUUCGUUGUAGAGAUGACUAUAAACGAAGAGUCACGGUACAUCUAUAGAUAACCAACAUAAAAAAAAUUACAUUUAUCAUUAAAAACCUUACCGUUUCUACAUAGCCAAAGCAUCAAAUAACGACAAGCACUCUGACCCUGAUAAGAGUUCUAGACCUAUGACCUAUCCAUGCAACCAGUUGCCAAAUACAUUAACAACACUACGAGGACGAUACAAGCGAGAAGCUAGUAGGAUGACUCAUCACAUAGAGUGAGCCAAUUUGCAUUGGAAAAAUAAAUGUUUUAUUCUCUCAUCGUGGUGACAAAAUACACGCUGCAGAUUUCCAUGCCAAUUCCUCUUAAUAAGGUUAUCUUUAAUAGGAAUGACUCCGCGACGAAGAUACCAUGCAAAGAUUUUAUUCUUAAGAGGUAUCUUCAUUUUUCAGAUCUUCUUAUUAUUAUCAACUAGCACAUCAGACUAGAUUAACGCUCUAUACAUGGACUCUACUAAAAAAAGUCCAUUCCCAUGGAGGUUCCAUCAGAAUACAUCGGACCCAUGUGCAAUUGCACCAUGGACAAGCACUGGAGCAGAAUGUUCCAUGAUUAGAGUCUGGGUGCAAAUAUAUCCCCUCUGAACGUCGCAUUUGGUGGAAAUGAUUCCAAUACCGUAGCGAUAGUAUCACCCUUAUGAUGCACAAUGUUGUAUAGAGUUGGGUAUUGUUCCCGGAGUGUGGCGUUUCCUAGCCACUUAUCCUCCCAGAAUCUAAUUUCCGAGUCACCUUAAUUGAGAAGGAUCCAUAGCAGAAGAAAUAUUUCUUCGUAUCCAUUAACCGCGCCCAAAAGUGGGAAUCCCCAGGCUUCCAAUACUUAGGAUAAUGCCUUUGAGCCCACAUAUUUUCUCAGGGGGAGGGUUUGCCAUAGACUGUCUUCUGUUAGUAAUUUAAAUAACCAUUUGCCGAGGAGGGCCCAAUUCUUAACAUCAAGGUCAUGAAUGCCCAUCCCACCUUGGUCUUUGGGUCGGCAAACCACAUUCCAUUUAGCUAGUCAAUAUUUCUUUCUCUCGCUAUCUCCUUGUCAAAAGAAUCUUGAUCAGAAAUAAUCCAAUCUAUGUAAAACUCCUUUCAGCAAUUGCAAGAAGGAAAUCAUAUAUAGUACCAUAUUACUUAGUACUAAAUUUAUGAGGAUCAAUCUUCAGCCGAGAGACAAGAGUUUACCUUUCCAACUGCUAAGUCUUUUUUGCAGUCUCUUCUCGACUUGUUUCCAUUCUGCAUUUGUGAACCUCCGAUAAUGUAUUGUUAUCCCCAAAUAAGUGAUCGGAAACUCGCCCAACCCACAUCCGAAUGGGUCUGUGUACAGGUGAGCCUUGUCUUGAGCCUCGCCAAAGAAAAACAAUUCACUUUUAUGGAAAUUGAUUUUAAGACCUGACAGUUGCUCGAAUGCUGCUAAAUUAAUUUCAGAUUUUUUCCUUUCUCAAGGUCAUGAUUGAUACGUCUCCGUCGUAUCUAUUUUUCCGAACUCUUGUGCCCUUGUUUUGGACUCUAAUUUGCAUGAUUUGAAUGGAACUAACCUGGACUGAUGCUGUUUUCAGCAGAAUUGCCAUGGUGUUGUUUUUGUACGGAAAUAAAACUUCUCGGAAUGUCCUGAAAAUUUACGGAGAUUUUUUCUGGAAUAAAAGAAAAAUACCUGCGCAAAGAUCCAUGUGAGGGGGCGUGCCAGUGGGCCACAAGCCCACACGCCGCGGCCAGCCCCUAUGGCCGCGCCGUGCAGGCUUGUGGGGCCCACGUGGCACCACCGCCCCCAAUCUCAGCUCUAUAUCUUCCGUUUUGCGUGGAAAAAAAAUCAGAGAGAAGGUUUCAUCGCGUUUUGCGAUACGGAGGCGCGGCCACAUCCUGUUCUUCAUCUGGAGGGCAGAUUUGGAGUCCGUUUCGGGCUCCGGAGUGAGGAAAUCGUCGCCAUCGUCAUCAUCAACCUUUCUCCAUCGAAAAUUCCAUGAUGCUCUUCAUCGUUCGUGAGUAAUCUCAUCGUAGGCUUGCUGGACGGUGAUGAGUUGGAUGAGAUCUAUCAUGUAAUCGAGUUAGUUUUUGACGGGGAUUGAUCCCUAGUAUCCACUAUGUUCUAGAUUGAUGUUGCUACUACUUGGCUAUGCUUAAUGCUUGUCACUAGGGCCCGAGUGCCAUGAUUUUAGAUCUGAACCUAUUAUGUUGUCGCGAAUAUAUGUGUGUUUUAGAUCCUAUCUUGCAAGUUGUAGUCACCUACUAUGUGUUAUGACCCGGCAACCCCGGAGUGACAAUAGCCGGAACCACUCCCGGAGAUGACCAUAGUAUGAGGAGUUCAUGUAUUCACCGCGUGUUAAUGCGUUGGUCCGGUUCUUUAUUAAAAGGAGAACCUUAAUAUCCCUUAGUUUCCAUUAGGACCCCGCUGCCACGGGAGGGAUGGACAAUAGAUGUCAUGCAAGUUCUUUUCCCUAAGCACGUAUGACUACAUACGAAAUACAUGCCUACAUUAGAUUGAUGAACGGGAGCUAGUUACAUAUCUCUCCAUGUUAUAGCUGUUACAAGAUGAAUCACAUCCGUCACACUCAUCCAUCACCGAUCCACUGCCUACGAGUCUUUUACUACUGGUCCUCGCUAUGUUACUUUGCCUAGGCUUGUCCCUUGCUACAAAAGGGAUUGGGCCACUUUGCUGCUGCCGUCACUACUGUUGUUACUUGUCGCUUUGCUGCUUCUGUCACUACUGCUGUUACUUGUUACUUUGCUGCUGCUGCUACUACUGUUCCUUGCUACUCCACUGUUACUUGUUGCAAUACUUUGUUGGCGCUGACAUCCCGUCAACAAGGCUUUUUCUGGCGCCGUUGCCGGGGAUUGUCAAAGCUUUUUCUGGUGUCGUUGCUAUCAUACUACCUUGCUACUCAUACUUUGCUUGCAGACACUAAUCUUUCAGGUGUGGUUGAAUUGACAACUCAGCUGCUAAUACUUGAGAAUAUUCUUUAGCUUCCCCUUGUGAGCGAAUCAAUAAAUUUGGGUUGAAUACUCUACCCUCGAAAACUGUUGCGAUCCAUACGCUUGUGGGACAUCAAGGCUUUUUCUGGCGCCGUUGCCGGGGAAGCACAACUAUAUUCUCUGAGUCACUUGGGAUUGAUGUCUGCUGAUCACUAUGAGGAAUCUGAAAGAUCCAAGAACUAAAAUCUUGCCUUCCACUAGGAGGAGAGGUAAGGAACUGCUAUCUAGCUCUGCACUUGAUUCACCUUCAGUUUUUAGUAAGUUUGCGACAUCGCCUCCUGCUAGAAAUCCUGAUAUGUCGCUUGUGCUUGAUGAUGCUACUUCUGCUGUCCAUGAUGCCAUGCUAGAUACUAUGCCUGAUGAUGCUAUGCUUGAUACUAUGCCUGAUGAUGCUAUGCUUGAUACUAUGCUUGAUGAUGAUAUGCCUGAUACUGCUUUGCCACUUGGUGCCCUUGAUGCACAUAUUGCUAGAGUUGCUGCUAGAUGUGAUGAUACUUCUGAGACUGCUGAUACUAUUGAAGUAGAACCUGCUACUAUGCCUGAAUUGCCUGUUAUGCCUGAUACGCGCUAUGUUAUGGAGGGAGAGAUAGCUGAGGAUUUUCUUGCGUGUAAGGAUAGCUAUGAUGUUGAGAAACUUCUGCGUAAGUGGAAACAAAAAUCUCUGAACGCUAGGAUGAAAUACGACCUGAAGUUUGCCACUUCGCCAAUCUUUGUGACCGAUAAGGAUUAUGAAUUCUCUGUCGACCCUGAGUUAAUCACUCUGGUCGAAUCUGAUCCCUUUCACGGUUAUGAGUCUGAAAUGGUUGUAGCCCAUCUUACCAAACUGCACGAUAUAGCCACCCUAUUCACUAGUGAGGAAAAGAUCCGCCACUACUAUAUGCUCAAGUUGUUUCCUUUCUCGCUAAAGGAUGAUGCUAAGACCUGGUUCACUUCUCUUGCUCCUGGUUGUGUGUGUAGCCCCCAGGAUAUGGUCUACUACUUCUCUGAAAAAUAUUUUCCUGCCCAUAAGAAGCAAGCUGCCUUGUAGGAAAUAUACAACUUUGCUCAAGCUGAAAAGGAGAGUCUCCCACAAGCUUGGGGGAGGCUUAUCCAGCUACUGAAUGCUUUGCCUGAUCACCCUCUUGAGAAGAAUGAAAUACUUGAUAUCUUAUAUAAUGGACUUACCGAUGCUUCCAAAGACCACCUAGAUAGUUGUGCCGGUAGUGUUUUUAGGGAACGAACUGUAGAACAAGCUGAGAUUCUGUUGAACAACAUCUUGUGCAAUGAGAAUGCUUGGACUAUUCCCGAACCACCUCCUAAGCCAACUCCGGAGAAAAGAGGUAUUCUAUUCCUCAGUCCUGAAGAUAUGCAAGAAGCCAAGAAAUCUAUGCGAGAGAAAGGCAUUAAAUCUGAAGAUGUCAAAAAUCUACCACCUAUCGAAGAGAUCCAUGGUCUCGAUAACCCGAUACAGGUAGUAGAAGUAAAUUCUCUGUGUAGGUUUGAUGAGAGUGGUAAUCCUUUUGAUAAACCUGCUAGCUUAUGCAUGGAUGAAUUUGAUAACUUCGUUGCCAAACAACAGAGUUUCAACGAUUAUGUUAGCAGACAAUUGGAACAGAAUGCUCGUAUGCUUAGUCAUUUAAGUGCUUGUGUGGACAGAAACGUCAAUGAUCUUAAACUUCUGAGUAAACAUGCUUCUAUGGUUACUACUCAGGUAGAACAAGUACUUAAAGCUCAGAAUGACUUGCUCAAUGAGUUGAAUGACAAUUCCGUCAGAGUCGUUACUAGAGGCGAUAGAAUGACCCAGGAACCUCUGUAUCCUGAGGGUCAUCCGAAGAGAAUUGAACAAGAUUCUCAAGGAGUUAGCACUGAUGCACCUAGUCAUCCUAGAAAGAAGAAGAAAGAUGAUAGGAACCUGCACGCUAGCAACCCUGUUACCGCUACCCCUGAGAGUCCAAACGAUGCCUCUGUCUCUGAUGCUGAAACACAAUCUGGUGAUGAACAUGAGCCUAAUGAUAAUAUCAAUAGUGAUGUUCAUGAUGAUGCUCAACCUAGCAAUGAUAAGGAUGUGGAGAUUGAACCUAGUGUUGAUCUUGAUAACCCACAGCCUAAGAAUAGAAGAUACGAUAAGAAUGACUUCGCUGCUAGGAAGCACGGUAAAGAAAGGAACCGUGGGUUCAGAAACCUAUGCACUUUCCUCCCAAACCAUCCAAGAAAAAGGAUGAUGAGGAUUUUGAGCGCUUCGUUGAAAUGAUCAGACCUGUCUUUCUGCAGAUGCGUUUGACUGAUAUGCUCAAAAUGUCUCCUUAUGCUAAGUACAUGAAAGAUAUUGUGACUAAUAAGAGGAGGAUACCUGAUCUUGAGAUCUCCGCCAUGCUUGCCAACUACACUUUCAAGGGUGGAACUCCUAAGAAACUAGGUGAUCCUGGUGUGCCCACUAUACCUUGGUCCAUUAAAGGCAACUACGUUAGAACUGCUUUAUGCGACCUUGGAGCCGGUGUUAGUGUUAUGCCUCUCUCUCUUUAUCGUAGGCUUGAAUUGGAUAAGUUCACACCCACUGAAAUCUCUCUGCAAAUGGCCGACAAAUCAACUGCUUUCCCUAUAUGCAUUUGCAAGGAUGUGCCUGUUGUGGUUGCUAACACCACUAUCUUAACAGACUUUGUUAUCUUGGAUAUUCCCAAGGACGAUGCCAUGGCUGUCAUCCUCGGAAGACCCUUUUUAAACACCACAGGGGCUGUUAUAGAUUGCAACAAAGGCAAUGUCACUUUCCAUGUCAACGGUAAUGAGCAUACGGUGCACUUUCUGAAGAAACAAUAUCGAGUACAUUGCAUCAAUGCUAUGAAAAAACUUCAUCGAUUCUUAUUGGGAGCUUUGAAUGCCCUAUUCCUCGUGUCAAGAUGAAGUAUGAUUUGCUUGUUGGGGAGAUACACAUCCCCAUUGAGGUGACCUAGUGACUAUUCGAAAAUUCUCCGUUCUCUUUUGCAAUUUGAAAAGGUUUGUCGAGAGACUUGAUCAACCUCAUUGACAGAUUUUCUUUCGAUGACCAUGAGAUGGAUGAAUCGAGGAGUCACAAACCUCUGUUCCAAGCUUUCACCUUCGGUUGCUUAGAAGAAAAACGUAGGUUUAGUUUAGUUUUCCCUGUUUUCUGUUUUUGCGUCCGGUAGAAAAGUACCCCGAAAAUCAAAGUUCUCCGAACGCUGUGAAAAUCAAUUAUGAUUUUUUCUGGAAUAUUUGAAAAAUACUGGGACAAAGAGUCUGUGUGGGGGGCACACAAGUGGGCCACAAGCCCUAGGGGCGCGGGCACCCCCCUGGCCGUGCCACCCAGGCUUGUGGGGCCCACAGGCACCCCUCCACUCAUUCCUGCUACCAUCCAGUUCUCCUACCUCUAGAAAAAAUCGUUUCACAGCUCAAACCCCUGUUCUUUCUCCUCUUGCUGGGAUUUUCGAUCUCUUUGCUCAAAUCACCGUUCUCCGAACUGUUUUGGGGAAAUUACUCCUUCGUAAAUGACUCCUCCAUUGGUCCAAUUAGUUUUUGCUCUAGUGCCUUAUACUCCGCGAAUUUUUGCUGCCUUGGUGACCAUGAUCUUGAGCUUUGCAUGCUGAUUCCAGCUGGUCCCAAGUAGUUUUGAUGCGUAAUAUGGUCUCUAGGCACUUGUGGGAGUAAUUGCUACUGGUUUAGUUGAACCUUGUUCACCUUUCCUUUGAGUCACUGAAAAUUUCAGAAAAGUAAGAUGUUCAGGAGAAAAUUUCAUGGUGGUUCCUCAAGCAAGAGAGGUCCUCGUCUGGCAAUUUGGGAGCCUGAUCCUUACCAACCUAGAGACGCGCCAGUACAACCAUGUGAAUGGCCUUCUGAUGAAUUUAUGAUGGAGGCAUGCUUCAAAGAUGAGUUUGAUGCACUUGUUCACAACGUCGGACUCGAAGAAUUCAUCUCCGAUAAAUGUGAACAGUAUGUUGCUCUCACUGCCUCUUUUGUUCAUAGAUUCAAAUUUUCAGCUCGCCGCGAGCAAUCAGUACUGUUUGAUCUCUAUGAUAAAUCGUAUACCAUGGAUUUAGAGGAUUUCAGUAGAAUUUGCAAAAUACCUAUUUGGGGUAACCUCAAUGAUCCUCCUAAAUCUUCGGUUAGAGAUUUUUGCGCUGGUAUUACGGUUGGAGAAACUAGAGACAUUACGCAAGCUACCAUGGGGAGUAUUCAUUUUCCUGCCUUGCAUUACUUUGCCCUCUUCAUAGGCAGAUGCAUUAAUGGCAAGAUUUAGCAUUGUCACCUCUGCGCACCCGACCUUAGUAUCCUUAAGAGCGCAGUGACGGGUGACAAAAGUUUCAACAUGGGAGCUAUUAUAGCAAGGAGGCUGAAUAAGAAUGCUAUUGAAGGGGAUUUCUUUGGUGGGAUCUAUGCCACUCGCAUAACAAAUUUUCUUGGAGUACACAUCCGCGAAGGAGAUCCAUCGCUCCAUACAACUUUCCUUGACCGUGUCGCUUUGACACGCUACCGGUUCCUCGAGAGGGAUGAUGAAUCCCUCCUAUACCGUCUGAUAUUUAACCGGCAGUGUGUUUUCCAUAUUACCCUUCCUGCUCCUACUCUCUUUGACUUUCAGGUAAAACGGAGAUAUUACAUAACCAGAGGAGAGGCAGAGGAGUAUGAGAGGGAGGCAAAGGUUGCUCGUCUCCGUGAGGCAGCUAUUCAGGCAGUGGCUGCAGCGCUCCUGUAUAACCCCCAUUAUGAUUUUGGGUUUUGCCAGGACCAUCCUUGGGAGUAGACCAAGUUAGGCCAAAAGCCUAAGCUUGGGGAAGUAUGUGUUCUCACCGACUUUACAUUCUUGCUUAUGCUUUCAUUUUGUUAGCCGGUGUUCACACUUUGCCACUAAUAUCAUCAUGCUAGUUUUAUUUUCUUUUUCUCGUUUUCUUUUCGUGUGUCUGUCUAGUUUGAGAAAAAACCAAAAAGAUUUUCUUUUUCUUCUUUUGCUUGUUGGGAGCUUUCCCGUGUAGAUAGUUUUCUUUUUCUUUGGGUCAAGGUAGAAGAUAUUGGUUACACUGCUUAGUGGCUCUUGCAUGCAUACAUGUUUAGCUUUCAAAGAGCCAUAUUACUUUGUCUUCUCCUUUGUGUUUGCCUGCAGAUUCUAGCUUUUGUCCACUGCACGAGCACUCUUAUUAUUGUUCACAUCGUUCGGUCGUGCAAGUGAAAGGCAAUAAUGACGAUAUAUGAUGAAGUGACUGAGCCUGGAAAAGCUGGUAUGAACUCGAUAUAUUUUGUUUUUGUAAAUAUGACUAGCUCAUCAUGCCUGAUUCAGCUUUGUUGUAAGAGAAACAUGUUUGCAAUGACAACUUAGAGAUCAUAGUUGCUUAUGCCAUGCUUACUUAGGUAGGAGCUUAUAAUGGUUUGCCUUGGUUGCCAAUAUGAAUGUUGAGAUGACUAUGAUGUAGUAUGAUAGGACGGUAUCCUCCUUUGAAUGUUUCAAGUGGCUUGACUUGGCGCAUGUUCACGCAUGUAGUUGAAACAAAAUCAACAUAGCCUCUAUGAUGUUCAUGUUCAUGGUGAUUUAUGUCUUACUCAUGCUUGCACUCAAUGUUAGUUACUCUCAAUGCAUUUUGAUGACCGUUGUUGCUCUCUAGUUGGUUGCUUCCCGGUCUUUUGCUAGCCUUCACUUGUACUAAGCGGGAAUACUGCUUGUGCAUCCACCUCUAUAAACCCAAAAGUUGUGCCAUAUGAGUCCACCAUACCUACCUAUGUGCGGUAUCUACCUGCCGUUCCAAGUAAAUUUGCAUGUGUCACUCUCUAAAUCUUCAAGAAAUAAUCUGUUUUGCAUGCCCGAACCGCUCAUGUGGUGACAGGGGGCUAUUGGUAUCUUCCAUGCUAGGCGUGUUAUCCUCGAUAUGUGUUUAUUCACUAUCAUUCACGAGAAAGGGGACGGUAAUUGGAAUUCCCAGUUCCAUACUCAAAUCGAAAAGAUAAUUGCAAACAAAACUCCCCCAGGAUUGAUGUUGGUAUGGACGGUACCCGAGGAUUCGACUAGCCGUGGAGUGUGAUUGAUUGGUGGUGGGGGAGUCAAAACUUUACUUUUUUGUUUGGGAACCACCUAUAGCAUGUGUAGCGUGGAAGAUGUUGAGAACUCUUAGUCAUUGCGUUGACAAUGAAAGCAUGCCACCCAAAAUUAUUAUCUUUGUUUUCAAAGCUUGAGCUCUGGCACUUCUGCAAAUCAAUGUUUCCCUCUACGAAGGGCCUGUCUAUUUAUGUUCCUGUUGAGUCAUCCUACUCUUACAAAAGCACCAAUUAGAGAGCACCUCUGUCAUUUUUAUGCUUUGCUUUUAACUGUGUUGAGUAUGACUAUGACUGGAUCUUCAUUGCCUUGAAUUACAAUGUUUAGUCAGCCCUUGGUCUUUAAAGGUGCUCUGCAUUUAUGUUUUGCGGUCUCAGAAAGAGCUAGCGAGAUACCAUCUAUUCAUACUGCUUCAUGUUGUUUUGAUCGAAGUGUUGACAUUUGAGGCUUAUUAUUAUUUGCUCGCUAGUUGAUUAUGCCAUUGAUAUGAGUUUACCGUGAGACCUAGAUGUCAUUUGCUUAUGUGGUUUGCUUGUGAUGUUGCUGAAAUUCUGGUUAUGAGUUAGACAUAGUUGCAACAACAAGAUCAAACAGAAUUCGUCAAAGUUUUUCUUUUGUCUCUCUUAAUUUGUCAACUGAGUUGCUUGAGGACAAGCAAGGCUUUAAGCUUGGGGGACUUGAUACGUCUCCGUCGUAUCUACUUUUCUGAACUCUUUUGCCCUUGUUUUGGACUCUAAUUUGCAUGAUUUGAAUGGAACUAACCCGGACUGACGUUGUUUUCAGAAGAAUUUCCAUGGUGUUGUUUUUGUGAAGAAAUAAAAGUUCUCGGAAUGUGCUGAAUAUUUACGGAGUUUUUUUUUGGAAUAAAAGAAAAGUACCUGCGCAAAGAUCCAUGUGAGGGGGCGUGCCAGUGGGCCACAAGCCCACAGGCCGCGACCACCCCCUAUGGCCGCGCCGUGCAGGCUUGUGGGGCCCACGUGGCACCACCGCCCCCAAUCUCAGCUCUAUAUCUUCCGUUUCGCAUGGAAAAAAAAUCAGAGAGAAGGCUUCAUCGCAUUUUGCGAUACGGAGGCGCCGCCACAUCCUGUUCUUCAUCUGGAGGGCAGAUCUGGAGUCCGUUUCGGGCUCCGGAGAGGGGAAAUCGUCGCCAUCGUCAUCAUCAACCUUUCUCCAUCGACAAUUCCAUGAUGCUCUUCAUCAUUCGUGAGUAAUCUCAUCGUAGGCUUGCUGGACGGUGAUGAGUUGGAUGAGAUCCAUGUAAUCGAGUUAGUUUUUGACGAGGAUUGAUCCCUAGUAUCCACUAUGUUCUAGAUUGAUGUUGCUACUACUUGGCUAUGCUUAAUGCCUGUCACUAGGGCCCGAGUGCCAUGAUUUCAGAUCUGAACCUAUUAUGUUGUCGCCAAUAUAUGUGUGUUUUAGAUCCUAUCUUGCAAGUUGUAGUCACCUACUAUGUGUUAUGACCCGGCAACCCCGGAGUGACAAUAGCCGGAACCACUCCCGGAGAUGACCAUAGCAUGAGGAGUUCAUGUAUUCACCACGUGUUAAUGCAUUGGUCCGGUUCUUUAUUAAAAGGAGAACCUUAAUAUCCCUUAGUUUCCAUUAGGACCCCGCUGCCAUGGGAGGGAUGGACAAUAGAUGUCAUGCAAGUUCUUUUCCCUAAGCACGUAUGACUACAUACGGAAUACAUGCCUAUAUUAGAUUGAUGAACGGGAGCUAGUUACAUAUCUCUCUAUGUUAUAGCUCUUACAUGAUGAAUCACAUCCAUCACACUCAUCGAUCACCGAUCCACUGCCUACGAGUCUUUUACUACUGGUCCUACGUUACUUUGCCUAGGCUUGUCCCUUGCUACAAAAGGGAUUGGGCCACUUUGCUGGUGCUGUCACUACUGCUGUUACUUGUCGCUUUGCUGCUGCUCUCACUACUGCUGUUACUUGUUACUUUGCUGCUGCUGCUACUACUGUUCCUUGCUACUCCGAUGUUACUUGUUGCAAGACUUUGUUGGCGCUAACAUCCCGUCAACAAGGCUUUUUCUAGCGCCGUUGCCGGGGACUGUCAAAGCUUUUUCUGGUGCCGUUGCUAUCAUACUACCUUGCUACUGAUACUUUGCUUGCAGACACUAAUCUUUCAGGUGUGGUUGAAUUGACAACUCAGCUGCUAAUACUUGAGAAUAUUCUUUAGCUUCCCCUUGUGAGCGAAUUAAUAAAUUUGGGUUGAAUACUCUACCCUCAAAAACUGCUACGAUCCCAUACGCUUGUGGGACAUCAAUGAUCCAUUAAGAGAAUUGUAUCGUUGGUGUAUUGAAGUAUAGAGAGACCAUCAUCAAUUAGAUGAUUUACUACCCCAUCAAUUUCGCCAUCAACCUUCACACGCUCAAUCAUGACCGCUAGCAUAUCUGCCACUAUGUUAAAUAGCAUGGACGAUAUCGAGUCACCUUGUCGCAACCCCUUCUUUGUUUGUAAAUAUUGGCCAAUGUCAUCAUUGACCUUAAUGGGAACACUACCUCCAAUAACGAAGCUAUGGAUCAUAGCGCGCCACUCUACAGAAAAUACUUUCAUUCUCAGAGUUUGUUGAAGGAAUGGCCAUAUGAGUUUGUCAUAAGCUUUUUCAAAGUAUAUUUUGAGCCACCCCAUUCAACUUUUUCCGAUGUAAUUCAUGCACAACUUCAAUAAGGACAACAACUCCAUCUAGGAUGUGUCUACCUUGCAUAAAAGUUGUCUGUAAAGGACGAACCACAUGUUUAGCAACGAAAUUUAGCCUAAUAGUCACAACCUUCAUGAAUAUUUUAAAAGUAACAUUAAGGAGGCAAACAUGUCUAUAUUGUUGUAUCCUUUCAGCCUCAUUAACUUAGGUAAUAAAUUAAUCUCAUCGAAGUUUAAGCGAAACAAAUCUAGUUGGCCAACAUGUAGCUUGCUAAACAGAAGUAGAAGGUCCGAUUUGAUGACCUCCCAGCAGUUUUGAUAGAACUCUGCGGGAAAACCAUCUUGGCCUUGGGCUUUGUUGUGCUCCAUUAGGAAAACUACCUUGCUAACUUCCUCUUCAGAGUAUGGGGAUGUUAGUAGGCUGUUUUCCUUGUGAGAUACCUAUGGGAUUUCAUCUGUUCAGGACUCAUCCAGCGAGAAGUUUCCUUCCUCUGGGGCUCCGAACAGAUUUUUAUAAUAAUUAGUGGUGUAAUUUUUAAGUUGUUCCUGGCCCUCAAUCGUACCCUCAUCCUAUUGCAGGGAAUGGAUAAGUUUCUUUCGGUGUCUGCCAUUGGCGACUUCAUGGAAAUAUCUAGUAUUCGAAUCACCUUUCAGGAUAAAUUGAGAGUUAGAAUGUUGGUAUCAUCUGAGUUCCUCUUCACGCAGCAUGCUAGAUAUAUGUGCAUUCUAUUGACUCUUCCGCCAAAGCUUCUAAUUAUUGUUGUGAUGUACCUUUCGUGCUUGACUGUUUUUUAUGAAUCUUCCAAAAAAUCAUUUUCUUUCUAUGUGGACAUCAUCCUUAGGUUUCCUUGUCGUUUUAAGUUUCCAUCCCUCACAAACUCAUAAUGGUCCACAUGACGGGAACUAUUUUUGUGUAAUACAUGAGUCGUACACACGCGGGCGAGGAGAAAUAGAACUCCUGACCCACCUUGUUGCUCUCACAUGCAACACAGGGAGUCUCAACCUUCGGCCACCGCAAACCCCACACAUCCACCCUCGCCCUCACCGUUGCCAAAGGAUGCGAUCGGGCCAAGCCCAUGCUGCGGAUGACGACCGCAGGACGAGCUCUCUUUCAUGGUGCGACAUUUUACUGGUGCCCCUGCCGCUCCCUAUGCGGCGCCAAAUCCACGCAUCCUUGUGUGGUGAAGCGCCCCACAUUCGGGUGCAUGUUGAGUGGCCCAUGGCUCAUCGUCUGUCCUCCCUCUUGCAGGCUAGAUGGGCGUCCUCGUGUUGAGGUGAAAGUGCCUGCCGAUCCCCCCGAUAUGAUCUGGGUGAAUUGGUGCUCGGCCCAUGGCUACAAUCGAGUGACGAAGGGGUUGAUCGGGGCGGCGUGGGGGCUUAAUUUCGUGAUAAUAAAGGUGGAAGUCCUCAUUCUUCUCUCGCAUCACGGCAACAUCCUGCAUGAUCGGUCCUUCCUCACUGGACAUCCAUGUGUUCCAAAACUGCUAUCGGAGAUCUUGCCCAAGAUAUUCGAAUCAGAGAGAAUUCAGUCGUGUACGUCUAUUUCAACCUAUGAGGUUUCAUGAGGGCGUGACACGAAGCUCUCUUGUUUGAUGAAACCAUGGGACAUGUUGCCUCUCGAUUUCUAUGACGUAGACAACUAUGGAGAAGGUUUUUGUGGGUAAGAUCGAAGGAUCAGUUAGACAGACGAGGCCUUCAAGGCGAUGGUGUCAGCAAGUGAUUCGGUAACUCCCAGGAGGACCAGUGUCAAGUGGGGGUGGCAGCAUUGGAGGAAUUCUUUUGGUGGUGUUCUUCGGGUGUCGAGUCGGGAUUUUCAGGGUGGAAACCAAAGGUCCACCCUUCAUUGGUUGUCCAUGGCAAUUGUCUUGCUGGAACAAUUGUUUUGAGAUAUCAGACUUCUCCAGGGUUUAAACCUAAGAUCUUGCAUCUAGAGUUUUCCACGCACUCCCUUACAAUACUAUUCCUCCGCUGUAGAUAACCCUUUCCUUCCUUCGCCAAUGUAUGAGUGUGAGGAUGCUACAAUAAUCUGGAUGAAAUUGUAGUUUUCCUUACUAUAGGGAUUUUAUUAGUAGGGGUUUGUGGUUGUGGCAUCAAUCGAGAAUUUUUUUCUCAAGCUUCCCCAUCUCAACUAUAUGGGUUGUUGUGGUGUAGAUGGUUCAUUGGUGUAGAUUUUUGUGUAUAAUUUUGGACGAUAAAGUUAGGGUUUUCCUAGUUUGUUAGUGUGUGCCAACGGUGACUUUCCCUUGUAGUUUGGUCCACCAACUAAUUUCCUCCAUGCUGAUGCGAGAUCUAGUGUUGGCAUGAGAACUCUGACUUCUUUGGAGGCUUGGACCUUGGAUCAGUGGGUCUUCGGGCGACGGUGACUUGGAUGGUUUCUUCACUAGGGCAGUGGUUCUACAUGAUCGUGGCUUUGAUGACUUCCUGUAUGUGAUCAACAACAACUUGUUGGCCAUGAUGAUGGAAAGGCAACAAUGGCGGUACAAUAUACAUGCUUAGGAGGAAGAACACAUCCGGCCUCACAGAGACCUUAGUAUAUCUACUUUAUUUUCCAGGAGUGUAUUCACUACUCACUAGUAGAAAAAGAGCUUUUAGCCCUGGUUCGGUUGGGCCAUUAGUCCUGGUUCUUGAACCGAGACUAAUGCUAGCCACGGUUCGGCCUCAAACCGGGGCUAAUGGCCUUCCACGUGGCGGGGCUGGGAGCGAGGGGGGAGGGUAUUAGUCCCGGUUCGUAUUACGAACCGGGGCUAUUUCUUUGCUGUUUUUUGAGCAAUUUUUGGAUUUAGGAUUUUGCACUAAAUUGGACGGGGCUAUUUUGUUGCCCCCUAUUUUCUCAUCUAUUUGUUUUGGGCAUUUUUUAAUUCUUGUUUUGCAUUAAAUUUGAUGGUACAUACACAACAAUAAAGGAACAACUAUAUUGCACAUCGUCACGAAUAUAUUACACCAUCUCAUCUGUCGUGCUUUGUCGAACAUAUUUACAAAAUGUACACACGAGUUACAUGCACAUAUAUGCAUCUUUUUUACACUAUAUCAUUUCAUAUCAUUUGCGCCGAAUGGCAAUAGUAUUCUCCCUUGACAUCUAGGACAUCUGCAUCUAAGAAUCUCACAAUUUCCUCUUGAAUUACUCGUACACGUUCCUGUGGUAGAAGACCGUCCUGCAGCCGUUCGAUCUAAUUUAAAGAAGGGGUCAAUAUAUAUAUCAAUGUAAACAAACACAAUUCAUGGUAAUAAAAUAAAGCUGUGAGUAUUGUUUAUCGUACUUCGAUUUUUUUUGAUGUCUCGGGGUUUGCCCUUCUGAUGGGUCGUCUGACGAAUGAACUCACAAACAUAGUAUCCACAUAAAUUGUUCCCGUGUUCCUGCCUCAAGCACUUCACGAGAACAGAGUUCAAUCAAAAACAUAAUCAAGAAUUAUAAUGAUAUUGAAACUAGAAUAAAGAGAUGCGCGGAUCUAGCUAGUAGUUACUUGCAUCUAUUUGUUUAAAUGUAAGCUCUGACUUCCAAUCACCCCGAGCCUUGGCGGUGAACCGUUUUCAAGCCCUGCCAAGAAAAGGAAAUGAAUAAAGGAUUUCUAUAUUAAUUCCUUGCUAUCAGGAAAUGAACGAGAAGUUGCCGAUAUAGUGCCAUAAUGAUUGAAAUUACCUCUGGAGGCAUUCCUGCAUGUUCGUCAAUUCAGCGAGGGGUGUGCGUUUUGGGUCCAUGACUAUUACUUGUCCCUUGUAAGGUACAAUGAUUAAUAAAAUAAAGUGGAACCUGCGCGCGCAUAACGAGUCAAUUAUACGUACACUUAUAAUAACAUCGAGUAAGCGAAAAUAGAAUGUGUGUAUAGUAACACUCACUUGAAGUUGUAAGGACAUAAUAUUUCCCUUUUGGUACUGCAAAACCUUAACCCUUGUACCAAGUUAUUCUAUGUCUCGUGGGGAUUCGUUUCGACACUUUGAUGAUGAUUGUAAUAUGGGUCAAUGAACCCAAUGUCAUAGAUUUGUCCUCUUUUUCAUUCAAGAAUCUUCAUUCUGCAAAAUUAAUAUAGUGAUGAGUAAGAUUAUACAUGCAAGAACGAGUUGAGUAAGACUUAAUGACAUAAAUUAAUAAUAUUUACAAACAAUAGGCACUGAUGAUAGAUUUGUCGAGGGCGUCUUGUUUGUAUAACUGAAAUAAUUCGCCGAAUUCAAUCAUGUGCACGCCUCGUCCAAUCCCAAAAUGCUCGUCUUCAUAUGCAACGUAGAUCCAAUUUUGUUGUUUAGUACAUGCUUGCAUGUAAAAGUCAUGCAAUCUUCGCAUUUUGGUUGGUAGCUCGUUGACUAACUCAUAUUUGACGAGAGGAGACCCGUACCGGUACACGUAUGUUACGUCAGCGAAUUCCUGCAAAUGGUCUAAGUACUCUGAAAUAGACAUGCCUUGAGCCUUGGCCGCUUCUCCGUAUAUUGCAACAAACUCCGGAUCGAUAGCAGCUGUUUCGUCAUUUCUCUGCUCGACCGCAGCUCCACUCGAGCACACCUUUGUAUCGGAAUACACUCUGAGCGGGGGGCACGAUUGGUUUUUCUAUUCUCCAAGCCGGGCAACUGAUUUCCCGCUGGACGUACUACUCUUCAACCGCUGCUUUUUUGCCUGAGUCGACUUGAGAAUAGAGCGUUCAUAGUCUGCUGGCAACAGUGGCGGGGGAUCUGUAAGGUUUUUCAGCAUUUUCAUGCACGCGGGGUGAUCUUCUGGGGUGUUCGGGAACUCUGGCUCUUUCGGCUUCUUCUUGUUAGCCACUUCAGCCUUCCACUAUUGAUGUUGGGCGUCUGCCCUCUUAAUAUUGUCCUCUCCACUAUAGUCCCAAGGUCUCUUCUCCAUAUCCUUAUGAGGUACUUUUGGGAGGGGCGACAACUUACGUUUCGGUGAUCGGAACUUUCUACCGCCACUAUUAGCGGUGGUACGUUUCCGCUUUUUGCUCUGAUCCUCAGUGGACGAAGAUGGCUGACGGGGCGGUGGAGACGACCGACGGGGCAGUGGAGACGGCUGACGGGGCGGUGGAGACGGCUGAUGCAACGGUGGAGACGGUUGAUGCGGUGGUAGAGACGGCUGCGCUGGAGACUGGUGAGGCGGCGAAGACGACGAUUGCGCUGGAGACUCGUGAGGUGGAGGCGAAGAAGGAUUGCUGCUAUGAGGAGUCGGUGGCCUUGGCGUCCAAUUUGGAAGCAAGAUGUCCUCCUUUGGCCAUACAACGGUUUGUUUCUUGACUUCUCCAAGUUGAGUCAAAUCCCUAUCUUCACCUGCAGGGUGGUCAAGCUUCAGCUCCUCAUAAUAUUUCAUCACUUCAUCCACCGCGACGACAGCGUGCCCUUCUAGAACCGGAGAGCAAUGCCAAGUUGGAUUAUGUCCAAUUGGUAUGUGGCCAUGCCGACCGCCACCGUCAACCUUAAGUUAGCAAGUUUCACCUUUAGCUCACAAGGUGUGCUCUCUGUGAUAUCAUCCACUGGAUAGCGACGAGGAGGAUCCGUCGUCAGUGCAUCAUCACCAUCAUCCUAGAGCUGCGUGGAAGCGACACUGCUUUUCCGAUUCGAUGCAGCUUCUAUCAUGAGCGCUGAGAUUGGUCGCUACCUUGUUGUUUGUCGAUUUGAUCCUGCUACAACUGCUUUACUUCUUAUUCUAGAUUAUGCAACUGGUUAGGCUUCUUCUGGUGAUCUGCCUCACCGUUGAAAUCCUUGCCUUUCUUUCUUACGGGAUAAUUGGUCGGAAGAAAUCGACGACACCCCAGGUAGACAACAUUCUUAUAUUUUUCCAAAUAUAUACCUUUAAUCUUAUUUAAACAGUGCGUGCAUGCAUUGUAUCCCUUGUUUGACUGUCCUAAAAUGUUACUAAGAGCAGGCCAAUUAUUGAUGGUUACGAACAACAAUGCUCGUAGGUUCAAUUCCUGACGUUUUUGCUCAUCCCAGAAACGUACACCUGGUUUGGCCCACAACUACAAAAGUUCAUCAACUAAUGGCCUUGGGUACACAUCAAUAUCGUUGCCGGGUUGCUUCGGUCCUUGGAUGAGCACUGGCAUCAUAAUGAACUUCUGCUUCAUGCACAACCAAGGAGGAAGGUUGUAGAUACAUAGAGUCACGGGCGAGAUGCUAUGACUGCAGCUCUGCUCCCCAAAAGGAUUCAUGUCGUCUGUACUUAGACCAAGCCAUAAGUUCCUUGGGUCAUCUGCAAAGUCUAGCCACUCCCUCUCAAUUUUCCCCCACUACGACCCAUCUGCGAGGUGUCUCAACUUUUACCCGUCUUUCUUACGCUCGUCUUUGUGCCGUCGCAUCAACUUGGCAUGCUCAUUGUUUCUGAACAUCCGUUUCAAUCGUGGUAUUAUAGGAGCAUACCACAUAACCUUAGCAGUUACCUUCUUCCUGGGGGGCUCGUCAUUGCCCUCAACAUCACCAAGGUCAUCCUGUCUGAUCUUGUACUGACAUGCAGUGCAUACCGGGCAUUUAUCCAUAUUCUCGUACUUCUCACCAUGGUAUAGGAUGCAGUCAUUAAUGCAUGCAUGUAUCUUCCGCACAUCUAAUCCAAGAGGACAGAUAGCCUUCUUUGCUUCGUACGUAGUCUCGGGCAAUUCGUUAUCCUUUGGAAGCUUAGACUUCAAUAUUUUCAGUAACUUCUCAAAUCCCUUGUCAGAUAAACCAGUUUCUUCCUUCCAUUUCAACAGUUCUAGUGUGGUACCGAGUUUUGUGCUACCAUCUUUGCAAUUUGGUUACAACAACUUUUUAUGAUCCUUUAGUAUGACCUCCAAUUUCAGCUUCUCCUUUUCUGUAUCUCUUUCUCUCUUUGCAUCAGAAAUGACCCGACCAAGACCAUCAACGGGCUCAUCUGAUGCCGGUUGUUCUUCACCUCCUUCUUCUUCAUUGUCUUCCAUUGUAGUAUCACCGUAUUCUUAAGUGAACAUAGGAUAGUUGUCAUCAUCAUCUUCUUCUUCAUUGUUUUCCAUCCUAACCCCUCUUUCUCCGUGCAUGGUCCAACAAUAAUAUGUGGGCAUGAAACCUCUCUGAAGCAAGUGGAGAUGGAUGUUUUUCGAGCUAGAGUACUCCUUCACGUUUUGACAACCAACACAUGGACAAGGCAUAAAAUUAUCCACUUUGUUUACCUCAGCCACAUCGAUAAAUUUAUGCAGGCCUGCAAAAAAUUUGGAACCGCGUCGUUCGCCAUACAUCCAUCGCUUCCGUGCAUCGAUAUGGCAUCAUACAUGAAUAGUGAAAUGACCACCCUACAUUGACACAUGCAAUAUUUUUGUAUCAAUUACAGAUGAAAAGGAUAAGGUUGCUAACCUCGGCCGAGGAUACCAUUUUGUGUGAACUUAGGUGUGACUCGGGCAUUAGUCCCGGUUCGUAAUGUACUCUGAAGUUCGUCGGUCAUCGUACAUCCAUUGGCGGUUCAUCUCUAUUAUGAAAUUAAGUAUAUCAAAAAACCAUUACAGAACAUCAUGAAUAGAGAAAUGACCAAAUUAAUACAAGUUCAUCAUCACAUUAAAAUCAAAGCACAGUAGUGAUCAAAUGUUAUUAUUGCAAAAGAUAAAUACAUAAAGUUCUCUCAUAAAACAACAUACAACUAUGUAAAACAUUUAAAUGCAACAACAAAUGCGAUCAAAAUCGCAACUAAGGUAACAAUUGACCCAACAACAUAAUGAUACCAAGCCUCUUUAUCAAUGGCAUAUUUUCUAAUAUUCCUAAUCUUCAAGCGCAUUGCAUCCAUCGUCAACCGCAUCGCAUCGAUCUUCAUCUUGCGAUCAUCGAUGACAUAGGCGACAUGCAACUCUAGUUCCAUAUUCUUCUCCUCAAUUAUUUUUAAUUUUUCCUUCAAGUAUUUGUUUUCUUUUUCAACCAAAUUUAACUUCUCGACAAGAAUUUUUAUGUGGGUUGGACUUUCCGGUUCACAUACCUCUUAGUUAAAAAUAUAUAUGUCACGUUGGUCGUCAUAAUUAUCAUAAACACUAAAUAAAACAAAUAGUUAUAAAAGAUAAUAUAUACCACAUCCGAAUCAUAGACAGGACGAGGGCCGACGGAGGCGGAUACCACAACCAUCGCACUAUAUAAUAACAAAAAAUAUUGAAAGGAAGUAAUUUAUACAAGCAUGUAUCUAAAUCAUACAAGUAAGAUUUUUUUUCUUUUAAAAAGAAGAUAAGAACUAGAGGCUCACCACGGUGGUGCUCGCGACGAGAUCGGCGCGGGCGAUCGACAACAGUGAGGAUGGACAUGGGACGGCACCCUACACAUGUGCAGACUCUAAGAAGUUAAUUUGAGCAUUUGAAAUGAGCUAAACUAGCAGUGACAGAUGAAAGGAUGAAGUAGCUAACAUUUUAAAACACUUGCGCGGUUGGUGCACGGCCAAACCUAGACAAAUAUUGAGGAAAAUGAAGCUUGGAGGUCAAGCUUGGAGAGGAAAAAUCUUAAGUAGUGUGGCUCGGGCAUUUCACCGAACACCUCGUGUGCAUGAACUAGAGUGACAAGAGCAUGGCAUGGUCACACUUCAACAGCCAAAAAACAAAGGAGAGGCUGGGCUGGGCGAGGGUUUAUAUAGGCAACACUUUAGUCCCGGUUUUUGUCUAAAACCAGGACUAAUAGCCUACCCUUUAGUCCCGGUGCUUGCUACAAACCGGGACUAAUGCUCUAUGGCACGCCACAUGGCGGUCACUGGAUCGUUAGUCCCGGUUUUUGCCACGAACCGGGACUAAUGAGGUGAAUCGAACCGGGACCAAUGCCCUGGCAAACUGAACCGGGACCAAUGCCUGGCAUUGGUCCCGGUUUUUAUUUGAACUGGGGUAAUGUGUAUUUGUGCUCUGGCCGAAAGACCCAUUUCUACAAGUGACUAGUUUGAUUAAUAGUCUUGAGGCCAUUUUUCGCAAGAAAACUUUGUGCAACUCUAACGCGUCAUAGUUCAUGACAGCGGCCAUAGUUCAAACACACACAUUUAACAAUGGCAGGCAUACAUGCUAGCCUACAAAAACAAUGCCAUAGUUCAUGAUCGCACACUUCCUAGUGCUCGGCCACUUGCUAGCACACAACAAGUUCCACCGUUCGUGCAUCUUGGCCAUGCCGACAUAGAGAAACAAUGGCGGUCUCGGUCAUAGAUCCAUCAUCUAGCUGGAGCAUCACCUUUUUCUUCUUCUUGAAACAAACCCUUCUCCUUCAGUGACACUUUAUUCAAGUUCACCAUCACGAUCUUCACCUUCCUGGCCAUGAAAGUGAGCGUCUCCUCCUUUGAUUUGGUCGUUGCAUUGGUUGCCUCAAUCUCGAGCUUCUUUCGUUUGGAUGUUCUCCUCGAUCUGAAGCUUCUUCUCUUGUAUCUUGGUAUAGGUCUUUAUUAGUUCCUAUUUCUCUUGGCGCUUCCUAUCUUUCCUUGUUUCCAUUUAGAUCACCAUGCCUUACAAAAUUUCUUGCAAGGUGAAUGCCGUUGCAUCAUUCUUCUCAUCCAGCUUGGAGUUGGCCUUCCCCCUCGGUCGCUUUUUUCCUUCGCCAUGCACUUCGACGACCAUCGAACCUCCAUUCUUCUUAAGGGCGACAUAUUGCUGCUUGAACUUUUCAGUUUUACUAAUGAUCGUCUAGGUUAGGGUGAAUGGCUUGUCUCAUGUUGGGCCUUCAAUGCUUCCAAAGCUUGGUAUGCCUACAAAUGAAAAUGAAGGCUACAAUGUACAUUCAUAUGCAAUGGACAUGCAAAGCAUCAAUCUAUCGAAACAAAAAUGAAGAGAAAGGAAUUGUAUACCAUGUCUUCCAUGCCAAGGCCACUCACGGGAUGACAUUUGAUGCUCUUAAGGGUGGCACAAAACUUGUUGCAUCCUUACUUGAAACCCCAUCUCUUUUGAGAUGGACACCCGCCCACGUUUGCUCUCAAACUUGUAGGGCGGAAACUUCCUAUGUUCAUGGAAGUAUGUACGAACGCCCCCCCCCCCCAAAUGUCGAUCCUUUUUGCUCGGCAUCGAUCUUCGGAUCUUGUCCAAUUUCCUUCCAACCUUCGCAAAUGAGCGUGCCCUCAUCCUUUGUGUAUGCCUUGGUCUGAAUGCUUUGACGCCUUUUCUUUUGUGCAUUAGCUUAUUGAGUGAGCUCGUAGGCAAACAAUGGCUCCUUGAGGACAGGGUGGACGGCCAUGCCGCCCGUGGCGUCGGGUUCUGGCGCAUUAGCCAUGGCGAGUGAGUGGGAGGGUGAGAGAGAUGGAGGGUCUUGGAAGGGAGGGGAGAAAUAUGGUGGAUGUGCCACCGACAAGCGUGUUAGGGGGAGGACAAAGGUGGACGUCGCGCGUGUCCACGUCGAAGCAAACUCAGACCAAACUUGAGUUAGAAUUGGAUCAUGGGCAGACAAAAAAACAAACGGGGCAUACGUUUGCAUCGUCACGUUGGGUCGUUAUUUCUAACCCAAAUGGACGUGCGUGGAUGAAAUGCGUUGGUGCGUUGAAAUGGCCCUAAUUUUAAUGAUAUUUGGCCAAUAAUCAAGCCAAGGUGGCAACGUGCAAUUUUAUACCAAGUACAUUUGCCUAGGAAAAUACUUUACCGGUGUGUGCAAAGACGAAUAGGGGAAGUGGGGUGAGUGAAAAAUUGUUGAUGAUGGUUGUUUGUUUCAUAGGAGUAGGGGGAGGGGGAGGGAGAUGAACGUGUUUGGGUGGAGAAAAUGAUAGAACGACACGAUUGAAGUGCAUAAUAGCAAUACACUUAAAAGAGAAGCUCGUCUAGAUGGAGUGGUGGACAACACAAUGGUUGUUGUCGCCGGCUCGGAUUCGAGUCUUCUCAUCUCAUAUAAAAAUAAGAUAGGGAAAGUCUCCUCUCUGUUCUAAUUCUUUUCUUGAAAUACACCAAAAACUAGUUUGUAUUUGCACAAAACUGGACCAUGAUUUACCGUUGUCAUGGACAAAAAUCAUGGUAUCGAAAUUUGAAGAUAAAGUGGUCAAUAGAAUUAUGUUCUAUAAAAAAACAUGGAAAUCACAUUAUGGCAACAAUGGAGAAAGAAUGAUACACUUAUCUAUAUUUAAAGUAAGAUAAACUUAGAAAAUCUUUCUUUUACAACUGUAAGGUACACUCAUUUAGAAAAAGCUCACUUCACGGGCAUUUUCUUACAACAGUAAGAUACACUUGGAAAAUCUUUUUUUAACAACAGUAAGAUACACACACCUAGAAAAAUGUGAACAAUUUUUGAAAUUCUGAACAAUUUUUGAAAUGCUAACAAAAUUUGAAAAAUCCAAACAUAUUUUAAGAUAUGAACAUUUUUAAAUACCAUUUUUCAAGCAAACAAUUUUUGAAAAAAGUACAAAUUGUAAAAACAUUAACAAUUUUUGAAGUCCCAAACAUUUUUUGUAAAACUGAACAAAUAUUCAUGUCUCUGAAACAAAUUUUAAAAAAUAUGAGCAAUUUUCUCAAUUACUAACAAGUUUUAGAAAGUCAAGAACAUUUUUUGGGAUUUGCGAACAAACUUCGGAAUCAGGAACAUCCUUCUAAAUUCUAAACAGAAAAUUCAAAAUGAUGGUCAUUUUUUGAAAAUUUGAAUUUUGAAAUAAAUAUUUUUUAAAAGAAAGGAUAAAAGGGAAGAAAAAUAAAAACACAAAAAUUAAACAAAAAAAUAAAGCAAAAAAGCCACGAAAGUAAAUUUUAAAAAACCCUCCGAGAAAGUUCCCAAAAACCUCCUAGAAAACUGCUUAGCGCUGUAUAUGGACCGGCCUACUCACUCGCUCGCUUGUAUGUCCUGUUCAAGGUGUCGACAGUUUGACACAAUGUCUUGCUUGACGCGACACAGCAGCACGUCUCACCUCAAACAGCUACCAGAUUGCCCCAGCCGAGCGUGGACCAUCGGCUUUGUUUAUUUUUUUCUUUACUUUUACUUAUAUGUCGAAAUAUUAUAAAUAUACCUAUUUUGAAAAUAAAUUUACAUGCAAAUUUUCAAAAACUUUAAUCACCCAUUUCAAAAUUAUUAAACGUAUAUAGAAAAAUAUUUCGAAUGUAUAUGAAAACUGUACCGUAUGUAUGAAAAAUAAUUAGACAUAAAAUCAUAUAUAUGAAGAGGAACAAUCUUGUAUUCAAAAAAUGCUAAAAGUGUACUAAACAUAAUUUCAUGGCGUAGAAAAAAUGUACAAUGUGUAUAAAAGAUAAACAUCAAAAAGUAUAUGUUUAAGAAAUAUAAUGUAUUUAAAAAUGUUAAUUGUGUAUAUAAAAAAGUUUCUCUUGUUUCAGAAAAAUGUAUAAUGUGUACGAAAACAUAAGACAUCAAAAAUAUUUGUUUUCAGAACUGUUAAUCAUGUACUAAAAAGUAGAUAUGUUAAAAAUAUAAUGAAUUAAAACUGACAAUAGAAAUAAAAUAGAAGGACAAAGAAAAAACAGUGAAGACCUAGAAAAAAAAUCGGUGAAAAAACAAUAAAAUAUAAUGAAAACAAUAAAACCAUUGCAAACCAAGAAAGAAACAAAGGAACUCAAAACAAAUAUAGAAAACUGAAAACAAAAACAAGAAAACAAGUGAGGAAACAAAUAAAACCAAAAAGAAAGCAAAUACAAAAAAACGGGGCAAAACUAAAAGACGAGCCAAAACCAGUACAUUAUCUGAACAAAACCACAAGUGUCUUAAUCGAAACCCAACGAAUGAAAAAAGAAACUUGAAAAAUUGGCCGGCCCAAUAUCUAUACGUGUGGGGUAGUUCAUUAGGAGAGACGGACGACAUACUCAGCUAUACGCCAGAUAUAGGGUUUGCGGUAUACACACAUCUACCAAGAUAGGAGUAAGGAAAAGGGGAAAUGCGGUGUACAUCCACCUCAUAUGGGAUUUGUUUUAAAUAAUUAAUGGAAAAUUCAAAAAGGUUUGCAAGUUUUUUACAAUAAACUUAACAGUUUUUUGUACCAGUAUAUAAAUUUCCACGAGUAGGAAACUAGUGUUCAUUUCAGGGAAAAAACUAAAUUAUAGGCCACUGUUCACACUAUUUUGAUUCGCGCAAAAAAAAAGUUCACACUAUUCUGACCGAUCUUUUGUUUUUUUUAAAUGAAGUCAACGAUAUUUUUCUUUUUUUGGAUUUUUUUAACAAUGUAUUGGAAGGUCAAGUUUAUUUCAAAAAACAAAAUCGAAAAUUAUUAAUUAUUUAUUUCAUUAUUAAUAUUUUCUUAAUGUAAAAAAAUCAAAAUAAAUUUAAAAAUAUUUUCAAUCAUUUUUACCCGUAGACCAAAAGUUCCUCUCCUUAACCUUAAAAAAGGGCAGUACAAGGCCUUGCUAUUUCUAGAAAAAGGUAGUACGAUACGAUGCAGUAUAAGUUCUUUGUAGCGUACGAGGCAGGAUAAUCAACGUGAUGCAAGAGCGAGACGUUAUUGUCACCACCACCACCAUCACUAUCCUCUCCUCCUAAAUCAAGCUUUUUGGCAUGCAUGCUUGGACGAGGUCUGAGCGGCGCGGAGGCUGCCCGGCCCCUAUGUUCGCUCCGGAGCUCUCGUUCCAUGCCCCGUAGCCAUCGCUCCGGCGCUUCUUCCAUAGCUAUUUUACCUAUCGCCCCGUCGGAGAAGAAGCGAUUGGAAAUAACGAGAGGCUACGCGCGCGCGCAGUGCUUCGUACGUACGUGCCAGCAGGCCGGCGCCGCCGUCGUCGUCGUACGUCACCGACAACAUGUCUUUCACCGGCACGCAGGACAAGUGCUCGGCGUGCGAAAAGACGGUCCACUUCAUCGACCUCCUCACGGCCGACGGCGUCAUCUACCACAAGACCUGCUUCAAAUGCAGCCACUGCAAAGGGAUCCUCUCGGUACGUACGUUCUUGCAUGUUCUGGUUCAAUCAAUCCUCCAAGUCCAUGCAUUGGCAUUGAUGCAUGCACGUCCUUGAACGAGCUGUGAGAGCGUGUAUAAUAUAAUAGCGUUGUAAACUGCAUGCGUUCGUGCAUGGCCUCUAGAUGUGCAGCUAUUCUUCCAUGGACGGUGUCCUCUACUGCAAGACGCACUUCGAGCAGCUCUUCAAGGAGACAGGGAGCUUCUCAAAGAAGUUCACACCGGGUAAUGUACAAUAUGCAACCUACUACAUAUGGUUAAAGUAAUUAAGGUAUAGUAUAUCCUGAGAUUUUUGUUCUGUGUGACGCAGGUAACAAAUCUGGCGACAAGAGUGAACUGGUACGUACGUACAGCCCAGUCCCACAAACCUAGUAUUUUUCUUUCCUAAUGCAAGCUGUGCUGACUGGAUAAAUGUCUUUGCAAUGCUACAGACAAGGGCCCCAAGCAAGCUAUCCGCUGCCUUCUCCGGUACUCAGGAUAAGUGUGCAGCCUGCACGAAAACAGUGUAUCCACUCGAAAAGGUACAGAAACGCCGCACUCCAUUCAUCCUCAUCAAAGCAAUCGAUGCUAAAUGAUCAAACGACAUAAAACAUUUAUUUUCCUUGUGCUCUUAAGAAAUCAAAUGAAAUCACGCUGCUCAACUUAAUGACUGAUCGUGCUAUAUUCAGAUGACUCUGGAGGGCGAUGCAUACCACAAGAGCUGCUUCAAGUGCUCCCACGGGGGCUGCAUCCUAACCACCUCCUCCUAUGCCGCCCUCAACGGCGUCUUGUACUGCAAGAUCCAUUUCGGGCAACUGUUCAUGGAGAGAGGAAGCUACAGCCACAUGAAGAAGAAGAGCCCCUCGCAGGAGGUGUUGCCCGAUUUGGUGGCGGCGGCCGAAGGGCAACCGGAGGCAGAGGCGGCACCGCCGCAAGAUGGGGAAUAGAGAGGAAAAUUAGGAAAACACGGAACUUAUAUACACAUCACAGCCUGUAACUCAUGUUGUUACCUUUUCUACAUUGCUGCUUUAUUCCCCCCUAUUUUUUGGUUCCUCUGUGAGCUUGGUUUGUCAAGCUGUAAGUACUGUACUAAUACCUUCCUUUCUAUAUGAGACUCGUGACAACCGUGGCAAUUAACAAGUAAGACUCAUGGGAAAAACUGUAUUAAUUUUCUAAGCAAAAAUAGCUACUCCCAAGUUGGUAAAUUGUGCCUGGUCUCUGAUGGUUGGCUUGAUUAGUCAGAAUUCAAAGGACAAAAUUGGUUAGCCAUUAUGAGCCUAUGUUUGUGUUUGUUAAGGGUGUCUUCAACGGGCAACCCGCAAAUUUUCUUUCGCAUCUAUAUAUAUCAUAUAGUAAAUUCAAAUUCAAAUAUACUUCCAUCCGAUCCACACAGAACGCCGCGCGCCGGAUGGCAUGCAUCAACAUCUUGACAUCCUCCGCAAUGGCCGCAAUGUUCGCCCUCUUUUUCUCGAGCGUGGCCUUCCACUCUCCGAUCAUGGUCCUCCUCUUUUCGAGAGUGAGCUUCUUGUCCAUCACCUCCAUCAACUGUUUGAACCUCUGUGACUUCUUCUCCUCCUUGAUCUCCGAGCGCCUCACGCAUGACUCCUCCUUCUUCGUCAAGAUGUCCUCGAACUUCUCCAUCAUCUUGGCUGCCAUACUGUCUCGCUUCCCCCUCUCCUCCUCCCACUUAUCCCCACCCCCAGAGGUUUCCUCUAAACUUCUUCGGCGGUUGUUGGGUUGGGUCAGUAGGGUCACCAUUUUUUUUCUUGUUGGCUUAGACGACGGUCUUAGCAAUGAAAAGGUUCCACCUUGGUUUCCUAUUCAACUUCAACCAACAAUGCAUGACAGUGAAGGACCUCUUCUCCAAAUUCUUGUACACCACACAAGGAGAAGUAGGCUAGAAAGUGAAACAAUGUUAACAAUGCAUAUCCGUUUAGUGAGCAACAAAACAAUACAUGUCCAGCUGGUGAUCAACAAAACUAAAGCAUAUCCGGCUAGCGAUCAACUUACUUGCUCGGUGAUUUGUGCACUGCUAGGCCACCGUGCGAUGAGCUGCUUCAAGUGGCCGCAAUACUUGGACAUGGCCUCUUGGAUGGUGUCCAUCGAUGGUUGAGGGACUUCCAUUCGCGGUUGCGGAUAACCGCGUCGGUGUACGACGCGAAAUACUCUUGUUCAUGGAACCAUAUUAGAACAUUCCUCCAAAAGGUUGUGCCCUUUUGCUCAAUGCCAUGGAACGGAUCGAGGCUAGUGGCCAACCAUGUCUCGCACAUUAGCUCGUCCUCCCGCAUGUUGAAGCUUUCUCCUCUUUCCUUCUUCUUUAGAUCGUUGGUUGUAUCAUCUGGAUCAUCAUCAUCGUCGCCCUCCUCCUCCUCCUCGUUCCCAUCGGCCUGCUACUCUCCGGAGUCCCAAUGUUGUUGUUGCUCUGUGCCAUCGCCGGUCUGGGUGUACGUCUGUUGCAUGGCCCUCUGGGUGUAGGACUGUUGCUGGUAGUUGUCGGACUCGGUGGGAUCCAAGUCUUCCACCUGUCCAUCCUCAUAUCCCCCUCGCCCCUCGCCUCCAUCAUGGAUGAUGACGAGCAUCCCCGUGUCCGCGUCAUACGCCAGGUGCCCCGCUCUAGGCAUUGCAACAAAAAGCGUGUGGGCACCCAUCUGCUCCCCAGCAGCUGCGGCAACGAAACUCAUAGAAGAGGCACCACGUUUACGUCGAGGAUGUAAGGCACCAUACUAGGUGGGGUGUUGUGCUGCUUGGCGACGUAGUAGUACGGAGGCUUGUAAGACUCUGGCCAAGACAUCGUCUGUUGUGCGCCCGCCCCUCUUGUGGCGUCUGCCAUGGCCGCGUCGACCACUAAGAGAUCCACACCCAUCGCCACCAAUAGGCCCACCGGCAGCCAACUACUUCUUGAGCUUCUCCUCCUUUGCGGCCUUCGCCUUGACGUGGCAAUCCCGACGCACCGCAGAGUUGAUCUUUCGGCAAGCACGAUGCACGGAUUCUCCGGCACCUCCACCGGUGCUAACUCCGGUAAGUUCUUCGACGACUCCAUUCUUCUGCGAUAGAAGGAAGGAGAUGGUGGGAGAAAAGAGCGGGAAGUGGGCGCAGCGUGAUCGGGGGAUUAUGGUGCAGAAGUUGUGCCUUGCUACAAAAGCGCGGGCCCCUCCUUCCUUUUGGGUGGGCCAGGGGUAGAUAGUGAAGUUUCUUGUGUUUGGACUCCCGCACCCCCCAUUUCUCUCUCCGGUUUGUGAGAAAAAUCGCAUCUGGACCGCUCCGUGGACCGAUACAAGACUGCAUUGGAUGGCUUUCGCGAUGCAGACCGUUGCGGGAGGUUUGCGGGUCUUCCAUGGAGAUGCCCGAACUUCAACAAAACCCUUACUAACAUGUACUAGUACUGAAUGAACCAUAUGAAUCACCGUCGAACACUUGGGGCUAUCAGAUGGCCCCUCUAGUUGGCUCUUCCCGGCGUCGAUGACCUUUUUGAUGCUAGCGGGCAUGGCCUGAUCCACUCCUCAUAUACGAGGGCUUGUCGAUGAUGUCCAGAUCAGACUUUGUACCUGUACAACUGUCCAGGCGUGAUGAUCUAGCUUACAAUAGCAACUCAUUAAUUCAAAGUGGGGGAUGUGGUACAGGUACAUGGUGAUUUUUUCAGAAAGGACGAUGUCAUUUGGCUUUAAAUUAGUGAAGCUCUUACAACUAACAGAACAACACAACACUACAACACAAACAAAAUCAUAAAGAACAAAAGAGCGACAAGAUACAAAUGUGUUAGGUAGCAACAACAACAAAGCACCACUGACCACUUGCACCAUCGAGUGGAAACUUGGAGCAUCGCCUCGAGUCAGAGGAGCCCUCCGUCGUGAUCGAGCAGCCGGAACAAGGAACAAAGCCAACUCAAGAAGGAGACUAGCUGCCAAAGGAGGUCAUGCCAUGGCCAUCACCUCACCAAUGAGCGAACCAUCACCUCGCCAAUGAGAGAAAUAAUGUUGGCCAUCUUCAUCGCCGAAAGGAUCCCCCUACCCCCUCGUCAUGUAUCGAAGGGCACCGCACCAUGGGACAAUGAAGAUGCUCUCCCCAGAGCUAGACUAGAAACUAAUUUCAGGACAUGCAUGCCUCGUAACACCACCGCUCGGCAAAACUAGCAGACCUAGAGAGCACUAAUGCCAUGGUCCGAGUACCCUCAGCACGAAGGAGUUACCAUCCAACGACGCCAUCAACUACUAGUAAGUAGGGAGCUUGUUCAUAGACAGUUCAUCCAAGAAGGUAACGACGUCACCGUGUCACCAUCACCCGGACCGGUGAUAACCCAUAAGUAUAGGGGAUCGUUUGUAGCCCUUUUCGAUAAAUAAGAGUGUUGAACCCAACGAGGAGCUAAAGGUAGAACAAAUAUUCCCUCAAGUUCUAUUGACCACCGAUACAACUCUACGCACACUUAACGUUUGCUUUACCUAAAACAAGAAUAAAACUAGAAGUACUUAGUAGGUGUAAUAGAUAGGUUUGCAAGAUAACAAAGAACAAGUAAAUCAAAGUUAGAUGUUAUUUUGCAAGAAAAUAAAGAGAGUGGAAAUAAAAGUUAGGGUUUGUUUAGUAGAAAGCUUUUGUGUAAUGCAAGAAAAAGAUUGUCCAUAGGCAGUUGAAUAUAAUAAGAUAGAUACUUAGCAUGUGCAAUGAGGGAGAGGCACACGCUAACACACUUUCCAUACUUGGAUCAUAUGCACUUAUGAUUGGACCUCUAGCAAGCAUCCAUAACUACUAGAAAUCAUUAAGGUAAAGCCAACCAUAAUUUUAAACAUCAAGUCCUCUUUACUCCCGUACACGCACAACUCCCUUACUCGGGCGUAAAUUUCUAUCACUCUCACCACCUACUAUAAGCGAAUCAUGAACAUAUUGCAAACCCUCCAGCAUGUAUCCUUCACGUCUGUGCCCCACGGAAGGCACCUUGGGACAACACCCUAUCAACAGACAACUCAUAUCAGUAACAUCAUAUAACAAUUAACCCGUAGGACAAAAUGGAUCUACUCAAACAUCAUAGGAUAGCCACAUAUCAUUGGGAAAUAGUAUGCAGUGUUUAGCACCAUGUUUAAAUAGAGAGUUACAGUAGGAACAGAUGUGUUACACCACUGCAUAGAGGGGGAGAGAGUUGGUGUUGAUGGUGGCAAGAUUGUUUAUGUAGAUCGUCGUCACGCUCCUUGCACCGGCGGCACUCCAGCGCCAUCAAGAGAAAGGGGGGAGAGCCCCCUCCUUUUUCUUCUUCCUUGGCCUCCCCCUAGAUGGGUGGAGAGUUCCCCCUCUCGUGCAUGGCCUCCUUGGAGGCAGAGGGGCAGGAGCCCCUUCGAUAUUGGAUCUCCCUGUGUGUUCUCUUGUGUUUGGCGUUCCUAUUUUCUCGCCCUUCACGGUUUCUUAAAUUCUCGGAGAUCUGUAACUCCGAUCGGGCUGAAAUUUUUACAUAAUUUUUUCCCAUAAAUUAUCUUUCUUGUGCCCGAAUAAGAGCCCCAAUAGACUUAUGGUGUGGCCACUAGAUGGCAGGGCGUGCUAGGGGUAUGGGUCGCUCCCUACUGGGUAGUGUAGGUUCUGGGUCUCCAUUAACGUUGAUUCCACCUGCCAAAAAUCACAUAUAUUCCAAAAUAAUUCUCCGUAAAUUUUUAUCGCAUUUGGACUUCGUUUGAUAUGGAUAUUCUAUGAAAUAAAAAACAUGCAACAAACAGGAGCUAGCACGGAGCACUGGAUCAAUAUGUUAGUCCAAUAAAUCAUAUAAAAUGUUGCCAAAAUAUGUGAAAGUUGUAUAAUAUUGGCAUGGAACAAUAAAAAAUUAUAGAUAUGGUAGAGACGUAUCAACAUCCCCAAGCUUAAUUCCUGCUCCUCCUCGAGUAUGUAAAUGAUAAAAAAUAUAAAUUUUGAUCUCGAAUGCUACCUAGCAUAAUCUUAAUUAUAUAUCUAAUCAUGGCAUGAAUAUUAAGACAUGAGUGAUUCAAAGCAGUAGUUUAUAAUUUGACAAAAAUACAUCCAUACUUAGGUUUACAAGCAAACAAUUACAAGCAAAUAACGAUGCUACAGAAUACCAUCCCUACAAAAUCAUAUAGCUUGUCAUGCUUGGUCUUCCUAGCAUAAGGUAUAAAUCAUGAGCACCCCAGUUUCAAAUCAAGCAAUUGGAUCAUAAUUUUUAAUGCGCUUCAGCUAUUUAUUCCUCACUCAAUACAUGAGCAUGAACCAUGGAUAUAGCAUAAAGGUGGAAUAAUAUAUGGUGGUAGGUUUCAAAGGGGUGAAAGUGAAGAAGAAAGUCUCGCAUCAACUUGGCGUAUCAACAGGCCAUGGAGAUGCCCAUCAAUAGAUAUCAAUGCGAGGAGUAGGGAUUGUCAUGCAACAGAUGCACUAGAUCUAUAAGUGUAUGGAGAUCAAUAUGAAAACUAAGUGGGUGUGCACUAAACUCUAUAAUGAAAAAUUCCCACUAGUAUAUGGAAGUGACAACAUAGGAGACUCUCCAUAUGAAAAAUAUGGUGCUACUUUGAAGCAUAAGUGUGUAAUUAGCAUGCCCCUUUUGUCUUUUCUCUCAUUUUUUCAUUUUUUCUUGUUUUCCUUCACUUUUUUUAUGGUGGGCUCAUUUAGCCUCCCCCAUUUUUCAUUUUUCGUCCGGAGUCUCAUCCCGACUUGUGGGGAAAUCAUAGUCUCCUUCAUCCUUUCCUCAAUGGGACAAUGCUCUAAUAAUGAUGAUAAUCACACUUCUAUUUACUUACAACUCAGUAUUACAACUCGAUACCUAGAAAAAAAUAUGACUCUAUAUGAAUGCUUCUGGCAGUGUACCAUGAUGUGAAAUGAUCUAUCAUAGCACUAACAUAAAAAAUGGUCAAGCCAUGGAAAUAUCAUGCUAGUAAUCUUACGAUCAUGCAAAGCAAUAUGACAAUGAAUUCUUGAUACGUCUCCAACGUAUCUAUAAUUUUUGAUGGUUUCAUGCUAUUAUCUUGUCAAACUUUGGAUGUUUUGUAUACCUUUUAUAUCUUUUUUGGGACUAACUUAUUAACUGAGUGCCAAGUGUCAGUUCCUGUUUUUUCCGUGUUUUUGACCCUUUUCAGAGGAGGAUUUUAAACGGAGUCCAAACGGAACGAAACUUCCAAAAAGAUUUUUUCCGAAACAGAAGACGAUCGGGGAACUUGAGAACCAAGGCAGGGGGCCACCAAGGACCCCACAAGCCCCCUAGCCGCGGCCAGGGGGGGCGCGCCUCCCAGGCUUGUGGGCUCCCUGGGCCUCCUCUGCCCUAGGUCUUUCGCCUAUAAAUUCCCUAAAAUCCCUGAAAAAAUCAAGAGAUCAUCGAAAGUACUUUUCCGCCGCCGCAAGCUUCUGUCUCCGCAAGAUCCCAUCCGAGGCACGUUCUGGUGCCCUGCCAGAGGGGGGAUUCGGAUACGGAUGGCUUCUUCAUCAACACCAUGACCUCUCCGAUAAUGCGUGAGUAGUUCACCACAGACCUACGGGUCCAUAGCUAGUAGCUAGAUGGCUUCUUCUCUCUCUUGGAUCUUCAAUACAAAGUUCUCCAUGAUCUUCAUGGAGAUCUAUCCGAUGUAAUCUUCUUUUGCGGUGUGUUUGUCGAGAUCCGAUGAAUUGUGGAUUUAUGAUCAGAUUAUCUAUGAAUCUUAUUUGAGUUUCUUCUGAUCUCUCUUAUGCAUGAUUUCAUAUCCUUGUAAUUCUCUUCGAGUUGUGGGUUUUGUUUGCCUAGCUUGAUCUAUGAUUCCUGCAAUGGGAGAAGUGCUUGGUUUUGGAUUCAUACCGUGCGGUGACCUCACCCAGUGAUAGAAGCGGUAGCGAGGCACACAUCGUGUUGUUGCCAUCAAGGGUAAAAAGAUGGGGUUUUCAUCAUUGUUUUGAGUUUAUCCCUCUACAUCAUGUCAUCUUGCUUAAGGCGUUACUCUGUUCGUCAUGAACUCAAUACACUAGAUUCAUGCUGGAUAGCGGUCGACGUGUGUAGUAAUAGUAGUAGAUGCAGAAAGUAUCGGUCUACUUGUCUCGGACGUGAUGCCUAUAUGUAUGAUCAUUGCCUUAGAUAUUGUCAUGAAUUUGCGCGGAUCUAUCAAUUGCUCGACAGUAAUUUGUUCACCCACCGUAAUAUUUGUUAUUUUGAGAGAAGCCUCUAGUGAACACUAUGGCCCCCGGGUCUACUUCACACCAUAUUUUCAGCUUUACUUAUUUACUUCGUUGCACUUUUCGCCUUCAGAUCUCACUUUGCAAUCAAUCUUAAAGGGAUUGACAACCCCUUUAUAGCGUUGGGUGCAAGCUCUUUUGUGUUUGCGCAGGUACUCUAGACUUGACGAGAUUCUCCUACUGGAUUGAUACCUUGGUUCUCAAACUAAGGGAAAUACUUACUGCUCUUGUGCUGCAUCACAUUUUCCUCUUCAAGGGAAAAAACAAUGCAAGCCCAGUAUCUGUCAACGUGUCAAUUCCUGGUGCUGUUGUCUAUUGCCGUAGCAAUUCUCAAGUCAUCAAAACGGAAGCGAUGGAAGUUUCAUGGCAAUGUAUCUCAGAAUGGCUAUGAAAAUGACAUAAUAGGUAGGUAUGGUGGCUGUUUUGAGGAAGAUAUAAUAAGGAUUAUGUGUGAUAGAGAGUAUCAUAUCACGGGGUUUGGAUGCACAUGCGAAGUUUGCAUUGACUCUCGAGGUGAGAAAGGGCAAUGCAUGGCACCGUAGAGGAUUGAAAAUUGCGGAAAGGUAAGAGUGCGUAUAAUCCAUGGAUUCACAUUAGUCAUAAAGAACUCACAUACUUAUUGCAAGAUUUUAUUAGCUCUCUCUAAGCAAAGCUCUACCCGCAUGCCCGAUGGGGGAAGGUUGGGAGGAGUUAACAAUCACGCGACUCCGAUUAUAACAACACAAAGGAUUUCAAUCAAGGAUAAAUUAUGCUCCAACUUCAUCGCAUAACCACGAACUAUACAUGCAUGAUUAGGGAGUUACAAACCUUAACAUAAAUAUUCUUACUUAUCCAAAAUCAUCAACUAGUUCAUCCAUAUAUUAUUAUCUUAAUGUCGCAAAACUAUUGCAGGGAAUGAAACAUAUCAUACUCAAUGAUCUACAAGUUUUAUGUAGGAUUUUAUGACUAAACAUGUAAAUGACCAAUUCCUUUUGAAUCUCUAAAUAGGUAUAACUGAAUCAUGAGAGUUUAAUUAUUUCUACACAAUACCAUGCUCUAAUAAAUAUAAGUGAAGCAGAAGAGCAUUCUAUGAAUAACGGUUUCUAUAUGUAAAGAAACAGCAAUCCAAACUUCAAAUGAUAUAAGUGAAGCACAUGAAGCAUUCUAUAAAGCCAUACUCAAAAUAUAUAAGUGAAGUGCAACGAGAAUUAUAUAAGUAAACCAUCGACUAUCUCAUACCAGCAUGGUGCAUAAAAUAAAAGUGAAAACUAAAGGACGCUCCAAGAUUUACGCAUAUCACGUGAACGAAACGAAGACGAUAACAUGCCGAUACUUGUUGAAGAAAGAUGAGCUUAGACGCUUGAGUAUACUUGGAUAUUUACUUGGGGUGCCUUGGGAAUCCACAAUCUUGAAAUCUUGCCUCUCCUCCUUCUCCUCAUAUCGAUACCUCCUCGAUCUUCGAACACUUCAUCCACACAAAAUUUAACAGAGAACUCGUGAGAUCCGUUAGUAUAAUAAUGCGAAUUACUACCUUAAGUACUAUUGAAAACCCAUUCGUAUUUUGUUUUUUCAUUAUAGCUACUUUAAUAUAACUUCUCCAUGGCUUAUACCACCGGUACAAUCGAUAGUUUCAUCAAAACGAACAAAACAAUGCAUCAAAAACAGAAUCUGUAAAAAAAACAGGACAGUCUGUAGUAAUCUGAACAUUGAACAUACUUCUGUAACUUCAAAAAUUCCUAAAAAUUAGGAAGAAAUAAAAUAUUUUCAUAUAAUUACUGUGUAAACAUUUCUGAAACUUUUGAUGUUUCGGUAAAAAAUGUAAAUUCACGCACUACAACCAAAGUUUCUGUUUUUGCGCCGCACAUACCAACAAGCAAUCUCAUCAUCCUAAAGGAAAAUCUUGGCACAUUAUUUUUAUAAUACAAUGGAUUUGUACAAGCGGAUAAUUAUUUUUGUUAGAAACUCAUGAAAAAUUCUACAUUGUUUCCAUGAGCAUGAACACAAGUGUUCAAGGUCGUCCCUCACUUCUCCAAUGCAUAACCUUCCAAACGCUUCUCUUUUUGAAAAAAGUUUGAAGUUCCCUCUAUAUUUUUUUGUUUCUAAACUUUUUAAAAGCACUCAAUAGAAAUAAAUGACUCUCUAAAAUUUCCGGGUUGUCUCCGUGGCAGCGCUUUCUUUAAAUCCAUUAAGCUAGGCAUAAAGUGCUCAAGUAAUUGAUCCACCCGGAUCCCAAAGUAUAUCAAAGCCAAUUUUAAUUAACAAUGAGUUAUAAUUUAGUAGUGAGCCCAAAGCAACAUAUAUCAUGCAAUAGUGAAGUCUAACUCUCUUCCUAUGCAUCGGCAUGACAUAAAACAACAAUUCAUGCACAUAAAGUAAAGGCCAAUACAUAGCAUAAGCUGUUUCUUGCAAUUUUAUCGUGUCGAAAACAUAAAGAGGUGGAUAUGUAGUUCCUCUCUGAUAAUAAUUGCAAGUAUGAGCAGAAAUCACAUGCAUAUUAUAUCCAUCAAGAUCAUCAUGUGUAAUGGUAAAACGCAACCCAUCAAUAUAAUCCUUAAUAAGAGCAAACUUAUCCGAAAUAGUGUAAUUAGGAGAAUUCAAAAAGAUAAUAGGACUAUCAUGUGUGGGUAUAAUGGAAACUAUUGCAUUCUUAACAUAAGGAACUAUAGCAAGUUCAUCUUCACAAGCAUAAUUCAUAUUGGCAUCUUGUCCACAAGCAUAGCAAGCAUCAAUUUCAUCAAAAAGGGAUAUUUCAAAAGAAUCAACGGAAUUAUAACAUUCAUCCUUCGGUAAGCAUGAAGGGAAAUUAAACAAUGUAUGAGUUGAAGAGUUACUCUCAUUAGAAGGUGGGCAUGGGUAGCUAAUCCACUCUUCCUCUAUUUGUUCUUCACUCUGCUUAUCAUCUUUUUCAUCUAAUGAGCUCACAGUUUCAUUAAUUUCUUCUUCCAUAGAUUCCUGCAAAAUAUUAAUUUAUUCCAAGACAACAGAAAUUCUCUCAAUAAAUUCAUUAAUAUAGGCGUUGUAUUCAUAAUUAUCAUAGCAAUAUUUAAGUAUGGAAAAAUUUCAGAUUUGUAAAGAAUAGCAUCAUACUUUUCAAUCAAAGAAGCAAUUUCAUAAGCACCCUUAAAAGCAACGAAUUCGUCUAUUUGUUCCACACUAGAGUAAUCAUAGAAACCAUUAGCAUAAGAAGCCAAGGUUUCAUUAUCAUUAAAUUCACAUUGAAAGGGAAUGUGUGAAGUCUCCGUCUUAGAGCAACAAGUAUAAUCACACCUCAAGCAUAAAUUUCAAGCAUACCAACGCAACAUUUUAAUUUGAUCCCAUAAGUGUUUCCCUUUUUGAGUCAAGCGAUAAUCCCUAAAAUAAUCACAUUAAUACAACGCGUAUCCCAUCAUCAAGUUUAAUGGGGAAUUCUCAGGAUUAUCAAAGUAGUAUUUAAUGUUUUCCACAUAACCAUCAUCAUGGGUUUCAGGAGGUUCCACUUCUCCAGGAGUAGCAAGUACAACUAAUUGUUUUGGUGUUUUGUGUUCCAUAUCCAUAACUAAAGAUAUAAAACAACUAAUAACAGAAAAUAAAAAUUACUUAGUGAUAAACCAAACAAGCACACACCAGAAUAUUCACCCUACGCUAUUGCUCCCCCGCAACGACGCGAGAAAAGGUCUUGAUAACCCACAAACAUACGGGAUCGUUUGUAGCCCUUUUUGAUAAAUAAGAGUGUCAAACCCAGCGAGAAGAUAAAGGUAGAACAAAUAUUCCCUCAAGUUCUAUCGACCACCAAUACAACUCUACACACACUUAAUAUUUGCUUUACCUAAAACAAGAAUAAAACUAGAAGUACUUGGUAGAUGUAAUAGAUAGGUUUGCAAGAUAAUAAAGAACAAGUAAAUAAAAGUUAGGUGAUGUUUUGCAAGACAAUAAAGAGCAUGGAAAUAAAAGUUAGCGUUUGUUUAGUAAAAAUAUUUUUGUGUAACGCAAGAAAAAGAUUGUCCAUAGGCAAAUUGAAUAUAACAUGAUAGAUACUUAUCAUGCGUAAUGAGGGAGAGGCAUACUCUAACACACUAUUCGUACAUGGAUCAUAUGCACUUAUAAUUAGACCUCUAGCAAGCAUCUUCAACUACUAGAAAUCAUUAAGGUAAAUGCAACCAUAGCAUUAAGCAUCAAGUCCUCUUUGAUCCCAUACGUGCACAACUCCCUUACUCGGGUGUAAGUGUAUGUCACUCUCGCCACCCACUAUAAGAGAAUCAUGAACAUAUUGCAAAGCCUCAAGCAUGUAUCCUUUACGUGUGCGCCUCACAGAAGGCAUCUUAGGACAACAUCAUAUCAACACGCAACUCAUAUCAAUAACAUCAUAUCAUAAUUAACCCGUAGGACAAAACGGAUCUACUCAAACAUCAUAGAAUAGCCACAUAUCAUUGGAAAAUAGUAUGUAGUGUUGAGCAUCAUGUUUAAGUAAAGAGUUAGAGUAGGAAAAGAGGUGUUAAACCAAUGCAAAGAGGGGGAGAGAGUUGGUGUUGACGGCGACAAGAUUGUUGAUGUAGAUCGUCGUCACACUCCUUGCCUCGGCGACACUCCAGCGCCACUUGGAGAGAGAGAGAGGGAGAGAUCCCCUACCUCUUCUUCUUACUUGCCCCCCUAGAUGCGAGGAGAGUUCCCCCUCUAGUUCAGGGCCUACCUGGCGGGGAGGGGCAGGAGACCCUCCGAGAUUGGAUGUCCCUCUCUGUUCUCUAAUAUUUCGCGUUCCUGUUUUCUAGCCCUUCACCAUUUCUUAUAUUCUCGGAUAUCCCUAAUUCCAAUCAGGCUGAAAUUUUUACAAGAUUUUUUACCAUAAAUUAUCUUUCUUGUGCGUGAAGAAGAACUCUAACCGACUCACGAUGUGGCCACUAGAGGGAAGGGCAUGCAAGGGGGUAUGGGCCGCGCCCUGGUGGAUAGUGGAGACCGUGGGCCUCCAUUUACGUUGAUUACACCUCCCAAAAAUCACAUAUGUUCCAAAACAGUUCUCCGUAAAUUUUUAUAGUGUUUGGACUUAAUUUGAUAUGGAUAUUCUGCGAAAGAAAAAACAUGCAACAAACAGGAACCGACACUUGGCACUAAAUCAAUAUGUUAUUCCAAUAAAUCAUAUACAAUGUUGCCAAAAACAUGUGAAAGUUGUAUAUAUUUGCAUGGAACAAUUGAAAAUUAUAGAUACGACGGAGACGUAUCGACCGGCAUGCCGAACCAAGGGUUUUCACCCUAGUACAAGAUAGGGAAGGGCAACCCAUGAUGACUCCUCCAAGGAAGAAAGUGGCGCUUAGGAGCGUCGCCGACACCGGUAUCGACAUCAUCGGACGGAGCUUUCGCCCACGGACAAUGACAUCCACCAUCAAAAUCCACUAUCCAAAAAAGCAUAGCCAUCAUCUGGCGAGCAGAGGUUGCUUACUAUGACGAAGAAGAUGCCCAAAACAUGGUCGGCGACGCGUGAGCCAUCCUCCACGAAGGUACAUGUUGGUUUAAGUUUGUUGGUGCUCUGCAAGUACAUGGUCUCGAGCUCUGGAAUGAAAACUUGUGAAUUGGUUGAACAUGGAAAUGGUAGUGUUCCAAAACAUUCCAUUGUUGGAAGUAGUGUUGCGAGUUUGCUAGUGAUUCCUCUUUAGUGUGAAAACCUAAUAUCUAGUUCUCGUUAUAGCAGCGUCCGCGUGUAGUUCUAUUUUUGACUACAUCGUUAUUGAAGCACUUUCUCAUGGUCCGGAUGCCAUAUGUUGCACUUACAUAUAGAUUUGUAAGGAUAUGCUUAUGAAACUAUGUUGUCAUCGGUGUUUUGCUUCGAUGGGACUUUUGGAGGUCAUUUUUUUUUGUUCGUGUGUUUGUUGUGUGCAUUCUGACUAUGCAUAGACCGGGUGUGUGCUCAUUCUAUUUGUAUCCCCAUGAUGUGACAUUUUGAGUCAAUAAAAACACCAUUUAUUAAAAAAAUGGAACCCCAUUUAAACUUUAGGGAAACAUAUUUGAAACACAAAUAAACUUCAUUCAAACAUAAUGCGAUGGAGGUCGCAUUCACGCAAGACGUAGCAUAGAUAAGAAAAAUAGGGAAACAUGAUAUUUAACAUACACUGCACAUCCUAUAAUUCAUAUUUGUUGAAGUUCAUACAUCAGUUCCUUAUUUCCUCUUGUUUAUGGGUUCCUCUGCCGAGAUUGGUUUGUCCAGGUAUAAGUUAUGUACUAAUACCUUCCUUAAAUACGAGACUCCUCACAACUGUGGAAAUCAACUAGUAAAGCAGUAAGCCUAAUGCAUGCUAAGUAAUCUGUUUGGUAUUGUGCGCGUGGUCGGGUGGGUCCAUCUCUUGAAGCUAAUCGGCAAUGUAUGCCUCCAACCUAUACUUGUGUGUGAGAUCAUUUCCCCGCUUGACGCGGCGACGGACGAGAGGCACCCCUUGCCAUCCGAGUCAUGGCUCCAUCGAAGGCUUAAUGGCGCCUAUCUCGGGCUGACCUUUGUAGAACAAACUAAGUGUUACAGUGAGAGCAUAUUGUGUGGCUGAAAGCUGAAGAGACCAUUGACAAGUUCUUCCGUCUUCAUGCACCACAUCAUAAGAUGAAGAAUGUCAUCAACCAACAUACUAUUGGCUAGUGCAUUAUGGCCGAUGAGGCCAGCAUGACUGGGGUAGACUUUGGUCAGUUCUCUUCCUCAGGAUUGCGCACUGGGGGAGUGUGAAAUAAUACUUUACUAUCUUGACCAUCGGUUCUUUGAACUCGGGGAUCAAGACUGCUUGUUCAAUUAGAAGGAGAUCCAGGGUGUCGUUUAGCAACUACCCAUGAAUAAGGCAUCGUGCCCAAAAGGUUACAUGACUGAGUGUCACGUCCAAGAUGCGACCCUAUCCUCAAUUUGACACGAAGGCCUCGUCAGGGAUAGAAGCGCAUCUCGUCGUGUCGCAAGAAUGGAUAUCGUUACAAGUACAUGUACUGAAAAUAAGAUAUAUAUAUAUAUAUAGGCUUACACUCGCCACAAGCUACAUCAGAGUCACAUCAGUACAUUACAUAAUCAUCAAGAGUAAGAGCAGGGUCUGACUACGGACGAAAACAAACGAGAAAAGAAGAACGACGUCCAUCCUUGCUAUCCCAGGCUGCCGGCCUGGAACCCAUCCUAGAUCGACGAAGAAGAAGAAGAAGAAGUAACUCCAAAUGGACAAUCAACGCGCUCGCGUCAAGUAACCUUUACUUGUACCUGCAACUGGUGUUGUAGUAAUCUGUGAGCCAGAGGGGACUCAGCAAUCUCAUUUCCAAAGAUAUCAAGACUAGCAAAGCUUAAUGGGUGUGUUAUAGUUAAGUGGUGAGGUUGCAGCAGCGGCUAAGCAUAAAUUUGGGUGGCUAAACUUACGAGUACAAGAAAUAAGAGGGGGAAGAUCUACGCAUAACGGACGUGAACUACUGAUGAUCAAAUGAAUGAUCCUGAACACCUACCUACGUCAGACAUAACCCCACCGUGUCCUCGAUCGGAGAAGGAACUCACGAAAGAGAUAGUCACGGUUACGCACACAGUUGGCAUGUUUUAAUUAAGUUAACUUCAAGUUAUCUAGAACCGGUGUUAAACAAAGUUUCCACGUUGCCACAUAACCGCGGGCACGACUUUUCGAAAAGAUUUAACCCUGCAGGGGUGCUCCAACUAGUCCAUCACAAAUUACCACAAGCCGCAUAGAAAUCCUCAAUCACGAAGCUUGCGAUCUCGUCGGAUUCCCUAGUGGAAAACCUCAACUCUGAGAUUACCCAAAGCAUCACCGGAAUCCCGAUGCACAAGAUAUCUCGUCAAAGGUAAAACUAAUCCAGCAAGGCCGCCCGACGUGUCAACGAUCCCGAUAGGAUCCACGUAUCUCAUUUUCAAUACACGACGGAUGAGCGAUGGUUACCACGCCAAAUUCUGAGUUGCCCCGGGUAGCGUUAGUAAGCUGCUCUGUUUUGGACCAGCACCAUCAGCACUGGCCAUCCCUGUAUUAUGUGAAAUUACUCCUCGGGUUCAUGACGCCCUAUGCUUUCAGUAUUAACAAAAUUAUUAUGUUGGGCAAAUGUAGUACCAAUGUUGGGCCUUGCCAGACCAGCUUUAAUCUAAAACGAAUUAUCAAGGGGGUCCCCAUAACAACCCCGAUCGUGUUAGGAGCGCUCGUUUAUGGAACAUAACACCGGUAGCCGAAACUAAGGGGGCAAAGGUGGAACAAAACACCAGGCUAGAAAGGCCAAGCCUUCCACCUUUUACCAAGUAUAUAGGUGUAUUAAAUUAAAUAGCAUUUAAUAUGGUGAUAUGACAAGGGACCCAUGAUAUUACAUGGAAGCAACUGCACCUGCAACUAGCAACACUAACAACAUGGAUAAGCAAGCGGUAACAUAGCCAAUCAGUGGUUUGCUAGGUCGAACAGGUUGAAAGUUUCAUGGCAUUGAUGAGAGGCUGAUAUUUAACAUGUGGUAGGCAACGAGACAUAAUCGAUAGAAGCGAUAAAACUAGCAUGGCAAUGAUAGUAAUGGUAUCUCGGGAAAUGGUCAUCUUGCCUGAGAUCCCGCUGAGAAGAAGAAUGACUCCGAGAAGUCGACGAACCAACGUAGUUGAACGGGUCCUCACAUUCCGACACGCUUGCGGAAGUCUAUUGAGACGGAGGAAACCAGAAACAAGCAUCAACACAAAUAUUCACCACACGAUGCACAACAUGAUGCAUAACCUACUAUGAUGCAUGAACAGAUCAAUGAUGCAAGUGAUGGCAUGACAAUUCACCUCACACAAUCUCCACGAUUAAUUAUUUAAUUCACUCCCGUUUAUUUACACCGCAAUAUUUAAUUGUUGUUAACAUGGCAAGGGUGUAGCGAUGAUCCUACAUGUCCUAGUCGGUUAACACGUGGAGCAUAGAACGAGCUACGGCACAAGAACAUGAAACACAAGAUAACAUGCCAUGAAUACUUACAGCGUCACCACGGCAAGAAGAGAAGGAAACAAGUGUCGCCACGGCGCCCGAGAGGAUACCAUGGCGGCAAGACGGAAACGAUGCCACGGCAAUGCACCUAUCCCGAUAACUCGUCGAGAUAUCGUGCCAACAUACUGGGAACGCGUGCGGGAACGGUAAGUAAAGAUGGGGUGAUCCCGUAUAUCGGGUUCCCAUGAAUCGGGGCACGACGGAAAGAAGACAACNNNNNNNNNNNNNNNNNNNNNNNNNNNNNNNNNNNNNNNNNNNNNNNNNNNNNNNNNNNNNNNNNNNNNNNNNNNNNNNNNNNNNNNNNNNNNNNNNNNNNNNNNNNNNNNNNNNNNNNNNNNNNNNNNNNNNNNNNNNNNNNNNNNNNNNNNNNNNNNNNNNNNNNNNNNNNNNNNNNNNNNNNNNNNNNNNNNNNNNNNNNNNNNNNNNNNNNNNNNNNNNNNNNNNNNNNNNNNNNNNNNNNNNNNNNNNNNNNNNNNNNNNNNNNNNNCGACGGAAAGAAGACAACGUGCAACGGGCUAAUAUACGGCGCAUACAUACAUUCAACUCAUACAACAUGCAUUCGGUACACGACACGUCUCAUCGGUAUACCUUCGACGCGUGCGAAUCGGAGCGGUUCGGUUCGGUAAAGGGGAACAACGGUUGUCGUGGACGUCGUGGAAGUAGUUGUACUCGGGUCACGUCGAUGGUAGUCGUUCUCUUGUCGUCGGUGCACAGUCUUCGGCGUCGGUUACGGUCUUCACCUCGGUAGUCGAACACGGGUCUUCGGCGACGUCGAGGAAGUCGAACUCGUUACCGGGGUCGUCGAGGACGUCGUUGUACUCGCGAACUUGUCGACGGGCCAUGGUGGCGGGGAUGGUGCACAUGGCGACGACACGCUACACACGACAACAUCUAGCAGCAACGACGGAAUAGCAACAUAGCACGCUACGGCGACUAGCAACGCUAGCAACCUACAACGCCUAACAACCAGCAGCAAAAGCAUCAGUGCAAGCCUGCAACUAGCAAUAGCAAGCAGUACAAACGACAGCAACUAGCUAUAGCAGCAGGAACAGGAAAACGACAUCUACAACACAAGCAGCAACUAAGCAUCUAGCCUAGCAUGCACGGCAGCAGCAUCUCGCGGCAACAGCAGCUAGCAACUACAGCGGCUAAGCAAUUGCAAAAGGCACGACAAGGCAACACAUGCAAGCAUCGCGUGCAGGCAAGCACACAAGACAACCUCGCAUCGGGCAACCACUACCUAAGCAACUAUCGGCAGCCAACAAGAUCUACUAACUAGCAGCAUCUAAGCAUCUAACAACAGCAACAAAAAGCAUAGCAGCUACGCCACGCAAACUUUAGGCCAGCAAGCAACUUGCAACGGGCAACCAACAGCUACAGCGGCUAGCAGCAAAAUGCACAGCAACAGCAAAGCAACAAGUAUAGUGCAGCAGCAGCAACUCGACAGCAGCAACGGCGACAGCCACAGCAGCGGCACGCCGGCAUCUCCAAGCAGCACCGGUCAACAGCAACAGCGGUAUGGGCAGCAGCAUCGCGAUAGCGUGCACAACAACAGAUAACGGCGACGAGCAUCCGGCGUGGACCGACGAGGGGAUAGGGCGGCGCGGCGAGUUCCUUGCGGUAGGGGCUCGCGAGGGACAGCGACGCGGGGGGCCUUGGCGGCAAGCUCGGCUCGAAACAGAGCUAGGUCGACGCGCGGGGAAGAUGGCGCAGGCGGCGGGGCACGGGAGGCUAGGGAGGCCGGCGAGUGCGCGGGUGCGAGGCGCCCAGCCGCGGCGACCCAGAGGAGCGGUGCGGCGCGGCGGCUGGGAGCACGGUCAUGGCGAGGGGAUCGGGCGAGGGAGGCGCAUAGGAGGGGAUGACGGCGCUCGGGCAGGAGGGGGAACGAGAACGAGGAGCGCCUCCUCUCGCUAGGGCUAGGGCCAGCUGGAAUGCUUGGGCCUGGCGUGCCGGCUGGCUCCCUCCUCUAUUUGGGCCUUGCCUUUUUUUUUAAACAGAGAAACUCACACAAAUUAAAAAAAUGAAAGGAGUUAACAAAAAUAAAAGAAAUACCUUUGACUCCUUUAAAACAAACCCCAACUAUAAAAUAGAUUGGGCCCCUUUUAACAAAUAAAACUAAAAUCUUUUGAAGAAUAAAAUUAAACCCUUUUUACAAAAGAAUAAAAUUAAACCUUUUUUGCAAAAGAUUAAAAUCAAACCCCUUUGAAGAAUUAAAUAAAACCUCUUUAUUUAAAGAAUAAAAUAAAAGCCCUUUAAAAGAGAAAAGAAAAUGAGAGGGUUUUAAAAUAACACACAAGGAGAAAUAAAAUAAAAACCCAAGGGUUGCCCCCACAUUUAAUAAAAGGACUUUUAAAAGAAGACGCUUUUUUUAAAGGGGUUAAAACGGAAACUUAGCAAAACCACAAAAUGAAAUAAGAGGAGGGAGAGGGGGAACUACUAUCGCUCUACGACUCGGUGAUCACUCGAAGCACAACACUCAAUACACCACACGUGACAGACGAUGCAAGAUGCCAUGCAUGAUGCGACGAUGCAAACUAAAUGACGAUGCAACAAAUGAAACUAAUCACACGAUGGAAACGGAAAUAAAAGGGGGAAUCUUCUGGGGCGUCAGUCUCGGGCUGUCACAACUCUCCUACACUACAAGAGGAUCUCGCCCCGAGAUCCAAGAAUGAAAGGGGGUGAGGAUGAGAGAGACAGGAGGUAAAACUUAUUCGCUUCUUUGACAAACGAGUGAAACCAACGAUCCUUGAAAGUUACAAGGCGAUGAGGAAUGAUAUGAGAAAGAAGCAAUAAUUCACGGAAAAUUUCGGCAGCACUUCGGUAGGAAAAUGGGACAAAAAAUUCGAUAAGAAGAGAGAAUUUGACAAUAUACAUAACAAACAACUAAAUAGAACAAGGGAACACCAUGAACUUGAUAGAACAACAAGAUAGACCCAAAAGAGCAACAUCACAAAACCUCUGGAACAAGAGAAUAUGAACUAGCUCAAGCGGAAGAAUAGAAUGAAGAAAAGAAUGACAACUAUUAUCACAAUAGAAUUGAAGAGCCUGCGGACAGAGAAUUGACGUAGUAGUUGGAAAACCAACAACGAAGAACAGAUAGUAGUAGACUUAUGAAAAUCAUCUCAACAUUUAUGAGGUGACAACCAACCACUAAAAGAAACAAGGAUAGUUGAAAGCAAAGAUAUCAAAACUUCUUACACCAAGAGGGUGCAUUGAGAACUAGGAUAAAUGACAAGCACCAUGAUAGCAUAAUCCAUAGGAAAAGCUUUAGAUGAAGUCCAAACCAAGAUAGCUCAACGAAGAAAUCAUAGGUUGAAAAAUAUCUCAUGAUCAAAGAAUUCGUGGGUUUAAUUAUCUCAUUGUUGAAAGGAAAUCUCUUCGAGGGUCCUACACUCACAAGAAUGCUAUAAUACCACCUCAAAGGAUAAAGAAAGAACAAUUGCACAUAUAAAUGCAAGAGAAAGGAUAGUUGAGGUUCUCCAACAAGAAUCUUGAAGAACACUUUGAUAAAAAUCACACCCUUGAAGAAUCACCAUGACGAGCCUCCGUAUCAAAAGGAUGAUGCAAAGAUAAGAAGGAUGAAAGAAUAAGAUUGAAGCCUUGCAAGACUUUGAUGAAGCUUCACGAAGAGAAACUUGAGAAAACUUGGCGCUCCGGAAAGAAAAGAUAAGAACACUUUGAGAACAAGGAAUUGAUAUCAUGAGCCACUCUGGAAGAAGAAUUGAAAUCAUAAUGGAACAGGAAUAAGAAUUAUGUUAUGCUUAUCCUUCAUCAAUUUUAAUUCAUGACAAUCAACGGAUUAGCGUAGCACUUAUUUUUGAAAGAAUCUUGAAGAGGCAGAGAGAUAAGCACCAUUUGAGGCAAAAUUGAAGGAAGCACCGGUAAGAAUUCACAAUUAAAUGGGAACACCAUGAAUUAAUGGAGAUACAUGAGAAUGAAGAGAUCAUGAACCACCCGAGAGAAAACUAGAACAAGGCACCGAAUAACCGAGAGACGAACGAAGAAACAACAAUGGAGAAGAAUUAGAGAAUGAAAGCUACAAGCUGAGAACGAAGAAUCUUCUAAAAUGAUGGCCUUCGGAGGAACGAGAAUGAAAACAACUCAGAAAAGCACCAGAUAGCAAGAAAUGGAUUCUCAUGAUUGGAACAAAUAAGAUGACGACACCAAGCUGAAAUGAAAUCUUCAAGAGAACGGACCAAGAUUCGAGAAAACACUCCUUCAGACUACAAGCUGAGAAUGAUGACAAGAACAACACCAAGAAUUACUGAGACACUCCGGAAUAAAGAAGAAUGAAAGGUUGAGCCAAAUAUGAGAUUUAAUUCCAAUAGAUCUUGGAGAAGGGAUAUGACUGAUGAAAUUCAUACUUACGUCAUAGUUGAAAAGAAUUAGAUAUCUCCGGAAAAGAUUACAAGAGCUAAAAGAUCCUGGGAAAAACCUGUGGGUUAUGGGCCCACUCAAAGAAACCAUCGUUAGAAAAGAUUGCUUAGAAGAGAGAUAUUGCACCGGUACAAAUGAAGAGUAGAUGAGGUUGAAAACCUCGAAAUAAUGAAAGAUCUGAAAACAAGAAACUCUAAGACAUCGUCCACACACCGGAUAGAACAUAGAUGGAAGAAUAACAAGAGAGGCUGACAAGAAUCUUCAACACCGGAAAGAAUAACAAGGAUGAAUAGGAUAUAAUGAACACGGAUAGCUGAAUUGAAUUCACCGGAAAAGAUAACAAGAUGAAGAAAUGAUGAACUCGACUCAUGAGAAUAUUCACAAUGAAUUACCGGCUACAAAAAGGAAGAAGAGAUAGCGGAAGCAUCACUGUAUAAGAAGGCACUUGGAUGAAAUCCAAACACUGAAGAAAAGGGCGGGAGGGCGUGGAAAAACAAAGACAACUUGGGACAGAUGAGAUGAACUCCGGAAUAAAAGAGAGGAUGAUCUUGCAAAAUUAGAUAAGAUUGAAUUCAGUUAAAGAGAAGCAUACCGGUUGAAUGGAAUUGAUACGAUGACUCUGGUUGACAAGGAAUUGACAAGACAACUGAUUAAGCAAAAGGAUUAGCAUUCACAUGAAAAUAUGAGAAAACCUCUUGGAAAGGUAUGAAAUCACCACUUGACAUCGAAGCAAUACAAAUUUGUUGGAAGAUCGUCCUAUAAGUAACUACUUGAAUUCCUACCUAUGGAUUCCCGAAAUAUCUGGUCAUGCAAUGUGGUACACGGAUACAAGGAGUAAUAAUCACACAACUCCUAUACUAACCCGUCACUUGUAUCACAUCCGUCAACACACAACCAGAAUCUCGGACCUUCGUCUACAACAGACCCUCGUGAUGACAACGAUACAAAGUAAGGCAGUACUCCCGAACAAUCUGCACCAGUACUGGGGACGUCGGGGUUAUCUCGCCACUACUAGUAUUGAAGCAAUUACGAAUAUCCUUCGUUCUGAGAUAUUAAGAAAUCUGAAUCAUAACGAUGUUCUCAAGAAUCCCCUGGAGCUCAAUUUCCCUGAAACUCAAAGCAGAUAGGAGGCACCAAGAUAGAACUCCAUCACAUCGGCAUCAUAUAGAUUCCAAAAAUAUCCGCGUGAUCCUAAAAAAAAUUUGAGUGGGAAGAGAAGUAGAAUAAAUUAUUACGUCAAGAUUCCUCACCAGAGCAUAGAAGAGGAGAAAAAAGAAUCCUACUCUCCGAGAUAUAACUAGACUCAAAGUAUUUUUUCACUAGACUCGACUCGUCCAAGUUCGAUCAAUCAAGGGGGCUCCUAGGUCGGUACUACUCUGAUACCAACUUGUCACGCCCAAGAUGCGACCCUAUCCUCAAUUUGGCAUGAAGGCCUUGUCAGGGAUAGAAGCGCAUCUCCUCGUGUCGCAAGAAUGGAUAUCGUUACAAGUACAUGUACUGAAAAGAAGAUAUAUAUAUAUAUAUAUAUAUAGAAUUGGCUUACACUCGCCACAAGCUACAUCAGAGUCACAUCAGUACAUUACAUAAUCAUCAAGAGUAAGAGUAGGGUCCGACUACGGAAGAAUACAAACGAGAAAAGAAGAACGACGUCCAUCCUUGCUAUCCCAGGCUGCCGGCCUGGAACCCAUCCUAGAUCGGUGAAGAAGAAGAAGAAGAAGUAACUCCAAAUGAACAAUCAACGCGCUCGCGUCAAGUAACCUUUACUUGUACCUGCAACUUGUGUUGUAGUAAUCUGUGAGCCAGAGGGGACUCAACAAUCUCAUUAGACUAGCAAAGCUUAAUGGGUGCGGUAUGGUUAAGUGGUGAGGUUGCAGCAGCGGCUAAGCAUAAAUUUGGGUGGCUAAACUUACGAGUACAAGAAAUAAGAGGGGGAAGAUCUAUGCAUAACGGACGUGAACUACUGAUGAUCAAAUGAAUGAUCCUGAACACCUACGUACGUCAGACAUAACCCCACCGUGUCCUCGAUCGGAGAAGGAACUCACGAAAGAGACAGUCACGGUUACGCACACAGUUGGCAUGUUUUAAUUAAGUUAACUUCAAGUUAUCUAGAACCAGUGAUAAACAAAGUUUCCACGUUGCCACAUAACCGCAGGCACGGCUUUCCGAAAAGAUUUAACCCUGUAGGGGUGCUCCAACUAGUCCAUCACAAAUUACCACAAGCCACAUAGAAAUCCUCAAUCACGAAGCUCGUGAUCUCGUCGGAUUCCCUAGUGGAAAACCUCAACUCUGAGAUUACCCAAAGCAUCACCGGAAUCCCGAUGCACAAGAUAUCUCGUCAAAGGUAAAACUAAUCCAGCAAGGCCGCCCGGCGUGUCGACGAUCCCGAUAGGAGCCGCGUAUCUCGUUCUCAGGACAUGACGGAUGAGCGAUGGUUACCAUGCCAAACGCCGAGUUGCCCCGGGUAGCGUUAGUAAGCUGCUCUGUUUUGGACCAGCACCAUCAGCACUGGCCCUCCCUGUAUUAUGUGACAUUACUCCUCGGGUUCAUGACGCCCUAUGCUUUCAGUAUUAACAAAAUUAUUAUGUUGGGAAAAUGUAGUACCAAUGUUGGGCCUUGCCAGACCAGCUUUAAUCUAAAAUGAAUUAUCAAGGGGGUCCCCAUAAUAACCCCGAUCGUGUUAGGAGCGCUCGUUUAUGGAACAUAACACCGGUAUCCGAAACUAAGGAGGCAAAGGUGGAACAAAACACCAGGCUAGAAAGGCCGAGCCUUCCACCUUUUACCAAGUAUAUAGGUGUAUUAAAUUAAAUAGCAUUUAAUAUGGUGAUUGUUGGAAUUAUGCCCUAGAGGAAAUAAUAAAUGUAUAGUUNNNNNNNNNNNNNNNNNNNNNNNNNNNNNNNNNNNNNNNNNNNNNNNNNNNNNNNNNNNNNNNNNNNNNNNNNNNNNNNNNNNNNNNNNNNNNNNNNNNNCUUUAGUCCCGGGUCAUGGCGCCACCCGGGACUAAAGGGGUCUUUAGUCCCGGAUCGAGCCUCGAACCGGGACUAAAGAUCCACCUGUAUAAGCGGGAGUUAGAAAAUUUCGAACCCAAAUCGUCCAUUUUCUCUUCUCUUCCUCUCGUUCUCCUCCCCGGCGCGGCAAGCGACGAACUCGACGACGCCGUCAGGCUGCCCGCCGUCCUGCUCGCCGCCGCCUGCCGUCCUCCUCGCCGUCGCCGUCGUCCUGCUCGCCGCCGCCGUCCUCCUCGCCGCGCGCCGCCCUCCUCGCCGCGCGUCGCCGUCCUCCUCGCCGCGCCGUCGACACCCCCGGCCGGUAAGCCCCACGCCCCCUCCUCCCCAACACUCUGGCCAGCACAAGCAAAGAAUAAAAAGGAGAAGAAAGGAAGAAAAAGGAGAAGAAAGGAAGAAAAAGGAGAAGAAAAGAAGAAAAAGGAGAAGAAAAAGGAGAAGAAAAGAAGAAAAAGGAGAAGGAAGGAAGAAAAAGGAGAAGAAAGGAAGAAAAAGGAGAAGAAAGGAAGAAAAAGGAGAAGAAAUGAAGAAAAAGGAGAAGAANNNNNNNNNNNNNNNNNNNNNNNNNNNNNNNNNNNNNNNNNNNNNNNNNNNNNNNNNNNNNNNNNNNNNNNNNNNNNNNNNNNNNNNNNNNNNNNNNNNNAUUUAUAGGAGGAGGGGGGAGGGCUGCGCCACCCCUAGGGUUCCCUCCCUAGGGGUCGGCGGCCACCAGAUGGGAGAGGGGGCGGCGGCUAGGGUGGGAGGGGGUGUGGCGCACCACCUCGUGGGCCUAAGGCCACCUGCGCCUAGGGUUGCCCCCUCUCCCCACCACUUGCGCAUUGGGCUGGGUGUGGGAGGCGCACCAGCCCACCUAGGGGCUGGUUCCCUCCUGCACUUAGCCCAUCUAGCCUCUUGGGGUCGUUGCCCCCCUUCGGUGGUCCCGCUGGUCCCGGUACGUUACUGAUGACGCCCGAAACACUUCCGGUGUCCAAAACCAUCCGUCCUAUAUAUCAAUCUUUACCUCCGGACCAUUCCGGAGCUCCUCGUGACGUGCGGGAUCUCAUCCGAGACUCCGAACAACUUUCGGUANNNNNNNNNNNNNNNNNNNNNNNNNNNNNNNNNNNNNNNNNNNNNNNNNNNNNNNNNNNNNNNNNNNNNNNNNNNNNNNNNNNNNNNNNNNNNNNNNNNNNNNNNNNNNNNNNNNNNNNNNNNNNNNNNNNNNNNNNNNNNNNNNNNNNNNNNNNNNNNNNNNNNNNNNNNNNNNNNNNNNNNNNNNNNNNNNNNNNNNNNNNNNNNNNNNNNNNNNNNNNNNNNNNNNNNNNNNNNNNNNNNNNNNNNNNNNNNNNNNNNNNNNNNNNNNNNNNNNNNNNNNNNNNNNNNNNNNNNNNNNNNNNNNNNNNNNNNNNNNNNNNNNNNNNNNNNNNNNNNNNNNNNNNNNNNNNNNNNNNNNNNNNNNNNCCAUGGUGGCUCCCACUAUCUCCACGAUGAUCUCAUCGGAUGAACCACGAUGUCAAGGAUUCAAUCAAUCCCGUAUACGAUUCCCUUUGUCUGUUGGUAUAGAACUUGCCCGAGAUUCGAUCGUCGGUAUACCUAUACCUUGUUCAAUCUCGUUACUGGUAAGUCUCUUUACUCGUUCCGUAGCACGUCAUCGUGUGACUAACUCCUUAAUCACAUUGAGCUCAUGAUGAUGUUCUACCGAGUGGGCCCAGAGAUACCUCUCCGUCACACGGAGUGACAAAUCCCGAUCUCGAUUCGUACCAACCCAACAGACACUUUCGGAGGUACCCGUAGUGCACCUUUAUAGUCACCCAGUUACGUUNNNNNNNNNNNNNNNNNNNNNNNNNNNNNNNNNNNNNNNNNNNNNNNNNNNNNNNNNNNNNNNNNNNNNNNNNNNNNNNNNNNNNNNNNNNNNNNNNNNNNNNNNNNNNNNNNNNNNNNNNNNNNNNNNNNNNNNNNNNNNNNNNNNNNNNNNNNNNNNNNNNNNNNNNNNNNNNNNNNNNNNNNNNNNNNNNNNNNNNNNNNNNNNNNNNNNNNNNNNNNNNNNNNNNUAGAGCAUCUUUAUAGUCACCCAGUUACGUUGUGACGUUUGAUACACCCAAAGCAUUCCUACGGUAUCCGGGAGUUGCACAAUCUCACGGUCGAAGGAAAAGAUACUUGACAUUAGAAAAGCUUUAGCAUACGAACAAUACGAUCUAGUGCUAGGCNNNNNNNNNNNNNNNNNNNNNNNNNNNNNNNNNNNNNNNNNNNNNNNNNNNNNNNNNNNNNNNNNNNNNNNNNNNNNNNNNNNNNNNNNNNNNNNNNNNNCAGAGAGGAGGAGGGAGAGGAGCAGGGCUGCGCCGAGAGAGAGAUCAAACGGUGUGUCUCAAUGGCCAAAACCCCUCUCUAUUUAUAGGAGGAGGGGGAGGGCUGCGCCACCCCUAGGGUUCCCCCCCUAGGGGCCGGCGGCCACCAGAUGGGAGAGGGGGCGGCGGCUAGGGUGGGAGGGGGUGUGGCGCACCACCUCGUGGGCCUAAGGCCCACCUGCGCCUAGGGUUGCCCCCUCUCCCCACCACUUGCGCAUUGGGCUGGGUGUGGGAGGCGCACCAGCCCACCUAGGGGCUGGUUCCCUCCCGCACUUAGCCCAUCUAGCCUCUUGGGGUCGUUGCCCCCCUUCGGUGGUCCCCCGGGACCACCUCCGGUGGUCCCGCUGGUCCCGGUACGUUAUCGGUGACGCCCGAAACACUUCCAGUGUCCAAAACCAUCCGUCCUAUAUAUCAAUCUUUACCUCCGGACCAUUCCGGAGCUCCUCGUGACGUGCGGGAUCUCAUCCGGGAUUCCGAACAACUUUCGGUAACCUCGUACAACAAUUCCCUAUAACCCUAGCGUCAUCGAACCUUAAGUGUGUAGACCCUACGGGUUCGGGAGACAGGCAGACAUGACCGAGACACCUCUCUGGCCAAUAACCAUGAGCGGGGUCUGGAUACCCAUGGUGGCUCCCACUAGCUCCACGAUGAUCUCAUCGGAUGAACCACGAUGUCAAGGAUUCAAUCAAUCCCGUAUACGAUUCCCUUUGUGUGUCGGUAUAGAACUUGCCCGAGAUUCGAUCGUCGGUAUACCUAUACCUUGUUCAAUCUCGUUACCGGUAAGUCUCUUUACUCGUUCCGUAGCACGUCAUCGUGUGACCAACUCCUUAAUCACAUUGAGCUCAUGAUGAUGUUCUACCGAGUGGGCCCAGAGAUACCUCUCCGUCACACAGAGUGACAAAUCCCGAUCUCGAUUCGUACCAACCCAACAGACACUUUCGGAGGUACCCGUAGUGCACCUUUAUAGUCACCCAGUUACGUUNNNNNNNNNNNNNNNNNNNNNNNNNNNNNNNNNNNNNNNNNNNNNNNNNNNNNNNNNNNNNNNNNNNNNNNNNNNNNNNNNNNNNNNNNNNNNNNNNNNNUUAUCAUGUUUUACAUCUUAUUGCUUAAAACAACGGUAGCAUAAUAAGAUGAUCCCUCUUAAAAUUUCAAGAACGUAUUCCCCUAAGUGUGCACCGUUGCGAAGGUUCGUUGUCUCGAAGCACCACGUGAUGAUCGGGUGUGAUAGAUUCUAACGUUCGCAUACAACGGGUGUAAGCCAGAUUUACACACGCAAAACACCUAGGUUGACUUGACGAGCUUAGCAUGUACAUACAUGACCUCGAAUACAAGAGACCGAAAGGUCGAACAUGAGUCGUAUGGUUGAAUACGAUCAGCAUGGAGUUGCUCACCAUGGUGACUAGUCUGUCUCACGUGAUGAUCGGACACGGGUUAGUCAACAUGGAUCAUGUAUCACUUAGAUGACUAGAGGGAUGUCGAUUUAAGUGGGAGUUCAUACUUAAUUUGAUUAAAUGGACUUUAUUGUCAUGAACUUAGUCUAAAAGUUGUCUUUAUAAAUAUUGUAGAUGUCCAACGUCAACCUCAAUUUCAACGCAUUCCUAGAGAAAAACAAGCUGAAAGAUGAUGGUAGCAACUAUGCGGACUGGGUUCGCAACUUGAAGCUCAUCCUUGAAGCAGCUAAAAAGGCUUAUGUCCUUAAUGCGCCGCUAGGUGACCCUCCCGCUCCCGCAGCAGCCCAGGACAUUCUGAACGUCUGGCAAGCGCGGAGUGAUGACUACUCUCUGGUUACGUGUGGCAUGUUAUACAGUUUGGAAACGGGGCUCCAAAGGCGUUUUGAGCAACACGGGGCAUAUGAGAUGUUCCAGGAGCUGAAGCUAGUUUUUCAAGCUCAUGCCCGUGUCGAGAGAUAUGAAGUCUCCGACAAGUUCUUUAGCUGUAAGAUGGAGGAGAACAGUUCUGUCAGUGAGCACAUACUCAAGAUGUCUGGGUUACACGGUCGUCUGACUUCACUUGGAGUCGAACUUCCAGAUGAUGCUAUAAUUGACAGAAUCCUCCAGUCUCUCCCACCAAGCUACAAAGGCUUUGUGCUUAACUACAACAUGCAAGGUAUGGAGAAGACCAUUCCCGAGUUGUACUCGAUGCUCAAGUCUACAGAAGUAGAAAUCAAGAAAGAGCAUCAAGUGUUGAUGGUCAACAAGACCACUAGUUUCAAGAAAGGCAAGGGUAAGAAGAACUUCAAGAAAGAUGGCAAAGCUGUUACCUUGCCCGGUAAGCCAGAUGCCGGGAAGAAGAAAAAGAACGGACCCAAACCUGAGACUGAGUGCUUCUAUUGCAAGGGAAAGGGUCACUGGAAGCGGAACUGCCCCAAAUACUUAGCGGACAAGAAGGCCGGCGACGUUAAAGGUAUAUGUGAUAUACAUGUUAUUGAGGUGUACCUUACCAGCGCUCGUAGUAGCUCCUGGAUAUUUGAUACCGGUGUUGUUGCUCACAUUUGCAACUCAAAGCAGGAAUUGCGGAAUAAGCGGAGACUGGCCAAGGACGAGGUGACGAUGCGCGUCGGGAAUGGUUCAAAAGUCGAUGUGAUCGCCGUCGGCACGCUACCUCUACAUCUACCGUCGGGAUUAGUUUUAAACCUUAAUAAUUGUUAUUUAGUACUAGCUUUAAGCAUGAACAUUGUAUCAGGGUCUUGCUUAAUGCGAGACGGCUACUCAUUUAAGUCAGAGAAUAAUGGUUGUUCUAUUUAUAUGAGUGAUAUGUUUUAUGGUCAUGCUCCGCUGGUGAAUGGUUUAUUCUUGAUGAAUCUCGAUCAUGAUGUUACACAUAUUCAUAGUGUGAGUACCAAAAGAUGCAAAGUUGAUAAUGAUAGUCCCACAUACUUGUGGCACUGCCGCCUUGGUCAUAUCGGCGUUAAGCGCAUGAAGAAGCUCCAUACUGAUGGACUAUUAGAGUCUCUUGACUUUGAAUCAUUUGACACAUGCGAACCGUGCCUCAUGGGCAAGAUUACUAAGAAUCCAUUCUCGGGAAUAAUGGAGAGAGCAACCGACUUAUUGGAAAUAAUACAUACUGAUGUGUGUGGUCCAAUGAACGUUGAAGCUCGUGGUGGUUAUCGUUAUGUUCUCACCCUCACCGAUGAUUUGAGUAGGUAUGGGUAUAUCUAUUUGAUGAAGCACAAAUCUGAGACGUUUGAAAAGUUCAAGGAAUUUCAGAGUGAGGUUGAGAAUCAACGUGACAGAAAAAUUAAAUGACUACGAUCUGAUCGUGGAGGUGAAUAUUUGAGUCACGAGUUUGGCACACGCCUAAGGAAGUGUGGAAUCGUUUCACAACUGACGCCGCCAGGCACACCGCAGCGCAACGGAGUGUCUAAACGUCGUAGUCGCACUUUAUUAGAUAUGGUACGAUCUAUGAUGUCUCUCACCGACUUACCGCUAUCAUUUUGGGGAUACGCACUAGAAACUGCAGCAUUCACUUUAAAUAGGGCACCGUCUAAAUCCGUUGAGACGACACCGUAUGAACUAUGGUUUGGCAAGAAACCUAAGUUGUCGUUUCUUAAAGUUUGGGGCUACGAUGCUUAUGUGAAGAAACUUCAACCAGAAAAGCUCGAACCCAAAGCGGAGAAAUGCGUAUUCAUAGGAUACCCUAAGAAAACUAUUGGGUAUACCUUCUAUCUUAGAUCCGAAGGUAAAACCUUUGUUGCCAAGAACGGAUCCUUUCUAGAGAAAGAGUUUCUCUCGAAAGAAGUAAGUGGGAGGAAGGUAGAACUUGAUGAGGUAAUUACACCCCCUCUCGAACAGGAUAGUAGCGCAGCGCGGGAAGUUGUUCCUGUGGCGCCUACACCGACUGAAGAGGAAGUUAAUGAUGAUGAUCAUGAAGCUUCGGAUCAAGUUACUACUGAACCACGAAGGUCCACAAGGGCACGCUCCGCGCCAGAGUGGUACGGCAACCCUGUGAUGGAAAUCAUGUUGUUAGACAACGGUGAACCUUCGAACUAUGAAGAAGCGAUGGCGGGCCCGGAUUCCAACAAAUGGCUUGAGGCUAUGAAAUCCGAGAUAGGAUCCAUGUAUGAGAACAAAGUAUGGACUUUGGUGGACUUGCCCGAUGACCGGCGAGCCACAGAAAAUAAAUGGAUCUUCAAGAAGAAGACUGAUGCAAAUGGUAAUAUAACCGUUUACAAAGCUCGACUUGUCGCAAAGGGUUUUCGACAAAUUCAAGGAGUUGACUACGAAGAGACUUUCUCUCCCGUAGCGAAGCUGAAAUCAGUCCGAAUCAUGUUAGCAAUUGCCGCCUUUUAUGAUUAUGAAAUUUGGCAAAUGGACGUCAAAACAGCGUUCCUUAACGGGAACCUUAAAGAAGAGUUGUAUAUGAUGCAACCAGAAGGUUUUGUCGACCCUAAGGGUGCUAACAAAGUGUGCAAGCUCCAGCACUCCAUCUAUGGGCUGGUGCAAGCAUCUUGAAGUUGGAACAUUCGCUUUAAUGAGGUGAUUAAAGCGUUUGGGUUCAUACAGGUUUACGGAGAAGCCUGUCUGUACAAGAAAGUGAGUGGGAGCUCUGUAGCUUUCGUCAUACUGUAUGUGGAUGACAUAUUAUUGAUGGGGAAUAAUAUAGAGAUGUUGGAGAGCAUAAAAGCCUAUUUGAACAAGAGUUUUUCAAUGAAGGACCUUGGAGAAGCUGCAUACAUAUUAGGCAUCAAGAUCUAUAGAGAUAGAUCAAGACGCCUCAUAGGUCUUUCGCAAAGUACAUACCUUGACAAGAUAUUGAAGAAGUUCAAUAUGGAAAACUCGAAGAAAGGGUUCUUGCCAGUUUUGCAAGGUAUGAGAUUGAGUAAGACUCAGUCGCCGACCACGGCAGCAGAUAGAGAGAAGAUGAGUUCUGUCCCCUACGCUUCAGCCGUGGGCUCUCUAAUGUAUGUCAUGCUGUGUACCAGACCUGAUAUAAACCUUGCCAUAAGUUUGGUAGGGAGGUACCAAAGUGAUCCCGGCAUGGAACACUGGACAGCGGUCAAGAAUGUCCUUAAGUACCUGAAAAGGACUAAGGAAAUGUUUCUCGUUUAUGGAGGUGACGAAGAGCUCGUCGUAAAGGGUUACGUCGACGCUAGCUUCGACACAGAUCCGGAUGACUCAAAGUCACAAACCGGAUACGUAUAUGUGUUGAAUGGUGGGGCAGUGAGCUGGUGCAGCAGCAAGCAAGAAGUCGUGGCAGCAUCUACAUGUGAAGCGGAGUACAUAGCUGCUUCAGAAGCGGCUCAUGAAGGAAUUUGGAUGAAGGAGCUCAUCACCGACCUUGGAGUGGUUCCAAGUGCGUCGGGUCCUAUGACACUCUUCUGUGAUAACACUGGAGCCAUUGCCAUAGCCAAGGAGCCCAGGAUUCACCGGAAGACGAAGCACAUCAAACGCCGCUACAACUCCAUCCAGGACCAUGUCCAGAGUGGAGUGAUAGAUAUUUGUAAAGUACACACGGAUCUGAAUAUUGCAGACCCGUUGACUAAACCUCUUCCACGAGCAAAACAUGAUCAACACCAUAAUGCUAUGGGUGUUCGAUACAUCACAAUGUAACUAGAUUAUUGACUCUAGUGCAAGUGGGAGACUGUUCGAAAUAUGCCCUAGAGGCAAUAAUAAAAUGGUUAUUAUCAUAUUUCCUUGUUCAUGAUAAUCGUCUAUUGUUCAUGCUAUAAUUGUAUUAACAGGAAACAGUAAUACAUGUGUGGAUAAAUAGAUCACAAUGUGUCCCUAGCAAGCCUCUAGUUGGCUAGCUCGUUAGUCAAUAGAUGAUCAUGGUUUCCUGAUCAUGGACAUUGGAUGUCAUUGAUAACGGGAUCACAUCAUUGGGAGAAUGAUGUGAUGGACAAGACCCAAUCCUAAGCCUAGCACUAGAUCGUAUUGUUCGUAUGCUAAAGCUUUUCUAAUGUCAAGUAUCUUUUCCUUCGACCGUGAGAUUGUGCAACUCCCGGAUACCGUAGGAAUGCUUUGGGUGUAUCAAACGUCACAACGUAACUGGGUGACUAUAAAGGUGCACUACGGGUACCUCCGAAAGUGUCUGUUGGGUUGGUACGAAUCGAGAUCGGGAUUUGUCACUCCGUGUGACGGAGAGGUAUCUCUGGGCCCACUCGGUAGAACAUCAUCAUGAGCUCAAUGUGAUUAAGGAGUUAGUCACACGAUGACGUGCUACGGAACGAGUAAAGAGACUUACCAGUAACGAGAUUGAACAAGGUAUAGGUAUACCGACGAUCGAAUCUCGGGCAAGUUCUAUACCAACAGACAAAGGGAAUCGUAUACGGGAUUGAUUGAAUCCUUGACAUCGUGGUUCAUCCGAUGAGAUCAUCGUGGAGAUAGUGGGAGCCACCAUGGGUAUCCAGACCCCGCUCAUGGUUAUUGGCCAGAGAGGUGUCUCGGUCAUGUCUGCCUGUCUCCCGAACCCGUAGGGUCUACACACUUAAGGUUCGAUGACGCUAGGGUUAUAGGGAAUUGUUGUACGAGGUUACCGAAAGUUGUUCGGAGUCUCGGAUGAGAUCCCGCACGUCACGAGGAGCUCCGGAAUGGUCCGGAGGUAAAGAUUGAUAUAUAGGACGGAUGGUUUUGGACACCGGAAGUGUUUCGGGCGUCAUCAGUAACGUACCGGGACCAGCGGGACCACCGAAGGGGGGCAACGACCCCAAGAGGCUAGAUGGGCUAAGUGCAGGAGGGAACCAGCCCCUAGGUGGGCUGGUGCGCCUCCCACACCCAGCCCAAUGCGCAAGUGGUGGGGAGAGGGGGCAACCCUAGGCGCAGGUGGCCUUAGGCCCACGAGGUGGUGCGCCACACCCCCUCCCACCCUAGCCGCCGCCCCCUCUCCCAUCUGGUGGCCGCCGACCCCUAGGGAGGGAACCCUAGGGGUGGCGCAGCCCUCCCCCCUCCUCCUAUAAAUAGAGAGGGGUUUUGGCCAUUGAGACACACCGUUUGAUCUCUCUCUCGGCGCAGCCCUGCUCCUCUCCCUCCUCCUCUCUGCCGGCGCUUGGCGAAGCCCUGUCGGGAGACCUCGUCUCUCCAUCGACACCACGCCGUCGUGUUGCUGGAGUUCUUCUCCAGCCUCUCCCUCCUCCUUGCUGGAUCAAGGUGCGGGAGACGUCACCGGGCUGCACGUGUGUUGAACGCGGAGGUGCCGUAGUUCGGCACUAGAUCGGAAUCGCUGCGAGUACGACUCCAUCAACCGCGUUCUAGCAACGCUUCCGCUUAGCGAUCUUCAAAGGUAUGAAGAUGCUCUUACCCCUCUCUCGUUGCUGGUCUCUCCAUAGGAAGAUCUGAAUAUGCGUAGGAAAAUUUUGAAUUUAUGCUACGUUACCCGACAAAAUUAUCGCAGGAACAUCCUAGAAAGUGUAUUGAAUUCAUUGUCUUCUUUGUUGAAAGGUGUACUGAGGUCACUGUCUUUUUUGGUGCUUCUGUUGGAUAGCUUAUAAGCACUACAUGCUAGGUGGUAGAAGAACAACUCAAGCAAUUUCGAAGAGAUGUGUUACUUGGUGCAUUCUAACUCUAAACUUUUUUCUAAUUUUCCUUUUCUUACUGAAGACUACUUCCCACACAUGCAGCAAUGUGAAGGUAUAUUCAAAUGUAUGUUUCCGGGGUAAGUCAUAUACAUGUUUACUGCUAAUUAUUACGACGCCCUUCCUUUUUUGCUGAAAUUUCGCAAUAGUUCCUCUCUACUUCCCUCUGUGCAAAUGUUCCAUGUAGAUUUCACAUAAAGAUCAUGCACUAUGAAUGCGUAAAUAGAUUAUUAUAGAGUUUUACCUUUCGUAUGAUCGACUGCAGAUCAUAGAAACUGAGAACAGUGUUCCUAAAAUUAUGAGCAUUUUGGGCACUUUGAGAUCAGGAUUGAACUUAGUGAACAUUGCUCAUUUUAUUUUCUUGGUUACACUUAUGAGGUCCAUGGUGUCACAAAUCUACUCAAAUUUCACAAAGAUACAGGUGUAACAGCUAUUACUAUUGUGCAUUGAUCUAAUUUUCCGUGAUACAUCUGUGUUUGUCAGGAAAUGACAAUUUUAUCAUCCACUCAAUGCAGCUCAUGUUCUUCCAUCUCCUCUUCAGCAUCAGAUUUGCACACAUCUUAUACUGGACUAUUACUCAAGAUGCCCGAAGAUAUUAGUUUGUAAUAAAUCAGUGGUUCCAUGGGUAAAUGCCGACAUAAUCAUAUAAUUAAUUCCAUUAUUUUUCUGUUUUUCAGAAUUUGAUUGAUAUAAGUAGGAGGAUCAGUCAUACUGAUGUCUGUACCAAUAAACAUAACCAGAUAAUCCUCUAAUCUGAUUGUUGUUAUGUUGUCUGAAAUGUGAUUUAUAUGAAGGGGGUCAAUCAUACUGAGGUAUGUAACAUUACAAGUCAUGUAUCAUUCAGAAGUAUUGUUGUAAAAGAAGAAUCAUACAUUCAUAAUUUUGUUGAACCUUUUUGGAGAGUCAUUUUACCGAGUGAAGCAAUAAUUUUAGGCAAUAUUUUCCGCAGCACGGGGAAUUAUCUAGUUAUGUAUAACCUAGCUUCUUUUGUAAUCUCUAUAGAGAAAAACAAACAAAUAUAAUGAAUGGAGCAAGUUAGUUAAAGUUGAAAAGAAAAAUAAUUUUGGUGUUGGCAUGAGGAUUGAAGUGAUGAAGAUCCUACCAAUAACUUCUGAAAAAUUGGUCCUGAAAAAUGGUUACAAAUUCUCUAGCUCCAGAAUCAUGGGAAUAAACAUGGUGUUUUGACUUUUGAGUGUAGAUUUUGGGCACAUGGUCAAAGGAAAAAAACAAACCAACCAUGUAUAUCAUGCUAAUUAGGUACACUCCACAUGACGGGUUGGCUAGAGCGACAUGUCAUCGGCAUGUUCAGGAGGAUGAAAAUAUAGUCGACCCCAGAGACUCCUAUUUGUAACCAUUUAUUUUGUAGUAGUAGUAGAAGGAGAAUGGCGUUUUGGCUCACGGGAGGCAUGGAGGCCGAAAUAUUUGAAAAAUUCAAAUUUGAAAAUUUUAGUUUCAAAAAAUCUGAAAGAAAUAUAUAACUAAAUAAGGAUGUGAUUCGUGUGCGUGUAAAAUUUCAGGUCGAAAUACUUUGAAAUGCGAACUGUACAAAAGAGACAAAUUCAUGGUCCAAAAUGAUAAAUAGUAACAUCUGUUAAAAGGUUUCAGAUUUGUCUUUUUUGCACAGCCCUUAUUUCAACGUAUUUUGUUCUGAAAAUUUACACACUUGUGUAUUAUACCUUCAUCUAUCUAUGUAUUUUUUUUAGAAUUUUUUGAAAUAUUAAAUACGAAUUUUCACUGAAUUUGAAGUUUGAAUUUAAAGGCCUCCAGUGAGCUCGGGAGCCAAAAGCAAUAUUCGUAGUAGAAGCGUAUAUAUUGUUGGUUUCGUUAACAGAUUUAAUUGCUAUUUUGCUCGAAAAAAAUCUAAAAGAGAUGUGACUUCAACGUUCAUGCUUAUUUGAUUGAACUAAAGAGGGUUAGAGGGCACAGUAAGCCCAACGAUUUGCAUUCCUAGUACGGGCUCCAAAAUUCAAUAAUACACAUUAGACAGGGGAUGCCUUAAGUUUGUCAGAAAAAGAAUAUUUCUUCUUUACAAAAAUAAGUGACUCAACUUCAUAGAAGGGAGUAAUACGGUGAAACGAAUUUGCAGAGUUAUUUAAAUCUGCAGAAAUACUCCUUUAUGCAUAUUAUAUGUGUAAAUAAAACGUCGGCGUUUUCAAUAAAGGUCUACGUAAGGCAUGUCCAGUGACCUAGGUAAAGGGUGGAUAUAGCUUUUACACCAUAUACAAGAAAAGCUAAAAAAUAAAACAAAAAAAUGUAUAUAUAGAAUAGCACCGCUGGCUCACCUUGGUCCAAUGGGCUAGGUCCGCCACUCGGCAUGUCAUAUCGCCACCUACCACAUAGUUACAUAAUGCACAUAUAAUUCUCAUUCCAGAAACUAAGCAUUUUCCGUGGACCGCCAGCAAAUUGGAGUUAACUACCACCAAGUGGUUUACAAAACGCAGCCUCCGGUCGGAAGUUUCUUAGCUGUCCUUGUUAAUUAUUGAGCUCCAUCUCUCCCUUUGCUUGACUCCAUCAAAGUCUAUGCAGUUGUUAUUUGAUACUCCGUCCAGUAGAAAGGCUCGUCUUUUAUUGUGCACGUAGUAACAGUAUGUCACCUUCCCUACAAGGAGAACUAAAUCCGUCACAGUCGUACAUCAUGAGCCUGGCUCUGGCUGGGUUUGGAAUCUUCUAUCCGAGCAAACAAAACGGUGGUAUGCGCGCGAUCGCGAGAGGGGCGAGCAAAGGGUCACGUCAGCGCGCAGAAGCCAAAAACAAGCGCAGCCCAUCACCCCGUCUCCAUGCAUGCAUGCAUGAUCACGAUGCGUCUGUCCACGCGCGCCACGCACGACCUAUAUAUUCCCAAACGAUGAUGGUGACGACGCUUUGUUCAUCUAGCACAGCACGCAGUGGUAACUGGUAAGACCUACUCGCUCCGUAUUUAAAGUUCUCUCUAACCAAAAUUAUUUAGAUACAGAGAGAGAGUAUUUCAUGGGUUCAUACACGGUUACAUCACAUUGCAGUCCCCGUAACAGAGGGACAGGUCGCAACUUGCAAGAGAACGAAGGAACCUCGAGGAUUUAACAACGCGCACGCGGGAGGGCAGCGCCGGAAGCUGAGGCCCGCGGACGCCGAUGCACCCGUCAUUUGCCAUUGACCCCGCUCCGGCGCGUCGGCGCAGAUCGGGAUCGCCAUAUUUCCGCGGCCACGCGGCUGGCCUGAGAACCCCAGCGCACUGGCCAAACGAAGCACACCGGAUCGGCGUUCGACAUAGAAAAUGCACUAGCAUCCCAUAUCCCAGAGUUUGAUGGCAAAAAAAGAAUUAUAUCCCCAAGCUUAAAGUAAACGGGGUGGUCGAGCUAGCCAGCGGUGCAAGAGCGUUGAGCCUGAAACACGCGGAGAUCGAUCGGUCGGUCCGGUGGCCGGCUGAGGGGCGCGAGGCAGCGUGUGGGACGACGCAAGGGCAGGCCCUGGGUACUACUGAAAGUCAAUUAUAUCGACAAACAUGCAUGCUCCUCGUGCAAGGAUGCUAAUGACGAUCGUUUUUUGUCUCUUGUGUUGUAUAUUGCCGUUAGUUGAUGUUUAAGAAUCACAGGAUUAAAACGUAAGCUUUUCCUUGGUCCUUCUCGCACACGCGAGACCUGGCCGAUCAUUGCUUGUAAGACCAUUUAUAGCCGGAUUUGAUUAAACCAACUCCGGGCGCGUCUGCUGAAUCGCUUAUCUGUAUUUGGAUACCUCAUAUGGUAAAUCUUAGAUCUAUAUUCUUUUCGAAAAAACAUGGAAACGUACUACGUAGAUCAGAUAACUAAAAGGGCAGCGCUAGGCGUCAUCCGGCUGAUUUCACGAGAGGAUCAGCCGGGUCUGCCACCGUCCGAUGCGACAGGAUCUAACGUCUGGCAGCGUUUCUCUAAACGCGCGAGUUUAUUUUACUUGGGCCCUUCACAGCCGGCUAUGCAUGGGUGGGUACCUGCUGCUGCUUCCGUCGCUUUUAUUUUUCUAUAGUCUAGCUUACUCAAAGCUUCUAUGCUGACGUUUUUGAGCAAUUUUUCAGUCACGACAGAGCACACAUGUUUCCGUGGUGUUGCUUAAUACAUUUUGUGUACAGAUUGGAAUAUGAAUAAAAUAUCUCGGUUGUAUUUCCAUAAUAAAAUCUACCAGCCUUUGAGAUAAAACUUUUGAAGAACACAAGGUAGACUAUUUUAAUUUUUUAAAUAAAAUUAUAAUAUCAUUUCCUUGAACGGUAACACCAUUUUAGCAACAAAAUAAACGAAAAGUUGGAAGUCGGCCAACCGGUUUUGUAGUGGGAAAAGACAACAUCGGGCAACAAUAGUGUCCGACCUUGCAACAUUGUGUGUCUAGCUUCCAAUGACAUCGGUUGGCCUCGGGGAAAAAAUUCAGUCAACUUACAACGUCAUACUUUCGACUUGCCAUGUCAAGCGCUAGGUUUGUAGCAAUACCAAUCGGCCUUGUGGUGUCGCAAAGUUUUGCAACAUAGUGGUUAGGCUUUUUUCAUAGGAAAAAACAACAACAACGAGACUUGCAGCAUCGCAACAUAGGCCAACCUUGCUUUCCACGAUUUAAUAGCACGUUUCUCUAGCUUCUCAACAAAAAUAAAAUUGGUGUACAUAUUUAUAGCGUCGAGUACCUGUCAUGUACUAUCAUUGUUACUGUUUAGAGCAUGGCUCACAACAUCGGUGACGCUGCCGCAACACCUAUUCAUGGCACCGAGCCUGCCCACACACGUCAUGCCUCGCGACACUUGCCGGUACCAUGACGACGCUCUUCUGCACCACGGCGAUGCGCGUCGCAGCACCAUGGACGCUCCCACGACAUGUCGACGCUCUCAUAGCACGGUGACACGUCUCGUAACAUAAUUGCUCCUAUGACACGUACGAUGACGCUUUCGUAACACAACAAUGUGCCUCCCAACAUCGACUCACAACAUUGUUGAUGCCCCCGCAACAUCGCGUGUUGCGCUCGGAGUUGCAACACGAGCCAUGUUCUUUUGCCAUAUUUUACUUCAUUUGGAACAUGAGCCAUCGUAUGCCCGCGCAACAUGAUUCAUGUUGCGCUCAAUGGUUGCAACAUGAUUCAUGUUGCGCUAAUAAAAAUUUAUUGUAAGUUGCAAUAUGGUCCAUGUUGUGAAGCCCCUUUGCAACAAGGAUGUUGUUGCAAAGCCGCUUCGCAAUGUGGAAGACGUACGAAGCCACAACAUAGAUGAAAUUCUAAAGCUUGGGGAGGAUGGAGGAGGAGGGAGAGGUUGGGCAACAAGCUUGGGGAGAUAAAAUGACACCGACAGUCGGCGAUCCAUCACGGGGGCGACGGUUGGCAACACCUGAUGGUUAUUUUCAUCCAAUUAUCGUGGAUGGUGGCUAGCCCCUGCAAUGUUGCGUGUUCUUCUUGUGUCGUAUGUGACAAUUUUGUAGUAGCGACGCCCGAUCCUUAUAGAGACACGCGACCGAUUUGUAACGGCACCCAAUCCUUGUUGCAACACGUACCGAGUUGCAGCGACCCCCGGAUUGCAACAACAUGGCAACAUUUUUUUUGAAGCACUGGCGGACCCUUUUGAGCGAUCUCGUAAGAGCAUGGUUAAUGGUACAACCAGCUGCUGACUAUAUGAUGUUGACACGUCAUUUAUAACCAAGCUUAUAGCUGGCAAAUACAAUAAAUAGAUGCAAAUAAGUAUUAUUUUAUGGGAAAUGAUGCUAAUCAUCCGGCGGAUCGGACAUUUUCCAUCCGCCUCCUCGUGCGCACGACACGUGUCCCGUGCGCUGGGCCGCAAAUAUGAAGUCAAUGGCGGGCGGUGCGGGUGAGAAUCUAGAUUGCAACGUCAUUAUUUUUUUCCUGAAACAUUACAUGUGUUGCAAAACUUAUUUCCGCAACAACACAUGUGUUGCAAAAAAGAGAAAAUUGGGGAAAAAAUCUGCAAUAUGACUUUUUGUUGCAAAAAAAUUAUCUAUUGUUGCAGAAAAAAAAUCUACAACAAACACUUAGUUGCAAAAAUAUUUAUGCAACAAGACUUUUGUUGUAGAGAAAGAAUUCUACAUAUAUUUCCGCAACACGAUCUUUUGCCGUGGAAAAUAUUAUAUAACAAGGAAAACUCUUCCCAUCAGCUGGUCGAUUUCUACGAUCACAUAGUGCAAGUAGGGCGUAAUGACGAGUUUCUGCAACUUCGUCUUUGUUUCAAAAAAUUGGAACAAAAUCUUUUGUUGCAAAAAAUUUCUACAGCCUGACUUACGUUGCAAAAGUUUUUUUCAACAUGACCUUUGUUGCAAAAAAUUCUGCAACACGAUCCUUGUUGCAGAAAAUAUUUUAUAACAAAAUCUAUCGUAAAAAAAUAUACGGACGUUUUCGCAACAUGCUUUUUUGUUGCAAAAAAAUUGCAACAUAAUCUAUGUUGCAAAAGACUCGUCGGUCAUUUUUUAACUCAUCAGCCAGACGAGGUAGCAGUGUGCUUAUUUCCGCAACUGAAGCGUUGUUUCAGGAUUUUGUAUGGUGGACGGAUGCGACCGAACUGGUGAUCAAACGGUGAACGCGUAUGCAUCGGACGGUUAAAAAAGUGGUGGAUGGUUUCUACAAAUCCAUCGGCAGAUCUCACAAAGUUUCUAGAAACACGUGUUAUAACCGGCUGUUAAUUUGUAGCCCGUUUCUCCUCUUCUCUCUUUUCCAACUCAUUACAAAUAUAUUAUUUUAAUUCUUACAACCCGUCUACGUUAUGCUAUCGCACUUGCUCUGAGCUCACUAGCUAGUGCUUUCUGAAAACAAGAUAGGGUACUCCUUUAUGCAUGAGCGAGUUGACACUAAAAAUGUGUGAAAGCCAACAGCUAGUUGUGCACACAAGCCUAGGUGACCACUCAUCGAAGAUAGACAAACCUGGCAACACUGUGCGCCGCGGUAUAGUAGUAUUAGGCUUGGCUGAUCACACAGCGGAGUGUUCGGACAAUCCGACGGUCUAGCGCGCGGCGGACGCCGGCGCUAAAAUCAGUCGGAUGAUUUCAAGACUUUUCCUAACUAAAAUAUCCUAGUCCUAGUAGGAGAUAUGUGUGCCACGCUCGAGGUACAUGGGCAACAGCGACAACUCCGAUUCCUCUGGCUGCUCCACCUCCGACUGCUCUGCCUCCGCCUCCAUUUCGAUUUUGGUGAAAAGCUAGUGGUCGCUCUCGUGCUGAAGAACUGCCGGUUUGCCACCACAUAGACCUCAUCCUGGAUGGACUUCGGAAUGGCGUAAUGCUCCCUCAUCUUAGCCGUUUGGGCAACCGCGAACUCCGCUUCCGCCUCCUCCAUGUUGUAGCCCAAAGUUGGAGCCAACACUACUCCUCCUUGUACUCCUUCCCCCAGCUCCUCCUCCUACAUUGGAACCGGAUGCCGCUCCUCCCCGUCUGUCCCUCCUCCUUGUCUGUCGAAACCGGAUGAUGCUCCUCCUCCUCUGGCUCCGGCGAGCCCGAAGACAGGCCCGCAGCGAUGCAGGCGACACACCUCGCCCAGAUUUUUCUCCUCGAUCCUGACGACAUGGGACAAACUGCGAAGCGGGAGAGAGGUGGUGGAUGGACUCUGGCUGGUGAGACGUGGAGAGGAACAAGGUGGAUGUGGCUAGGGUUGAGGGACGUCGGCCAACUUAAAUAGCCAAAUUUGGUCCCGGGCAUCGAGCCGAAGUGCCGCUACACUCCUUCCACCGAGGAGACGUAUUCCAGACCGUCGGGUUUCCGUGCGAUUUCGUGGGGGACCCCAUCAUCAGUGUGACAUGGAAGACCCGUCCAGACGCGCCCAGGCACCCCAUAUUCUUCCUAGAUUUAGGUUGGAUAUGAUGGAUGUCGCUCAACCCAGGCAUUUGAGGCCCAUUUGUGGAAUACAUUUAGCAAUAAUAAAAUGGAAUAAUGCACCAUGGUGUAGUAUAUACAAAGCUACAUAACCUCUACAUCAUUUUAUAAUGUGUAUGAUCUAAAUGCAGGGCAUGUAUACAUAUAUCUAUAUAAUAUCUAUUUGCAUCUUGGCUCGUGGUUAUCGCCUAGAACAUGCGCGAUUCUUCACGGUGUCCAUCCCCAUUUGUUCCUACAUGAUCCUUGGCAAUAAAGGAAGGUUUUCAAAAAGGAUUCGGCUCAAAUAGAGCCAAUGAAUGGAAAGAAGCUACAUCUAUGGAGGAGGCUUUGGGAGAGCCCUUAUAUUCACACCUUUCAACCCUAGCCGUCGAUGUGAUUUCUCAUUCAUCGAAGAUAAAUCUCCAUCACCUCCACUAAUCUUGUAACACCACCUCUAUAGAAGAAGGGAUGAGAUUAAUAAUGAGGAAGAGGAAGCUCUGCCACGCCACACCAGUCUUUGGGUUGGUGCCAUCUCCAUCGUGCCACCACUGUCGACGCGAUAUCCAUCAUACCAUCGCCGCAGGAGCCAUCUCCACUAGCACCGCCAUGGCCUUCUCCUACCCCGUCUUGAUGACAGCUUGUAACUUGGCCCUCUCAUCUAUGUUAUAUAUCUACAUGUUUCAGUAGUUGUACUGAUUCUAAGAUAUGGAUAAACUCUUUUAUGAUCAAAAUUAAAUUCCUUUAAGCUAUCCAACGUCGUAUGUCUAUCUUUAAGUUAGUAGUUUUCAUGAAUGUUGAGAGGAUGCCUCGCUCGCAUUAUCGUCUUGAUUGGCUUUACCGUCGUUGUAAAGGUUAGGAUGUUGAGGCAAUUCGAGGUCACAUUGAAAGUCUCGUCAUGUCACCUUUGCCAUUCAUGGGGAGGGGGGCUAAUGGAGAACCCUUGUUGCAUUAGGGAGUUUUGCAGGUCUUCAGAGAGCAUUAUCUAGUCACUUUUGACUUGACCAUGGUCUAGGAGAAAUUGGUCAUAGUCCAUAAAACAAAAAGGUGACGGCAAGAGUAGGGAAGAUGUCACCAUGUGAAGGUGUCUAUGGGGAAACCCUUAAUUACCUUAGUCAGAACCUAAUAACCCACAAGUAUAGGGGAUCACAACAGUCUUCGCGGGUAUUAUUUCAUCCAAAUUUAUUAAUUCAACACAAGGGGAGUCAAAGAAUAUUUAUUAGUCUUAGCAGCUAAGUUGUCGAUUCAACCACACUUGGAAUUUCUUUCCUCAACAAAGUUUUAGUAGAGAAGUAAUGGUAGUAAUAGGAACAAUAAUACUAGUGAUGGUGAUGAUUGUAACAACAUCAGCAAUGAUAGUAACUUAGCAGAUUCAAUAUGUGGAAAGCAUAACUAUUGGAUCAGUGAUGGAUAAUUGUGUUGGAUGACAUUCAUCAUGUAACAGUUAUGUACUAGAGCGACAAACUAGCUCCAAUUCAUCAAUGUAAUGUUGGCACGUAUUCCGUGUAUAGUCAUACGUACUUAUAGUAAGAAAUUGCAUAACAUCUUUUGUCCUACCCUUGCAUGACAGCGGGGUCCAUAAGGAAAUCUGAGGGAUAUUAAGACGUCCUUUUAAUAAAGAACCGGAACAAAGUAUUAACAAAUAUUGAAUACAUGAACCCCACAUACGACGGUCAUCACCAGAGAUGAUCCCAAGUAUUAUCACUUUGGGAUAUGCGGAUCAUAACACUUAAUAGGUGCAUACAACUUGCAAGAUAGGAUCCAAAACUCUCUAAUAUUCGUGAAAACAUAAUAGGUUCAGAUCUGAAAUCAUGGCAUUCUGGGCCCUAGUGACAAGCAUUGAGCGUAGCAAAGUAAUAGUAACAUCAAUCUCGGACCAUAGUGGAUACUAGGGAUCAAGCCAUAUCAAAAUAACUAGAUUAAAUGACAAAUUUAAUCCAAUCCUAUCACCACCAAGCAAGCAUGCGAGUGAAUAACUCACUCCCGGUGGUGAGCAUCAUGGAACUGUGGAUGAAGAAGUGUUGAUGAUGAUGAGGGGGAUUCCCCUCUCUAGAGCUCCAAAUAGAUACCAGAUCAGCCCUCCCAAGGAAGAACAGGAGGUGGUGAUACCUCCGUCUUGUAAAACGGAAUGAAAUCUUCUCUUUGAUUUUUUUUCUCCACGAAACGGAACUUAUAGCAUCGGGUCAGACGGGGCUACGAGGGGCCCACAAGCUUAGAGGUUGUGCCCUCCAAACUUGUGACUCGUGGGUGGCCCCCUCUGGUGGAUCUUCAAGGCAAUAUUUUUAUUGAUUCCAGAAAUAUUCUUCAUAAAUUUUCAGCUCCAUUCGAGAACUUUUAUUUCUGCACAGAAACAACUUCAUGGUAGCUCUGAUGCAAACGUCGUGAGUCCGGGUUAGUUUCAUUCAAAUCAUGUAAAUUAUAGUUCAAAACAAGAGGAAAAGUGUUUGAAAAAAUAGAUAAAUUUGUGACGUAUCGAAACGGAAGUAGGGAAACUAUGAUGGUGUCGUGCGUGGUGUGAAGUAAUACCUAGAGAAGAAUGUAUCAUGUACUUGGGUCCGCCUGCUUAGGCACAUAAAGAUUAGCUUAGGUAUACGACAUGGAGCUAUGUUCGGCAUAUGUAGCACAUAUAGUAGUAGUAGUGAUGAAUCCGGAUUCCGAGAGAACACCUCAGUGCUCAAGCACUCACCUUGUUAACUUGUAUAUUUUUAACUUUUCGUCUAUAUUUUAUAUAAAACUCAAUUUUAUUUUGUUUUCAUACCAACUUAUAGAGUAAGAUAUUUACAAACUUCGGUUUGGGUGCAUACAGAACUACGUCGGUGACAAUGUAUUUGCGGGAUUAGUAGUGCCUUCCUUUUUUCCAAGCUCUGGGUUUGACACUUCACUUAUCAUGCUACAACACCAUGUGCUCUUGCAUGACAUCAUGUAUAUAAAGGGGAGUGUGGUUCAUGUUUCAGGUUGAUCCUUUUCUCCCAACUACAUCCACCACCGCCGCUCGUCACACCCAAAUAUUUAGUAACCGAACCUAACAGUAUGUCAUCCGACAUUACUCUCCGUACGUGUGGAUACCUUGGAGGCACUGCCCCUAUGACGCUCUGAUGAACUAUUCAAGGGAUCCACGAGGAACUGCUCGAGGGAGAUCGGCUACUUGAUGAGGAGAUGCAAUAGCCAAUCUACAACUCGUGUCACCAAUGCUACUUUUACUAGAAACCCCGAUCCCUGAUCUAUCCCGAGCAGUAUGUUCUUGAUUGCGCUGUAGAAAUUUUUAAUCUUCACUAGUGUAUCGUUUUGUGUAUCCCAACAGGGGAAAGAGAGAGGCGUGUGUGGGCCCAUAAGAACUUGUGGCCAAAGUGCGUAUGAGGGGCGAAACGGUCGAUCAAUCCCCAGUUACAAAAGAUUUGCCUUUGUUAUAUGUUUUCUCUUUCUUUCCCCUAAGACCCGAUAUGCGAUACCACAUAAACGAGCCAAAUCUCCAUUUAUAUUGUUAAAUAAAUAUAAAAUGAAAGCCAAAGAUUAUAUUAUGCAACUAAAAGGCUUGGAUUUAAUAUACUCUUAUAGUAAUAACUUGAGCAUUGCUCAAUCGCCCUAAUUCAAGUCCUAGGCCGAGGUCUUUUGAGUGAUGUCCCAGAAUCUUGAGAAGAGCUCCCCCAGCCAAAAGAUCCGGGCCCUAGUCUUAGACACGAGUGCUCAUAUCUUUUGAAUUUAUAUGAAACUUAUCUACACUAUUCUUAAGUGGUAUUGCAUGCCCCUCAACAAAAUAGGUGCACUUCCAUCAAUAUAAAGAUCAAUCAUCUUAGUCUCUCGAUGAUAUGAAAAUCAGCAACAAAUAGUGAAAAUACAAUACAAAAUCACUAAUCAUGCGUAAUUUUGUUUUCAUAUCUCCUAAUUGAAUAUGAAUUUUAAAUUCCACAUGUUUAUGCAACAUCACUUUUCUAAGAUAUUGUAUUUGUUUGAGAGUAUUUUCAAGCUUUCAUACAUGAGUUUUGUGGAGUUUUUCAUUGUAACUAGAUUUCCACAAUAUACUUUAUCUAGAUUAUGGGAGUAGUAGGGAAGCUCUACAAUUAAGUAUGGUAAAUUACUUUUUAUUUUGGAUUCUUAUUUCUCUUGAACCGUUCCGAUAUAUGGUGCCAACAGGAAAAAAAUACAUUAUUUAUCAUGAUUAAAAUUAGGGUAAUGCAAGCCACACAAUUGUACGGGUCAACCAACUAGUUAUUUCUAAAAUAAAUAUCAACCAAAAUUGCCCAUGGUUUACCUUCUAUAGGUCUAAGAGGACAGAGAAUUAUAAAAUUGCAAUUUGCAGGACUUUUAAUUUGGUACCUCCUCUCUCCUCCAAAGAUUGUGACAUGUGCCGCUUUUAUUGAUUCAACCCCUCACUCCACGGAACCUUGACACUUCUACUUUGAAAAAUUCUGAUUGAAGCUAUACAAUUUUCAUCAAGCCUUGGUUGAUGCCUAGGCCUCCGUAGUUCCCAACAUAGACCCCUUUUGCCGUAUAUUUGUGUGUCUUAAGGUCACUGCUCGAUGCGUGUAACGAUGGAGCAACAAGUUUGUGAGUCAUUCCCCCGCAGAGUCCUGAUUACGCUAAGCUCAUUGAUGGUUCAAGGUCGUGCGGGAUGCCCGUCCCCUCUUCCCGAUCGAUACAUGGAUGUACCUUAAGCUAAAAGGAUCCUACCUUGGGCUCGCCUUGCUCGAUAAAUCCUAUACACCUCAACAAACACGUCUUUACUAUCUCAAGCGCGCGACACCAACUCGGCCUUCUUUGGCUCCAAGCCGUGCACCACAAACAAAGAACAUGAUCUUUGAGUUACAACUGAGUGAUGGCAUCGCUUCCAUCCAUGAGGACAUGGAGCUCCUCAUAUGUUCGAGGCUUCACCAUCGAUCUCAAUGUGCUUGAUUCAUGGCCGUUUGAUCUCAACGAACUAGAGCAAUCAUUCUCCAAGGAGCAAAUUUGGUGGGCCAUUAGGAGGCCCCCGAAAGGCAAGGAACCUGGGCUACACAACUUGUGUGUGUUGGGAUAUUACCAAAGGUAGACAUUUGUGAUGCCUUCGCCAAGAUAUAUGCUCUCAAUGAUUGAGGCUUCAAAAAACUUAACGAAGCUCUCCUCACCUUGCUCCUCAAGAAUUCGGACACACCGUCCUCUAACUAUUGGCUGAUCAACCUCAUCCAAUUCGUCUCCUAGCUCUUCAUGUAGCUGCUUUUCCAUAGACUCGUGUCGUGUCUCGAAGACAUGAUAUUUACCAACCAUACCGCGUUCAUCGUGGGUUGGUCCAUUUGCGGCUAGUUUUUUGCUCGUCCACGGUCCACCAAACCAUGCGCGAGAUCCACAACCUCAAAAAUCCAUUUGUCAAGAUAAAGCUGAACAUUGCACGCGCCUUUGACUCCAUCUCGUAGCCCUUACUCCUCGAGACACACCACCACAUUGGGUUCGAUCACCACAGGUGCGAAUGGACUAGUAUCGUCCUCUUCAUGGAAAUCAUAUGUGUUCUCCUCAAUUAUGUCUCGGGUCCACCGAUGCAACACCAAAAAUUUCUCUGCCAAGGGCCCCCCUCUAUCCCCAUGCUCUUCGUCAUGGUGAUCGAUGCCCUGAACAACCUCAUCCAUCGCAUCAUGGCCGCUGGGGCUCUCCACCCAUCACAUGGCCUCGAUUUUUUUUCAUUUAUGCCGAUGACGCGAUCAUUUUCCGUCGCCCAAAAGUGCAUAAUCUCACCGCCUCCACAAGCUUCUCCAUGUCUUUCGGAUCGUUUUGGUUCACGCACGAACUUCGCCAAGUGCUUCAGUACCUCAAUCACUACACGCGACCAACCAUGUGGGUAUCGAGCGCAACCUCGUGUGCCCUAUUGUAGACUUCCCUACUAGGUAGGUAGGGUUGCCGCUAUACAUUCGAAAGCUUCCCACUUCAUCCCUUCAACCCAUCAUCGACAAGAUUGAGCGAGAGCUUUCUCCAUGGUGGGUCUCCUUGCUCUCCCAAGGCAAGAGACUUUCUCUCAGUCACCAUGGCUCUAUGAAAUCAUGGUUCACAUCCUUCCCGCCUUGGCAAUCAACCAUGACAUCCUCAAAUAAAUGAAUCGGCUCAUCCACAACUUUCAUCUAGUAUUGUCAUAUGGAUGCAAGCGAUGGAUAUUGCCUUGUUAGUUGGAGCAAGGUAUGCAGGCCGAUCGCCCUUGGUGGCCUAGGCAUCCUUGAUCUACAGCGCCUUGGAAUCUCCCUCCAUGCUGGCUGGCUUUGGUUUCACUAGAUCAAAUAGAGGCGCCAAUGGCAGAACCAACACAUUCCCUCCUUGUCUGACCUCCAAGUGAUCUUAUGCGCUUUGACUUUCUGGGUCCUGGAUGACAACUACUCUUCCAAUUUUGGAGAGAUCACCGGAUCGAUGGUCUCUCGAUCAUGGAGUUCGCCUCACUCAUCCUCUCCAUGGUCCAAAGUCACCGCCACAAAGCUUGCUCUAUUCGUGGAAGCCUUCUUCAGUAUGCUUGGAUUCAUGUCAAGGGUGUUAUCGGUCGAGUGGCUUUCAUGCAAUAUGUUUGGCACCGCCUAAGCGAUGUCGUCCUCUCCAACGUGCCACACACUCUCAUACGGUGUUGGUCUGCCAAUGGGUUAUAUAGCACGAAGACCUGCUACCAGGCGAAGUUAUCGGGCACGAUCACUUCUCCUCAUGGACACCAAAGUUGGAAAACCUGCCCAACUCCCACUAAAGCAAGAUCUUCGUGUGUGUGGCCCUCCCAGGACGAUGCUGGACUAUGGCCCAGCAAGCCCGACAUGGCCUGCCCCACAAUGACGACGACUACCCUCUUUGCGAACAGAAAUCAAAAAUGCUGCACCACCUCUUCAUUGGAUGUUCAGUUUCAUGCUAGACUUAGCAUCAAGUGUUGUCUUGGUGCCGCUCGAGAGCUCCCCUCCCUUGCCAGAUGAUGAGUUCAUGAAAUGCCUCACGAAGACACUCUAUGACCCGACUUCUUAUUUUCGCCGAUAUCUCGUCUCUCUCGUCAUCCUCGCCAUCUUCCUCACCAUCUGGUGGAUCUAGAAACACUAGAACAACUACAUAUUCAACGGUGAACGUCCCUUGUCACGCAUCUCAUGCAGACCAUCCAGGAUGAAGCAUGCCACGAACCAAUGCUAAGGGGAUGCCUUAUGUGCAUGGCAUAUCACUCACCCCGCGACCAUGUCAGUGCUUGUCCUAUUGUCUGAUCAACCUGUAUUUUCUUUUUUUAGCAAUAUAAAAAGGUAGGCAACCCUUUAAUUUUGCGUAUUUGUGAAAAAAUGGAUUUCUCCUUCUACAAUUCCAACGCCUUUUAGAUUAUUAUAUGCCAAUAAAGAAGCUUUACUAAAUAUACGAGCAUUGCAGAAAUCAAUGGAUAUGCUAUCUCAAAGAGUUUGUGAGCACUAAAAACAGUCGGUGGCUAAUCUUUCUUUAUCCCCCCACGUUAAGGCGCCCAGCAACUCAUCAUUUGGUUCUAUAAAGUCCUGCGUGGAGAGCCCUCACGCCAAACGCAGAGACCGACGAGAACAGUGCAAACAGCACAGCAAUCGCAGCCCCUCCCACGCCUCUCAAACCUGAUUUAUUAAACCUUAACGUCCUUCGUUACUCCUACUUGCCCAACACCGCUCGUCCUCCAACUCCGGUGCGGGCGGCAUUUCCACCGUGGUCACCUCCGACGAACUGAUGGGGUGCAAGUCGUGCCAGAAGCCCAAGGCGCAGCACCGCAAGGGGCUGUGGUCGCCGGAGGAGGACCAGAAGCUCCGCGACUUCAUCGUCCGCUACGGCCACAGCUGCUGGAGCACCGUCCCCGUCAAGGCCGGUAAGAAAGCCAUCGCACGCGACUGUCCCGAGAAAUUCGAGGGGGGGUUGAACUUUUUCCUUUUUCUUUUUGUUUAACUUGCAUCGCCGAGAGUCCAAUUCCCAAUUUCGCUUCCUUGCUUGCUUGCUUGUUGAUGCUCUGCAAUGUACCUUGGCUGGCUCAUGGGAAGGGGAAAGUUUGGGAAAUCUAAUUUCGCCAGAAAACAGUUGAGGAAGCUCUUUAGCUUCGUCUGCUUGUUCGAAUUCAGCAAAAUUCUGCAGUGCUUUCGGAGAAGAAUCCAGCGGAGUCUCGUCAAAUGUACCAUGGCAUGUGGUGCGGGGCCUAAAGCUUGCCGUGAAUGAAUUUUGCAGGGCUUCAGCGGAACGGCAAGAGCUGCAGGCUGAGAUGGAUCAACUACCUGAGGCCGGGGCUGAAGCACGGCAUGUUCUCCCGGGAGGAAGAAGAGACCGUCAUGAGCCUCCACGCCGCUCUCGGCAACAAGUAAGCAUCCCAAGCAGAGCACACAUCCCAAUUCUCACCUUCUCAGAACAAAACGACAUCUGGUUAGCAUGCGGGAUUGAAUCAAGUCAAUCAGUUGGUAUUUCUUUCUUCUUUCCUUCUAAAUUCAUCAGUCCGUAGGAAUUUUAGAAGAAUAAAACAAUUAGAGUAUUCUUGCGCAUGCUACAUUUUGCUACCUACUGCUGCUUGCGCCAAAUUUGCUAGUGUCACCAUGGUAGGGUCGUAAGAAAAAGGGAGAAAAAAAGGUUUUGCUGGUGAAAACAAAUGGAAAUGCUGAUGUCUGCCCUGUAGACCGCCUUACGUGGUUGAGUUGAUGCUGACACCUGCUUUCAAUNAUCUCGUAUGCCGUCUUCUGCUUGAAAAAAAAAAAAACACCUGCGUUCAAUAUCGAGGCACUCGUUUGUCCGUUUGGCGAUAGUGAACAAGAGCCUCACUUUCACAAACCUAGCUACUGGCUGGAAAGGUUGCUUGGUCACGGAUAACCUCUUUUUGGACAAAAAAAGGAAGAAAGAACAGCUAAACUUGUGUCUAAUCUAAUGCUUCCUUUUCUAAAGGGUCUUUGCAGUUGCCUGCCGGUGCAAGCAAUGUCAUAUUUAGUGAGGUUCUUAAUUUUCAUAGUGAAGAUNNNNNNNNNNNNNNNNNNNNNNNNNNNNNNNNNNNNNNNNNNNNNNNNNNNNNNNNNNNNNNNNNNNNNNNNNNNNNNNNNNNNNNNNNNNNNNNNNNNNNNNNNNNNNNNNNNNNNNNNNNNNNNNNNNNNNNNNNNNNNNNNNNNNNNNNNNNNNNNNNNNNNNNNNNNNNNNNNNNNNNNNNNNNNNNNNNNNNNNNNNNNNNNNNNNNNNNNNNNNNNNNNNNNNNNNNNNNNNNNNNNNNNNNNNNNNNNNNNNNNNNNNNNNNNNNNNNNNNNNNNNNNNNNNNNNNNNNNNNNNNNNNNNNNNNNNNNNNNNNNNNNNNNNNNNNNNNNNNNNNNNNNNNNNNNNNNNNNNNNNNNNNNNNNNNNNNNGACAGCCCCAAGGUCAUGUUCGCGGACUGGCUCGACAUGGACAUGGACUACGGCACCGGCCUGAUGGCACCGAGCGCUCUGGCCUCGGCCUUCGACGGCAGCCCGGCGCAGCAGGGCGUGAGCCACCAGGGUUCCGUGCAGGUGGAGGACCUGUGCGGCGCCGUGGACUCGUUGCACGGGCUCGGCAACGGCGGCGUCUGUUGGGAGUUCGACGCCGGUCAGAUCGACAUGCAGGGAGGAGGAGGAUUCUGCGACCUGCUGUCCGUGAGCGAGUUCCUCGGGAUCAACUAGGCGAUUCCUCCCAAUGGUGUGCCACCGUCACUGGCUCGCUGCCUCUCCAUCACGACCAGCCAGUGAUUGUUGGUCACUGACAAGAAAGUUCUCAAGGCCACGAUUCAGUCGUGCCAGCGGCAUGGAGAAGAAAUCGUUGAAGUCGUUGUUGCCGGAAAAACACACAUGCCCACAGAACGUGAUGGAGAUGAGGCGGAGGAACAAACUGCAAAAGAAAUUCGCCGUCAUCUUCAUGCUAACAAAUAUUGCAAACCCUUAUGUCUUCGUAGUUGUAGUACAGGUUAGCAAAAAGUCAAUGCUGGCUUGCUGUAAUUUGUUAGAAAGUAAAACAAGAAAGACAAUAGACAUGGAUGUAAAGUGAAUGGUUGUCUUUAUUGAUGAUUGAGUACAAGCAUAUAUAACCCCGAGAGGAUACAUACAAUAGACGCGAUGGUCUGGAGAGACACGAGCGAACAGUCAUGUCCCUCAUACAUGACGGCUAGGGAUAGUGAAGAUUCUCCAUAACUAACACCAACAUGGGUUAAUUAAACUCAACACUCCUUCUAAUCUACGCUAUCCUUAUAGACAUCACCAUCUUAAAUAAAAGCUCCUCAAAAACCCCGUGGGAAAAUGUGAGCAGUAUAGUGUUUGAUAUGUUGCUACAACUCAUUCAAACCCAGUGGAAAAAAUAAUGAGAAAAUGAUGCAACAUAUAAUGGUUAUUGUCUUUUUUAACUCAAUACGAGAAAACCCAUAGAGUUUAUACGACAAUAAAUAUGUCGUAUAUACUUUCCUAAAAACCCAGUGGGAAAAACAGAAAGUAUGACAUUUGAUCUCAUGUUGAUAUUACCUCAUUAAAAACCUUUAUGAGAAUCUCUAUAGUAAACUCAUGAAGGAAAAAAACAGUAUAAUAUGAUGCAUGGAACGGGAAUAAUUGAGGAAGAUACUCUCCCUGAUUCUUGCAAAUUUCGAAGCUGUCACAUACCCAUUCCAAGAACAUAUUUCUGGAAUGUAAAAGUUGGUAGAGACUUCGUGAGAAAUCAGUCACAUGAUUUGAUUUGCAAGAUAUGCAUAUAGUGAUGUUGCUUAUUGCGUAACCUGUUUGCAUCCGGACAACACGAGAAACAUUAUCGUCGAGAUAAUGGUUGGUGGAUGUAGCUGAUGGGGUUAUAGUCCUAGGGUAGGGUCAUAGGCCUGCCCUAUGGGUCCUACCCAAGGACUACCCUUCAUAAAGGAUAAGGCCCUUAGUCAGUUCCGACUGAAUUAAGGACUUCCCAUCAUCCAGUCGGUGACGAUUCCUCCAUCAUCCAGUCGGAGAUGAGCAUUCAGAGCGUAUCAAACUUACCGACUGGAUUCCACUCUGUACAUCGUAACCCCCCUGGAGGGCAACGGUCAUACGUUUCCAUGUACCUUUAUUAACAUUUAAGACAUACGUUACCUGUAACGUAGGCAUUUAUUCGCCACUACUCCACCCGUGUGCACCGAACCGUUGUGAAGGGCAGUGCACUCUAUAUAAGCCGCCCUUCCCCACUGGUGCAGGGUUAGCAAUUCACUGUAAUCCAUAUUCCACUCGACAUCAAGCUCCAAGAGCACUGAGACGUAGGGCUUUUACCUCCACCGUAGAGGGGCCUGAACUCAUACAACCUCGCCGUAGCUAAGGCUCUGCCCAUCCUUUCGUACCCUACACAUCUAGUGUCAGACUUAUACCCACGACAGUUGGCGCCCACCGUGGGGGAGGCGUCUAAGCGACUUUUCGGCGAGUUUUGCGACUACAUCUUUUCGUCAUGUCGUCCGGUGGAGAUUUGAGCAUGGGUCGCGAGAUCCUCUUCGGCGCUCUCUCCUUCAUCGUCGACGAUUCGGCAUGGCUUCGGGAUGCUCCUCUCGACGUCGAGGCGCUCCCCAGUCGCGGGGCUACGCACUUCCGUGCCGGCGCCCGCGGCGUCCUUCUUCUCCAGCAGUCGGCCCCGGUGUCGACCUUCGCCCCUGUCGCGCGCCGCAACAAGCGGUCUCGCCGUCCGCGGCUCCAGCGUUGGGNCCGAAGUGCACAUGGCCAGCUCCCAUGAAAGUCCCCGCCAAACCGGCCGGAACGAGCACGAGGUCGGCGAAACCUCCGGCGCUCGCCGUCAGCCUCGCCGUUCUGCCAGUCGGCGCACUCGUCAGAGCAACGUGGAGGUGUUCCGCACACCCGUCCUCAACCUGGCUGCCGCCGCCAAGAUAGCCGAUUCCCUCCAGCCGACUGAUUCAGAGGCUGGCAGAGGGAUCGAGCAGAUCCGUGCCCUGCUGCACACGGCGCAACAGCAAAAUUCGGCGGUCUCCCAGUCGCACAACAGGAUCCACAAUAGUUCUGUUCGCGCGAACACACAUCGGUCAGUUCACAGCCCCGGUUCUCAUCAGCGACACAGGGGAGGCAGCCGUUCCGUGAAUCCCGAAGAUCGUCGCCGUUCACGCACCCCUCCGCGGGGUGGGCCCUACGGGCCCCGACAUCAUGAUGAUCGGCGUUCGGUUGGUGACACUUAUGAUCCAAGGCCCGACGCGAGGGGGCAUAUCGCCAGAGGAGGGUCGACAGGGGCCGGGCCCACCGCGAUGGCCACGACGUGGACCGUCCGAGUGGAAGCAGGACCAUCGUCUCUGGUCCCGAGUGUUUCAGUCGAGCCAUCCGUUCGGCUGACAUCCCUCCCAACUUCCGAUUGGCGACGGGGAUCAGCAAGUUUACAGGAGAAUCCAAGCCAGAAACGUGGCUGGACGACUACCGAGUGGCAGUCCAGAUCGGAGGAGGGGACGACCACGUCGCCAUGAAACACCUCCCUCUGAUGCUCGACGGCUCGGCACGAGCGUGGCUGAAACAGUUGGCUCCCUCAAGCAUCUACAGUUGGGCAGAUCUGGCCCGAAUCUUCAUCAGGACCUUCGAAGGGACAUGCAAACGCUCUGCUGGUCUCGUGGAGCUCCAGCACUGUGUCCAGAAGCAGAAUGAGCCCCUGCGCGAUUUCAUUCAGCGUUGGACGACCCUCUACCACACGGUGGAGAACGUCACAGAGCACCAAGCAGUCUGCGCCUUCAAGGCAGGCGUGCGGUAUAGAGAUCUGUACCUGAAGUUCGGUCGAACAAGCGACAUCUCCAUGAGUAAGAUGACGGAGAUAGCGGCACGCUAUGCAAAUGGCGAAGAAGAGGACCGCAUUCGUAGCGACAAGCACAAAGCAGUCGCCGAUGGAGAUGGGAACAGCACUCGGAAGCAGAAGCAGAAAGCUCCAUCUACUCCACAGGCAGAGGCCGCAGCCGUUACCAAUGCCAAAUUCAAGGGCAAGGGGAAGGCUCAGUUCACCCCCAAGAAGAAACAGUUCGGAAACCACAUCCUGGACCAACCAUGUCCCAUUCACACGAAGAUGGAUGAAGAGGGCAACGCCAUACUCCCGAAGCAUACCACUCGGCAAUGUCGCCUCCUGGUCCAGGGGUUCGGCGAAGGGCAGCCGAGUGAAAAGGACAAUGAAUAGGAUGAGGAGGACAAGGAUGAUCUAUUCCCCCAAGUCCAUGCAACAUUGAUGAUUUUUGCUGACGUUGAAAGCAAGAGUCGACUGAAGCUGGUGAACAGGGAGGUGAACAUGGCCAUCCCGACCAACCCCACGUUCCUCAAAUGGUCUCAGACUGCGAUCACCUUUGACCAGUCGGAUCAUCCAGCACACGUACCCACCCCAGGGAGGCAGGCCCUGGUCGUCGACCCGGUGGUGGAAGGAGUCCGACUGCGCAAAGUCCUCAUAGACUGCGGCAGCGGCCUGAACAUCAUGUACGCUGACACUCUCAAGGGGAUGGACAUUCUGAUGUCCAAACUUAGUGAGAGCAGCAUGUAGUUCCAUGGAGUCGUCCCUGGACGAAAGGCCAAGUCACUCGGCCAGAUCGCGUUGGACGUCGUCUUCGGCUCCGACAAGAACUUCCGCAAGGAGAAGCUGACGUUCGAGGUGGUGGACUUCCAGAGUGCGUACCACGCAAUUCUGGGCCGCUCGGCGUAUGCACGUUUCAUGGCCUGUCCAUGUUACGUGUACCUGAAGUUGAAGAUGCCAGGCCCAAAAGGUGUGAUCACUAUCACCGGCAAUCGGCAGCGGGCCGAGGAGUGUCUGCAGCAGGGAUCAAGGAUUGCCGAUCAGCAGAUGGCUGUCCUCGAGCUUGACGAGUACAAGAAAACAGUCGACCCCGCCGACUUGAUGCGUUCGAAGAAGCCAGCUUCGGAGUCCGCAUUCCAGUCGGCGGGAGAGACGAAGAAGGUCAGCAUCCACCCGACGGACGACACCGCUGCCCCGACGAACAUCUCCACCACCCCCGAUCCUAAAUAGGAAGCCGAGCUCAUCCAAUUCCUCCGUGAGAACUGGGACAUCUUCGCAUGGAAGCCCGCUGACAUGCCAGGUGUACCCAGGGAGUUGGCUGAGCACCGACUGCAUGUGGAUCCCGCCGCUCGGCCUGUCUGAGAAUGCCUGUGUCGGUCCGCCACGCACAAGAGGAAGGCAAUCGGAGAAGAGGUGGCUAAGCUUUUGGCAGCCAACUUCAUUCGCGAGGUACACCACUCCGAGUGGUUUGCCAAUGUUGUCAUGGUGCCCAAGAAAGACAAGUCGCUCCGAAUGUGCAUCGACUUCAUGUUGGGGAACGUCGCAUGGGAAACAAAAAUUUUCCUAUGCGCACGAAGACCUAUCAUGGUGAUGUCCAUCUACGAGAGGGGAUUUCCGAUCUACGUACCCUUGUAGAUCGCACAACAGAAGUGUUAAGAAACGCGGUUGAUGUAGUGGAACGUCCUCACGUCCCUCGAUCCGCCCCGCGAACCGUCCCACGAACCGUCCCGCGAUCCGUCCCACGAUCCGCUCCGAUCUAGUGCCGAACGGACGGCUCCUCCGCGUUCAGCACACGUACAGCUCGACGAUGAUCUCGGCCUUCUUGAUCCAGCAAGAGAGACGGAGAGGUAGAUGAGUUCUCUGGCAGCGUGACGGCGCUCCGGAGGUUGGUGGUGAUCUAAUCUUAGCAAGGCUCGGCCCGAGCUCCGCAGAAACGCGACCUAGAGGUAAAACCGUGGAGGUAUGUGGUCGGGCUGCCGUGGCAAAAGUUGUCUCAAAUCAGCCCUAAUUGCUCCAUAUAUAUAGGAGGAGGGAGGGGAGGCUUGCCUUGAGGCUCAAGGAGCCCCAAGGGCUGCGCCACCAAGGGGAGGAGGAGUCCUCCUCCAAUCCUAGUCCAACUAGGAUUGGAAGGUGGAGUCCUUCUCUCUUUUCCCACCUUUCCUUUUUUUCUUUUGGUUUUUUAUUUCUCUUGCGCAAGACAAUAUUGGGCUGACCCCACCUACUAGGUGUGCCACCCCCAAGGUCCUUGGGCCUUCCCGGGUGGGUGGUCCCCCCUCCCGGUGAAUAUCCGGAACCCAUUCGUCAUUCCCGGUACAUUACCGGUAAUGCCCGAAAACCUUCCGGUAACCAAAUGAAGUCAUCCUUUAUAUCAAUCUUCGUUUCCGUACCAUUCCGGAAACCCUCGUGACGUCCGUGAUCUCAUCCGGGACUCCGAACAACAUUCGGUAACCAACCAUAUAACUCAAAUACGCAUAAAACAACGUCGAACCUUAAGUGUGUAGACCCUGCGGGUUCGAGAACUAUGUAGACAUGACCCGAGUGACUCCUCGGUCAAUAUCCAAUAGCGGGACCUCGAUGCCCAUAUUGGAUCCUACAUAUUCUACGAAGAUCUUAUCAUUUGAACCUCAGUGCCAAGGAUUCAUAUAAUCCCGUAUGUCAUUCCCUUUGUCCUUCCGUAUGUUACUUGCCCGAGAUUCGAUCGUCAGUAUCCGCAUACCUAUUUCAAUCUCGUUUACCGGCAAGUCUCUUUAUUCGUUCCGUAAUACAAGAUCCCGCAACUUACACUAAGUCACAUUGCUUGCAAGGCUUGUGUGUGAUGUUGUAUUACCGAGUGGGCCCUGAGAUACCUCUCUGUCACACGGAGUGACAAAUCCCAGUCUCGAUCCAUACUAACUCAACGAACACCUUCGGAGAUACCUAUAGAGCAUCUUUAUAGUCACCCAGUUACGUUGCGACGUUUGAUACACACAAAGCAUUCCUCCGGUGUCAGUGAGUUAUAUGAUCUCAUGGUCAUAGGAACAAAUACUUGACAUGCAGAAAACAGUAGCAACAAAAUGACAUGAUCAACAUGCUACGUCUAUUAGUUUGGGUCUAGUCCAUCACAUGAUUCUCCUAAUGAUGUGAUCCCGUUAUCAAGUGACAACACUUGCCUAUGGUCAGGAAACCUUGACCAUCUUUGAUCAACGAGCUAGUCAACUAGAGGCUUACUAGGGACAAUGUUUUGUCUAUGUAUCCACACAUGCACUGUGUUUCCAAUCAAUACAAUUAUAGCAUGGAUAAUAAACAAUUAUCAUGAGAAAGAAAUAUAAUAAUAACUAAUUUAUUAUUGCCUCUAGGGCAUAUUUCCAACAGUCUCCCACUUGCACUAGAGUCAAUAAUCUAGUUCACAUCACCAUGUGAUUCCAAGGAAUCCAACACCCAUAUAGUCAUGGGGUCUGAUCACGUCUUGCUCGUGAGAGCGGUUUUAGUCAACGGUUCUGAAACUUUCAGACCCGUGUGUUCUUUACAAAUCUUUAUGUCAUCUUAUAGAUGCUGCUACUAUGUGCUAUUCGGAAAUACUCCAAAUAUCUACUCUACUAUACGAAUCCGUUUCACUACUCACAGUUGUUCGGAUUAGUGUCAAAGCUUGCAUCGACGUAACCCUUUACGACGAACUCUUUAACCACCUCCAUAAUCGAGAAAAAUUCCUUAGUCCAUCAGUUACUAAGGAUAAAUUUUGACCGCUGCUAGUGAUUGAAUCAUGGAUCACUCUCUGUACCUCUCAACAGACUUUGAGUCAAGGCACACAUGAGGUGCGGUACCCAACAUGGCAUACUUCAGAUUCUACGGCCAAGGCAUAGAAGACGACUUUCGUCUAUUCUCUUUAUUCUGCCGGGGUCGGGUUUUGAGUCUUACUCAAAUUCACACCUCACAACGCAACCAAGAACUCCUUCUUUGCUGAUCUAUUUUGAACUCCUUCAAAAACUUGUCAAGGCAUGGAUCUUGUUGAAACUUCCAUUAAGCGCUUUCGAUCUAUCUCCAUAGAUCUUUGAUGCUCAACGUUCAAGUAGCGCAAUCCAGGUACUCCUUUGAAAACUCCUUUCAAACAACCUUGUAUGCUUUACAGAAAUUCUAUAUUACUUCUGAUCCACAAUAUGUCAACCACAUAUACUUAUCAGAAAUUCUAUAGUGCUCCCACUCACUUCUUUGGAAAUACAAGUUUCUCAUAAACCUUGUACAAACCGAAAAUCUUUAAUCAUCUCAUCAAAGUGUAUAUUCCAACUCCGAGAUGCUUGCACCAGUCCAUUGAAGGAUCGCUGGAGCUUGCAUACUUGCUAGUAUCUUUAGGAUCGACAAAACCUCCUGGUUGUAUCACAUACAAUGUUUGCUCAAGGAAACCGUCGAGGAAACAAUGUUUUGACAUCCUAUGUGCAAUAUUUCAUAAAUAAUGCAACAACUACUAACAUAAUUCUAACAGACUUUUAGCAUCGCUACGAGUGAGAAAGUCUCAUCAUAGUCAACUGUUUGAUCUUGUCGGAAACAUCUUUGCGACAAGUCGAGAUUUUCUUAAUAGUGACUUAUCACCAUCAUCGUCUGUCUUCCUUUUAAAGAUCCAUCUUUACUCAACAGUCCUAUGACCAUCAAGUAGUUCUUCCAAAGUCUACACUUUGUUUUCAUACAUGGAUCCUCUCUCGGAUUUCAUGGCUUCCAGCCAUUUGUCGGAAUCCGGGCCCACCAUUGCUUUCUUCAUAACUCGCAGGUUCACUGUUGCUCAACAACAUGACCUCCAAGACAGGGUUACCGUACUACUCUGCAGUAGUACGCGACCUUGUCAACCUACGAGGUUUGUAGUAACUUGAUCCGAUGCUCGAUGAUCACCAUCAUCAGCUUUCACUUCAAUUGGUGUAGGCGCCACAGGAAUAACUUCCUGCGCCCUGCUACACACUGGUUGAAGUGAUGGUUCAAUAACCUCAUUAAAUUCUACCACCCUCCCACUCAAGUCUUUCAAGAGAAACCUUUCCUCGAGAAAGGAUCCGUUUCUAGAAACAAACACUUUGCUUUCGGAUCUGAGAUAGGAGAUGUGCCCAACUGUUUUGGAUAUCCUAUGAAGAUGCAUUUAUCCGCUUUGGGUUUGAGCUUAUUCGACUGAAACUUUUUCACACAAGUGUCGAAGCCCCAAACUUUCAAGAAAUGACAGUUUAGAUUUCUCUAAACCUCAGUCUAUACUGUGUCAUCUCAACGGAAAUACGCGGUGCCCUAUUUAAAGUGAAUGCGGUUGUCUCUAAUGCAUAACGCAUAAACGAUAGUGGUAAUUCGAUAAGAGACAUCAUAGCAUGCACCAUACCAAAUAGUGCGUGGCUAUGACGUCCAGACACAUCAUCACACUAUGAUGUUCCAGGUGGCAUGAACUGCGAAACAAUUUCCACAUUAUCUUAAGUGCGUACCAAAACUCGUAACUCAGAUAUUCAUUUCUAUGAUCAUAUCAUAGACAGUUUAUCCUCUUGUUACGACGAACUUCACUCCUGAAACAGAUUUGAACCUUUCAAUAUUUCAGACUUGUGAUUCAUUAAGUAAAUACUCUUGUAUCUGCUCAAAUCGUCAUUGAAGUAAGAACAUAAUGAUAUCCACUGCGUGCCUCAGCACCCAUUGGACUGCAUACAUCAAAAUGUAUCACUUCCAACAAGUUACUAUCUUGUUUCAUCUCAAUGAAAACAAGGCCUUGCUCAUGUGGUAUGAUUUGCAUGUCACUAGUGAUUCAAAAUCAAGUGAGUAUAAAGAUCCAUCAGCAUGGAGACUCUUCAUGCAAUUUAUACCAACAUGACUCAAGCGGCAGUGCCAUAAGUAAGUGGUACUAUCAUCAUUACCUCGUAUCUUUUGGCACCAAUAUUAUGAACAUGUGUAACACUACGAUCGAGAUUCAAUAAACCAUUGAAGGUGAUUUAUUCAAGCAAAUAGAGUAACCAUUAUUCUCUUUAAAUGAAUAAUCGUAUUGCAAUAAACACGGUCCAAUCAUGUUCAUGCUUAACGCAAGUACCAAAUAACAAUUAUUUAGGUUUAACACCAAUCCCGAUGGUAGAUGGAGUGUGCGACGUUUGAUCAUAUCAACCUUGGAAACACUUCCAACACGUAUCGUCACCUCGCCUUUAGCUAGUCUCCGUUUAUGCCGUAGCUUUCAUUUUGUGUCACUAAUCACUUAGCAACCGAACCUGUAUCUAAUACCCUCGUGCUACUAGGAGUACUAGUAAAGUAUACAUCAACAUCAUGUAUAUCAAAUAUACUUCUUUUGACUUUUGCCAGCCUUCUUAUCUACCAAGUAUCUAGAGUUGCUCCGCCUCAGUGACUGUUCCCCUCAUUAUAGAAGCACUUAGUCUCGGGUUUGGGUUUAAUCUUGGGUCUCUUCAUUAGUGCAGCAACUGUUUUCCGUUUCACGAAGUAUCCCUUCUAGCCCUUGCCUUCCUUGAAACUUAGUGGUUUUACUAACCAUCAACUAUUGAUGCUCCUUCUUGAUUUCUACUUUCGAGUGUCAAACAUCGCGAAUCGCUCAAGGAUCAUUGUAUCUAUCCUUGAUAUGUUAUAGUUCAUCACGAAGCUCUCACAACUUGGUGGCAGUGACUUUGUAGAACCAUCACUAUCUCAUCUGGAAGAUUAACUCCCACUUGAUUCAAGCGAUUGUCGUACUCAGACAAUCUGCCCACAUGCUCAACGAUUGAGCUUUUCUCCUUUACUUUGUGGACAAAGAAUCUUGUCGGAGGUCUCGUACCUCUUAACAAGGGCACAAGCAUGAAAUCAUAAUUUCAUCUCUUUAGAACAUCAAUUAUGUUCCAUGACGUUUCAAAACGUCUUCGGCGCCUUGCUUCUAAGCCAUUAAGUAUUUUGCACUGAACUAUCAUGUAGUCAUCAGAAACGUGUAUGUCGGAUGUUCACAGCAUCCACAGACGACGCUCGAGGUGCAGCACACCGAGUGGUGCAUUAAGGACAUAAGCCUUCUGCGCAGCAACGAGGACAAUCCUCUGCAAAGUUUGCUACUAUCAACUAAAUUUUCUCUAGGAACAUAUAAAAACAGUAGAGCUAUAGCGCAAGCUACAUCGUAAUUCGCAAAGACCAUUAGACUAUGUUCAUGACAAUUAGUUCAAUUAAUCAUAUUACUUAAGAACUCCCACUCAAAAAGUACAUCUCUCUAGUCAUUUGAGUGGUACAUGAUCCAAAUCCACUAUCUCAAGUCCGAUCAUCACGUGAGUCGAGAAUAGUUUCAGUGGUAAGCAUCUCUAUGCUAAUCAUAUCAACUAUACGAUUCAUGCUCGACCUUUCGGUCUCAUUUGUUCCGAGGCCAUGUCUGCACAUGCUAGGCUCGUCAAGCUUAACCCGAGUGUUCCGCGUGUACAACUGUUUUGCACCCGUUGUAUGUGAACGUUGAGUCUAUCACACCCGAUCAUCACGUGGUGUCUCGAAACGUAGAACUGUUGCAACGGUGCACAGUCGGGGAGAACACAAUUUCGUCUUGAAAUUUUAGUGAGAGAUCACCUUAUAAUGCUACCGUCGUUCUAAGCAAGAUAAGGUGCAUAAAGGAUUAACAUCACACGCAAUUCAUAAGUGACAUGAUAUGGCCAUCAUCAUGUGCUUCUUGAUCUCCAUCACCAAAGCACCGGCACGAUCUUCUUGUCACCAGCGUCACACCAUGAUCUCCAUCAUCAUGAUCUCCAUCAACGUGUCGCCAUCGGGGUUGUCGUGCUACUCAUGCUAUUACUACUAAAGCUACGUCCUAGCAAUAUAGUAAACGCAUCUGCAAGCACAAACGUUAGUUUAAAGAUAACCCUAUGGCUCCUGCCGGUUGCCGUACCAUCGACGUGCAAGUCAAUAUUAACUAUUACAACAUGGUCAUCUCAUAAAUCCAAUAUAUCACAUCACAUCGUUGGCCAUAUCACAUCACAAGCAUACCCUGCAAAAACAAGUUAGACGUCCUUUAAUUGUUGUUGCAUGUUUUACGUGGUGACCAUGGGUAUCUAGUAGGAUCGCAUCUUACUUACGCAAACACCACAACGGAGAUAUAUGAAUUGCUAUUUAACCUCAUCCAAGGACCUCCUCGGUCAAAUCUGAUUCAACUAAAGUUGGAGAAACCGACACUUGCCAGUCAUCUUUGAGCAACGGAGUUACUCGUAGCGAGGAAACCAGUCUCUCGUAAGCAUACGAGUAAUGUCGGUCCAAGCCGCUUCAAUCCAACAAUACCGCGGAAUCAAGAAAAGACUAAGGAGGGAAGCAAAACGCACAUCACCUCCCACAAAAACUUUUGUGUUCUACUCGAGAAAACAUCUACGCAUGAACCUAGCUCUUGAUGCCACUGUUGGGGAACGUCGCAUGGGAAACAAAAAAUUUCCUACGCGCAUGAAGACCUAUCAUGGUGAUGUCCAUCUACGAGAGGGGAUUUCCGAUCUACGUACCCUUGUAGAUCGCACAGCAGAAGCGUUAAGAAACACGGUUGAUGUAGUGGAACGUCCUCACAUCCCUCGAUCCGCCCCGCGAACCAUCCCAGGAACCGUCCCGCGAUACGUCCCACGAUCCGCUCCGAUCUAGUGCCGAACGGACGGCUCCUCCGCGUUCAGCACACGUACAGCUCGACGAUGAUCUCGGCCUUCUUGAUCCAGCAAGAGAGACGGAGAGGUAGGUGAGUUCUCCGGCAGCGUGACGGCGCUCCGGAGGUUGGUGGUGAUCUAAUCUCAGCAAGGCUCGGCCCGAGCUCCGCAGAAACGUGAUCUAGAGGUAAAACCGUGGAGGUAUGUGGUCGGGCUGCCGUGGCAAAAGUUUUCUCAAAUCAGCCCUAAUUGCUCCAUAUAUAUAGGAGGAGGGAGGGGAGGCUUGCCUUGAGGCUCAAGGAGCCCCAAGGCUGCGCCACCAUCGGGAGGAGGAGUCCUCCUCCAAUCCCAGUCCAACUAGGAUUGGAAGGUGGAGUCCUUCUCUCUUUUCCCACCUUUCCUUUUUUUUUUCNCGUCGAACCUUAAGUGUGCAGACCCUGCGGGUUCGAGAACUAUGUAGACAUGACCCGAGUGACUCCUCGGUCAAUAUCCAAUAGCGGGACCUGGAUGCCCAUAUUGGAUCCUACAUAUUCUACGAAGAUCUUAUCGUUUGAACCUCAGUGCCAAGGAUUCAUAUAAUCCCGUAUGUCAUUCCCUUUGUCCUUCGGUAUGUUACUUGCCCGAGAUUCGAUCGUCAGUAUCCGCAUACCUAUUUCAAUCUCGUUUACCGGCAAGUCUCUUUACUCGUUCCGUAAUACAAGAUCCCGCAACUUACACUAAGUCACAUUGCUUGCAAGGCUUGUGUGUGAUGUUGUAUUACCGAGUGGGCCCCGAGAUACCUCUCCGUCACACGGAGUGACAAAUCCCAGUCUCGAUCCAUACUAACUCAACGAACACCUUCGGAGAUACCUGUAGAGCAUCUUUAUAGUCACCCAGUUACGUUGCGACGUUUGAUACACACAAAGCAUUCCUCCGGUGUCAGUGAGUUAUAUGAUCUCAUGGUCAUAGGAACAAAUACUUGACACGCAGAAAACAGUAGCAACAAAAUGACACGAUCAACAUGCUACGUUUAUUAGUUUGGGUCUAGUCCAUCACAUGAUUCUCCUAAUGAUGUGAUCCCUUUAUCAAGUGACAACACUUGCCUAUGGUCAGGAAACCUUGACCAUCUUUGAUCAACGAGCUAGUCAACUAGAGGCUUACUAGGGACAGUGUUUUGUCUAUGUAUCCACACAUGCACUGUGUUUCCAAUCAAUACAAUUAUAGUAUGGAUAAUAAAUGAUUAUCAUGAACAAAGAAAUAUAAUAAUAACUAAUUUAUUAUUGCCUCUAGGGCAUAUUUCCAACACUUCAAGCAUCUCAAUAAGGUCUGCCCGAAAGUCCAUUUUCCGCUCCCCCGCGUCGAUCAAAUUGUCGAUUCGACUGCGGGUUGCGAGCGUUUGUCAUUCCUUGAUGCCUACUCGGGCUAUCAUCAGAUCCGUUUGUAUGGCCCCGAUGAAUUAAAGACAGCCUUCAUCACCCCAUUCGGGUGCUUCUGCUACAUCACUAUGCCAUUUGGUUUGAAGAAUGCAGGAGCAACCUUUAUGCGCAUGAUCCAAAAAUGCCUCCUCGACCAGAUCGGUCGGAAUGUGGAGGCGUAUAUGGAUGAUAUCGUAGUCAAGUCACGCAAAGGUUCCGACCUGCUAACUGACUUGGCAGAAACAUUCGCCAACCUUCGUAGGUACAAUAUCAAGCUCAACCCAGCCAAGUGUUCAUUCGGCGUUCCCAGCGGAAAGUUACUCGGUUUCUUCGUUUCCGAACGAGGGAUCGAUGUCAACCCCGAAAAGAUCGGGACCAUCGUCCGAAUGGAGCGGCCGGUCAGAAUACACGAUGUUCAAAGACUCGCAGGUUUCCUAGCGGCUUUGAGCAGGUUUAUCAGUCGACUCGGCGAGAAGGCACUUCCUCUGUACCGACUCAUGAAGAAAUCAGAUACUUUCGAGUGGACAGACGAAGCCCAAAUUGCAUUCGACGACCUCAAAGUCCUACUUUCCACCCAGCCGGUUCUUACCGCUCCGCUCAGUAAAGAACCCCUUCUUCUUUACAUCGCGGCUACAAAUCAAGUCGUCAGCACUGUUCUCACAGUCGAACAGGAAGAAGAAGGCAAAGCAUUCAAGGUUCAGCGGCCAGUGUAUUAUGUCUCCGAAGUCCUGACUCCUUCCAAGCAGAGGUAUCCCCAUUAUCAAAGACUUAUCUACGGGAUUUAGAUGACUGCGAAGAAGGUGGCUCAUUAUUUUCAAGACCACUCGGUGUCCGUCAAUUUUGAUGCUCCGUUGUCGGAAAUCCUACACAAUCGGGACGCAUCGGGCCGAGUGGCGAAGUGGGCAAUGGAGAUGUUAUACUGCGACAUCAAGUUCGAGGCCAAGAAAGCUAUAAAGUCUCAAGCUCUGGCUGACUUCAUAGCAGAAUGGGUAGAACAACAGCAACCGACCCACAUCUACUCGGCUCAUUGGAAUGUUCUUCGAUGGGUCCAAGAUGUUGAAUGGCUCCGGCGCUGGCGUUGUGAUCAUAUCACCAAAGGGUGACAAACUCAAGUAUGUGUUGCAGAUACACUUUGAUUCCUCCAACAACGAGGCAGAGUAUGAAGCUCUCCUUUAUGGACUGCGCAUGGCCAUCGCACUCGGCGUCCGUGGCCUGAUGGUCUAUGGCGAUUCGGAUUUGGUGGUUAAUCAAGUGAUGAAGGAGUGGGACGUCAGGAACCCCACCAUGACCACAUACUGCAAUGCAGUGAGGAAGCUCGAGAAAAAGUUUGAAGGUCUGGAACUCCACCAUGUUCGGCGACUGAAAAACCAAGCAGCUGAUGAGUUGGCAAAACUCGGAGACCAGUCCCGAGUGACGUUUGCCUCGAGCACUUCCACCUUCCUUCAGUUAAAAGAAGAUCCUUUCACAGAGGAACUAGUACAACCAAAGAGCUCGACAGAUCCGACUGAAGUCGAAGUCCCUACUGUGGUUGAUUUGAUCAUGGAGAUUCUUGCUAUCAUCCCCGAUUGAACUGUGCCGUUUAUUGCAUACAUCCUGAGGCAAGAAUUACCAGAAGACAAAGUCCAAGCCAGACAGAUCGUCCGCAGGUCAAAGUCGUUCACUCUCAUUGAUGACCAGUUGUAAAAAGAAGGCGUUUCAGGCAUCCUUCAACGAUGCAUCUCCCCUAAGGAGGGACAGUUAAUCCUGUAAGAAAUUCACUCGAGAACCUGCGGUCAUCACGCCUCCUCAAGGGCAAUCGUCGCCAAAGCAUUCAGAGCUGGCUUCUUCUGGCUGUAGGUGAAUGAAAUGGUGAAAGAUAUGGUCGACCGAUGUGAAGGCUGUCAGUUCUACUCUAACAAGUCCCACAAACCAACAUCUGCGUUGAAGACAAUCCCUCUUGUUUGGCCGUUUGUAGUAUGGGAAUUAGAUACAGUCGGUCCAUUCAGGACAGGCCAAGGGGGAUUUACACAUCUGUUGGUGGCAGUCGACAAGUUCACAAAGUGGAUUGAAGCCAAGCCCAUCAAGAAGCUCGACACCCUUACGGCCAUCAAGUUUGUCAGGGACAUCAUCUCCAGAUUCGGGGUACCUCACAACAUAAGCACUUACAAUGGAACAAACUUUGACUCGGACAGAUUCAAAGGUUUCUGUACAGGCCAAGGUAUCCGAGUGGAUUUUGCAUCUGUGGCGCAUCCCCAAACAAACGGGCAAGCAGAGAGGGCGAAUGGACUUAUUCUGCAAGGUUUGAAGCCUCGACUCCUGCGAGAAGUGGGACAUGCCGCCGGCGCAUGGGUCACCGAGCUGCCUUCGGUACUUUGGGGUCUCCGCACAACCCCAAAUAGAUCUACAGGGCGAUCCCUGUUCUUCCUCGUUUACGGAGCAGAGGCAGUCCUUCCGAGUGACUUGCUUCACAACGCUCCACGAGUUGAACUCUUCUCCGAAGCUGAAGCAGAGCAAGAAAGGCAAGACGGAGUGGAUCUUCUAGAGGAGGAGCGUGAGAUGGCACUGACUCGCUCAACCAUUUAUCAACAAGAUCUACGACGCUUUCACGCGCGACACGUCAGGAGUCGUACAUUCCAAGCAGGCGACCUGGUGCUCCGAGUGGAUCAGCAGAGACCUCACAAGUUGGCUCCUGCCUAGGAAGGACCCUUCAUCAUCUCCAAGGUGCUGAAAAACGGAGCAUAUCGACUCUACAACCUCGACAGGGAAACGGACGAGCCGUGAGCAUGGAACGGAGAUCUCCUGAAGCGCUUCUACACGUGACCGUCGACUGAAGCAAUGUAAAGAACAAGUAUCGUUGAAGUAAUGCAAAGCAGAUUGAGUUUUUUGCAGAUUCAAAAUCCUUCCGCGUUCGCAGACUCCGGUCUUAAAAAAAAACUUAGCUGCGAACCAAAAUCGCCUAAGUAUAAACUUUCUCCGAGUGUGCACUAAACGUUGCACUCGGGGACUUAGCUGCGAUCCAGAAUCGCCUAAGUACUAACUUUCUCCGAGUGUGCACUAAACGUCGCACUCGGGGACUUAGCUGCGAUCCAGAAUCACCUAAGUAAUAACUUUCUCCGAGUGUGCACUAAACAUCGCACUCGGGGACUUAGCUGCGAUCAAGAAUCGCCUAAGUAAUAACUUUCUCCGAGUGUGCACUAAACGUCGCACUCACGGACUUAGCUGCGAUCCAGUAUCGCCUAAGUAAUAACUUUCUCUGAGUGUGCACUAAACGUCGCACUCGGGGACUUAGCUGCGAUCAAGAAUCGCCUAAGUAAUAACUUUCUCCGAGUGUGCACUAAACGUCGCACUCGGGGACUUAGCUGCGAUCAAGAAUCGCCUAAGUAAUAACUUUCUCCGAGUGUGCACUAAACGUCACACUCGGGGACUUAGCUGCGAUCAAGAAUCGCCUAAGUACAAACUUUCUCCGAGUGUGCACUAAACGUCACACUCGGGGACUUAGCCGCGAUCCAGAAUUGCCUAAGUAUUAACUUUCUCCGAGUGUACACUAAACGUCGCACUCGGGGACUUGUCUGCGACAAAGAAUCGCCUAAGUAGAAAGCUUCCUUCGAGUGUAUCUUACAGAACCACUCGGAGGCUUAGCAGACCCUCAUUGAGGCUCAUGUAGAUGUCGAGAUAACUGACAAUUACAUGAGUAGCACGACCCUCAUUGAGGCUCAUGUAGAUGUCGAGACAACUGACAAUUACAUGAGUACCAGAACCUCAUUGAGGCUCAUGUAGAUGUCAAGACAACUGACAAUUACAUGAGUAACAACUCGCUCCGAGUACGACCUUACAGUCGCACUCGAAGACUUAGCCACGAUCACGAAUCGCCUAAGUACACAAUUGCCUUCGAGUGUAUCCUACAGAUCCACUCGGAGACUCAGCAGACCCUCAGUGAGGCUCAUGCAGAUGUCAAGACAACUGACAAUUAAAUGAGUACCAGAACCUCAUUGAGGCUCAUGUAGAUGUCAAGACAACUGACAAUUACAUGAGUAACAACUCGCUCCGAGUACGACCUUACAGUCGCACUCGAAGACUUAGCCGCGAUCACGAAUCGCCUAAGUACACAAUUGCCUUCGAGUGUAUCCUAUAGAUCCACUCGGAGACUCAGCAGACCCGCAGUGAGGCUCAUGCAGAUGUCAAGACAACUGACAAUUACAUGCUUCGCAUGUUUGCCAUUGGCUUCACCAAGAAACGCCAAACAAAUACCACGAGCCAAAAUCGUGUCAACAACUCUUUGGCAAAGGAAGAGCAAAAGAUUCGAUUCAAAUUCAAAGUUGGUUUAAAGAUAGUCGGUUCGGUGUAGAUCAAGCUUAUCCUCACCGAACCACGAAUGUGACGGCCAACAGCAGUGGCCAAAGUUUGAUACAUGUAACACUCGGCAUACCGAGGUAAAAGUUUUCUCAAGCGUCGUCAGGACUGGCACUGGGACUGGCAGGCUCCACGAAAGUGUCGAGGUCGACCCCAUCCGUGAUACGAGUGGCGCUCUCAAGGAAGUUCUCCAUGAAAUCUUCGAAUCGAAGCUUCUUGGUGUUUGCAACCUGCAGCGCCUUCAGCUUCUCUUCGCGAGCCCCUUUGCAGUGCACUCGGACCAGCGACAGCGCCACGUCCGCACCACAGUGAGCAGCAGACUUCUUCCACGCCUGCACUCGGUUUGGGACGUCCUCCAGCCGAGUCAUCAACCCUUCCAUUUCCUACCGGGACUCGUCUUCGGGCCACAGCUCCUUGUCGAUUCGGCCGACGACUUUCUCAGUCGACCGAUGAAAGGUCCCACUUUGCCCAGGCGAAUGUGCGCUCGGAGCAUGUCUCGAUUGGCGUCCUCGCCGAGUGGAACGUUCGGAAUAACCGACCGCUCAACGUCAGCUGCUUCAGCCUCAGCGUCCAUACAAAAAUCUACAAAGACAAGACGAGCAGAAAGUAAGCGCAGAAUGAAAUACACAGUCAAGAAGCACUCGAAAAAACAGAACUUACCACCGAGAAGCGCAAUCAUCUUCCUUGCCCAGUCACUGACGUACUUCUCCUGUGAUAUGCACCGCCUGUUCAUCACCUUCAUCUGCCCCAUCAGCUCGGUUCUUUGUUUCCCCAUUUUCUCCAUUGCGGCCACCAAUGCCUUGUUUGCCUCACGGGACUCCUCCAAGGACUUCUCUCGUUCAGCCAGAACACCCUUUAGACCAGCCAAGGCAAGCAUUGCUGCAUCCAGUUCCGCAGCAAACCGAAUCUUUUCAGCCUUCACAGUGUGGUACGCCGAUCCAAUCUCGCAAGUCUUCUGCAAGUCAGCGCGAAGAGACGAUCAGACAAAUUCAGCAAGGAAAACAAUAAAAACUCGAAGUUCUUCACACCCCUGCCGACGCAAGCAGUCGACAGCGGUCUCGGGGACUACACCCAGUGGGUUCACUAAGAGUGACCCCACUGGCAUGAAGCUCAAACAGGUCCGCCCUAUUGAGAUACAUAACAAAAACAAGCCUAUGAGGCUACUACUACCCGACCUGAGUAAAAUUACUCUCGGGGAAUAAUCCAGUAGGUGCACUCGGAGUCCCCCCACUGGUAACAUUCCAACAGAUUAGUUUUGAUCUGAUCAACUUAAAAAAUAUGUAUAUAAAGACAACUGCCGGUGCAAGCACUCGACAGAAGUCUCGGGGACUACACCCACUGGGUUCACUAAGAGUGAACCCACUGCAAAAUAAUCAUCCUGCAUCCGAGUAUAUUGCUUAAACACCCAGUGGGUUACAAGGGGAAAGCAAAUACUUACUAGCCCACUUACACGGAUAUCGUCCUGGAGUUCCAAGCUUCGCUUGUAUACACACGCGAUGGAGUCGUAUGCUCUCUUGGCAUCACCCGCCAUCAACUCCGCCUGCACCAUGGCCCCCUUGGUAGCUCCCACCUGAUCUUCCGGAAGGCGCCGGGCGUCGAACUGGACAGUCGACGGACCUGGCACCACAAGAGACUCCUUGGGCAUCCCAAGUCCUGCUCCAGUCGGUUCAGCAACGAUGAGCGCCGUGUCAGUCGACGAGAUCGUCUCGGUUGGCGGUGCGUCCAUGGCGGGAGUAGUAACAGAUGGAACAGCCUCAAGGACAGGCGCCGCAGCUUGCUCGGACCCCUUCUGAUUGUCCUCCUCCACAUGGAUCACCUCUGAAGGAAGCCCGACCAAACGACGUGAGACCACAGGAAAAAGGACAAGACCAAAGACGGAAUUCGUGAAACAAUAAUGUAAGCUCUCGGAGUCGCCAUGACGUACCUUGCUGGGACGUGACAACGUUGUCCGUAUCCAUGGGAUCGUCCCCCUGGCGUGGCAGAGAAGUGGCAGAGGUGGCAGCUCUGUCGAUUAAAAUUCACUCGACCAAUAAGCAUGAGUUCAAUCAAAUACUAGAAGAAGAUAUAGGAACAAUACACUUACGCUGAGGCGACUGGAACGGCGAUCCUCAUCCGCGGCAAAGCCUUCUGAGGCUUGGAUCCACUCGGUUUGGCCACCUUAGAGGGCUGGCCCGUGGGCUCAGCAGUAGAGUCCCUGGUCCUCUUUGUGCUCCGAGCACUCGGAACCACGGGAGAAGCUGGCAAGGCACUCGGAACCACAGGAGGAGCUGGCGGGGCACUCGAAGCCACUGGAGGAGCCGACUGAGCCGCGGGUUCGUGGCGGCGUUUAGUUCGAGGCUCUGGUGGUGGAGGUGGCAAGUUCUGUUCCUCAUCUUCCCCCUCUUAUUCUUCGGACUCCUCCUCCGUCUCCCCACUGUCGGAGACGUACUCGACGCUCUCCAUGCUGCCCUCCUGGCUGCCUUCCUCUUCCUCAGCCGAAUUCCCGUUCGAGACGGGAGAAAACCAGUUGGUCCACGCCUGCACGAGAUACAGUCGACAACAUCAGACGUCAGACAGUGAUAUAGGAAAAAGCGAUAAAUCCCCCCCGACAAGUUAUACUCACCUCAUUCGGAGGAGGGUUGUCCGCGCGGAAGGGCUUCACUCGCCGGGCUCCUCUGGGGUUGUCGCAGGCGCCUGUGAUGUUGCGGACCCACGACGUCACAAGCUCCCCGGUCACGCACUCGAGGUUAGUCCGAGUGGAGUCCUCAGGCCCCGAGUAGUGCCACAUGGCGUGGUGUCGAGCUUGAAAAGGCUGGAUACGCCGCCCCAGAAAAAUCUCCAGCAAAUCUAUGCCAGUGACUCCCUUUCGGACGACCUCUACCAGCGUGUUGACCAGAGGCUGGAUCUGAAUCUUCUCCAUCUUCAUGAGCGCAAGCUGCCUAGGCGGAGCCAGACGGUCUAGGCUAAAAGGUAGCGGUCCAGUCGCGGCAUUCGGACACGCAACGUCCUGACAGUAGAACCAAGUCGACUGCCAGUUCCUAACGGAUUCAGACAACUGAAGAGCGGGAUAGCUACUUUUACUUUUCUUUUGGAAGCCUAAGCCUCCGCAGAGCUGGAGGAGGUGAGUUUUGUCAUCCGACUGGCUAAGUCUUUUGAUGGUUUGAGAUCUAGCAGAGAAGAUGUGCUUGAAGAGCCCCCAAUGGGGAGGACAGCCGAUAAAACACUCGCACAGCACGACGAAGGCUGAGAGAUGAGCUAUUGCGUUGGGAGGAAAAUGGUGGAGCUGCACCCCGAAGUGGUUCAUUAUACCUCUGAAGAAGGGAUGAGGAGGCAGAGAGAAGCCUCGGUACACGUGACUGAGCAGCAGGACGCGCUCCCCCUCCUGGGGCGCCGACUCUGUUUCGCCCUCCGCCGGCAGCCUCCACGUCUUGUGCUCGAUCAUGCCUUGAUCCACCAGCUCCAGCAUGUCCUCCUUCGUCACCGUGGAGGGGAGGAAAUCCCCCUGGAUCCGACCCGCCGGCAGUGCUCGCUGCCGCCGCUGAGCAGGAGCCGCCGCCUUCUUCUUCUUCCGCGCCUCGAGUUUGCUCGUCUGCCCCUUCGUCAUGGUGGAGGGUGUAGAUCCGCGGGGGAGGAGGGGAAGGAAGGAGCUUGGGAUGCGCAGGAGAUCGCGAGAGAAGCGAGACAAGUGCGAGCUAUCAGGCGAGUGCAACGAAAAACCCUCGCUGUAGAGGUUUAAAUAAGGUUCCGACUGGGUCACUAGCAGGUGGCCCCGAAAUCUUAUCCCCAGACCGGUUGCUGCGAUAUUAGUGGAGAAGAUGAAGGCGCGGAAAUCGAGGCGGCAGAUACUACUUGAUUGCGAUGUCGUCAUCCCCGCUGAGCGCGCGGCAACCGAAAUUUGAGGAUCCCAGAAAAUCCGCCGCUGUCAGUUGAUUGGUCACGUCAAAAGAUUCCACGGAAGCACUCGGUCCCUGACGGUUCGUUUCACAGAUACAUCCACUCGGAUCACUGGUCAAGAAGAUAAAAUGGAUCAUGGCAGACACCGGCAAAGUCGCAUCCAUACCAGUCGGAUCCGUACUCCAAGCAUCGCUUCGUCGUUCCAACCCCAAUCCAUUCGGGGACUAAUGAUGGGGUUAUAGUCCUAGGGUAGGGUCAUAGGCCUGCCCUAUGGGUCCUACCCAAGGACUACCCUUCAUAAAGGAUAAGGCCCUUAGUCAGUUCCGACUGAAUUAAGGACUUCCCAUCAUCCAAUCGGUGACGAUUCCUCCAUCAUCCAGUCGGAGAUGAGCAUUCGGAGUGUAUCAAACUUACCGACUGGAUUCCACUCUGUACAUCGUAACCCCCCUGGAGGGCAAUGGUCAUACGUUUCCAUGUACCUUUAUUAGCAUUUAAGACAUACGUUACCUGUAACGUUGGCAUUUAUUCGCCACUACUCCACCCCUGUGCACCGAACCGUUGUGAAGGGCAGCGCACUCUAUAUAAGCCGCCCUUCCCCACUGGUGCAGGGGUUAGCAAUUCACUGUAAUCCAUAUUCCACUCGACAUCAAGCUCCAAGAGCACUGAGACAUAGGGCUUUUACCUCCACCGUAGAGGGGCCUGAACUCAUACAGCCUCGCCGUAGCUAAGGCUCUGCCCAUCCUUUCGUACCCUACACAUCUACUGUCAGACUUAUACCCACGACAGUAGCCAUGAGGUCUGCUUCGAAGACUCUUCAUGAGAGGGCUACCACACCUAGCAAGACCACUUAGCUUGUCUAUGAUCUGACAUAGCGGGGAUCUGAUCAAUGUAUCCAAUGGUAUUGGUGUUCACAUUUCUCUGAAACUUGAAAGCAGGACAAGAUGUUGGAUGCCCACUAGUAGAAAGCAGGGCUUUGGUCCAGGUCUGAAAUCCCAUUAAUCCCCAUUCACUCAUGGACUGGGACCCAUGGGGGCAUCGGUCCCGGUUCGUGAGGCCAGGGCGCUGGCUGGGCCUUGUGGGUCAUUGGUCCCGGUUCGUGUCACCCCUUUGGUCCGGUUCCAGACACGAACCGGGACCAAUGGGCCUCGCUCUUGGCCCACAAUCAUUGGUACCGGUUUGUGGCUGGAACCGGGACCAAAUGGUGUCUUUUAGACCCGGUUCCAGCCACAAACCGGGAUCAAUGGUUGGCCUAUAUAUACCCCCUACCCGCGAGCAGAGCAGUGCACUGCUCUAUUUUUUUGGCCGACCGUGGGAGAGAUUUGUGGUGCUCUAGCUCACCUCCUAUGCACAUGAGGUGUUCGAUGAAAUGCCCGAGCCACACUUAAGCUUGCUCCUCGCGAAGCUCCUUGUCCAAGCUCCAUUUUCCUCAAGAUUUGUCUAGGUUUGGCGGUCCGUCCUGUCCCGUCCCCGUCCUCACCGUCGUCGAUCGCCUGAGCCCAUCUCGGCGCCGGCACCACUGUGGUUAGCCUCUUCUUCUUAUCUUCUUUAUAAAAGAAAAAAGUUCUUACUUGUAUGAUUUAGAUAGAGACCUGUGUAAUUUUCUUACUUCUAUUAUUUUUUGUUAUUAUAUAGUGCGAUGGUUUUGGUAUCCGCCUUCGUUGAUCCUCGUCCUGUCUCUGAUUCGGAUGUGGUAUAUAUUAUCUUUUAUAACUAUUUGUUUUAUUUAGUGUUUAUGACAAUUAUGCCGAACAAUGUGACAUAGAUUUUUUUAAUCUAGUAGGUAUGUGAACCGGAAAUUCCAACCGACAUAGAAAUUCUUGGCAAGAAGUUAAAUUUGGUUGAAAAAGAAAACAAUUACUUAAAAGAAAAAUUACAAAGAGUUGAAGAGGAGAAGAUGAAAUUAGAGUUGAAUGUUGCCGAUGUCGUCGACGAUCACAAGAUCAAGAUGGAUGCAAUGUGCUUGAAGAUUAGAAAGAUUAGAAAAUAUGCCAUUCAUAUUGAGGCUUGGUAUCAUUAUGUCGUUGGAUCAAUUGGUACCUUAGUUGCGGUUAUGAUCUCAUUUGUUGUUGCAUUUAAAUUUUGUAGUUUCAAUGUAUGUUUUAAUUAGAUACUCUAGAGAGCUAUAUGUUCUUCAAUAAUGAGAACUAUGUUGAAGGUCAUGUAUUUAUUUUGGUCACUACUGUACUUUGGCUUUAAUGUGAUGAUGAAUUUCUAUUAAUUUGGUCACUUCUCUAUUCAUGAUAUGAUGUAAUGGUUUUUAAUACACUUUAUUAUAUAAUGCAUGCAGAUGAACCGACAAUGGAUUUACGGUGACCGACGCACCUCCGAGUAUAUUAAGGGCCUGCAUAAUUUUCUCGAAGCGACUGAGACAAACAAGCAGAAUGGUUUUAUGCAUUGUCCAUGUACUGUCUGUGGGAAUACGAAGGCUUUAUCCAACUCUAAAACCCUUCACUUCCACCUGCUUGAGAAGGGUUUUAUGCCACACUAUAAUGUUUGGACCAAGCACGAAUAAAGAGGGGUUAUGGUGGAAGACAACGAAUAAGAAGAGGAUGAUGACAACUACCCGCCCCCUUAAUACGGUGAUGCUGCAAUGGGGGAAGCUGAAGAUCAAGAGGAACCACACGAUCUGCCCGAUGAUGAUCUUCGCUGGGUCAUUGUUGAUGCACAGAGAGAAUGCGAAAGUGAAAGCGAGAAGUUGAAGUUCGAUUGCAUGUUAGAGGAUCACAAAAAAGGAUUGUACCCAAAUUGUGAAGAUGACAACACAAAGCUCGGUACCACAUUGGAAUUGCUGCAAUGGAAGGCAAACAGUGGUGUAUCUGACAAGUGAUUUAGUUUGCUACUAAAAAUAAUGAAGAAGAAGCUUCCUAAGGAUAACAAAUUGCCCGACAGUACGUACGAAGCAAAGAAGGUUCUAUGCCCUCUAGGAUUGGAGGUGCAGAAGACACAUGCAUGCCCUAAUGACUGCAUCCUCUAGCGCGGUGCGUACGAGGAUUUGAACGCAUGCCCGGUAUGUGAUGCAUUGCGGUAUAAGAUCAGAAGAGAUGACCCUGGUGAUGUCGAGGGCUAGCGCACCGGGAAGAGGGUUCCUGCCAAGGUGAUGUGGUAUGCUCCUAUAAUACCACGGUUGAAACGUUUGUUCAGAAACAAAAAGCAUGCCGAGUUGAUGCAAUGGCACAUAAAAGACCGUAAGAAAAACGGGAAGUUGACACUACUAGGGAAAAUCGUAGUAGUAGCGCUGGUUUUACCCUUACUAUUAGCGUUGGGGCCAGCGCUACUGCUAACGUGCUACAACUAACUCUUAGCAGUAGCGCUAGAAUAAACAAAGUGCUACUGCUAAGCCAGCGCUAUUGCUAAUAUUCCAGCGCUAUUGCUAAUAUUCCUGCUUUUAAUGUUUAAUUCACAUCGUAUUUAUGUCCCCCUACGUAUUUGUGCAUGCUCUAUACAAUGGUUUCAUCAUAUCAUAAUAAACAUGCAUAAUUUGCAUCACAUCAUACACAUAAAGUACUCCCUCCGUCCCAAAAUUCUUGUCUUAUAUUUGUUUAGAUACAAAUGUAUCUAGUCAAAUUUAGUAUUUAGAUACAUCCAUUUCUAGACAAAGCUAAGACAUGAAUUUUGGGACGGAGGGAGUAUCAUGUCAUAUAACUCAUCAUCAUCUUACGUACUCAUCUAACAACUCAUCAUCAUCUUAAUCAUAUACCAAGUUAUCAUAUGAUACACAUAAAGUAAAACAUAAAAACAUCAUAAUAGUCAUCAUAUGCAUGAUACUAAUCAAUCAUGUCAAGUUAAUAUAAACCAGAAUAACUUGUCUCUCAUAAGACCUAGUCCUCGCUCCUAGGUAUAAUGUCAUAAAACAGAAUAACACCUAUGUGUCCAUGAUGAAGUACAUAGAUCCAACGGUCUCCAACUUGUGGCUUGCGAUCCUUCUUUAUUUCUCUCCAUGCUUCAAUUUGGAGCCUUUUUUUAUUUUGAUUUGCGGUUACUCGAGUAUGGAGCAUUGAACUCAGCCCUCAGCGGGAUUUCAAUUUUCAUAUGACCUUCUGUGUGCAUCAACAGAGGCACUACAUCAUGUGGCAGUUGCUGUUGAAGAACAUAAUAAUAACCUAGUUAGCAAUGUAAUCAACACCAUUUAUGCAAUAGUAGAGCAUACUUAAUUAGGAAACUCUUACCAAGAUAUUUCGGUGAAUGUCAUCCGGCCUCAACCUAUGCACUAGUGGCAUGUAAAAUGUAUAAUUUUGGCCAAUUCCCAAAUUAUAUGGGAAGUUAUCCCCAGAAACCAGAACACCAACAAGAAAGUAGAGAAGAACAUCCUUCUCCUCCCAAGUUAGACGUGAUCCACACGUGUAGUGUGCCGUGUCAAUUAAUUUUCAUAAUUCACUCGAAGAAACGAAAUAAACUGUAAAUUAUAAUUUAACAAAUUUAGUAUAUGGAUGAACACCAACUAUUUCUAAAUAUAGAAUGCAAAUUACUUGACAAAUAUGGUUGAGGAACUCACAUGGAGGUAAAACAGGAAGCAUAGCAACAACCACCCAAAUGUCGAUGUUGCCUGGCAUAUUAUCUUUGGGACGAAGAUUGAAGGUUAUUUCCAUAUCCUCCUGAAAUCCAUAUGCCUUGCAAAGAUCUUCCCAAUUUAGUAUAUGGAUGAAAAUCUGAAUUAAAUACUUUGAUAACAAAUGUGUGACCAUGUAUAGUCCCCAGGUUAGCGCUCCUCGUCUCCAUUCUCUCGUGGUCUUCGAAACCAAGCCUCUGCAACACAUAUCUUCUUGCAUGGAAAGGGAGGAACAUAUCUCCAUUCUCGUCAAGCUUCAUGCUGAAGAACCUAUCGUCUCGCAGGUGAGGCGUGUCACACAUACCCCGAAUGUCGCCGCAAUAUUCACACUCCCAAUAUUCAUCGUGAGACAUUUCCUGUUUUAAUGUUGUAAAUGUGUAAACAACAACCAUGAUGUAAACUUCUCGCCCCUCGUUGGAUACCCCAAGUGGAAGGUGGAGAUGUAGUUAGCAGCAAAUUUCCCUCAUAGAGACUGUAAGGUUUAUCGAACCAGUAGGACUCCUAGGCUCAACAAUUAGGUGUCUUCCACACUGGCGCUAGCAGAAGACGUGGACCUGCACACACAACAAAUAACUUUGCUCCCAACGAGUGCAAAGAGGUUGUCAAUCUGUCCAGCCUUGUAAUUUGCAAAGGAUCAAAACACAAGCGGGAAGGUAAUAGUGAUUGCAACGGAAAAGUAAAUGAAAGCGGUAAAUGAUGGAGGUGUAAACAAUGAUGGUGAUAUGGACCAGAGUCACAUGAUGUUCACUAGUGAUGUCUCUCUCCCAAAAGACGAUAAACAGCUACUGGUCAUGGACUCAUGGUCCAAGGAGGACUACUCACGGCACGUCCGGGAAGUAUCCAUGACGGUGGAGAAGUUCCUGGAGGUCAAUUCUCCCUCCGGCAGGGUGCCGGGAAGAGGUCUCCUGAUGUUCCCGAUCUUGGAAGCGCUGCGGCGGUGGAACGAUGGAGAAAUUCGUGAUUUCAGAAAGUCUGCGAGGGUUUCCUCACGAAACUCUAAAUAUAGGCCAAAGGAGGGCAUCGGAGGAGGUGGGACCCACCCAGGCGACCCCCUGGCGCGGCCUAGGGCCUGGCUGCGCUAGCAGGCCGCCUAGGAGGCCCCUUGCCCCCCUUUGGCCCUCGUUCGGUGAUCCUGAAGCUUCUGUUUCGCUGAUUUUUUUAUAUAUAUUUUCUGGAUUUUUUCAGGCUUCAGAAAAUUGGGUAAAAGCCCCUGCAAAAUAGACAUCAGCAGAGAGAAACUGGCACUGGGUGCACUGAGUUAGUAGGUUAGUCCAAAUAUGUGUAAAAUGAUAUCAAAGUGUAGCAAAACAUAUAACAAUGUCACCCAAAAGAUCAUGGAACAAGCAGAAAUUAUAGAUACGUUUGGGACGUAUCAACAUCCCCAACCUUAAUUUCUGCUCGUCCUCGAGUAGAUAAAUGAUAACACAAUAAUUUAUGUGGUGACAUGCCAACACACAUAUAAGAACUUCAAAGUAAAGCAAGUGAGGUUUGCAAUUCAAGUCAAGGCAAUAACAAGCAAGAGUCUAUAUCUAGUAUUGAAUUUAGCAAAGUAAGAACAUAAAGGUGCAAGAGCUCACGCUGUCCGUGACUCGAAUGUCUCCAAAUGGUGUUUGCGUGAAAGAAGUGGGAGAUGGGUUGAGAUCAUAAAAUAUAUUUUUAAUUGAGAACUCAAUCUACUAAACCUCACACUUAGUCUCCUUCAGAAUCUUAUUUUGACUCAUCCCCACACCACUUGUCAGACACAAGUCAAAAUGAUCCUGUCCCUUUUGAUUUUGAGCACUCAUGCAAUGGAUGAGCAUUAGCAAGAUAUGUUGGCACUUAGGAUGGAAAAUAGAAUAAUGAUGGGGAAGGAAGACAAAAAUGUGUGAAAGGAUCACAUCAAUGAGGACAACCAUAGGCGAGAGAAAGCCAAAUGAUAGAUAUGAUGUGAGGAGUAGGGAUUGCCAUGUAACGGAUGCACAUAUGAGCUAAGGUAACCUCUCCAAUGGAACUAGUGGGGGUGCAUCCGACUUGUUUUCUCAUGAAGACGAAAAGCUCAUUUGAGGAGGCUCAUCAUUGGAAUAUGCAAACCAAGUUCUAUAGUGUAAGGGUCCCCACAUAGUUAUGCAUGAAUGAUAAUCUCUAUGUAGUACCAAUAUAGUAAUGGAGUAUGAGUGUGGAUCUUUAAAAAGGAAUGGUAGUGUUGCCCCCUUCUCUUUUUAUCUUUUCCUCUUUUUUGUGUGUGCCCUCUUUGGCUCUUUAUUUUUAUCUCUCCUUUGUCCUCUUUGGGAUCUUUUGUUUUGUCCACUUUGCGAUCUUUUCCUCAAUUAAGGGCAACACUCUAUGUUUUACAAUAAUAAAAAUAAAAAUCAUCACACUUUAUGAGAAGUACUCAACAUAAAGACAAGUGAAAACUAUCAUGAUGUAUGCAAAUGUAUUCCUCUUCUAGUGUAGCCGGAUAUGCACCAACUCUCAAUGUGAGAAAGAGCAAUGCACGAUACUGAAGAGGCUAGCAAAAUAUGGAUGGUGGAAGUGCCAACAAUCGAAUACUCACAUUAGUCCGAAGAACUCAUACACUUAUUAUCGGUAACUCUCUACCUAGUUAGGAAAUUCACAAAGAAACAAGUACCCCGAGGAGGAGUGUUUGGGGGUUUGGUUAUCCUUGCGCAUCCUCGACUCAUGGUAACAUGAGGGUACUAUAUAUAUUCCAACCCCUCCAGAGGUUAGCCAUCAAUUUAGUAGCUAGAGUUCUCAACUAAUUUUUAGUUUUUGAAAAACACACGGAUUUUCCAAAAUACGACACCUAUCACUAAUAGGCUCAAGCUCUUGGCACCAAUAGUCCAAACAUUACUUUAAAUCAAUACCUCAUAACUAUUUCAAGUUACUACUAUACUUAAAUAGCAACCUCAAUUACCUACUCAUGCAAGACACACAACUCAGUGCAACGAGCCAACUCUCUAAACACGAUAAGAAUGAUGAAUCAAGAGAGGUCCAAAAUCAACCUAAAUAAUAGCUCUUAAAAAGAUAAGCAUGAAAACUAAGGGCUAAGCAUGACAGUAGCUACGAAAAUAUGAAUAACACACAAAAAAGAUAAGCAUGAAAACUAUGUUGUGUUCUAGAGUGGAAUGGAGCGUGUCUCUCUCCCAAACAAGGUAGGCUAGGUUCCGACUUGUUAUGAAGAGCAAGCAAAACUAAAAGAAACUAAAAUAGUAAAUAGUGGGAUGCUCCAAGCAUAACACAUAUCAUAUGAAGUAAUAAAAAUAUAGCAUGGAGAUGGGCGAACUGAUGAUUGUUGAUAGAGAAGGGGAUGCAUGUGGGAAUCCCCAAGCUUAGAUGCUUGAGUCACCCUGAAUAUUUCUUGGGUGCAUGGGGGCAUCCCCAAGCUUGAGCGCUUGACCCUCCUGUAUCUUCUUUCAUCAUCUCUCACAUCGCAUACUUGAAAACUCCCUUCAUACGAAACUCAACAUAAGCUCAUUAGAGCGAUUAGUUACCUUAAUAAAAUAAUUCAUUUCCUGCUGGAAAUAUAUAUUUUCAUGAAAAGCUACUGCUUCUUAUGAAUGCCAAAGGGUUUUUGCAAAUAAAAAGUAAGUUUAGGAUUUGCAAGACAAUGAAAACACAAAACAUGGCCGAAUUUGUAAAAAACAGAACAACGGGUAGUAAAUAAUUUAUUCGGGGCACUUCUGCAACUCAAAUCAAAAAACUCGGAAUAGAUGCGAGAUAGACAAUUAUAUAUAUAGAUUUCUGUCAAAAACAUUCAGAUCAAAAAGAAGAUCUGGUGAGUUUUGGCGAUUUUUUUCGUCAAGGAGACAUAAUCUGUUUCUCGACAGCAUAUCACAACUUUUGAACUUUCUUGCAAUCGGAGGGUAUAACUUGCACAAAGCUUAAAAAUAAAGAUACAAUGAUGUUGCUACAGUAGUAACACACAUCAAUACCACUAAAACAGAAAGUAAAAACAAAUUGGGUUGCCCCCAACAAGCGCUUUCUUUUAUGCCUUUGAGCUAGGCACAAUGCAAGAAGAUCAAGCUGUAUCAAUUGAACCAUCAUCAAGAUCAUCAAAGAGCUCUUCAAUAAUGCAACUAGUCUUAAGAGGACUCUCAAAGAGAGGCUUAGUGGCAACACUUAUAGGAGCAAAAGCAAAGGUAGUAAGACCAAUUGGAAUUUCAUUUCUAAUUCUAUUUAAGAGAGGUAUCUCUUCCAAGGUCUUCACAGUUUCAACACCCUUAGCAAUAGGUAUACUUGUUUUGGGUAGAGGAACCUUGGGUACGUUAACGAACCUAGGUCCCUUCCUUGCGGGGGUUUCUACCUUUUUAGUCUUGAUGGAGGAUAGAGUAGUUCCUAAAGUUUGAAAAAUAUCCUCGAUCUUAUCAAUCCUAGAAGGAUCCACAUCAUAUGAUUUAAGGGUCUCCAAAAUUUUAUAAUUUUUGUUCAUGGAGCUAUCAAGUCUAUUUAAGUUCCCUUGAAUCCUACGAUCUACUUCAUUAAUCUUACUCAUGCUUGGCAUCUCUAGCUCUAUUUUCUCAAGUUUACUCAUAACAUGAGAUAAAGUGAUAUCAUCCUUUAUGUCAACACUAGGUGGGAUUCCGACAACAUUUUCCAUAAUGUUAAGAGCCUCCCCAACGGAAGCUUCCAAGAAAUUCCCUCCUAUUGCUGUGUCUAGAACAAACCUAUGCCAAGAAGUAAUACCAACAUAAAAAUUUCUAAGCAAAAUAGUGGUGGAUUGCUUCUUGGUGGCUCUAUCUUGAGAAUUUUUAAUUCUAUACCAAGCAUCUUUCAAACUUUCCACAACCCUUUGUUUGAAGGUGAGAAUCUCUCCUUCGGGUGCAACACUAGAGGCAAAGGAUUUAGGCAUACUGACUAAACAAAGCAAACAAACUAUUUUUGGUUGUGAUUUUUGGUAUAGGACUCUAAAGCAAAAACUAGAGAGAAAACUAACAAGACUGAAAAGCAAAGGUAAAAGAUAGCAUGCAACUCCCCUAUCUUGAAGACUGGAGUCCCCAGCAACGGCGCCAGAAAUUCGCUUGAUGACGAGUUGAUGUAUAUACUUCUCACACCUCCUUGGAUACCCCAAGUGGAAGGUGGAGAUAUAGUCAGCAGCAAAUUUCCCUGACACAGAGACUGUAAGGUUUAUCAAAACAGUAGGACUCCUAGGUCAACAAUUAGGUGUCUUCCACCCUGGCGCUAGCAGAAGACGUGGACCUGCACACACAACAAAUAACUUUUCUCCCAACGAGUACAAAGAGGUUGUCAAUCUCUCCGGCCUUGUAGUUUGCAAAGAAUCAAAACACAAGUGGGAAGGUCAUAGUGAUUGCAAUGGAAAAGUAAAUGAAAGCGGUAAAUGAUGGAGGUGUAAACAAUGAUGGUGAUAUGGACCGGAGUCACAUGAUGUUCACUAGUGAUGCCUCUCUCCCAAAAGACGAUAAACAACUAUGCUUGGGUAAACAAAUUGCAGUUGGGCAAUUGACAGAAGUAUGAUCGCACCGCAGUGCUAAUUAUGCUCCUUGAUAGGUAGAGGUUCAAUAGUAAUGGGCAGUACGCCAAGACAAGUAGACCGUUUAUUCAUCAACAUCUACUUACUAAUCAUCCACCUUGAGAUAUUUAUCCAGAACAUCUCUCCAGUAUUAAGUUGCGAGCCUCACCCAAAGUUAAACUCAAAGCAACGAACAAUUGCAUUAACGAACUAUGAGUAAGGUAAACAAUCCUUGCAACCGUGGUCACAAGCACCGUUGUUUUCUCCCUGGUGGCAACAAGCACAUCCCCUAGUCUCAUGUUUCUGUCACUCAAGCUAGACAUCGAGGGGCCCGAACCCACAAUCAUGCAUAACGCUCCCUCUUGGAGUUACAAUCUACUACUUGGCCAAAGCAAUAAAAAACAACGAAGAACAUGCAUGAAUCAUUAUAGAACAUAAUAUAAAAGAAUAAUCAAAUAUAUAAAUCAUAAUAAUCUGAACAUAAUCUCAUAAUCCAUUGGAUCCCAAGAAACCGAGCAUAGCAAAAGCAAGAGAAUUACAUAGAUGCCUUGAUCAUGUAGAGCAGCUCACAAGGACUAACCAUUGAAGCACAAGAUUGGAGAGAAGACAUCACAUAGCUACUGGUCAUAGACUCAUGGUCCAAGGAGGACUACUCAUGGCAUGUCCGGGAAGUAUCCAUGGCGGUGGAGAAGCUCUCGGAGGUCAAUCCUCCCUCCGGCAGGGUGCCGGGAAGAGGUCUCCUGACGCUCGUGAUCAUGGAAGCGCUGCGGCGGCGAAACGAUGGAGAAAUUCGUGAUUCCAGAAAGUCUACGAGGGAUUCCUCACGGAUCUCUACAUAUAGGCCAAAGGAGGGCACCGAAGGAGGUGGGCCCCACCCAGGCGACCUCCUGGCGCGACCUAGGGCCUGGCCGCGCCAGCAGGCCGCCUGGGAGGCCCGUGGCCCCCUCUGGCCCUUCUUUGGUGAUCCGGAAGCUUGUGUUUCGCUGAUUUUUUAUAUAUAUUUUUCUGGAUUUUUUGAGGCUUCAGAAAAUUGGGUAAAAGCCCCUGCAAAAUAGACAUUAGCAGACAGAAACUGGCACUGGGUGCACUGAGUUAGUAGGUUAGUCCAAAUAUGUGUAAAAUGAUAUCAAAGUGUAGCAAAACAUAUAACAAUGUCACCCAAAAGAUCAUGGAACAAGCAGAAAUUAUAGAUACGUUUGGGACGUAUCAGAUGCCUAUUACAUUAGGACUAAAUUCAUAAUCUAAACCAAUUACCAUGCUGUUUAAAGAACUCUCAAAAUAAUAUAAGUGCGGUAUGAGAGUUUAAUAAUUCCACAACACCGUCGUGCUGUAAAAGAUAUAAGUGAAGUACCAGAGCAACAUUGCGUGGCUCAAAUUAUAUAAGUGAAGCAUAAAGAGUAUUCUAAGAAAUUCACAAUUCAGUGUGUGUCUCUCUCUCAAAAAAUGUGUGUAGCAAUGAUGAUUGUGGCAAACUAAAAAGUAAGGACUCAUAUCAUACAAGACACUCCAAGCAAAACACAUAUCAUGUGGUGAAUAAAAAUAUAGCCUCAAGUAAAUUUACCGAUGGAUUGAACACGAAAGAGGGGAUGCCUUCCGGGGCAUCCCCAAGCUUAGGCUCUUUGGUAUCCUUGAAUAUGACUUGGAGUGCCUUGGGAAUACCCAAGCUUAGGCUCUUGCCACUCCUUAUUCCAUAGUCCAUCAAAUCUUUACCCAAAACUUGAAAACUUGACAACACAAAACUCAAUAGAAAUCUCAUGAGAUCCGUUAGUGUAAGAAAAAUAAAUCACCACUUUAGGUACUAUUGUGAACUCAUCCUUUAUUUAUAUUGAUGUAAUAUUUACUGUAUUCCAACUUAUCCAAGGUUCAUACCCCCUCAUACAACCCAUAGAUUCAUCAAAAUAAGCAAACAUCACAAAGAAAACAGAAUUUGUCAAAAACAGAACAAUGUGUAGCAAUCUGCUUACUUCAAACACUUCUGUAACUCCAAAAAUUCUGAAACGUUCAGAAAAUCUGGGAAAUUUGCAAACCAAUCUUGUGUAAACAAUCCAGAUUAAAAGCACGUUCGAGUGAAUUUAUAAAAUUCCUCGACUGAGAGCGAAAGUUUUUGUUCUUCAGCAAAAUCAACUUGCAAACACCAUAGACUAUCCCAAAGGUCUUACUUGGCUCAAACACUAAUUCAAACAUGAAAACACAAUUAUUACAGAGGUAAUAAUAUGUGCAGAACUAAAAAAAUAGAACCAAAAACAAAAGCAAAACACAUAAAAUCGGUUUGCCUCCCAACAAGCGCUAUUGUUUAUGGCCCCUAGCUAGGCAUAAUGCAAUAGAUCUAGGUAUUAUCAUCUUUGGUAUUGACAAUUUUCGUGAGGGCCUUCUCAAAUACGGGAGGCUCUUUCCUUUUCCCGGGUUUGUAGGUGAAGAAACCACCUUAUUGUCUAAUGUAUCCCAACGCAUAUUGCAAAUGAUGAUUAGAGUGUUCAAACGGUUGAGGUUUCCACUAAUAUCUUUAAGGGGUUCAUGCUAUUGUUGUAGCUCGAUUAAGUGCGUAUGUAAGUCACUUAAUUUGUCGAGAAUUUGAACUCCCUCUUCUGAAAAAAUAAAGCCCCUUUUUUGUGGAGGAAUGAUGACCCACAAGUGUAGGGGAUCUAUCAUAGUCCUUUCGAUAAGUAAGAGUGUCGAACCCAACGAGGAGCAGAAGGAAAUGACAAGUGGUUUCCGGCAAGGUAUUCUGUGCAGGCACUGAAAUUAUCGGUAACAGAUAGUUGUGUGAUAAGAUAAUUCGUAACGGGUAACAAGUAGCAAUAGUAGCAAAGGUGCAGCAAGAUGGCCCAAUCCCUUUUGUAGCAAGAGACAAGCCUCGACGAACUCUUAAGCAAGGGACACAUGGGAAUUUCUAUCAAGCUAGUUUUCAUCAUGUUCAUAUGAUUCCCGUUUGCUACUUUGAUAGUUUGAUAUGUGGGCGGACCGGUUCUUGGGUGCUGUCCUUACUUGGACAAACAUCCCACUUAUGAUUAACCCCUCUCGCAAGCAUCCGAAACUACGAAAGAAGAAUUAAGACUAAGUCUAACCAUAGCAUUAAACUGGUGGAUCCACAUCAGCCCCUUACGAAGCAACGCAUAAACUAGGGUUUAAGCUUCUGUCACUCUAGCAACCCAUCAUCCACUUAUUACUUCCCAAUGACUUCCUCUAGGCCCAAAUAAGGGUGAAGUGUCAUGUAGUCGACGUUCACAUAACACCACUAGAGGAAAGACAACAUACAAUGCAUCAAAAUAUCGAACGAAUACCAAAUUCACAUGAUUAGUUAUAGCAAGACUUUUCCCAUGCCCUCAGGAACAAAUGUGACUACUCACAAAGCAUAAUUAUGUUCAUGAUCAGAGAGGUAUUGAAUAACAUUAAGGAUCUGAACAUAUGGUCUUCCACCGAGUAAUCCAACUAGCAUCAACUACAAGGAGUAAUUAACACUACUAGCAACCUUACAAGUACCAAUCGGAGUCGCGAGACGGAGAUUGUGUACAAGAGAUGAACUAGGGUUUGGAGAUGAGAUGGUGCCGAUGAAGAUGUUGAUGGAGAUGAGUCCCCUCCGAUGAGAGGAGUGUUGGUGAUGACGAUGGCGACGAUUUCCCCCUCCGGAGGGAAGUUUCCCCGGCACGACGGCCCUGCCGGAGCUCUAGAUUGGUUCUGCUCAAGUUCCGCCUCGUGGCGGCGGCGUCUCUUCCUGAAAGCCCCCCUUGAUAUUUUCUGGUGCGAAAGCCUCCUUAUAGCAGAAGAUGGGAGCCGGAGGGGUAACAGGGGGCCCACAAGCCACCCAGGCGCGCCUAGGGGGUAGGGCUCGCUUGGCAGGCUUGUGGCCUCGUGGUGGCUCCCCUCCAAUACUUCUUCCGCCCAGUAAUUUUUAUAUAUUCCAAAAUAAUUCCUCGUUGAUUUUCAUGGCUUUUGGAUUUGUGCAGAAUAGGUAUCUCAAACUUGCUCCUUUUUCAACCCAAAAUUCCAGCUACCGACAUUCUCCCUCUUCAUGUAAAUCUUAUAAAAUACGAGAGAAAAGGCAUAAGUGUUGUACCAUAAUGUGUAAUAACGGCCCAAAAUGCGAUAAAUAUCAACAUGAAAGAAUGAUGCAAAAUGGACGUAUCAACUCCCCCAAGCUUAGACCUCGCUUGUCCUCAAUAAAUAUGCUCACAAGUUUAGAGAUAGAGGUGUCGACAAAACAAAAUACGGACAUGCAGGCAUCAUGAUCAUAUUUAGAACAACAAAAUCGUCAUAUAAUAUCUUAUGCUAAAGUGACAACUCCUUCACAAUGUAAAGUAUGGAUCAAGAACCUUAUUGAGAACUAACAACCAAUAGUCUUUAGUCAUUGAAGCAAUUGCAAUUUAUCAUAACAUCGAAAAGAGUCAAAUAAGAGCUUGUAAAGCAAAUCCACAUACUCAAUCAUCCUUUAGUUUUCUACAAAGGCUAAAACUCACGUGGUACUCAUGAGAUCAAAGUUUCAGUUGGACACAGAGAAAGAUAGGGGCUUACAGUUUCGCCUCCCAACUAUUUGCCUCAAGGGUAAUGUCAACAAAAAUAAUUCAUGAAUACUUACUUCCAAGUUGACAUAUGAAUAUAGACCUUUCCCUAGCACAUGACGCUAGCCAAGAUAAAGGCGAAAUAAGGAAUUGGUGUCAAUCAUCAUGACUCAUUUAAAGAUAGAAAGUAAAGGUACAAGAUAGGCCCUUCGUAGAGGGAAGCAGAGGUUGUCAUGCGCUUUUGAGGUUUGGAUGUGUAAUCUCUUAGUGUGGAGGAAUGUCACUUUAUAUUGCCUCCUGUGAUAAAGACCUUUAUUAUGCAGUCUGUCACUUUUAUGUAUUCCUCAUCAUAGGUUCGUACAAAGUUUAUUUUCCACACACUAAUAGAUCAUACAAAUUUAGGGAGCAAUUUUUAUUGCUUGCACCGAUGACAACUUACUUGAGGGAUCUUAUUCAAUCCAAAGGUAGGUAUGGUGGACUCUCAUGGCAAAACUGGGUUGAGGGUUUAUGGAUGCACAAGUAGUAUCUCUACUUAGUGCGGAAGUUUUGGCUAAUAUGAGGUGGAAGCAAGCGUCACAUCCUAAGGGAUCUCUAGUCAUAUAACAUGGUCUGGAACCAAGCAAACAUAAUUCAUUAUGUUGUCUUUCUUGUCCAACAUCUACUUCUUAGCAUGUAAUAGUUUAAUGAGUGUUCACAAUCAUAGACGGUGUCAAAGAUGAUAUAUUUAUAUGUGAACAAGAUACGUCUCAAACGUAUAUAUAAUUUUUGAUGGUUUCAUGCUGUUAUCUUGUCAUCUUUGGAUGUUUUAUGUACCUUUUAUAUCUUUUUUGGGACUAACUUAUUAAUUCAGUGCCAAGUGCCAGUUCCUGUUUUUUUUGUGUGUUUUUGGCUCUUUUCAGGUCUGAUUUUGGAACGGAGUCCAAACGGAAUAAAAUUCCCGAAAUGAUUUUUUCCCGAACGGAAGAAGAUCAGGGGGCCUGUGGGCCAAGCUAGGAGGGCUACAGGGAGCCCACAAGCCCCCACUCCGCCACCAGGAGGGAGGCGGCGGUGGGCAGGCUUGUGGCCUCCCUGGCGCCCCCGUGACCUAGAUCUUGCUCCUAUAUAUUCCCUAAAAAUCAGAAAAAAUGAGGGGAGCCUCGAAAAUACUUUUCCGCUGCCGCAAGCUUCCGUUUCUGCGAGAUCUCAUCUGGAGAACCUUCCCGGCGCCCUACCGGAGGGGACUUUGGAGUUGAAGGGCUUCUUCAUCAUCAUCAUCGCCCCUCCGAUGACUCGUGAGUAGUUCACUUCAGACCUACGGGUCCAUAGUUAGUAGCUAGAUGGCUUCUUCUCUUUCUUGGAUCUUCAAUACAAAGUUCUCGAGGAUCUUCAUGGAGAUCUAUCCGAUGUAAUCUUCUUUGGCGGUGUGUUUGUCGAGAUCCGAUGAAUUGUGGAUUUGUGAUCAGAUUAUCUAUGAUAUAUAUUUGAGUCUUUGCUGAUUUCUUAUAUGCAUGAUUUGAUAUACUUGUAAGUCUCUCCGAGUCUUGGGUUUUGUUUGGCCAACUAGAACUAUGAUUCUUGCAAUGGGAGAAGUGCUUGGUUUUGGGUUCUUACCAUGUGGUGACCUUUCCCAGUGAUAGUAGGGGCAGCAAGGCACACAUUGAGUAGUUGCCAUCAAGGGUAACAAGAUGGGCUCUGUCGUUGAUAUGAGAUUGUCCAUCUACAUCAUGUCAUCUUGCUUAAGGCGUUACUCUGUUCUUUUGGACUUAAUACACUAGAUGCAUGCUGGAUAGUGGUCGACGUGUGGAGUAAUAGUAGUAGAUGCAGAAAGUAUCGGUCUACUUGUUUUGGAUGUGAUGCCUAUAGAUAUAAUCAUUGCCAUAGAUGACGUCACGACUUUGUGCGGUUCUAUCAAUUGCUCGACAGUAAUUUGUUCACCCACCGUCUACUUGCUUUCAUGAGAGAAGCCACUAGUAAACACUACGGCCCCGGGGUCUAUUCACAUCUAUCGUUUACACCUCCGCUUUUACUUUGCUUUGUUGCUUUGUUGCUUUCAGUUCUCACUUUGCGAACAAUCUAUAAGGGAUUGACAACCCCUUCAUAGUGUUGGGAGCAGGUUCUUUGUGUUUGUGCAGGCACUUGGGAUACUCCUUCACUAGAUCGAUACCUUGGUUCUCAAAACUGAGGGAAAUACUUACCACCGCUGCGCUACAUCACCCUUUCUGCUUCGAGGGAACACCAACGCAAGGCUCCGAGGCCACGGGUAAAUCCUUUGCAUAUUUGCCUAGGAAGUCCCUAAAGGCAUACCGUAGCAGAAGGAUUCCUGGUGCCGUUGCUGAGGAGAAUCAAGACAAGAACAGUCUCCCGUCAGCACGUGCUUCUGGAGCCGUUGGAAGGUCUUUUUUGCAGUAGGAGAAGUAUUUCUGGCGCCGUUGCCGGGGAGGAGAGAUCUAUCCAAGUAGGUCUCACAAACUCAUCUCGUGCAUUUACUUUUUUGCCAGUUGCCUCUUGUUUUCCUUUCCCCCACUUCACAUUUGUCGUUUUCAUUUGCCUUUUUCCUUUGCCGUUUUCUUUUGCCCUUGCCGUUUUCCUUUGCUGGUUUUCUUGCUUGCUUGUGUUCUUGUUUGUUUGUUGAAGUCAUCAUGGCUGAAAACACCAAACUUUGCGACUUCUCGAGCACUAAUAAUAAUGAUUUUAUUAGUACUCCGAUUGCUCCCGCCACUAGUGCGGAAUCGUAUGAAAUCAAUGCAGCUAUGUUGAAUCUUGUUAUGAAAGAGCAAUUCUCUGGCCUUCCUAGUGAAGAUGCCGCAUCCCAUCUCAAUACCUUCAUUGAGCUUUGUGAUAUGCAAAAGAAAAGAGAUGUGGAUAAUGACGUGAUUAAGUUGAAACUUUUUCCUUUCUCGUUGCGAGAUCGCGCAAAAACUUGGUUUUCUUCUUUACCUAAAAAUAGUAUCGAUUCUUGGGAUAAGUGCAAAGAUGCUAACAUAUCCAAGUAUUUUCCGCCUUCUAAGAUCAUCUCCUUACGUAACGAUAUCAUGAAUUUCAAGCAACUUGAUCAUGAACACGUUGCACAAUCUUGGGAGAGGAUGAAGCUUAUGAUUAGAAAUUGUCCCGCUCAUGGCUUGAGUUUGUGGAUGAUUAUACAAAUAUUUUACGCUGGCUUGAAUUUCGCUUCUCGCAAUAUCUUGGACUCCGCCUCAGGUGGAACGUUCAUGGAAAUCACGUUAGGAGACGCUACAAAACUCCUAGACAAUAUCAUGACCAACUACUCUCAGUGGCACACUGAAAGGUCACCUGCUAGCAAAAAGGUACACGCUAUAGAAGAGAUUAACUCGCUUAGUGCUAAGAUGGACGAGUUGAUGAAUUUGGUUGCUAGUAGAAACGCUACCGUAGAUCCUAAUGACAUGCCACUAUCUUCCUUGAUUGAGAGUAGCAACGCUAGUUUGGACGUGAAUUUUGUUGGUAGGAACAAUUUUGGCAACAACAAUGCUUUUAGAGGAAACUUUGUUCCUAGGCCUUUUCCUAGUAACUCCUCUAACAAUUAUGGAAAUUCCUACAAGAACUCUUAUGGAAAUCACAACAAAUUACCCACUGAUUUAGAGAGUAAUAUCAAAGAGUUCAUCAACUCUGAAAAUAUUUUCAAUGCGUCCAUAGAGGAAAAACUACUCAAAAUUGACGAUUUGGUUAAGAGCGUUGAUAGGAUGUCUUGUGAUAUUGAUGCUUUGAAAGUUAGAUGUGCUCCUCCCAAGGUCAACUUGGAUGAAACUUUGAAAGCUAUGCGUGUCUCCAUGAAUGAGAGCAAAGAAAGAACCACCCAAAUUCGCGCUAGGCAUGAAUGGUUUAAAAGGGUGCGUUCUAGUGAUGCAAAUCACGAAGAUCUUAAAGUGCUUGGUGUGUCUCCUCUUGAAUCUUUGUUUUCGCGUGUCAAACCUAUUUAUGGAGGGGCUGGAUAUGAAUCCACUUUGGUUGAAAAACGCCCCAAUGAUUCGGAGUCCACCCAUCUUGAUGAUAAAGGUGUGGAGAGUGGAGUAGAAGAAAUCAAAAUUUUGGGUAGUAAUUAAACUCCCACUUUGGAUUUCAAGGAAUUCAAUUAUGAUAAUUGCUCCUUGUUUGAAUGCAUUUCUUUGAUGCAAUCCAUUGCAAACUCUCCACACGCUUAUAGCCAAAGAAAAGCCUUUACCGCGCAUAUCGUAGAUGCUAUGAUGAAAUCUCUUGAAGAGAAGCUCGAACUAGAAGUCUCUAUACCUAGAAAACUUCAUGAUGAGUGGGAACCUACUAUCAAAAUCAAGAUCAAAAACUAUGAGUGCAAUGCUUUGUGUGAUUUGGGUGCUAGUGUUUCCGCAAUUCCAAAGUCUUUAUGUGAUAUUCUUGGUUUUCAUGAGAUUGAAGAGUGUUCUCUUAAUUUGCAUCUUGCGGAUUCUACUGUCAAGAAACCCAUGGGAAGGAUCGGUGAUGUUCUUAUUGUCGCAAAUAAGAACUAUGUACCCGUGGAUUUCAUUGUACUUGACAUAGAUUGCAAUCCUUCAUGUCCCAUUAUUCUUGGUAGACCUUUCCUAAGGACUAUUGGUGCUAUCAUCGAUAUGAAGGAAGGGAAUAUUAGAUUUCAAUUUCCCUUAAAGAAGGGCAUGGAGCACUUUCCUAGAAAGAAAAUAAGAUUGCCUUAUGAAUCUAUGAUGAGGGCUACUUAUGGUUUGAGCACCAAAGAUUACUAUACGUGAGUCCAUGACCGUUUGCCUAGCUAAGGGCGUUAAACAAAAGCGCUUGUUGGGAGGCAACCCAACGAAUCUAUCCUUUUUCCUUCUGUUUUGUGUUUUUCACACUUUCAUAAUUCUGUUAUGAUUGUGUUUUUUGUGUUUCUUUUUGCGUUUGUGCCAAGAAAAACCGUUAUGAUUAGUCUUAGGGAUGAUCGUUUGGUCAUGCUCGAAAAGACAGAAACUUUCUGCUCACGAAAAGAAUUUUCCUUUUUUCUGUAAGAGAUUUUGAGUUGAUUCUUUUUGCUGCUGAUUUCUACACAAAUUCUUAGGACUGUAGUAAUUUUUCAGAAUUUUUUAAGUACCAGAAUUAUACGAAAUAUACAGAUUGCUACAGACUGGUCUGUUGUUAAGAGAUUCUGUUUUUGUUGUGUUGGUUGCUUAUUUUGAUGAAACUAUGGAUAGUAUCAGGGGGUAUUAGCCAUGGAAGAUUGAAAAUACAGUAACCCAACAUCAGCAUAAGUAGAAUUUAAGUUUGCUACAGUACCUAAGGAAGUGGUGGUUUGCUUUCUGAUACUAAUUGUUAUCACGAGUUUCUGUUUAAGUUUCGUGUUGUGAAGUUUUCAAGUUUUGGGUGAAGUUCUUAUGGACAAAGAGAUAAAGAGUGGCAAGAGCUCAAGCUUGGGGAUGCCCAAGGCACCCCAAGAGAUUCAAGGAUGUCGUAAAAGCCUGAGCUUGGGGAUGCCCCGGGAAGGCAUCCCCUCUCUCGUCUUCAAUCCAUCGGUAACGUUACUUGGGGCUACAUUUUUAUUCACCACAUGUUAUGUGUUUUUGCUUGGAGCGUCUUGUAUCGAAGGAGUCUUUUAUUUUUUUUGUGUCACAAUCAUCCUUGCUGCACACCUAGAGAGAGACAUGCACUCACCGUGAUUUUGUCGAGCUUCACUUAUAUCUUUUGGUAGAAAAUUCAGCUCACAUGUGCUUCACUUAUAUCUUUUGAGCUAGAUACUUUUGCUCUAUGUGCUUCACUUAUAUCUUUUAGAGCAUAGUGGUGCGUGGCUUGGUAGUUGAUCUAUGCUUUGAAAGUAGUCUAAAAAGGGGUAGUUAUCCAAAGGGAUACGAAAACUUCCACCUUCAUGUGCAUUGAAUAGUUAGAGAAGUUUGAUUCAUCUCAAUUAGUUUUGAGUUGUGGUUAUGGUAAUAUUGAAGUUUUGCUAGUAAGGUGUUGUGGAUCUAGAAAUACUUGUGUUGAAGUUAGUGAUUCCCGUAGCAUGCACGUAUGGUGAACCGCUAUGUGAUGAAAUCUGAGCAUGAUUAGUCUAUUGAUUGUCAUCCUUUGCGUGGCGGUCGGGAUCGCGCGAUGGUUUAUACCUACCAACCCUUCCCCUAGGAGUAUGCAUUGAAUGCUUUGUUUCGAUUACUAAUAAAACUUUUGCAACAAGUAUAUGAGUUCUUCAUGACUAAUGUUGAGUCCAUGGUUUAGAUGCACUUUCACCUUCCACCAUCACUAUCUUCUUAGUGCCGUGCAACUUUCGCCGGUGCACAAAACCCACCAAUAGCGUCCCUCAUAACAGCCACCAUACCUACCUACUAUGGCUUUUUCAAAGUCAUUCCAAGAUAUAUUGCCAUGCAACUACGACCAUGACAUGUGCCACCACAUCUACAUUGCCAUUGCAUGAUCGUAAGAUAGCUAGCAUGAUGUUUCCAUUAAUGUCUAUGCCAUGCUAGAUCAUUGUCACGGUACACUACCGAAGGCAUUCCAUAUAGAGUCAUCGUUGCUCUAAGUUUUGAGUUGAAAGUGUGAUGAUCACCAUUAAUGGAGCAUUGUCCCAUGUGUGGAAAUAAAAGAGGCCAAAGAGCCCACCAAAAAAAUGAGAGAAAAAGAGAGAAGGGACAAUGCUACCACUUUUCCACACUUGUGCAUAUUAAGCACCAUGAUCUUCAUGAUUGAGAGUCUCUAUUUUUGUCACCACCAUAUAGCUAGUGGGAAAUUUUCAUUAUAUAACUUGGCUUGUAUAUUCCAAUGAUAGGCUUCCUCAAAAUUUCCUUAGGUCUUCGUGAGCAAGCAAGUUGGAUGCACACCCACUAGUUUUCUUUCAGAGCUUUCACUUACUCUUAGCUCUAGUGCAUCAUUUGUAUGGCUAUCCCUACUCAUUCACAUUGAUAUCUAUUGAUGAGCAUCUCCACAGCUCAUUGAUAUGCCUAGUUAAUGUGACUAUCUUCUCCUUUUUUGUCUUGCAACCUCCACCAUACUCCACACCAUCUAUAGUGCUAUAACCAUGGCUCACGCUCAUGUAUUGCGUGAGAGUUGAAAAGGUUUGAGAAAGUAAAGGUGUGAAACAAUUACUUGGCCAAUACCGGGGUUGUGCAUGAUUUAAAUUCGUUGUGCAAUGAUGAUAGAGCAUAGCCAGACUAUAUGCUUUUGUAGGGAUAACUUUCUUUUGGCCUUGUUAUUUUGAAAGUUCAUGAUUACCUUGCUAGUUUACUUGAAUUAUUAUUGUCUCCACGUCAAUAAAAAACUAUUGUUUUGAAUCUAAUGGAUCUGAACAUUCACGUCACAUAAGAGGAGUUACAAAGGACAUCUCUGCUAGGUAGCAUGAAAGCAUCAAAAAUUCAUUCUUUAUCACUUCCCUACUCGAGGACGAGCAGGAGUUAAACUUGGGGAUGCUUGAUACGUCUCAAACGUCUAUAUAAUUUUUGAUGGUUUCAUGCUAUUAUCUUGUCAUCUUUGGAUGUUUUAUGUACCUUUUAUAUCUUUUUUGGGACUAACUUAUUAAUUCAGUGCCAAGUGACAGUUCCUGUUUUUUCUGUGUUUUUGGCUCUUUUCAGAUCUUAUUUUGGAACGGAGUCCAAACGGAAUAAAAUCCCCGAAAUGAUUUUUUCCUGAACAGAAUAAGAUCAGGUGGCCUGUGGGCCAAGCCAGGAGGGCUACAGGGAGCCCACAAGCCCCCACUCCGCCACCAGGGGGAGGCGGCGGUGGGCAGGCUUGUGGCCUCCCUAGUGCCCCCUGACCUAGAUCUUGCGCCUAUAUAUUCCCUAAAAAUCAUAAAAAAUAAGGGGAGCCUCGAAAAUACUUUUCCGCCGACACAAGCUUCCGUUUCCGCGAGAUCUCAUCUGGAGACCCUUCCCGACACCAUGCCGAAGGGGACUUUGGAGUUGAAGGGCUCCUUCAUCAUCAUCAUCUCCCCUCCAAUGACUCGUGAGUAGUUCACUUCAGACCUACGGGUCCGUAGUUAGUAGCUAGAUGGCUUCUUCUCUCUCUUGGAUCUUCAAUACAAAGUUCUCCAUGAUCUUCCUGGAGAUCUAUACGAUGUAAUCUUCUUUGGCGGUGUGUUUGUCGAGAUCUGAUGAAUUGUGGAUUUGUGGUCAGAUUAUCUAUGAUAUAUAUUUGAGUCUUUGCUGAUUUCUUAUAUGCAUGAUUUGAUAUCCUUGUAAGUCUCUCCGAGUCUUGGGUUUUGUUUGGCCAACUAGAUCUAUGAUUCUUGCAAUGGGAGAAGUGCUUGGUUUUGGGUUCUUACUGUGUGGUGACCUUUCCCACUGACAGUAGGGGCAGCAAGGCACACAUUGAGUAGUUGCCAUCAAGGGUAACAAGGUGGGCUCUGUCGUUGAUAUGAGAUUGUCCAUCUACAUCAUGUCAUCUUGCUUAAGGCGUUACUCUGUUCUUUUGGACUUAAUACACUAGAUGCAUGCUGGAUAGCGGUCGACGUGUGGAGUAAUAGUAGUAGAUGCAGAAAGUAUCGGUUUACUUGUUUUGGACGUGAUGCCUAUGGAUAUAAUCAUUGCUAUAGAUGACGUCACGACUUUGCGCCGUUCUAUCAAUUGCUCGACAGUAAUUUGUUCACCCACCGUCUACUUGCUUUCAUGAGAGAAGCCACUAGUAAACACUACGGCCCCCGGGUCUAUUCACAUCUAUCGUUUACUCCUCCGCUUUUACUUUGCUUUGUUACUUUGUUACUUUCAGUUCUCACUUUGCGAACAAUCUAUAAGGGAUUGACAACCCCUUCAUAGCGUUGGGAGCAGGUUCUUUGUGUUUGUGGAGGCACUUGUGAUACUCCUUCACUGGAUCGAUACCUUGGUUCUCAAAACUCAGGGAAAUACUUACCACCGCUGCGCUACAUCACCCUUUCCGCUUCGAGGGAACACCAACUAAAGGCUCCAAGGCCACAGGGAAAUUCUUUGCAUAUUUGCUUAGGAAGCCCCUAAUGUUGGAAUUAUGCCCUCGAGGCAAUAAUAAAUAUAGUUAUUAUUAUAAUUCCUGUAUCAAGAUAAUCGUUUAUUAUCCAUGCUAUAAUUGUAUUGAAUGAAGACUCAUUUACAUGUGUGGAUACAUAGACAAAACACUAUCCCUAGCAAGCCUCUAGUUGGCUAGCCAGUUGAUCAAAGAUAGUCAGUGUCUUCUGAUUAUGAACAAGGUGUUGUUGCUUGAUAACUGGAUCACGUCAUUAAGAGAAUCACGUGAUGCACUAGACCCAAACUAAUAGACGUAGCAUGUUGCUCGUGUUAUUUUGUUGCUACCGUUUUCUGUGUGUCAAGUAUUUGUUCCUAUGACCAUGAGAUCAUAUAACUCACUGACACCAGAGGAAUACUUUGUGUGUAUCAAACGUCGCAACGUAACUGGGUGACUAUAAAGAUGCUCUACAGGUAUCUCCGAAGGUGUUAGUUGAGUUAGUAUGGAUCAAGACUGGGAUUUGUCACUCCGUGUGACGGAGAGGUAUCUCGGGGCCCACUCGGUAAUGCAACAUCACACACAAGCCUUGCAAGCAAAGUAACUUAGUGUAAGUUGCGGGAUCUUGUAUUAUGGAACGAGUAAAGAGACUUGCCGGUAAACGAGAUUGAAAUAGGUAUGCGGAUACUGACGAUCGAAUCUCGGACAAGUAACAUAUCGAAGGACAAAGGGAAUGACAUACGGGAUUAUAUGAAUCCUUGGCACUGAGGUUCAAACGAUAAGUUCUUCGUAGAAUAUGUAGGAUCCAAUAUGAGCAUCCAGGUCCCGCUAUUGGAUAUUGACCGAGGAGUCUCUCGGGUCAUGUCUACAUAGUUCUCGAACCCGCAGGGUCUGCACACUUAAGGUUCGGCGUUGUUUUAUGCGUAUUUGAGUUAUAUGGUUGGUUACCGAAUGUUGUUCGGAGUCCCGGAUGAGAUCACGGACGUCACGAGGGUUUCCGGAAUGGUCCGGAAACGAAGAUUGAUAUAUAGGAUGACCUCAUUUGAUUACCGGAAGGUUUUCGGAGUUACCGGGAAUGUACCGGGAAUGACGAAUGGGUUCCGGGAGUUCACCGGGGGGGGGGCAACCCACCCCGGAGAAGCCCAUAGGCCAUGAGGGUGGCGAUGAGGGUGGCGCACCAGCCCUUAGUGGGCUGGUGGGACAGCCCACAGGGGCCCUAUGCGCCUAAGAAAGAAAAAUCAAAGAGAAAGAAGAAAAAAAAGGAGGUGGGAAGGGAAGGAAGGACUCCCACCCACCAAACCAAGUCCAACUCGGUUUGUGGGGGGGAGACCUUCCCCCUUGGCUCGGCCGACCCCCUUGGGGCUCCUUGAGCCCCAAGGCAAGGUCCCCUCCCUCCCACCUAUAUAUACGGAGGUUUUAGGGCUGAUUUGAGACGACUUUUCCACGGCAGCCCGACCACAUACCUCCACGGUUUUUCCUCUAGAUCGCGUUUCUAAGGAGCUCGGGCGGAGCCCUGCUGAGACGAGAUCAUCACCAACCUCCGGAGCGCCGUCACGCUGCCGGAGAACUUUUCUACCUCUCCGUCUCUCUUGCUGGAUCAAGAAGGCCGAGAUCAUCGUCGAGUUGUACGUGUGCUGAACGCGGAGGUGCCGUCCGUUCGGUACUAGAUCGUGGGACUGAUCGCGGGGCGGAUCGAGGGACGUGAGGACGUUCCACUACAUCAACCGCGUUCACUAACGCUUCUGCUGUACGGUCUACAAGGGUACGUAGAUCACUCAUCCCCUCUCGUAGAUGGACAUCACCAUGAUAGGUCUUCGUGCGCGUAGGAAAUUUUUUGUUUCCCAUGCGACGCUCCCCAACAGUGGCAUCAUGAGCUAGGUUCAUGCGUAGAUGUCUUCUCGAGUAGAACACAAAAGUUUUUGUGGGCGGUGAUGUGCGUUUUGCUGCCCUCCUUAGUCUUUUCUUGAUACCGCGGUAUUGUUGGAUUGAAGCGGCUUGGACCGACAUUACUCGUACGCUUACGAGAGACUGGUUUCAUCGCUACGAGUAACCCCGUUGCUCAAAGAUGACUGGCAAGUGUCGGUUUCUCCAACUUUAGUUGAAUCGGAUUUGACCGAGGAGGUCGUUGGAUGAGGUUAAAUAGCAACUCAUAUAUCUCCGUUGUGGUGUUUGCGUAAGUAAGAUGCAAUCCUACUAGAUACCCGUGGUCACCACGUAAAACAUGCAACAACAAAAUUAGAGGACGUCUAACUUAUUUUUGCAGGGUAUGCUUGUGAUGUGAUAUGGCCAACAAUGUGAUGUGAUAUAUUGGAUGUAUGAGAUGAUCAUGUUGUAAUAGAUAAUAUCGACUUGCACGUCGAUGGUACGGCAACCGGCAGGAGCCAUAGGGUUGUCUUUAUACUAAUGUUUGUGCUUGCAGAUGCGUUUACUAUUUUGCUAGGAUGUAGCUUUAGUAGUAAUAGCAUGAGUAGCAUGACAACCCCGAUGGCAACACGUUGAUGGAGAUCAUGGUGUGGCGCCGGUGACAAGAAGAUCGUGCUGGUGCUUUGGUGAUGGAGAUCAAGAAGCACGUGAUGAUGGCCAUAUCAUGUCACUUAUGAAUUGCAUGUGAUGAUAAUCCUUUUAUGCACCUUAUUUUGCUUAGAACGACGGUAGCAUUAUGAGGUGAUCUCUCACUAAAAUUUCAAGACGAAAUUGUGUUCUCCCCGACUGUGCACCGUUGCUACAGUUCGUCGUUUCGAGACACCACGUGAUGAUCGGGUGUGAUAGACUCAACGUUCACAUACAACGGGUGCAAAACAGUUGCGCACGCGGAACACUUGGGUUAAGCUUGACGAGCCUAGCAUGUGCAGACAUGGCCUCGGAACACAUGAGACCGAAAGGUCGAUCAUGAAUCAUAUAGAUGAUAUGAUUAGCAUAGGGAUGCUUACCACUGAAACUAUACUCAACUCACGUGAUGAUCGGACUUGAGCUAGUGUAAGUGGAUCAUGAACCACUCAAAUGACUAGAGAGAUGUACUUUUUGAGUUGGAGUUUAGCGAAUAAUUUGAUUAAGUUAAACUCUAAUUAUCUUGAACAUAGUCUAAGUCCACUUUGAAUAUAUUUGUGUUGUAGAUCAUGCCUCACGCCACGGUCAACCUGAAUUUUAAUACGUUCCUAGAGAAAGCUAAGUUGAAAGAUGAUGGAAGCAACUUUGUAGACUGGGCUCAUAAUCUUAAGCUAAUCUUACAAGCUGGGAAGAAGGAUUAUGUCCUUAAUGCUGCGCUAGGAGAUGAACCACCCGCUACGGUUGAUCAGGAUGUUAAGAACGCUUGGUUAGCACGUAAGCAGGACUACUCAGUAGUUCAAUGUGCAGUCUUGUAUGGCUUAGAACCGGGACUUCAACGUCGCUUUGAGCGUCAUGGAGCAUUUGAGAUGUUCCAGGAGUUGAAGUUUAUCUUUCAGAAGAACGCCCGGAUCGAGAGGUAUGAGACCUCCGAUAAAUUCUAUGCUUGCAAGAUGGAGGAGAACUCAUCUGUCAGUGAACAUGUGCUCAAAAUGUCUGGGUACUCAAACCGUCUAGCUGAGCUGGCGAUUGAACUCCCGCAAGAAGCUAUCACUGACAGAAUCCUUCAAUCACUGCCGCCAAGCUAUAAAGGCUUUGUGUUGAACUACAACAUGCAAGGGAUGAACAAGUCACCCGGCGAGUUGUUUGCGAUGCUGAAAGUCGCAGAGUCUGAACUCCGUAAAGAGCAUCAAGUGUUGAUGGUGAAUAAGACCACUAGUUUCAAGAGAAACGGCAAAGGCAAGAAGGGUAAUUCAAAGAAGAGCGGCAAGCCUGUUGCCAAUCCGACAAAGAAACCGAAAGCUGGACCUAAACCUGAAACAGAGUGUUACUAUUGCAAGGGUAUGGGUCACUGGAAGCGCAAUUGCCCCAAGUAUCUGGCAGAUAAGAAGGCGGCCAAAGAAAAAUUAGGUAUAUUUGAUAUACAUGUUAUUGAUGUGUACUUAACCGGCUCUCGUAGUAGUGCCUGGGUAUUCGAUACUGGUUCUGUUGCUCAUAUUUGCAACUCGAAACAGGAACUGCGGAAUAGACGAAGGCUGGCGAAAGAUGAAGUGACGAUGCGCAUAGGAAAUGGUUCCAAGGUUGAUGCAAUCACCGUCAGCACAGUGUCACUUCAGUUACCAUCAGGAUUAGUGAUGAACUUGAAACAUUGUUAUUUAGUGCCUGCAUUGAGCAUGAACAUUAUAUCUGGAUCUUGUUUAUUGCGAGACGGUUACUCUUUUAAGUGAGAGAAUAAUGGUUGUUCUAUUUCUAUGAGUAACAUCUUUUAUGGUCAUGCACCCAAUGUGAGAGGAUUGUUCAUAUUGAAUCUUGCUAGCGAUACACACAUACAUAACAUUGAGACCAAAAGGGUUAGAGUUAACAAUGAUAGCGCCAUAUUUUUGUGGCACUGCCGCUUAGGUCAUAUUGGUGUAAAGCGCAUGAAGAAACUCCAUGCUGAUGGACUUUUGGAGUCACUUGACUUUGAUUCACUUGACACGUGCGAACCAUGCCUCAUGGGCAAGAUGACUAAGACUCCGUUCUCCGGAACAAUGGAGCGUUCAAGUGACUUGUUGGAAAUCAUACACACCGAUGUGUGUGGUCCGAUGAGCGUAGAGGCACGCAGCGGAUAUCGUUAUUUUCUCACCUUCACUGACGAUUUGAGUAGAUAUGGUUAUCUCUACUUGAUGAAGCACAAGUCUGAAACAUUUGAAAAGUUCAAGCAAUUUCAGAGUGAAGUGGAAAAUCAUCGUAACAAGAAGAUCAAGUUCCUACGGUCUGAUCGUGGGGGUGAAUAUCUGAGUUUCGAGUUUGGUGCUCACUUAAGACAAUGUGGAAUUGUUUCACAGUUGACACCGCCUCGAACACCACAGCGUAAUGGUGUGUCUGAACGUCGUAAUCGUACUUUAUUGGAGAUGGUGCGAUCUAUGAUGUCUCUUACCGAUUUGUCGUUAUCAUUUUGGGGUUAUGCAUUAGAAACAGCUGCAUUCACUUUAAAUAGGGCACCAUCAAAAUCCGUUGAGACGACACCAUACGAACUGUGGUAUGGCAAAAGGCCAAAGUUGUCGUUUCUUAAAGUUUGGGGAUGUGAUGCUUAUGUCAAAAAGCUUCAGCCUGAAAAGCUGGAACCCAAAGCGGAAAAGUGCGUCUUCAUAGGUUACCCAAAAGAGACAGUUGGGUACACCUUCUAUCUCAAAUCCGAGGGCAAAGUAUUUGUUGCUAAAAACGGAGCUUUUCUCGAGAAGGAGUUUCUCUCGAGAGAAUUGAGUGGGAGGAAGAUAGAACUUGACGAGGUUGUCGAACCUCUCAUCCCUCUGGAUGGUGGCGCAGGACUAGGGGAAACCUCUGUCGUUGCGACACCAGUUGAGGAGGAAGUUAAUGAUGAUGAUCAUGAAACUCCGGUUCAAGUUUAUGUCGAACCACGCAGGUCGACGAGACCACGUGCUGCUCCAGAGUGGUACGGCAAUCCCGUCUUAUCGAUCAUGUUGUUAGACAACAAUGAACCUGCAAAUUAUGAAGAAGCAAUGGUGGGCCCAGAUUCCAACAAAUGGCUAGAAGCCAUGAAGUCCGAGAUAGGAUCCAUGUAUGAGAACAAAGUGUGGACUUUGGAAGUACUGCCUGAGGGCCGCAAGGCUAUUCAGAACAAAUGGAUCUUUAAGAGGAAGACGAACGCUGACGGAAAUGUGACCGUUAAUAAAGCUCGACUUGUGGCAAAGGGUUUUUCACAAGUUCAAGGAGUUGACUACGAUGAGACAUUCUCACCCGUAGCGAUGCUUAAAUCCGUCAGAAUCAUGUUAGCAAUAGCUGCAUUUUUCGAUUAUGAAAUCUGGCAGAUGGAUGUCAAAACGGCGUUCCUUAACGGUUUCCUUAAGGAAGAGUUGUAUAUGAUGCAACCCGAAGGUUUUGUCGAUCCUAAGAAUGCUAACAAGGUGUGCAAACUCCAGCGAUCCAUUUAUGGACUGGUGCAAGCAUCUCGGAGUUGGAACAAACGCUUUGAUGAGGUGAUCAAAGCAUUUGGGUUUAUACAAGUGGUUGGAGAAUCUUGUAUUUACAAGAAAGUGAGUGGGAGCUCUGUGGCGUUUCUAAUAUUAUAUGUGGAUGACAUAUUGCUGAUUGGAAACAACGUAGAGUUUUUGGAGAGCAUAAAGGAUUACUUGAAUAAAAGUUUCUCUAUGAAGGACCUAGGAGAAGCUGCUUACAUUCUAGGCAUUAAGAUCUACAGGGAUAGAUCAAAACGCCUGAUAGGACUUUCACAAAGCACAUACCUUGAUAAAGUUUUGAAGAGGUUCAAAAUGGAACAGUCCAAGAAAGGGUUCUUGCCAGUUUUACAAGGUAUGGCAUUGAGUAAGACUCAGCAACUGAUGAAGGUAGAGAGCAUAUGCGCUCCGUCCCCUAUGCUUCAGCCAUAGGUUCUAUCAUGUAUGCAAUGCUGUGCACUAGACCGGAUGUUAGCCUGGCCAUAAGUAUGGCAGGUAGGUUCCAGAGUAAUCCAGGAGUGGAUCACUGGACAGCGGUCAAGAAUAUCCUGAAGUAACUGAAAAGGACUAAGGAGAUGUUUCUCGUAUAUGGAGGUGACGAAGAGCUCGCUGUAAAAGGUUACGUCGAUGCAAGCUUUGACACAGAUCCGGACGACUCUAAGUCACAAACCGGAUACGUAUUUAUUCUUAAUGGGGGUGCGGUAAGCUGGUGCAGUUCCAAGCAGAGCGCCGUAGCAGAUUCUACAUGUGAAGCGGAGUACAUGGCUGCCUCGGAGGCAGCUAAGGAGGGUGUCUGGAUGAAGCAAUUCAUGACGGAUCUUGGAGUGGUGCCAAGCGCACUGAAUCCAAUAACCUUGUUCUGUGACAACACGGGUGCCAUUGCCUUAGCAAAGGAAUCACGGUUUCACAAGAAGUCCAGACACAUCAAACGACGCUUCAACCUCAUCCGCGACUACGUCGAAGGGGAGGACGUAAAUAUAUGCAAGGUGCACACGGAUCUGAAUGUAGCAGACCCGCUGACUAAACCUCUUCCAUGGCCAAAGCAUGAUCAACACCAGAACUGUAUGGGUGUUAGAUUUAUUACAAUGUAAGUCGCAGGAUGAUGUGAGGGCUAGAUUAUUGACUCUAGUGCAAGUGGGAGACUGUUGGAAUUAUGCCCUAGAGGGAAUAAUAAACAUAGUUAUUAUUAUAAUUCCUGAAUCAAGAUAAUCGAUCCAUGCUAUAAUUGUAUUGAAUGAAGACUCAUUUACAUGUGUGGAUACAUAGACAAAACACUGUCCCUAGCAAGCCUCUAGUUGGCUAGCCAGUUGAUCAAAGAUAGUCAGUGUCUUCUGAUUAUGAACAAGGUGUUGUUACUUGAUAACUGGAUCACGUCAUUAGGAGAAACACGUGAUGGACUAGACCCAAACUAAUAGACGUAGCAUGUUGAUCGUGUUAUUUUGUUGCUACUGUUUUCUGCGUGUCAAGUAUUUGUUCCUAUGACCAUGAGAUCAUAUAACUCACUGACACCGGAGGAACACUUUGUGUGUAUCAAACAUCGCAACGUAACUGGGUGACUAUAAAGAUGCUCUACAGGUAUCUCCGAAGGUGUUAGUUGAGUUAGUAUGGAUCAAGACUGGGAUUUGUCACUCCGUGUGACGGAGAGGUAUCUCGGGGCCCACUCGGUAAUGCAACAUCACACACAAGCCUUGCAAGCAAAGUAACUUAGUGUAAGUUGCGGGAUCUUGUAUUACGGAACGAUUAAAGAGACUUGCCGGUAAACGAGAUUGAAAUAGGUAUGCGGAUACUGACGAUCGAAUCUCGGACAAGUAACAUACCGAAGGACAAAGGGAAUGACAUACGGGAUUAUAUGAAUCCUUGGCACUAAGGUUCAAACGAUAAGUUCUUCGUAGAAUAUGUAGGAUCCAAUAUGGGCAUCCAGGUCCCGCUAUUGGAUAUUGACCGAGGAGUCUCUCGGGUCAUGUCUACAUAGUUCUCGAACCCGCAGGGUCUGCACACUUAAGGUUCGACGUUGUUUUAUGCGUAUUUGAGUUAUAUGGUUGGUUACCGAAUGUUGUUCGGAGUCCCGGAUGAGAUCACGGACGUCACGAGGGUUUCCGGAAUGGUCCGGAAACGAAGAUUGAUAUAUAGGAUGACCUCAUUUGAUUACCGGAAGGUUUUCGGAGUUACCGGGAAUGUACCGGGAAUGACGAAUGGGUUCCGGGAGUUCACCGGGGGGGCAACCCACCCCGGAGAAGCCCAUAGGCCAUGAGGGCGGCGCACCAGCACUUAGUGGUCUGGUGGGACAGCCCAAAGGGGCCCUAUGCGCCUAAGAAAGAAAAAUCAAAGAGAAAGAAGAAAAAAAAGGAGGUGGGAAGGGAAGGAAGGACUCCCACCCACCAAACCAAGUCCAACUCGGUUUGUGGAGGGGAGACCUUCCCCGUUGGCUCGGCCGACCCCCUUGGGGCUCCUUGAGCCCCAAGGCAAGGUCCCCUCCCUCCCACCUAUAUAUACGGAGGUUUUAGGGCUGAUUUGAGACGACUUUUCCACGGCAGCCCGACCACAUACCUCCACGGUUUUUCCUCUAGAGAUCAUCACCAACCUCCGGAGCGCCGUCACGCUGCCGGAGAACUAUUCUACCUCUCCAUCUCUCUUGCUGGAUGAAGAAAGCCGAGAUCAUCGUCGAGCUAUACGUGUGCUGAACGCGGAGGUGCCGUCCGUUCGGUACUAGAUCGUGGGACUGAUCGCGGGAUUGUUCGCGGGGCGGAUCGAGGGAUGUGAGGACGUUCCACUACAUCAACCGCGUUCACUAACGCUUCCGCUGUACGGUCUACAAGGGUACGUAGAUCACUCAUCCCCUCUCGUAGAUGGACAUCACCAUGAUAGUACUUCGUGCGCGUAGGAAAAUUUUUGUUUCCCAUGCGACGUUCCCCAACACCUAAAGGCGUAGCUGUAGCAGAAGGAUUCCUGGUGUCGUUGCUGAGGAGAAUCAAGACAAGAACAGUCUCCCGUCAGCACGUGUUUCUGGCGCCGUUGGAAGGUAUUUUGUUGUAGUAGCAGAAGUAUUUCUGGCGCCGUUGCCGGGGAGGAGAGAUCUAUCCAAGUAGGUCUCACAAACUCAUCUCAUGCAUUUACUUUUUAGCCAGUUGCCUCUCGUUUUCCUCUCCCCCACUUCACAUUUGCCUUUUUCCUUUGCCGUUUUGUUUUGCCCUUGCCGUUUUCCUUUGCUAGUUUUCUUGCUUGCUUGUGUUCUUGUUUGUUUGUUGAAGUCAUCAUGGCUGAAAACACCAAACUUUGCGACUUCUCGAGCAUUAAUAAUAAUGAUUUUAUUAGUACUCUGAUUGCUCCCGCCACUAGUGCGGAAUCGUAUGAAAUCAACGCAGCUCUGCUGAAUCUAGUUAUGAAAGAAAAUUUCUCUGGCCUUCCUAGUGAAGAUGCCGCAUCCCAUCUCAAUACCUUCAUUGAGCUUUGUGAUAUGCAAAAGAAAAGAGAUGUGGAUAAUGACGUGAUUAAGUUGAAACUUUUUCCUUUCUCGUUGCGAGAUCGCGCAAAAACUUGGUUUUCUUCUUUUCCUAAAAAUAGUAUCGAUUCUUGGGAUAAGUGCAAAGAUGCUUACAUAUCCAACUAUUUUCCGCCGGCUAAGAUCAUCUCCUUACGUAACGAUAUCAUGAAUUUCAAGCAACUUGAUCAUGAACACGUUGCACAAUCUUAGGAGAGGAUGAAGCUUAUGAUUAGAAAUUGUCCCGCUCAUGGCUUAAGUUUGUGGAUGAUUAUACAAAUCCUUUACGCUGGCUUGAAUUUCGCUUCCCGCAAUAUCUUGGACUCCGCCUCAGGUGGAACGUUCAUGGAAAUCACGUUAGGAGACGCUACAAAACUCCUAGACAAUAUCAUGACCAACUACUCUCAGUGGCACACUGAAAGGUCACCUGCUAGCAAAAAGGUACACGCUAUAGACGAGAUUAACUCGCUUAGUGCUAAGAUGGACGAGUUGAUGAAUUUGGUUGCUAGUAGAAACGCUAUCGUAGAUCGUAAUGACAUGCCACGUGCUUAAUUGUCUUCCUUCGGGGGUGAUGGUGUUGGAGGAAUCCUGUCAUUUAGUUCCAAGAGGGCCAUCAAUCUUUGAUUUAUACUUUGGAGCUGUGUGAUUCGUUUCUCCAGCAGAAUAACUUCACGGGUGAGAUAAGUAUUGUGAACACGAGUUAUUUCACUUAACCUCAAGAGUUCGAUCAAGGAUGGAGAUAGUAGGUGGAGGUAGGGUUGAAGAAAAUCCUCUUCCUCAGCUUCUUCCUUGUUGAGAACAGAUUGCCCUUCGUCCGACGCCAGAUUCUCCUCCUUAGUUUUGCCCUUAGUUUCUUCGAGCAGCCCUUCCUUGGCCUCCAUGACCUCCAUUCUUUUGAGAUCAGCAUUUACUUCUUCAUAGACUUGAGGGAAAUCGUUUUCCCCGACAAAUUCCUGAGACGACAUCCUUGCCCUGAAUCUACGGCAGAAACAGGCUCGAAACGAAAAACAAAGGAUAAUUGCAUGAUACGAGGGUCAGACCUUUCAGGAGAAUAUAUAAUGAAUUUUUACCGACGAAAAGGAGUGUUCCACAAGAAAACGGUGUCCGGGAGACACACGAGGUGCUCACAAGCCCCCCAGGCGUGCCCAGGGGGGUAGGGCGCUCCUGGCAGGCUUUUCGCCUCCUCGUGCGCUUUCCGGACUACUUUAAAUUUUUCUAUUUUUCUAAAUAUUCCAAAACGGAGAAAAAUUGCUAUUGGAAAAGUUGCGGAGUCGGUUUACUUACCGCAUCACAUACCUCUUCGUUUUUGGAGUCUCAAACAGGCUCGUAAAUAUCCCUUAUGUACUCCUCCGGAGUUAUGGUAUUAAUAAUAUUGCUUUCAACAUUUAUGGGAGUACCUGAGAUAUAAUGCUUGAUUCUUUGCCCAUUUACAACUCUCGAAAAAUUCCCUUCCGUGUUGUUGAUUUUGAUGGCACCGGAACGAUACACUUCUUCGACAAUGUAAGGACCUUCCUAUUUAGAGAGAAGCUUGCCUGCAAAAAAUCUUAAACGAGAAUUAUAUAGGAAGACAUAGUCACCUACAUUGAACUCACGUUUCUGUAUCCUUUUAUCAUGCCACCUCUUAACUUUCUCUUUAAACAACUUGGCAUUUUCAUAUGCCUGAGUUCUCCAUUCAUCAAGUGAGCAAAUAUCAAAUAACCUCUUCUCUCCAGCAAGUUUAAAAUCAAAGUUAAGCUCUUUGAUUGCCCAAUAAGCCUUAUGCUCUAGCUCAAGAGGUAAAUGACAUGCUUUACCGUAUACCAUUUUAUACGGAGACAUGCCCAUGGGAUUCUUAUAAGCAAUUCUAUAAACCCACAGUGCAUCAUCAAGUUUCUUAGACCAAUUCUUUCUAGACCUAUUAACAGUCUUUUGCAGAAUUAGUUUAAUUUCUGUAUUACUCAGCUCUACUUGACCACUCGACUGACGAUGAUAAGGAGAUGCAAUUCUAUGGUUGACAUCAUACUUAGCAAGCGUCUUACGGAAAGCACCAUGCAUAAAAUGUGAACCACCAUCAGUCAUUAAAUAUCUAGGGACUCCAAAUCUAGGGAAAAUAACUUCUUUAAGCAUCCCAAUAGAGGUGUUAUGAUCAUCACUACUAGUUGGGAUAGCUUCUACCCACUUAGUAACGUAAUCAACAACAACUAGAAUAUGAGUAUACCCGUUGGACUUUGGAAAAGGUCCCAUAUAAUCAAAACCCCAAACAUCAAAUGGUUCAAUAACAAGUGAAUAAUUCAUAGGCAUUUCCUGACGUUUACUGAUAUAACCUAUUCUUUGACAUUCAUCACAAGACAAGACAAACUUACGGGCAUCCUUGAAGAGAGUAGGCCAAUAGAAACCAGAUUGCAAUACCUUGUGUGCAGUUCUAUCUCCCGCAUGGUGUCCUCCGUAAGCCUCGGAGUGACACUUCUGUAGGAUCUGUCCCUGUUCAUGCUCAGGUACACAACGUCUAAUAACACCAUCUACUCCUUCUUUAUAAAUGUGAGGAUCAUCCCAAAAGUAAUGUCUCAAAUCGAAGAAGAAUUUCUUCUUUUGUUGGUAUGUGAAACUAGGUGGUAUAUAUUUAGAAACAAUAUAAUUUGGAUAAUUAGCAUACCAGGGUGUACUACGUGAGGCAUUGAUGACAUUCAAAUGUUCAUCAGGAAAGCUAUCAUCAAUAGGUUGUGGGUCAUCAAGAACAUUCUCCAACCUAGACAAGUUAUCUGCUAUGGGGUUCUCAGCACCCUUCCUAUCAACAACAUGCAGAUCAAAUUCUUGUAGCAAGAGAACCCAUCUAAUAAGUCUAGGUUUAGCAUCUUUCUUUUCCAUGAGAUACUUAAUAACAGCAUGAUAAGUGUGAAUAGUAACCUUGGAAUCAACAAUAUAGGAUCUGAACUUAUCACAUGCAAACACGACUGCUAAAAAUUCUUUUUCAGUAGUAGCAUAGUUUCUUUGGGCACUGUCUGGAGUUUUACUAGCAUAAUGAAUAACAUUCAAUUUCUUAUCAAAUCAUUGUCCUAGAGUAGCACCAACAGCAUAAUCACUAGCAUCACACAUAAUUUCAAAAGGUAGGUUCCAAUCAGGUGGUUGAACAAUAGGUGCAGUUAUCAAGGCCUUCUUAAGUAUUUCAAAUGCUUCUUCACAAUCAUCGUCAAAAACAAAAGGAAUAUCUUUUUGCAAGAGAUUGGUAAGAGGCCUAGAAAUCUUAGAGAAGUCCUUAAUGAACCUUCUAUAGAAACUAGCAUGACCAAGGAAACUUCUUGUACCUUUAAUGUCUAAAGGGCAUGGCAUUUUCUCGAUCGCAUCAACUUUAGCCUUAUCGACUUCAAUACCUCUUUCAGAAAUUUUAUGUCCUAAGAUGAUGCCUUCAUUAACCAUAAAGUGGCACUUCUCCCAAUUCAAGACAAGACUAAUAUAUUUACAUCUCUGCAAAACUCGAUCAAGGUUGCUCAAGCAAUCAUCAAAAGAAGAUCCAUAAACGGAGAAAUCAUCCAUGAAAACCUCAAUAAUCUUUUCACAAAAGUCAGAGAAUAUAGCCAUCAUACAUCUUUGAAAUCUAGCAGGUGCAUUGCACAAACCAAAAGGCAUACAUCUAUAAGCAAAGGUACCGAAAGGGCAGGUAAAAGUGGUUUUCUCCUGAUCAGAUUGUACAACUAGUAUUUGGGAGAAACCAGAAUAACCAUCUAGAAAGCAAAAUUGUGUGUGUUUAGACAAUCUUUCUAGCAUUUGGUCAAUAAAAGGCAAAGGGUAAUGAUCUUUCCUAGUGGCUUUAUUUAAUUUCCUAAAAUCAAUUACCGUCCAAUAGCCAGUAACAAUUCUCUGUGGGAUCAAUUCAUCUUUGUCAUUAGGGACAACAGUGAUACCUCCCUUCUUAGGGACACAAUGCACCGGACUUACCCAAUCACUAUGAGCAACAGGAUAGAUAAUACCUGCUUCCAGGAGCUUUAGUAUUUCUUUUCUUACCACCUCUUUCAUCUUAGGAUUUAAUCUUCGUUGAUGAUUGACAACUGGUUUGGAAUCAGGAUGAGUUUUAAUUUUAUGCUGGCAUAGAGUGGGACUAAUGCCCUUAAGAUCAUCAAGAGUAUAUCCAAUAGCAGCACGGUGCUUCCUCAGAGUUUUCAAUAAUUUCUUUUCUUCAUGUUCUGAAAGGCCAGCACUGAUAAUAACAGGAUAUAUCCCUUUUUCAUCAAGAUAAGCAUACUUAAGAGUAUCAGGUAAUUGUUUAAGAUCAAACGCAGGAUCACCCUUUGGUGGAGGUGGAUCUCCAAGUAAUUCAACAGGCAAAUUAUUCUUGAGGAUAGGAUGUUGUUCAAAGAUAACUCUAUCUAUCUCAUUCCUUUCAUCCAUAUGCAUAUCAUUUUCAUGUUCAAGCAAGUAUUGCUCUAAAGGAUCAGUAGGAGGCACAACAAUAGAAGCUAGAGCAAUGAUUUCAUCCUUACUAGACAAUUCUUUUUCAUGAGGUUGUCCACCAAACUUGGAGAAAUUGAACUCAUGUGACACACCUUCAAAGCCAACAGUGACAGUUUGUUUCUCACAAUCAAUAUGAGAAUUAACUGUAUUGAGUAAAGGUCUACCAAAUAUGAUGGGACAAAAGCUGUCUUGUGUGGUAGCAAGAACGAGAAAAUCAGUAGGAUACUUAGUUUUACCACGCAAGACUUCAACAUCUCUAACAAUUCCCACAGGGCAGAUAAUAUCUCUAUUGGCAAGUUGGACAGUAACAUCAAUAAAUUCCAUCUCGACAGGUGCAAUCUCAUCUUUAAUUUCAUUAUAUAAAGAUUGAGGUAUUGCACUAACACUAGCACCCACAUCACACAAACCAUGAUAACAAUGAUCUCCUAUCUUAACAGAGACAACAUGCAUGCCAACAACAGGUUUGUGUUUGUCUCUAGCAUGAGGUUUAGCAAUUCUAGCAGCAUCUUCACAGAAGUGAAUAACAUGCCCAUCAACAUUAUCGGACAAGAGAUCUUUAAUAAUAGCAAUGCUAGGUUCAACUCUAAUUUGCUCAGGGGGUGUAGGUGUUCUGAUGUAGCCCUUACGUAUCACAGUUGAAGCUUUAGCAUGAUCCUUUAUUCUAACACGGAAAGGUGGUUUCUCGAUGUAAGCACUAGGAACAAUAGGAUCAUUAUAGGCAAUGACUUCCUCUUCAACUGGAUUGGGUUUUACUACAUUGACUUCUAUGGGAGGAUGAUAUUUAACCCACUUCUCUUUAGGGAGAUUAAUAUGAGCAGCAAAAGAUUCACAUAAUGAAGCUACUAUCUCAGAGUCAAGUCCAUGUUUAGCGCUAAAAUCACAAAAAGUAUUUGUUUCAACGAAGGAUUUAACGCAAUCGAACUUAAGAUUCAUACCUGACUCCUUACCUUCAUUAAACUCCCAAUCUUCAAAGUUGAGUUUAAUUCUUUCCAAUAAAUCCCAUUUGAAGUCAAUAUCUCUCUUCAUAAAAGAACCAGUACAGGAAGUGUCAAGCAUGGUGCGAUUAUCAUGAGAAAGCCGAGCAUAGAAGUUCUGAAUAACAAUUUCUCUAGAGAGCUCAUGGUUGGGGCAUGAAUAUAACAUUGACUUAAGCCUCCCCCAAGCUUGAGCGAUACUUUCUCUAUCACGAGGCCAAAAAUUAUAGAUAUAAUUUCGAUCACGAUGUACCAAAUGCAUAGGAUAAAACUUUUGAUGAAAUUCCAAUUUCAAUCGGCUGUAGUUCCAUGAUUGAGUAUCAUCACAUAGCCUAUACCAUGUCAAUGCUUUAUCCCUCAAAGAUAAGGGAAAGACCUUCUUCUUGACCUCAUCCUCGGGCAGACCCGCAAGCUUAAAUAAACCACAAACUUCAUCUACAUAGAUUAGGUGCAAGUCGGGAUGUGAUGUUCCAUCUUCCUUAAAAGGAUUAGCCAACAGUUUCUCUAGCAUACCCGAAGGAAUUUCAUAAUAAAUAUUUUCACUAGGUGCAGUAGGUUGAAGAUACCCCGAAAAUACCCCGAACAAACUCCUCAAAGGAUUAGUUUCCAUAGUGACAAGUGACAAUAAAUUUCAACACACUAUAUAAAUGUUUCCUCACCAAAUUCCACUUACCAAAGGCGCUUCACUCCCCGGCAGCGGCGCCAGAAAAGAGUCUUGAUGACCCACAAGUGUAGAGGAUCUAUCAUAGUCCUUUCUAUAAGUAAGAGUGUCGAACCCAACAAGGAGCAGAAGGAAAUGACAAGUGGUUUCCAGCUAGGUAUUCUCUGCACGCACUGAAAUUAUCGGUAACAGAUAGUUGUGUGAUAAGAUAAUUCGUAAUGGGUAACAAGUAACAAUAGUAGAAAAGGUGCAGCAAGAUGGACCAAUCCCUUUUGUAGCAAGGGACAAGCCUGGACGAACUCUUAUGUAAGGUGAAGUGCUCCCGAGGACACAUGGGAAUUUCUAUCAAGCUAGUUUUCAUCAUGUUCAUAUGAUUCACGUUCACUACUUUGAUAGUUUGAUACGUGGGUGGACCGUUUCUUGGCUGCUGUCCUUACUUGGAAAAACAUUCCACUUAUGAUUAACCCCUCUCACAAGCAUCCGCAACUACGAAAGAAGAAUUAAGACUAAGUGUAACCAUAGCAUUAAACUGGUGGAUCCAAAUCAGCCCCUUACGAAGCAACGCAUAAAUUAGGGUUUAAGCUUCUGUCACUCUAGCAACCCAUCAUCUACUUAUUACUUACCAAUGACUUCCUAUAGGCCCAAAUAAUGGUGAAGUGUCAUCUAGUCGACGUUCACAUAACACCACUAGAGGAAAGACAACAUACAACGCAUCAAAAUAUCGAGCGAAUACCAAAGCAUAAUUAAGUUCAUGAUUAUGUUCUCAGGAACAAACGUGACUACUCACAAAGCAUAAUUAUGUUCAUGAUCAUAGAGGUAUUGAAUAGCAUUAAGGAUCUGAACAUAUGAUCUUCCACCGAGUAAUCCAACUAGCAUCAACUACAAGGAGUAAUUAACACUACUAGCAACCUUACAAGUACCAAUCGGAGUCGCGAGACGGAGAUUAGGUACAAGAGAUGAACUAGGGUUUGGAUAUGAGAUGGUGCUGAUGAAUAUAUUGACGGAGAUGAGUUCCCUCCGAUGAGAGGAGUUUUGUUGAUGAUGAUUUCCCCCUCCGAGAGGGAAGUUUCCCCGGCAGGACGGCCCAGCCGGAGGUCUAGAUUGGUUCUGCUCAAGUUCCGCCUCGUGGCAGCAGUGUCUCUUCCCGAAAGCAUCCCCUUGAUUUUUUCUAGGACGAAACCAUCCUUAUAGCAGAAGAUGGGAGUCGGGGGGUAACCGGGGGCCCACAAGCCACCCAGGCGUGCCCAGGGGGUAAGGCGCGCCUGGCAGGCUUGUGGCCUCGUGGUGGCUCCCCUCUAGUACUUCUUCCGCACAGUAUUUUUUAUAUAUUCCAAAAUAAUUCCUCGUUGAUUUUCAUGGCUUCUGGAGUUGUGCAGAAUAGGUAUCUCAAACUUGCUCCUUUUCAGCCCAGAAUUCGAGGUGCCGGUAUUCUCCCUCUUCAUGUAAACCUUAUAAAAUACGAGAGAAAGGCAUAAGUGUUGUACCAUAAUGUGUAAUAACAGCCCAAAAUGCGAUAAAUAUCAACAUGAAAGCAUGAUGUAAAAUGGACGUAUCAAGGAACUCCCAAAAUCCCCUCCAAAACUUCAUAAGGAGUGUUUGUAUUUAAUUCAAUAAAAUUCCUUUUUGAGGCAAAAUCUAAGAGUUCUCUAUGAUGUAAAGCCAAUCCAAUGUAAAAAUUUCUGAGCAAAACCUUUGCAUCUCCUUUUAGGUUGGAGACACGAUAGGAUUCCAUUAGCCUAUGCUAGGCAUCCUUCAAAUUUUCCCUUUGUUUUAGUUUGAAGUACAUAACUUCAAAACCUGGUGACAAAGGGAAGUGGUAAUGCUAGUCAUGGAGACGAGUAAAAGAUAAAGAAAGAAAGGAGAAUAAAAGGGCAAAUCUUUUUGAUAUUUUAUGAAAAUCAUUUUAGAAGUGGGGGAGAGGAAAACGAGAGGCAAAUGGAAAAUUAAGUAAAUGCAAGAUAUGAGUUUGUGAUGGGUACUUGGUAGGCGUGAUCUUGCUAUGUAUCCUCCCCGGCAACGGCGCGAGAAAUCCUUCUUGCUACCUCUUCAGCUUGCGUUGGUUUUCCCUUGAAGAGGAAAGGGUGAUGCAACGAAGUAGAUAAGUAUUUUCCUUAGUUUGUUUAGAACCAAGGUAUCAAUCUAGUAGGAGGAACAAGCAAGGCUCCAAUAGUAGUACCGACACAAAUAAUCAAACACUUGCACCCAACGCUAUAAAGUGGUUGUCAAUCCCUUGAGAGUUAUUUGCAAGGAUGAGAUCUGAUAGAGAUAGGUAUAAAAUAAUGAUAGAUCUGAAAGUAAAACAAAAGUAAAUAAAUUGCAGCAAAGUAUUUUUGGUAUUUUUGGUUUAUAGAUCUGAAAAUAUAAUAUAGAAAAUAGACCCAGGGACCAAAGGUUUCACUAGAGGCUUCUCUCAUAAAGGAAAAUAAUACGUGGGUGAACAAAUUACUGUCGAGCAAUUGAUAGAAAAGUGAAUAAUUAUGAAGAUAUCCAAGGUAAUGAUUAUGCAUAUAGGCAUCAUGUCCGUGUCAAGUAGACCGAAACGAUUCUACAUCUACUACUAUUACUCCACACAUCAACCGACUCCUGCCUGCAUCUAGAGUAUUAAGUUCAUGAAUAACAGAGUAACGCAUUAAGUAAGAUGACAUGGUGUAGAGGAAUAAACUCAAGCAAUAUAAUGAAAACCUCAUCUUUUUAUCCUCGAUGGAAACAAUACAAUACGUGCCUUGCUACCCCUACUAUGUCACUAGAUGAGGACACCCCAAGAUUGAACCCAAAACCAAGCACUUCUCAUAUUGCAAGAAUUACCAAUCUAGUUUGCCAAACUAAACAAAUAAUUCAAAGAGACUUGAAACUAUAUGAAAUCAUGCAUAUAGGAAUUAAUAAGAGACUCAAAUAAUGUUCAUGGAUAAUCUGAACAUAAACUAAAAAUUCAUUGGAUCAUGACAAGCACACCGCAAAAGAGUAUUACAUCGGAUAGAUCUCCAUGAAGAUCAUGAAGAACAUGGUAUUGAAGCUCAAAGAGAGAGAAUAAGCCAUCUAGCUACUAGCUAUGGACCGGUAGGUCUGUGGUGAACUACUUACACAUCAUCGGAGGGGCAAUGGAGUUGAUGUAGAUGCCCUCCGUGAUCAAUUCCAUCUCCGGCAGAUUACCAGAAAAUGCUCCCAGAUUGGAUCUCUCGGGAACAGAGGCUCCCGGUGGCGUAGAAGUAUUUUCGUUGCUUUUUUUGGCGAUAUGAGAAUAUUUGGGAAUUUAUAGGCCAAGAAUUAGUGUUAGGAGACCUGCAGGUGGGCCACAAGCCAGGGGCGCAGCCACACACCCUCCCCCCCCCCAAGGCACGCCCUGCAGUCUUGUGGCCUCCCGGCAACUUCCUUGCCCCUUACUCCAUACCUGUUGUGUGUCUUCUGGUCCAAGAAAAAUAUUUCCGGAGAUUUCAUUCCGUUUGGACUCUGUUUAAUAUUCCUUAUUUGCAAUACUCAAAAAUGUGGAAAAAACCAAAACUGACAUUAGGCUCUAGAUUAAUAGGUUAGCCCCAAAAAUAAUAUAAAACAACAUAUAAAUGCAUAUAAAACAUCCAAAACAAAUAAUAUAAUAGCAUGUAACAAUAAAAAAUACUAGAUACGUUGGAGAUGUAUUAGUGCCCUGCAGCUCCACUACAUCUCCGGCCGCUGCGUCGGCGUCGCCAUGAGCUUUCGCCAUCAGAUAGAUGGAGGCGAUGAGGAUGAGGAAGAGGAUGCGGUGGGCGAGAGAGAGACGGUGAGGUGGAGGCAGUGGAUGAGAGCAAGACGACGCUGGUGGGGGAGAGGAAGACGAUGCGAUAGGGAGGGGAUUUGGAGGAAAAUGGUAGGGGCGAUGCGCUGGGAGGUGGUUCCCCCUCUGUAUACGAUGGGAUGUUUCACGUAUGUCCCAUGGACAUGUGCUACCCCAAGACCGCAGUCGGUUGCAUGCGUCCACAUAUAUGAAUACCACUGUACGGUCAACAUAAAAACCACUAUAUGGCUAAACGAUCAAAGGUGGACUCGGCCCUACGCGGCCGCACUUGUCAGAGUUAACGGUCAAAGGCAUUGACCCGACGACAACGUCCAUUGUAACCUGUUCUGAGGGUUUCGAGCAAGGGAGUGGGGAAAACUGAGAAAAACAUAAGAACGUGGGGAUGAUUGAGUACAACUAACGAACCAGGGGCAGUGAUACGUCUCCAACAUAUUUAUAAUUUUUGAUGGUUCCAUGCUACUAUCUUGUCAACUUUUGAUGUUUUGUAUGCAUGAAUAUGCUUAUUUAUAUCUUUUUUGGGACUAACCUAUUAACUCAGUGCCAAGUGCUAGUUUCUGUUUUUCCGUGUUUUUGACCUUUUUCAGAGGAGAAUAUUAAACGGAAUCCAAAUGGAAUAAAACCUGCGGAAUGAUUUUUUCCAUAAUAGAAGAUACGUAGGAGACUUGAGAACCAAGGCAGGGGACCUCGGGGGAGGUCACAAGCCCCCUAGCCCCAGCCUGAGGGGGCAGGCCUAGCAGGCUUGUGGGCCCCCCGUGGCUCCUCUGCCCUACCUCUUCCGCCUAUAAAUUCUCUAAAAAUCCAAAACCACCAUAGAGAGCCACGAAAAUACUUUUCCGCCGCCGCAAGCUUCUGUCUCCGCAAGAUCCCAUCUUGGCACGUUCUGGUGCCCUGCCAGAGGGGGGAUUCGGACAUGGAGGGCUUCUUCAUCAACACCAUUGCCUCUCCGAUGAUGCGUGAGUAGUUCACCAUAGACCUUCGGGUCCAUAGCUAGUAGCUAGAUGGCUUCUUCUCUCUCUUGGAUCUUCAAUACAAAGUUCUCCAUGAUCUUCAUGGAGAUCUAUCCGUUGUAACUUUCUUUUGCGGUGUGUUUGUCGAGAUCCGAUGAAUUGUGGAUUUAUGAUCAGAUUAUCUAUGAAUGUUAUUUGAGUCUCCUCUGAUCUCUUAUAUGCAUGAUUUAGUAUCCUUGUAAUUCUCUUCGGGUUGUGGGUUUCGUUUGGACAACUUGAUCUAUAAUUCUUGCAAUGGGAGAAGUGCUUGAUUUGGAUUCAUACCGUGCGGUGUCCUCACCUAGUGACAGAAGGGGUAGCCAGGCAUGCGUCGUGUUGUUGCCAUCAAGGGUAAAAAGAUGGGGUUUAUAUCUAUUGCAUGAAUUUAUCCCUCUACAUCAUGUUAUCUUGCUGAAGGCAUUACUCCGUUUGUUAGAACUUAAUACACUAGAUGAUUAGUAAAAAGAGGAUAUAAUAAAAGCUUCCAUAUUCAAGUGCAUUGAUUAGUAAGAGAAGUUUGAUUCCUAACAAUUAAGUUUUGAGAUAUGGAUUUGGUAAUAUUAGAGUUACGUUAGUAGGGUCUUGUGAAUCUAGAAAUACUUGUGUUGAAGUUAGUGAUUCCCGUAGCAUGCACGUAUGGUGAACCGCUGUGUUAGGAAGUCAGAGCAUGAUUGAUUUAUUGAUUGUCAUCCUUUGUGUGGCGGUCGGGAUCGCGCGAUGGUUAACACCUACCAACCCUUCCCCUAGGAAUAUGUGUUUAGAACUUUGUUUCGAUUACUAAUAAAACUUUCGCAAUAAGUAUAUGAGUUAUUUAUGACUAAUGUGAGUCCAUGGUAUAGAUGCACUUUCAUCUUCCACGAUUGCUAGCCUCUCUAGUGCCGUGCAACUUUCGCCGGUGCACAAACCCACCAUAUACCUUCCUCAAAACAGCCAUCAUACCUACCUAUUAUGGCAUUUUCAUAGCCAUUCCGAGAUAUAUUGCCAUGCAACUCCCACCGUUCUGUCUCAUGGCUUGUGCUGUCACUUUCGUAUUGCCUUUGCAUGAUCGUAAGAUAGCUAGCGAGAUGUUUCAACGUCAUACUCUAAGCUAGAUCGUUGCACAUCUCGGUACACUGCCAGAGGCAUUUCCUAUAGAGUCAUCAUUGUUCUAAGUAUUGAGUUGUGUGUAAAUAAAAGUGUGAUUAUCAUCAUUAUUAGAGCAUUGUCCCAUGUGAGGAAACAAAAAAAAGAGGCCAAAGAUGCCCACCAAAAAAAUGAUGAAAAGAGGCCAAAGAGCCCAAAAAAAGAGAGAGAGAAANGAGAGAAAAAGAGAGAAGGGACAAUGCUACUAACUUUUUCCACACUUGUGCUUCAAAAUAGCAUCAUGUUCUUCAUGAUAGAGAGUCUCUUGUUUUGACACUUCCAUAUACUAGUGGGAAUUUUCAUUAUAUAACUUGGCUUGUAUAUUCCAAUGAUGGGCUUCCUCAAAAUUGCCCUAGGUCUUCGUGAGCAAGCAAGUUGGGUGCACACCCACUAGUUUUCCUUUUGAGCUUUCACACACUUAUAACUCUCGUGCAUCCAUUGCAUGGCAAUCCCUACUCAUUAACAUUGAUAUCUAUUGAUGGGCAUCUCCAUAGCCCAUUGAUACGCCAAGUCAAUGUGACCAUGUCCUUUUUGCCUCACAACCUCCACCACACUCUAUUCCACCUAUAGUGCUAUAUCCAUGGCUCAUGGUCAUGUAUUGCGUGAGAGUUGAAAAAGUUUGAGAAAGUAAGAAUGCGAAAACAAUUACAUGGCCAAUACCGGGGUUGUGCAUGAUCUAAAUUUGUUGUGUGGGGAUGAUGGAGCAUAGCCAGACUAUAUGAUUUUGUAGGGAUAACUUUCUUUGGCCUUGUUACUUCAAAAGUUCAUGAUCACUUUGCUAGUAUGUUUGAAGUAUUAUUGUUUUCAUGUCAAUAGUAAACUAUUGUUUUGAAUCUUACGGAUCUGAACAUUCAUGCCACAAGAAAGAAGUUACAAAGGACAAAUAUGUUAGGUAGCAUUCCGCAUCAAAAAUUCAGUCUUUAUCACUUCCCUACUCGAGGACGAGCAGGAGUUAAGCUUGGGGAUGCUUGAUACGUCUCCAACGUAUCUAUAAUUUUUUAUGGUUCCAUGCUAUUAUCUUGUCAACUUUGGAUGUUUUGUAUGCAUGAAUAUGAUAUUUUAUAUCUUUUUUGGGACUAACCAAUUAACUCAGUGCCAAGUGCCAGUUUCUGUUUUUUUCCUUGUUUUUGACUUUUUUCAGAGGAGAAUAUUAAACGGAAUCCAAACGGAAUAAAACCUGCGGAAUGAUUUUUUCCAUAACAGAAGAUACGCAGGAGACUUGAGAACCAAGGAAGGGGACCUCGGGGGAGGUCACAAGCCCCCUAGCCCCGACAUGGGGGGCAGGCCUAGCAGACUUGUGCCCCCCCCCCAUGGCUCCUCUGCCCUACCUCUUCCGCCUAUAAAUUCUCUAAAAAUCCAAAACCACUAGAGAGAGCCACGAAAAUACUUUUCCGCCACCGCAAGCUUCUGUCUCCGCAAGAUCCCAUCUGGGGCAUGUUCUGGUGGCCUGUCGGAGGGGAGAUUCAGACACGGAGAGCUUCUUCAUCAACACCAUUGCCUCUCCGAUGAUGCGUGAGUAGUUCACCAUAGACCUUCGGGUCCAUAGCUAGUAGCUAGAUGGCUUCUUAUCUCUCUUGGAUCUUCAAUACAAAGUUCUCCAUGAUCUUCAUGGAGAUCUAUCCGAUGUAACUUUCUUUUGCGGUGUGUUUGUUGAGAUCCGAUGAAUUGUGGAUUUAUGAUCGGAUUAUCUAUGAAUGUUAUUUGAGUCUCCUCUGAUCUCUUAUAUGCAUGACUCCGUAUCCUUGUAAUUCUCUUCGAGUUGUGGGUUUCGUUCGGCCAACUUGAUCUAUAAUUCUUGCAAUGGGACAAGUGCUUGGUUUUGGGUUCAUACCGUGCGGUGUCCUCACCUAGUGACAGAAGGGGUAGCAAGGCACGCAUCAUGUUGUUGCCAUCAAGGGUAAAAAGAUGGGGUUUAUAUCUAUUGCAUGAAUUUAUCCCUCUACAUCGUCAUCUUGCUUAAGGCGUUACUCCAUUUGUUAUGAACUUAAUACACUAGAUGCAUGCUAGAUAGUGGUCGAUGUGUGGAGUAAUAGUAGUAGAUGCAGAAAGUAUCGGUCUACUUGUCUCGGACGUGAUGCCUAUACGUAUGAUCAUUGCCUUAGAUAUCAUCAUGACUUUGCGCGAUUCUAUCAAUUGCUCGACAGUAAUUCGUUCACCCACCGUAAUACUUGCUAUCAUGAGAGAAGCCUAUAGUGAACACUAUAGCCCCCGGGUCUACUUCACAUCAUAUUUUCAGCUCUACACUUAUACUUUGUUGCACUUUCCACCUUCAGAUCUCACCUUGCAAAUAAUCGUGAAGGGAUUGCCGACCCCUUUAUAGCGUUGGGUGCAAGUUUGUUUAUUUUUGCGCAGGUACAUUGGAGACUUGUCUUGAUACUCCUACUAGAUUGAUACCUUGAUUCUCAAACUGAGGGAAAUACUUACUGCUACUCUGCUGCAUCACCCUUUCCUUUUCAAGGGAAAAAACAACGCAAGCCUGAUACGUCCAUUUUGCAUCAUGCUUUCAUGUUGAUAUUUAUCGCUUUAAGGACUGUUAUUAUACUUUCUAGUACCAUACUUAUGCCUUUUCUCUCUUAUUUUGCAAGGUUUAUUUGAAGAGGGAGAAUACCGGCAGCUGGAAUUCUGGACUGGAAAAAGGAGCAAGUCUGAGUCCUCUAUUCUGCACAACUCCAAAUGCCCUGAAAAUCAACGUGGAAUUUUUUGGGAAUAUAUAAAAAAUACUAGGCGAAAGAAGUGUCAAAGGGGAGCUUCCAGGGGCCCACAAGCCUGGUUGUCGCGGCCUACCCCCCUGGCCGCGGCAGCAGGGCUUGUGGGCACCCUGGUGGCCCACUGGGCCCUCUCUUUUGCUAUAUUAAGGGUUUCUUCUGAGGAAAAAUCAAGGUGGAGCUUUUUCGUGGAUUCUCCGCCGCCACAAGGCGGAACUUGAGCAGAACCAAUCUAGAGCUCCGGCAGGACUGUCCUGCCGGGGAAACUUCCCUCCCGGAGGGGGAAAUCGUCGCCAUCGUCAUCACCAACACUCCUCUCGUCGGAGGGGAUUCAUCUCCAUCAACAUCUUCAUCAACACCAUCUCCUCUCCAAACCCUAGUUCAUCUCUUGUAACCAAUCUCCAUUUCUCGACUCCGAUUGGUACUUGUAAGGUUGCUAGUAGUGUUGAUUACUCUUUGUAGUUGAUGCUAGUUGGAUUACUUGGUGGAAGAGUUUAUGUUCAGAUCCUUGAUGCUACUCAUUACACCUCUGAUCAUGAUUAUUAUUAUGCUUUGUGAGUAGUUACUUUUGUUCCUGAGGACAUGGGAUAAGUCAUGCUGAUAAUAGUCAUGUGAAUUUGGUAUUCGUUCGGUAUUUUGAUAUGUUGUAUGUUGUCUUUUCCUCUAGUGGUGUUAUGUGAACGUCGACUACAUAACACUUCACCAUCUUUGGGCCUAGAGGAAGGCAUUGGGGAGUAGUAAGUAGAUGAUGGGUUUGCUAGAGUGACAGAAGCUUAAACCCCAGUCUAUGCGUUGCUUCGUAAGGGGCUGAUUUGGAUCCACUAGUUUAAUGCUAUGGUUAGACGUUGUCUUAAUUCUUCUUUCGUAGUUGCGGAUGCUUGCGAGAGGGGUUAAUAAUAAGUGGGAAUCUUGUCCAAGUAAGGGCAGUACCCAAGCGCCGGUCCACCCACAUAUCAAACUAUCAAAGUAACAAACGUGAAUCAUAUGAACAUGAUGAAACUAGCAUGACAGAAAUUCCCGUGUGUCCUCGGGGGAGUUUUUCCUCUUAUAAGACUUUGUUCAGGCUUAUCGCUUUCUACAAAAGGGAUUGGGCCACUUUGCUGCACCGUUGCUACUACUUGUUACUUGUUACUUUUCGCUUGCUACGUUUCACCUCACUACACAUUCACUUGUUACCGCUACUUUCAGUGCUUGCAGUUAUUACCUUGCUGAAAACCGUUUAUCAGAGCCUUCAGCUCCUCGUUGGGUUCGACACUCUUACUUAUCGAAAGGACUACGAUUGAUCCCCUAUACUUGUGGGUCAUCAAGACUCUUUUAUGGCGCCGUUGCCGGGGAGUGAAGCGCCUUUGGUAAGUGGAAUUUGGUAAGGAAACAUUUAUAUACUGUGCUGAAAUUUAUUGUCACUUGUCACUAUGGAAACUGUUCCUUUGAGGAAUUUAUUCGGGGUAUCUUCACCACGAACGGAAGCACGAGGGGUUUCUCCUCAACCUGAGGUACCUACUGAAAAUAUCUUUUUUGAAAUUCCUUCGGGUAUGCUUGAGAAACUGCUGGCUAAUCCUUUUACAGGAGAUGGAUCUUCACAUCCAGACUUGCAUCUAAUCUAUGUAGAUGAAGUUUGUGGUUUAUUUAAGCUUGCAGGUUUGCCCGAGGAUGAGGUAAAGAAUAAAUUCUUUCCUUUAUCUUUGAAGGAUAAGGCGUUGACAUGGUAUAGGCUAUGUGAUGAUACUGGAUCAUGGGACUACAAUCGGUUGAAAUUGGAAUUUCAUCAAAAGUUUUAUCCUAUGCAUUUAGUACAUCGUGAUCAGAAUUAUAUUUAUAACUUUUGGCCUCGUGACAGGGAAGGCAUAGCUCAAGCUUGGGGGAGGCUUAAAUCAAUGCUAUAUUCAUGCCCCAAUCAUGAGCUCUAGAGAUAAAUUAUCACUGAAAACUUUUAUGCUCGGCUUUCUCAUGAAGAUCGUACCAUGCUUGACACUUCUUGUACCGGUUCUUUUAUGAAGAAGGAUAUUGACCACAAGUGGAAUUUAUUGGAAAGAAUCAAACGUAACUCUGAAGAUUGGGAGCUUGAAGAAGGUAAGGAGUCAGGUAUGAAUUUUCAGUUUGAUUGCGUUAAAACUUUUGAUGAAACAAACACUUCUAGAGAUUUUAGCGCUAAGUAUGGACUUUACUCUGAGAUAGUAGCUUCUCUGUGUGAAUCUUUUGCUGCUCAUCUUGAUAUUGCCAAAGAGAAGUGGUUUAAGUAUUAUCCGCCUGUAGAAGUCAACAUAGUUAAACCCAAUAUAGUUGAAGAGAAAGUCAUUGCCUUUAGUGAUCCUAUUGUUCCUUGUGCCUACGCUGAGAAACCACCUUACCCUGCUAGGAAAAAGGAUUAUUCUAAAGCUCCAACAGUGAUACGUAGGGGUUACAUUAGACCACUUGCACCCCCUGAGGAAAUUAGAGUUGAACCUAGUGUUGCUAUUAUCAAAGAUCUCUUAACCAAAGACAUAGACGGGCAUGUUAUCAAAUUCUGUGAGGACUCCGCUGGAAUUGCUAAACCUCACGCAAAAGACAAAUAUGGACCUGUAGUUGGCCUGCCCGUUGUUUCUGUCAAGAUAGGAGAUCAAUGUUAUCAUGGUUUAUGUGAUAUGGGUGCUAGUUUUAGUGCAAUACCCCGGUCCCUAUAUGAUGAAAUCAAAGAUGAGAUUGCACCUGCUGAGUUAGAACCCAUUGAUGUCACUAUUACGCUAGCUAAUAGAGACACUAUCUGCCCUGUGGGAAUUGUGAGAGACGUAGAAGUCCUGUGUGGUAAGACGAAGUAUCCUACUGAUUUCCUCGUCCUUGCUACUGCCCAAGAUAGCUUUUGUCCCAUCAUAUUUGGUAGACCCUUUCUCAACACUGUCAAUGCUCAUAUUGAUUGUGUUAAACAGACUGUCACUGUUAGUUUGUAGGGUGUGUCUCAUGAAUUUAACUUCUCCAAGUUUGGAAGACAACCCCAUGAAAAAGAGUCGUCUGGUAGGGAUGAAAUCAUUGCUCUUGCCUCUAUUGCCGUACCUCCUACGGAUCCUUUAGAGCAAUAUCUUCUUGAGCAUGAAAAUGAUAUGCAUAUGGAUGAAAGAGAUGAGAUAGAUAAAAUUGUUUUAGAACAAUAUCCUAUUCUCAAGAAUAAUCCGCCUGUUGAACUGCUUCGGGAUCCUCCCCCACCAAAGGGUGAUCCCGUGUUCGAGCUAAAACAGUUACCAGAUACUCUUAAGUAUGCCUAUCUUGAUGAGAAGGAGAUAUAUCCUGUUAUUAUUAGUGCUCACCUCUUGAAUCACGAAGAGAAGAAGUUAUUAAAAACUUUGAGGAAGCACCGCUACUAUUGGAUAUACUCUUGAUGAUCUUAAGUGUAUUAGUCCCACUCUAUGUCAGCACAAGAUUAAAACUGAUCCUGAUUCUAAGCCAGUUGCUGAUCAUCAACGGAGAUUAAAUUCGAGGAUGAAAGAGGUCGUGAGAAAAGAAAUAUUAAAGCUUCUGGAAGCAGGAAUCAUUUAUCCUGUUGCUCAUAGUGAUUGGGUAAGUCCAGUACAUUGCGUACCUAAGAAGGGAGGUAUCACCGUCGUUCCUAAUGAUAAGAAUGAACUAAUCCCACAGAGGAUUUUUACUGGCUAUAGGAUGGUGAUAGACUUCCGGAAACUGAACAAGGCAACCAGGAAAGACCAUUAUCAUUUGCCGUUUAUCGACCAAAUGCUAGAAAGGCUAUCUAAACACACACACUUCUGCUUUCUAGACGGUUAUACAGGUUUCUCGCAAAUACCUGUUGCACAAUCUGAUCUGGAGAAAACCACUUUCACCUGCCCCUUCGGUACCUUUGCUUAUAGACGUAUGCCUUUUCGCUUGUCCAAUGCACCUGCCACCUUUCAAAGAUGUAUGAUGGCUAUACUCUCUGACUUUUGUGAAAAGAUUGUUGAGGUUUUCUUGGAUGAUUUCUCCAUUUACGGUUCUUCCUUUGACAAUUGCCUCAGCAACCUUGAUCGAGACUUACAGAGAUGCAAAGAUACCAACCUCGUCUUGAACUGGGAGAAGUGCCACUUCAUGGUUAAUGAAGGCAUCGUCUUAGGACACAAAAUCUCUAAGAAAGGCAUUGAAGUUGAUAAGGCUAAGGUUGAUGCAAUUGAGAAAAUGCCUUGCCCCACAGAUAUCAGAGGUAUACGAAGUUUCCUAGGUCAUGUUGGUUUCUAUAGAAGGUUCAUUAAAGACUUCUCUAAUAUUUCUAGGCCUCUUACCAACCUCUUGCAGAAGGAUGUUCCUUUUGUUUUUGAUGAGGAUUGUGAGGAAGCUUUCGAAAUACUUAAGAAGGCCUUGAUAACCGCACGUAUUGUUCAACCACCUGAUUGGAACUUGCCCUUUGAAAUCAUGUGCGAUGCUAGUGAUUAUGCUGUUGGUGAUGUUCUAGGACAAAGAGUUGACAAGAAGUUGAAUGUCAUUCACUACGGUAGUAAAAAUCUAGACAGUGCCCAAAGAAACUAUGCCACUACGGAGAAGGAGUUUUUAGCAGUCGUGUUUGCAUGUGAAAAGUUCAGAUCUUAUAUAGUUGACUCCAAAGUCACUAUUCAAUUUGAUCAUGCUGCUAUUAAGUACCUUAUGGAGAAGAAGGACGCUAAGCCUGGGCUAAUGAGAUGGGUUCUCCUGCUAUAGGAAUUUGAUUUGCAUGUUGUUGACCGAAACGGUGCUGAUAACCCUGUAGCAGAUAACUUGUCUAGGCUAGAGAAUGUCCUUGAUGACCCAUGAUCUAUUGAUGACAGCUUUCCUGAUGAGAAAUUGAAUGUCAUCCGCACUUCACAUAGUGCACCGUUGUAUGCUGAUUACGCAAACUAUAUCGUAGCCAAAUACAUACCACCCAGUUUCACCUACCAGCAAAAGAAGAAAUUCUUCUUUGAUUUGAGACACUACUUUUGGGAUGAUCCUCACCUUUAUAAGGAAGGAGUAGAUGGUGUUAUUAGACGUUGUGUGCCUGAACAUGAACAGGGACAGAUCCUGCAGAAGUGUCAUUCUAAAGCUUACAGAGGACACCAUGCUGGAGAUAGAACUGCCCAUAAGGUAUUGGAAUCAAGUUUCUAUUGGCCCACUCUAUUCAAGGAUGCCGUAAGUUUGUCUUGUCUUGUGACGAAUGCCAAAGAAUAGGGAACAUCAGUAAGCGUCAGGAAAUGCCUAUGAACUAUUCACUUGUCAUUGAACCAUUUGAUGUCUGGGGCUUUGAUUAUAUGGGACCUUUCCCGAGUUCCAAUGGGUAUACUCACAUCUUAGUUUCUCUGGAUUACGUCACUAAGUGGGUAGAAGCUAUCCCCACUAGAAAUGUUGAUCACCACACCUCUAUUAAGAUGCUUAAAGAAGUCAUUUUCCCAAGAUUUGGAGUCUCUGGAUAUCUGAUGACUGAUGGCGGUUCACACUUCAUUCAUGGUGUUUUUCGCAAGAUGCUCGCUAAGUAUGAUGUCAACCAUAGAGUUGCAUCUCCUUAUCAUCCUCAGUCUAGUGGUCAAGUGGAGUUGAGUAAUAGGGAGAUCAAAUUGAUCUUACAAAAGACCGUCAAUAGAUCUCGAAAGAAUUGGUCUAGCAAACUUGACGAUGCACUAUGGGCUUAUAGGACUGCUUAUAAGAAUCCCAUGGGCAUGUCACCAUAUAAAAUGGUUUACGAUAAGGCCUGUCAUUUACCUCUUGAGCUAGAACACAAAGCUUAUUGGGCAAUCAAAGAGCUCAACUUCGAUUUCAAACUUGCCGGUGAGAAGCGGUUGUUUGAUAUCAGCUCAUUAGAUGAAUGGAGGGCCCAGGCAUAUGAGAAUGCCAAGUUGUUCAAGGAAAAGGUUAAGAGAUGGCACGAUAAAAGAAUACAAAAACGAGAGUACAAUGUAGGUGAUUAUGUCCUGCUAUUCAAUUCUCGCUUAAGAUCUUCAUAGGCAAGCUUCUUUCUAAAUGGGAAGGUCCUUACGUUGUCGAGGAAGUAUAUCAUUUCGGUGCCAUCAAAAUCAAUAACAUGGAAGGUAAUUUUCCUAGAGUGGUAAAUGGGCAAAGAAUCAAGCAUUAUAUCUCUGGUACUCCCAAAAAUGUUGAGACCAAUAUCAUCAAUAUCAUAACUCCAGAGGAGUACAUAAGGGAUGUUUAUGAGCCUAUUUCAGACCCUAAAAAUGAAGAGGUAUGUGUUUCGGUAAGUAAUUAGACUCCGAAACUUUUCCGAUAGGAAAUUUUCUCCGUUUUGGAAUUGAUGGAAAAUUAGAAAAAUCAAAAGCAGUCCGGAGAGCGCACGAGGCGGCCACAAGCUUGGUUGCCGCGACCUCCCCCUGGCCACGGCAACAGGGCUUCUGGGCACCUCGUGUGCCUCCCGGACUCCGUUUUCUUGCGGAGCACUCCUUCUGGUCCAGAAAAAAAUCAUUAUAUAUACGCCCGAGGGUUUUGAUCUCCGUAUCGCGCAGUUUUCCUCUGUUUUCAUUUCGAGCAUGUUGUCUGCCGCAGAUUUAGAGCAAAGAUGUCUCAGGAAUCUGUUGGGGAGAAUAAUCUCCCUCAAGUUCAUGAAGAAGUAGAUGCUGAUCUGAAAAGAGUAGAAGUCACGGAAGCCAGGGACAAAGCUAAGGAGAAAACCCAAGAUAGGGAGGAAGUUCAACCUACGUUCAACAUUGAAGACAUUGAAGGAGUGGAUUUUCUCCAACCCUUCCUCCACGUGCUAUCUCCAUCCUUGAUUGAACUCUUGAGGUUUUGUGAAACAACUCGUGCUCGCAAUAUUUCCCUUUCUCGUGAAGUUGUUUUGCUGGAAAACCAUGUCGCGGAUCUCCAAGGUAUAAAUCAAAGACUCCACCACCAUCACCAUCAAAGGAAGACAACUAAACAUUGGUAUGGGCAACUCCCUUGGCUUAUGCCAAGCUUGGGCAAGUUGCCCUGGUAUCGUAUCACCUUUAUAUCUUUUGCUUUUACCUUUGUUUUAGUUCUUUCCUUUUCAGUUUUUAUUUCUUCUCUUAGUGGAAUAAGUCUUUAGUGUUUAGUUUAAGUGUUUUUCCUUGUGUCUCGCCCGAUGUGUUCGAGCUUGCGAGCUAUGUAAUAAAGAGUAUCUUAGUCAAGGGCUUUGUUUUGUGUCGUGAUCAAAAGUAUGAAAAGAACGAUAGCAUGAAAGAUCAUGAGAUGAUCUUAUGGAAAGUGAUGGCUUCACAUAUAACAAGUAUGAUGAUUGAAACUUGUUGAGAAUAGACCAACAUAGACCUCAGUCAUUGUUGCAAUUAAUAAGAAGUAAUAAGGAAAGAGAGGUUCACAUAUAAAUAUAUCAUCUUAGACACUUUCUAUAAUUGUGAGCAUUCACCAAACUAUUACAUGCUUAGAAGUAUAAGUUGGACAAGGAACACAACAUAAUGAAUUGUGUUUGCUUGGUUCCAAACAAUGUUAUAUGAUUAGAGAUCCCUUAGCAUGUGACGAUUGCUUCCACCUCAUAUUAGCCAAAACUUUCGCACCAAGUAGAUAAACUACUUGUGCAUCUAUAAACCUUCAACCCAGUUUUGCCAUGAGUGUCCACCAUACCAACCUAUGGAUUGAAUAAGAUCCCUCAAGUAAGUUGUCAUCGGUGCAAGCAAUAAAAAUUGAUCUCUAAUAUGUAUGAUCUAUUAGUGUGUGGAAAAUAAGCUUUAUACGAACCUGUGAUGAGGAAGACAUAAAAGCGACAGACUGCAUAGUAAAGUUCUUUAUCACAGGAGGCAAUAUAAAGUGAUGUUCCUCCACACUAAGAGGACACGCAUCCAAACCUCAAAAGCGCAUGACAACCUCUGCUUCCCUCUGCGAAGGGCCUAUCUUGUACCUUUACUUUUUGCCCUUGUAAGAGUCAUGGUGAUCUUCACCAAUUCCUUAUUUAGCUUUUUUCUUGGUGAACGUCAUAUGCUUGGGAAAGAUCUAUAUUCAUAUAUCAACUUGGAGAUGAGUACUUAUGCUUUAUUAUUGUUGACUUUACCCUUGAGGUAAAUGGUUGGGAGGCAAAAUUAUAAGCCCCUAUCUUUCUCUGUGUCCAACUGAAACUUUGAUGCCAUGAGUACCACGUGAGUUAUAACAAUUGUGGAAAACAAAAGAGAUGAUUGAGUAUGUGGAUUUGCUUUACAAGCUCUUAUUUGUCUCUUUCUGAUGAUAUGAUAAAUUGCAAUUGCUUCAAUGACUAUGGACUGUUGUUGGCUACUUCUCGGUAAGGUUUUUAUUUCAUACUUUGCUUUGUGAAGGAAUUGUUACUUUCCCAUAAGAAUCUCUAUGAUGUAUUGUUGUUCUAUGUGUGAUCAUGAUGCCCUCAUGUCCGUAUUAUGUUUUAUCGACACCUUCAUCCCUAAACAUGUGGACAUGUUUAUGGAUCUUGGUUUUCGCUUGAGGACAAGCGAGGUCUAAGCUUGGGGGAGUUGAUACGUCCAUUUUGCAUCAUGCUUUCAUGUUGAUAUUUAUCGCUUUAUGGACUGUUAUUAUACUUUGUGGUACCAUACUUACGCCUUUUCUCUCUUAUUUUGCAAGGUUUAUUUGAAGAGGGAGAAUACCGGCAGCUGGAAUUCUGGACUGGAAAAGGAGCAAGUCUGAGUCCUCUAUUCUGCGCAACUCCAAAUGCCCUGAAAAUCAACGUGGAUUUUUUUUGGGAAUAUAUAAAAAAUACUGGGCGAAAGAAGUGUCAGAGGGGAGCUGUCAGGGGCCCACAUGCCUGGUUGCCGCGGCCUACCCCCUGGUCGCGGCAACAGGGCUUGUGGGCACCCUGGUGGCCCACUGGCCCCCCUCUUUUGCUAUAUGAAGGGUUUCGUUUGAGAAAAAAAAUCAAGGUGGAGCUUUUUCGUGGAUUCUCCGCCGCCACGAGGCGGAACUUGAGCAGAACCAAUCUAUAGCUCCGGCAGGACGAUCCUGCCGGGAAACUUCCCUCACGGAGGGGGAAAUCGUCGCCAUCGUCAUCACCAACACUCCUCUCAUCGGAGGGGAGUCAUCUCCAUCAACAUCUUCAUAAGCACCAUCUCCUCUCCAAACCCUAGUUCAUCUCUUGUAACCAAUCUCCGUCUCGCGACUCCGAUUGGUACUUGUAAGGUUGCUAGUAGUGUUGAUUACUCUUUGUAGUUGAUGCUAGUUGGAUUACUUGGUGGAAGAGUUUAUGUUCAGAUCCUUGAUGCUACUCAUUACACCUCUGAUCAUGAUUAUGAUUAUGCUUUGUGAGUAGUUACUUUUGUUCGUGAGGACAUGGGAUAAGUCAUGCUAAUAAUAGUCAUGUGAAUUUGGUAUUCAUUCGGUAUUUUGAUAUGUUGUAUGUUGUCUUUUCCUCUAGUGGUGUUAUGUGAACAUCAACUACAUAACACUUCACCAUCUUUGGGCCUAGAGGAAGGCAUUGGGGAGUAGUAAGUAGAUGAUGGGUUGCUAUAGUGAUAGAAGCUUAAACCCCAGCCUAUGUGUUGCUUCGUAAGGGGCUGAUUUGGAUCCACUAGUUUAAUGCUAUGGUUAGACGUUGUCUUAAUUGUUCUUUUGUAGUUGCGGAUGCUUGCGAGAGGGGUUAAUCAUAAGUGGGAUGCUUGUCCAAGUAAGGGCAGUACCCAAGCGCCGGUCCACCCACAUAUCAAACUAUCAAAGUAACGAACGCGAAUCAUAUGAACAUGAUGAAACUAGCAUGACAGAAAUUCCCGUGUGUCCUCGGGAGCGUUUUUUGUCUUAUAAGACUUUGUUCAGGCUUAUCCCUUGCUACAAAAGGGAUUGGGCCACUUUGCUGCACCGUUGCUACUACUUGUUACUUGUUACUUUUCGCUUGCUACGUUUCACCUCACUACACCAUCACUUGUUACCGCUACUUUCAGUGCUUGCAGUUAUUACCUUGCUAAAAACCAUUUAUCAGAGCCUUCUGCUCCUUGUUGGGUUCGACACUCUUACUUAUCGAAAGGACUACGAUUAAUCCCCUAUACUUGUGGGCCAUCAAAGCCCAAGAGGUAGUAGGCAUGAAAACCUGGUGCAGUUCCCAGCAAAGCAUGGUUGCUGAUUCUACAUGCGAAGCAGAGUACAUGGUUGCCGCAUAGGCACCUAAAGAAGGUGUGUGGAUGAAGCAGUUCAAGGCAGAUCUUGGAUUUGUGCCCAUUGCACUGGAUCCAAUGACACUGCUCUGUGACAACACUCGUGCCAUUGCUCUAGCCAAGGAACCAAGGUUUCACAAGAGGACCAGACACAUAAAGUGAUGCUUCAAUUCCAUCCGCGAUUACAUCAAAGUGGAGGAAAUAAAUAUUUGCAAAGUGCACACGGAUCUGAAUGCUGCAGACCCGUUGGCUAAGCAAGUGGGAGACUAUUGGAAAUAUGCCCUAGAGGCAAUAAUAAAAUAGUUAUUAUUAUAUUUCCUUGUUCAAGAUAAUAGUUUAUUAUCCAUGCUAGAAUUGUAUUGAAUGAAAACUUAGAUACAUGUGUGGAUACAUAGACUACACACCGUCCCUAGUAAGCCUCUAGUAGACUAGCUAGUUGAUGAAAGAUGGUCAAGGUUUCCUCGCCAUAGACAAGAGUCGUCACUUGAUAACGGGAUCACAUCAUUAGGAGAAUGAUGUGAUGGACAAGACCCAAACUAUGAACGUAGCAUGUGAUCAUUUCGUUUUAAGUAUACUGUUUUUCUGCAUGCAAGUAUAUGUUAAUAUGACCAUGAGAUCAUGUAACUCACUAACACCGGAAGAGUACCUUGUGUGUACCAAACAUCGCAGCGUAAUUUGGUGACUAUAAAGGUGCUCUACAGGUAUCUCCGAAGGUGUGUGUUGAGUUAGCAUGGAUCAAGACUGUGAUUUUUCACUUCGUAUGACGUAGAGGUAUCUCGGGGCCCACUCGGUAAUACAACAUCACAAUAAGCCUUGCAAGAAAUGCGACUAAGGACUUAGUCAUGUGAUCUUGUAUUAUGAAAUGAGUAAAGAGACUUGCCGGUAACUAGAUUGAACUAGGUAUAGAGAUAUUGACGGUCGAAUCUCGGGCAAGUAACAUACUGAUGGACAAAGGGAACAACAUACGGGAUUAACUGAAUCCUUGACAUAGAGGUUCAACCGAUAAAGAUCUUCAUAGAAUAUGUAGGAGUCAAUAUGGGCAUCCAGGUCCCGCUAUUGGUUAUUGACCGGAGAGUGUCUCGGUCAUGUCUACAUAGUUCUCGAACCCGCGGGGUAUGCACAAUUAAGGUUCGGUGACGUUUGUGUAUUAUUGAGUUAUGUAUGUUGGUGACCAAAAGUUGUUCGGAGUCCCGGAUGAGAUCCCAGACUUCACGAGGAGCUCUGGAAUAGUUCGGAGGUAAAGAUCGAUAUACAAGAAAGGUGCAUUUGGCUUCCGAAAAGAUUUUGGGUAUUACCGUAAAGUACGAGGAGUGUGGAAUGGGUUUCAGGGUUUCACCGGGAGGGGUCACCCACCCAGAGGGGGGCCAAAUAGGCCUAAAGGUGGCGCACCAGCUCCUGGUGGGCUGGGCGGCCGGCCGAAUAAGGCCUAUUCAGCCAAAGUGCAAAAAGAGGGAAGGAGGAGACCAAUUAGGAUGGGGAGUCCUCCACCAAACCGAAUUGGAGGAGAAAUCUCCCCCCUAGCUUCGGUCGGACCUCUCCUCCUUGGAGGAGGGGCCAAGGCAGCCCUCCCACCCCUUCCUCCUAUAUAUAGUGGAGGUAUCGAGGGCAACACACAAAUGAAAAGCCACGUGCUGCCCUCUCGUCCAUAGAUUGUCUCCUUCGUCUAGAUUAGUCCGGCAUAGCUUGGCGAAGCCUGUUGGAUUAGUUCACCACCACACCAUCGUGCUGCCAGAGAAUUCUUCUACCUCUCCGCCCCUCUUGCUGGAUCAAGGAGGCGGAGAUCGUCAUCGAGUUGUACGUGUGAUGAACGCGGAGGUGCCGUUCGUUCGGCACUAGAUUGUGAUUGGAUCGUGAAGACGACUUUCGAUUUGGAUCGCGAAGACGUUUGACUACAUCAACCGCGUUUCUUAAUGCUUCUCACUUAGCGAUCUACAAGGGUAUGUGGAUCCGAUCUCUCCUCUCGGAGAUGGUCAUCACCAUGGAUAGAUUUUAUGUGUGUGUAGGAAUUUUUUUGUUUCCCAUCAACGUUCCCCAGCAGGUCGAUGGGUCACAAGAGACGAAGAAGACGGUGUUUUACGCAGGUUCGGGCCCUCUUGAUGGAGGUAAAACCCUAUGUCUUGCUCUUGUUGGUAUUGAUGGAGUAGUACAGAGUACAGAGUUGAUGUACUUCGAGAUCGGAUGUCGUGGUCUAAACCCUAAUCACAAUGAGCUUAAUGUAUCCUACGAACUAUGGCCCCCUGGCUUAUAUAGAUACCAUAGAUGCUAGGGUUACACAAACGUGGUUGCAAUAGGGAAGGAAUACGCCGAUCACUACAUCGUCUUGUAUUGUACGCCAAGUCUUCGGAAGAGUCCAUCUUAAUUCCGAUACUUCUAAUGACGGUCGAAAAGGCCCGGGAGUCCGACCCAUGAGAGUAGACAGACGGUCCGAGAACCCCCUGUCCCGGACUCCCUCGGUAGGGAAUUUUGGUAAUUAGAUAUUAGGAAUCGUAAGAUAUAUUAUAUUGUAUAUAUGCAUGAACGUAUACUAUACAUAGUAGCGUCGAGAAUAUAUACAUNNNNNNNNNNNNNNNNNNNNNNNNNNNNNNNNNNNUGUGUGUGUGUAAAAUGUUUGGGGCACCUAGGUGCCUGGGCACCUUGAUUGUCUUGGAAACUGUGGUAUAUUUGAUUAGUUUCCUAACUAUUCCUCAUGCAAGACUUUUUAUACUUAUGAUUCUGUUUUUUUCUCCUAACUAUUAGGCAUGCAAGACUUGCCAUAUAAUAAAUAAUAUUAAUGUCUGAUUGUUAUUUGAUCUGAUAUGGUUAUCUAUUGCGUGUAUUUUUGUUUCCUAGAUAACUAAUACACGUAUAUAAUACCUAUACCUACUAACAUAUAUAUUUAAUAUUUUUUGAACUUUUACAUUUUAUUUCUGUUUUCUAACUAUCUAACAUAGGUAUGGAAUACCUACUAAUGAAAUUAUGUACAUACGCGGAUAGAUAUAUAACCAAUAGUUUAUUUUCUAACUAUCUAAUACCGGUAUCUGAUACCUACUAACAAAAUUAUGUACAUACACGGGUAUGUAUAUACCCAGCUACGUAAACUAUGACUGCGUAUAUACCCGGCUACAUAACUAUAUUCAUACAUGAGUAUUUUCCCAUGGGGACAAAAGGUAACAAUACCUUUUAUACCCAAGAUGAUGAUAUACCUAAGUAUUUAAUUAUGUAUAUGACUUCUUAUAUUAGAUAAAAAAGAAAAAGUGCAUGUAUAAGAAAUAAAGUUGGGCACGUACAUGAAGCAUGCAUGGCCGGACCAUUAAUUGCUCAUUUUUUCUACCUUGUGUUAAUGUAUGCAUUAAGGGUCCAUAUCAAGCAAUAAUUAGCAAUAAUUAUUUCCUAAUAAAGUUAAUGGAUUGACCCAUUAUGGUUACUAAUACUAAUUAUACAUACACACAUCUCAAUGUAAUCCAACGAUUUUUAGGCAAAGUGCCUGGGCACCUAGGUGUCCCAAACGGGAGUAAAGAUGUCACUUCUCUAUAUUCAUGCCGAUAUUGUGUAAUAGUUCCUUCAUUGCAUAUGUAGUAGCGUCGAGUCGAAUGGAAAACAUAAAAUAAAAAUGAAAACCCUAAAUGAAAAAGGAUUGAAUGGUAAACACAAAAAGAAAAGGGGAACACAAAAUGAAACACGGCCCCUCCAAAACCGUUAACCCCUCUUUUUUUUAAAAAAAAAGCCUAAACCCCAUCGCUUGGCAGUGGUUGAUGCGUGGCGGUCUUUUGUCUUGAUUGAUGUUAUCACAUCAACCGGGACUAAAGAUCCUCCUGCAUGAGCACUUCACAGCGGUCACGUGGAGCCCUUUAGUCUCGAUUCAUAACACAACCGGAAUUUAAAAAAAGGGUUUCACGUCCCUUUAGUCUCGAUUGUUUAGUCUUUGUUUUCCUAAUCGAGAUUAAAGACCCUUACGAACCGGGACUAAUGUCCCAUUUUCUACUAGUGAAUACAGCAAACCGCGUCAAACCCUUCUAGUAAAUACACUACACCGGUGUCCCGCCUACCGGCCAACCGAUAAAAAGUCACCGUAGGUGUCACUUGGCAAUAACCUACUGUCGCUGACUAAUGUACACAUUACUCGUUUCUGUGUAGGGUUUUGGAGGGGCCGUAGUAUUAGCCCCGUAAUACGGCAACGGUCUAGUCUGGUCGUUCUGUCUAAACGAGGGCAUUGGAGAGACCAGAUAUCAUUGGAUAGCAGCAAUGCUACACAUACAUAAGUUUACAUGAGUUUUACAAAAAGGUAGAUUUUGAUUGGAGAUUAAAGGAAAUGAGGGCCCCACCCCCCUUGAAAAUCAGGGAGAGCGUGGUUAGUUACAAAAAAAAAUCCUAAUCAGAGUGUAACCUUAUGUAACUCUUUGUAUGUUUAGCAUUUUUUAUUGGACAGCAUUAUAUUGUUUUUCUGCGGGCAACUAAGUAGCAAAAGACUACCAGGAAGAAGAAAGGAACUAGCAAAAGACCAUAAUUAAUUCGACACAUUGUUUCUCUGUAGACAACGAACUCGCAAAAGACCAUAUUUUUCUGCAGGCAACGAACACGCAGAACAUCAUAAUUGGUGAUUUUAUACUGUUUCUGCUUUAGCCAAGCAAAUGACAAAACGACAAAGCCUAGGUUGUGGUACUUAACUAACAGCACAUUUCUCUCAACGAAUGCUGACUUGGUUAGUAAAAUGCUCGAGGUCGGCGUCGUGAGAUAGUUAAGAGCUGCAGGAAAAUGCUUGUCAAUGAUAUUAUGCAGCGAUGGCUGGAUUAAUUUAGCUUCACCAACUCCAAAACUCACAAAAUAAACAUGGGGACCAGCGUCGAGGAAUCAAAAGAAGAGGCCCAAUGACCUACCCGUGCGUGUUACUGUGGCCGUUCUGGCAAAAUAUUCUGCCAUAUGUUCUUCUUUAACGACGACGAUGACGCAGAUGAGUUCGUGUUUUUUCCCUGCAGGGUCGCCAUCUCACUUACCACAUGCUGGAGUCAUGGUCCGGCCGGGGAAUGGGCGUCUCCCUUUCCUCGGCUCCCUGUCUGCAUAUGGCCCCUUGCCGUGCAUGUUUGCUGGCUCGUCCUCCUCGUGGGUAAACAAUAGUACGUACACCCAACCAAAAGAAUUGACUUAUUACUCCUUUCUUAUCAGUUGGGUGCCGAUCAUCUUCUAGAACCAACGAAUUUGUCAAGACCAAUCAAUUCAUGUCUUAUGCUCCUUCCAUCUCACCCUCGGCGUUGGGUACCCGAACCCGCUACCCGAACCCGAACCGAACCGAAUUAUCCGAAUUGUCGGGUAAUUCGGAUAUCGGAUAAGGGUUCAGUUCUCAUUUCUUGACUAUUCGGUUUUCGGGUUAGGAUUCGGGUUCUAGUGUGGAAAACACGAAAUACCCAUACUAUCCAAAUUAUUCAUACUGUCAAAAUUUUCAUGUCAUUAUUACACUAACUUGUUACCCAUACUAACUAAAAUACUUAUAUUACCAAAAAUACCCAUACUAUCCAAGUUAUUUAUAUCAAAAGUUGAUGUAUGCUCAGAAUAUUUUGGGUAUUUUGGCUACCCGACCUACCCGAACCGAAAUUUUGGGUAAUUUGGGUUUGGGUAUUUUUUUGACACAAAUAAUUUCAGUUCCCAUUUUUUAAUACCCGAAUUAUCCAUAAACCGAACUACCCGAACCGAAAUAACCAAAAUACCCGAAUGCCCAGGCUGACUUCCGUCCAGGUGUAGUGGGCACCUAAGAAUUAAGGAAUUCCAAAAGUAUAUCAAAGGAAAAAUACAAUAUGUCUCUCUUUGAUUCUCCCCCGGUUCAAAAAAAUGGCUGUUUAAGUCAUGAAACUUUGGAAACAUGGUUACGGUUAAUAGCUAAAAUACUUAGGUUAGAAAUUUCAAAUAAUAUGCACAUAUUUUUCUUCAACAAUACUUCCAAAAUGUCAGAAUAAUGUUCGUUGUUCCAUUGCAACAAAAAUAUCGCCACAUGAACCAGAAAGAAUACGUAACUUCAAAGUGUGUAUACUGCAUGUGUGGGAAACAAGUAUAAUAAAAUGGCGCUGACAAGCCAAAAAAAUGCAACAACCCAUCAAGUAAUAGAAUACAUAAAAAAGGAGGCAGUAUUACCCAAAAUACACUAAAAAUGGGAAGAUCAUCCGCCAAAAAAGAGGAGGAACUAGUAUUACGUACCCAAGAUAGUUAUCUAGUGACAACAAAAUAAAAAAAGAAAUAUAAUAUGUACACCUCAAAUUAUUUCGAAGAACCCAGCAUAAAAGUAAAUCUAUAUUAAAAAACUAAAAUCCCAAAUAUGAAAAUGACAUGAAUGUAUUAUUGUAAAUUAUGAACAUGGAAUCACAUUCAUAUGAAGCAUGAAAUAAAUGGGGUAGAGUAUUACACUAAACAUUAAAAAAAGUUGCGGGUACACUAAACAUAUUUUUAACUGGGCACAACUGAACCUAUAACUGUUGAGAAACCAACACGUAUGCCAGUCAAAACAAUUGACUUACUCUUUUUUUUAAUUGGGAUGUAAUCAAGUCUUAGAAGUGAUGAGUUUGUCAAGACCAAUACAUGCCUUUAGCACUUGUGGUAUACUAACUCUAAAAAUUAUGUCUCUUUGACAUUCCUCCAGUUUAUAAAAUAGAUUGUUAAAGUUGUUAAACUUUGGAAAUUUGACUACCAUUAUUACUGACAAUACAUUGGUUGGAAACAUCAAAAUCAUUUGGAUAUAUCUGUCUUGGGAAAAUACUUCCAAACUUUAUAGUACAGUUGGCCGUUGUAUAUUGCAACUUAACAAUCGCCACAUUGUUUUUUGUGAACAAGAAUGAAUGCACAAUGUCGAAGUGUAUAGGUCAUGAGUGGGACACGAGUACUUGUUACACAAAUAAACCAAAACAGUGACAACAAACGGAAAUAAAUGUAAUAACCCCUCAAGCAAGGAUGCAUCUGCAAGGAAGUGGUAUUACCAUAAACAAACUAAAAAAUAAAAAAAGAUUUUAAUCGUCCACCAAAACAAGAGAGAGGGGAGGAAGUAGUAUUACCCAAAAUAGUAAUACAGUGAUAGAAAAAUAAACAAGUAAUAGGUAGACAUCACAAUUGUUUCAAAGAACCCAACGUACAUACCAAUAAACUACAAUCCCCAAAUAAUGAAAAUGACAAGGAUAUAUUAUUGUCAAUUAAUUAUUUCUUACAAGACAGAGUCACUUGGUCGUAUAAUGAAUGUGAGAAAGACGAUAAAAAAAUAUCUGGUCAGAAAAAUGAUUAUUGGCCAUUUGAAAAGCAGUCAACCAUUAAGUUGUAAAUGAGAAAAGCAAUGGAUGUGGGUAACACUCCCUUGCAAACUGGGCAAAAGAAUGUGAUCAUUUGCGACUUCUACAAAUUGUAACAUGGAGUUUGUGAUUUCGCACAUAUCACAAAUGCUCAAAUAUAUCAACAAAGUUCAGAAAAUACUUAAUAUAUUUUUGUUCAUAAAUUUAAAAUACAAGAAAUGAAAUUCACUAUUUUUAUAAAGUAAGUACAUUUAUUUCCAAGUUCUUAAAAGAACGAAUCCACAUGAAUCACUUGUGGUUUGUUUGGUACCCAAACUGGCCGUGCCAAUAAAUUGGCUACCAAUCAAGUUUUGGUUAUUGUUUGGUUUGUUUCCAAAAAUCUGAUUGCGAAUGGGUGUCCACCCCUUCUUCCCAGACAGAAUUUGUUUGCCAAAUAAUUGGCCAAAUGAGGGUGAGAAAUUUCUUUGCCCAAAAAAUAGCAAGCCAACUCUUACAAACAUUUUUUUAGGGGAACUCCUUUGAGCUGGUCGUGCACCUUGUUCAUUCUUUUUUUGGUACCGUGAGAGAUUUUCAUUGGUCCCACGCUGUGCACCGUAUAUAACUAUAUAUACACAACUCAAUAUUAUUACAUUGUCAAAUUAAUUUUACAAAAGUGAUAGUAAAAAAGUGACAUAUGUGGUCCUGCAUUCUUUUCUUAACUGGAAAAUAAGAGCUACAGGAAGACUUACCUGUCAUCUUGCUGAACUAACAAGUGUAUGUUGUAUCUUGCCCACGGCGGAAGUUCAAAGGAGACUUGUGCUCAGGACCUGUUCAGCUUAGGUUGUUAAGUUUACGAGGUCGUAGAUUAAUUGGUGGUUAUGAGUUUUUAAGCAGUUUUCGGUGGUGAUUACGAUGGUAACCAAGUCCACAAACGACGUUGAGAACGCUACGGCUGACAUGUAUACGAGUGAAAUAAGAUAGUGAAGCAAGCCAAUGAAAAGGAGCUACGUACAACUUGUCACUUUUGGGGCGGCAACUGUUCCUAUCUAUUAUACUGCUUUUAUUCGUCAUGAUUAGGUUGUAAAGAAGGUUGAUCUGCAAGAUUAGAUGUAAGCCGGUUCAAAGUUCACAAUAAGACUCUAAGCAUGACUCGGCCGGCUGCUAAUAGCAUGCAUGCAGUUACAAAAUAGAAUACCCAUUGAUGCUUAUAGUCUGAUACCAAACAAGGAAACUAUUGGGCGAGAGUGGCCACUCGCGACAAAACACAAUGGCGCACUCUAUCAUACAGGGCAUGCCAGAUUUUCAGAUCGCGUGUACAGCGGAUAAACGAGUUUUAUACCGGUACACCGCCGCUGUAGUUGGUUCCUCUUGUAUUCUUUUUAUGUUCUGUGAGGCACAAGGAGAAUCCUUUAGCGAAUCGAGUACUCCUUCUGUAAUUGUCCAAAAGCUGACAGAGAUCCCCGUCUAACUGGAGCAUAGUUGUAUAUAUCAGUAUUCAUAGGUAUGUUGUUCAUAUGUAGUUAGUACAACGACCAUGAGUAUCUAACAUGUGUUUAGUUUGUAGUUUAUGGUUGGCAUGGUUUCUUAGGAAUAUAUUUAGUUCAUAUUUUUUCCGGUAAAAUAUGUUUGGUUCAUUGUCACAAUUGUUGUAUAGCAUACAAUCUCUAAGGGUUUGUUCGGUUUAGAUGGGAUUGAAGGGAGCUGAAAGAAAUUGAGGGGGUUAAAUCACGUACGAGUCAAAAUCCUCCAAACCCCUUCCAUUCAUCUUCGAUCCGGUUUUUGGAGUUUGUGCACUAUUUUGGGCCAUAUGGAACUGUAGGAAUGAUGUGGUUUUUCACAGACAUACAAACAUACAUUUUUUGCAGGUACUACACAGAGCUGCGGCAUUGAUCCAUACAUGGUCAUUACUCACUCCUGCGGAAACCAGGGAACCUUUGGUUACUGGGUCUACCCGAUGGGAGACGGUAGCGCGGGAUAUCUUCAACCGGUUUGGAUGGCAGUCCAGUAAUAGGAUAGAUGAGUAGACAUCUAGGCCUAUUUUGCCGGUUGUGGCACUUUUAUAUUUACCUUUCAUUCUGAUUUAUUUUGCCGGAGACUAUGUUGAACCGCAAUUUAUUUGCCUUAUUAUUAAUAAAGUGGCCGUAUGCAUCGUGUUGAUGCAGAGGCCGGAGGUAAUCCUCCUUUUCUAAAAAAAAUUCAUCUUCGAUCCUCUUGUGAGUAGUUUAACUCUUAGCGUAGGGGAUUAGAUAUAGUAGACUCAAUUUCUAUCAAAGGUUCUUGGUUGUCUGGCUACCCUUUUUGCUAGCUGUGUUUUUAGACAAGGGCAUAUCUCGUUCCUACACUUAUUAAUUAACUUAGAUUUGGUCUGUCAACUGCAACACUUGACAUACUUGCCCACACAACUAUUGACAUAAGAUAAAAAUUAUCUCUCACUCUAGCUGACGAGAUAUCCAUGCAAAGUGAGUGUGAUAUUUGCCCAAUCUUAUCCAUGUGACAAUACUUCUAGUGGGGAUGUUUUUUCAAGCACUUGCCCAAGUUGAAGAACUCAACACCAAAGAUGUCCCUGCAUUUUUGGUAGCACCGAGUAUGCAGUCUCGAGGCUCCAUGUUGAUAGGCUUCGCUAGCAUGAUGAUGCAAGACCACUUGCACACCCCAUUUCCUGCGAUGUGGAUAGAUUGAUUGAACGCAAAAGACUCCAUGGGUAAGACCGCAGAGCGCGCGCCCGCGGGAGGUGGGGGGCUUAACCGCUUAAGAGUUGGUUCAUCCGGCCGCAAGGAUUGUGCGACCAAGGCAUUGGAUCAAACUCGGCAUUGGUACUUAGCCACACAGUGAGUCUGAUAUGCAAGUGCAGGUUGUUGACAUGAGUGCGCAUGGUAAAAAGCACUUGCUAGAUCAAUCAGGUAUCCUCGAGCGCAUGCCACAUACGACCUCCGUUCGGCUUUAUUGGCCCCCUUCUUAUUUUGGGUAAAAGUUUGGCAAUAAAUUUUACUAAUGGAACAUAAGUUAUUUUUAGCAAAAAUAGUAUUAUUGGAAUGUUCCUGCAAAAUACGAAUCUAACAAUAUAAUUUUUGACAUAUCAUUUAUAUUUUGCUAGUUAAAUAUACUGUCAAAGUAUGACCUAAAACGCAAUAGGGACUAAGAGCAUCUCUAGCAGACCUCGUAAAACUCGCUAAACUGUACAAUAACCGUCGGUUUAUAGUUUUAGGCGAAAAAACGGCCUCAAUAGAACCCGUAAACGACUCCGACCUGUAAACACAGUUUUCGCGUCAGCUUCUACGGUGUCCUGUACCGAAAGAAAGCAGUCGGCGGGAGUCUAACUAUCACGGAAACUUCCGCGUUCGCCGUCCACGUACACCGUGCACCGCCCCGGACGUCUAGCAACCCAUUGAUACUGGAGAUGGUGAUGCUCAUCAUGCUCGGCGAGAGCCGAAUCUGCAUCGUCGCUCCUCGUCGCCGCCGGCUGUGGCUCGUGCUCCAUCCUUGGCAGAGAAAUCAGCGGGCAUCGGCGGGGCCGUGGCAGGCCGCGAGAUUCAGAAACGCGAUGUCGGCAGCCCAGGACAGGAGGAGGAGGACGCGGCCGACGGCCCGGCUGGAUCCUGCUUUGGCGUGCGCGGGGAGGCAAGAGGAAUCCACAAGCGAUCAAUCCCCGAUCCUCGCAAGGGGGGAGGGUUUCUUGAUUCCCCCUGUUUCCUGGUCACUCCAGAGGCCGAAUUGGCGCAGAAGCCCGCACCGGCCUACUUGCCUCCAACCCCGACGAAAGGAUCACGGCGGCGGAAAUGCUAGAGCACAGACCCCGCGAUCCGUAAAAGAGCAUAUUCUGCGAAUAUUCUUUUUUACGUGUCUGUUUUGCGGGGUCUGACACUGCCCUCGCCCGUGCCGGCCCGCAAAGUUGUCUUUUCAUGAAUUGUAAAUGUCUUUUGCGGGUCGACGUUUUACGGGGUCUGCUAGAGAUGCUCUAAUAAACCCAGACAGAUAUAGUAACAUGUUGCUUUAGGUAUACAUUGCAAAGAUCAUCACAAUUUACUUGGUCGAUGGCACAACAAAAACAACAUUGAAAGAAGUCGCUAGGGCGUCAACAAACAUCAUUGGAACGACGAUAGCGGAUACUUAGCACCACACGUGGGCGCGAGCAACCUGCUAGGUUGCGCCAGCAACAGGCGUUCAUCGAACAUCAGGCGGGACAUAGGGAACGAAAAAGGAAGGAGAGUGACAGAUGACGAUGUUGUUGUUACUGGUAUUGAAAAUGUUGCCGUGUUCAUGCGCCGACUAAGGUUGAAAAAAAGUCGCCCGGAGGAAUGUAAUUCGUAUCUUCACGAUAUUAAUAUAUUCCCCUUUAAAAAAAAAACAAGUAUAGGCAAAAAAAAUCGCUACAGCACAUCACCAUCGACGAGUGCCGGUCAAGGUAAAAAAAACAAUGCCGAUUCAUUAAGAUAACUGAUUUUAGUUCCGAACAGAGCCCAAUUGUUUGAUUUGAAAAGUUGUAUGUGCAAUAUAUCUGGUUUAUAGUUGAUGGACCAAGCCUUGCAAUAGGCUAUAAGUUGAGGGACGAAAACAUUAUAAUAUAUAUUUUUUACCUUGAAAAUCUCAGCCCUCGGCUGUAAGAAGAUGCUCAAGACCCACUUCGCUUGGCAUAAUGUUAGUCAUCGCAGUGUUAGUCAUCAACAAACAUAUCGGACAGCCGUAUGAACUGCCCUAAAAGGUUAGAACCUUUUAUAUUUGCAAUCAGGUAGAAUAUAAGAAAUGUUCAAGCAGUCAGACAGCGUGUUUAUGGUUCACGAGUUGCAUAAGUCUUAAACAAGAAAUGACUUCUUAACCUAUGUUUCGACUGAGCUAUACGACAUCAACAGCAACAUCACCAUUCACCAAAUCAAUUGGAUUAAUCUCGUCGGCCGCGGGGCAGAGGCGCAAUGGGAUCGUCGAACGAGAUUGCCCUAGAAAGGAGGUACCGGCAGUAUCGUCGCUUCGCAAAUUUUCCUACCAAACUCUUUGUCCAGAUUGUGCAGAGAUAUGAUAGAAUUUGGACAAGUGUAGCUUUGUUAUCACUUUCACGACAAGUCUCACUCUGAAGGAGGAAUAAAAGAAGUGUGUGUGUAAUAUACUAUAACGCGGCAUAUUCAGUAGUCCUGAAGCCAUAUAUAUGUGCUGUCAGUAUCAGUUGAUGAUACAAGUCCACGGCCUCCGUUUUAAAUAUGCAAAACUUGCCAGUUCCAAGCAAAGCUAACGAAGCUUCGUGUCCCAUUUUCCAGAAGUACUAUUUUUCUACAGUUCAUUGUACCAACCACGAGAUUAAAAAUGCAUGGCUUCAUCAUUUGCGCCCGUGGAAUGAACUAUCGGCCACCCCUGCUUUGGCCGAUUCUCCAAGCGCAAGCAGGCAGCUCCCCCUCGCUUGCUGGAAAGUAGAAAGCCUAUCAAAGCUGGAUGUUUGCCUUAUUUCUUUUCUUCUAACGGACAAUUGAAGGGGCUGCAAUAUUUCCUCUCUGGAGUAGGAUGUAAACACUUUAAUUUUGGAUACUAAAAUCAUGGACUAACGUACUAGAAAAUUUAGGUCAUUUUCGAACCGGACCCUCGAACCGUCCGGACCACGCACUCACACUGGCAAUAAUCUGUUGUAGAAUAUCAUAUAUUCCUAUGACGGCUAAUGCAUUAGAAUUUUUAUCACAUUGCAAUGCACUAGUAAUUAUAUACUCCCUCUAUAAACUAAUAUAAAAGUGUUUAGAUUACUAAUGUAGUGUUCUAAAUGCUCUUAUAUUAGUUUACAGAAAAGUAGUAUCGUAUAGAAAACGUCGGGCACAAAAGCAAUACCCGUCUAAGGGUCCAAAGGGGCAUAGUUUAGAAAGUUGAGUGGAAGUAGCAGCUAAGAGCAUCUCUAGCACACCUCGUAAAAGUGGUUAAAGCCGUAAAAGAUUUAUGUUUUACAGUUUUUGUCGUAAAAAAAUGUGCAUAACAGAAACGCAAAACCGGUUCAACACUUAAAAAAAUUAAGCGGCACGGUAAAGUCACACCCAAAAACUUUAUUUUUAAAGGUUGGAAGGCCGAUUCUAGGGGUCUCGUAUACCGGUCAAACCUCGUCGAAGCAAACACAUCGCCGCCGUAUUUGCCGGAAUCCGUCCUAAACUUGCCGGAAUUCAUCACCACACCCCGAAAAAGGUCACUGGACGCCGCAAUCGAUCGCCGUCGGUUUGAAUUGGACGAGCUCGACCUCGCCAUGGCCUCCCAUCACCUCAGCCUGGCCGCCAGAAUCCUCCCAGCGCGGCAGGCAAAGGGGCACGGCUCGGCCGGCGCGGCUGGCAACAAAGCAAGUCGCUGACGACGGAGGCGAAGGGGCAUGGCCGACGGGCGGCAAGGCGUGGUCGGCGAGGAUGGGCGCNCGUGGGUUAUUUGAGCUCGUAAAACUUUAUUGAUGAGUAAAAGAUAAAUUAAGCGUCCUUGGACUAAAUAAAUCAUGCGGUCUACAACAUAUGUUUGUAGAUAUUCGGAAAAAAAAACAUAUAUUUGUAGGUACUAAACCUUUUUUUUGGCAUAGUGUAAAACUUAUCUCUCUUCCAUGACUACCCGAUCUCACUUUCAUGUAUAAAUGUUACAAAAAGUAUUUGGCAUUGGAAAACACAUGCAUUUCACCUGGGCACCUGCUGUGCAAUUUCCAAUUACCCCGGUGGAAAAUAUCAUGUUUGAUAAUUAGUGUUCAGUAGUCUAUAAUUGAAGGUUUGCAAUUCAGAAUGCAGCUUUGCUGGAGAAUUUUCGGGGGUACAGUAGCGGGAAGAAGAGAUAUUUUGCUUAUCAUUAGGAAACAAAUGGACGCAAUUCAACUUGCAGUGAACUGGCAGCAACGACGUCUGAUUACUGUUCUGUUUACAUAAUGCAAGGACAGUGUGUAGAGUGUACUUAUUCAGUGAUAUUUUAAUUUAGCACGUGUGCUAGUCUACAUAUAUGUGCAACCGACGACAUAAAAGUAUGGACUAGACCAGAGUCCUUAGUGGUGAACAGUAAUCAUGAGAAAAAAGUAAACAGAACAGGUUAUGCAUGCCCCACGAACCAGAGGACCCAAAGAAAAUUAGAGGCAGUGCACAUGUGACAUGACCACUAUUCUUUGCCGCAGAAUUAUCAAAUCAACAGGAUAUUCAUGGAAGAUAUACUUUUUGUGGGAUCAUGGCUACAGAUGGCCCUUAACUCGUACUAUAAGCAAAAAAAAAAAAAUAGCGUAAUCUAAUCAAGUAUGCCCCAUAAGCGAUUGGAAUUAUGUAAGCUGGCUCCCUUUGCAAUCUCUACAUAGAAAAAAAAUCAAAGACUCUCUUGACACCAGUUUUUGACGUGGAAGAAAAGAUUAUCAAGAUGUCUUCAAAUGAAAAAGUGUUUUACAUGAAAAAGUUAUGUAUUGUCGACAUGAACAUUUUUAAAGUUUGGAUCGUGGCCAUCCCAGCACAUCUCAAGGGACGAAGUUGUACUCAAAGUAUUAAGAUUUUGUAUUACGGAUAUUGUUGAGCCGAUUAUGACACCAAUACGACCUCAUAUUAGAAAAUCUUCUACACGAAUUGUCUUCGUCACAUCAUCGGAACGGUCGAUUUUGACAAAUAAAUCGUCUUAAUCCAAAGUCGUAUGCAAAAGUUACGUCCAAUGCAGUAUGACCCUACCAUGAGCAAAAUGUGGCACUGGCACAAGACACACAUAUGACUAUGUGUGAUUGGUGUGGCCUGUUUUGCGUGAACUAUUCGGCCAUCAACAUUGCUUCAAAUCAAAAAAAUGUUCAACAUCAAUGUUAUUUGUCUCGUCUUUGCUUUUGGUAUAAUCUUUAUUCGAGGUCGUUUCUGGCCCGUGGGACUUAAAUACCGAACUGUUGUUUCGAACUUACUUAAAUCCGAGUCCGGUUAAUUUUGAAAAGAUGUAGAUGGGAUUUAGAGUCAUUUCCUUGUAUGGGAAGUCUAGUCGCCUCAUGACUAGAUGAGAGGUGACGGUUGAUUGACCAACACACAGUCGAUCAAUUCAAUUACCACUUCGUUCUUCAUGCGCAGGCGGCGAUCCAAAAGGCCCUAGGGAUGGUCAGGUCGACCUAGGGCGGCCCAUAUUCGUCACGUGUCUAGACAGGGUUUCUCCCGGGAGCAUUCGUUUUUGUGUCUAAAAAAGUGCACACCAGAUUGCUUGCAUACCAUGCUUCCGGUCGGGUCUUCUUCAAUGUGAGCUACGAUGCAUCACCCAACAUCGAUGGUAAAUGGUGACGUGUUCAUGUGCAAACACACUCAUAAUAAAUGGAGCAAGUUAGUUAAAGUAGAAAGGGUAAAUAAUUUUUACCUUGACAUAGGAUUGAGUAUGAUGACAUCAAGAUCCUAUCAAAACAACCACUUCUGAAAAAUCGGUGCUGCGGAAUGGGUACAAAUGAUGUUACACGGGUUGAUCUAGAGUUUAGGGUUUUUGGCAGCCCUUCUUCUCCAGCCCGGGUAUUUACUUAGCAUCGCCUUAAAUGUACGUUUUCCAAGUGUAACACCACAACCUUGUUAUUUCUUUGUAUGGUUUUUAUUAUUUAUGUCAUUGGUUAUGUCCUACUGCUCAGUUUUUUCACUAGGAAUUUCAACUUCUUAAAAAUACCAUGGCUUUGUUAGGCGCUUGCUCAAAAAUGCCAUCGGACACCAUUAUUGCAAGCUCAAAUCUCGUUUGCCAUGUAAAAGGGCAUCUAGCCCCUAAGUGUGAUUUUGGUAAUUAAUGACAAUCUUUAUGGACUAAUGUUUUCACUGAGACAUAUUUGAAAGGAUAUUACAUAGGUGUUGCCUUUAGGAUGAUUGUCAGAUAGAUGAAGAUUUCCUCUUAGCUUUGGUAUUGAAUGAUAAUUUAUGUAUAUCAUCAAGGGCAUUAUAUCUUAUAGAAAGAAAUGUUCCAGAGUGAGGCAUGAAGUAGGUUGAAUUAUUGUGGGUAAGAGUCCAUCAAAUCCUCUCCAAGAAGCCCUCAUGGAAUCCUCUCCAAGAGUCCACGGGGUCCAGGGGUCAUGCCCACGGGGUCCAGGGUAACCUCUCUAGACACCCCAUGCACACGAGCUUCUUGACCCCGUGCACGCUAGGUCGAGUGUUAAACUCUCUGGACAUCCCAUGGGCACGGGGUCUUUGAACCCCUGCACACUAGGGCUGGGGUUUGACUCUCGGUGUCUCUUGCCUAAGUGAGGAUACCAUUUGGUCUUUGGAUGUAUCUAAUGAAGCCAUCAAGAUUGAUUUCACUGUUUAAGAAAAUAUUUUCAAGGUGGAAUUCAUUGUAGGAUCUAAAAGGUUGACAGGUUUGGGCUUAUAAGAAUCAAGGUCUUGAGAGUUCAAUUAAAGAUAAGGAUUCAUUCUAUGGUAUGAUCAAGAGAAGAUCAUGAUGGACCCUUGUGUUGGGUUUUGGUUCAUCAUGUAUUGAAGCAAGAAACUAGAAUGAAGAAUUUGUUGCGCCUCACAAGAGUUUGUGAUGGGGCUUUUAAAAUAGCAGGUGAUGACCGAUAUGAUUUUCACGGUGAAUCUUGUUAUGGUCAUGAAAGAGUCUUUGGUGAUAUAGUAUUGAAGCAAUGGAGUAAAAUGAAGAGUUCAUUAUGGCUUUCAAGAAACCAUCAUAGAGCUUGAAGUAAAUACAUUGGUUGUCCAAGAUGAAUCUCAAAGAUUAUAUAUAGAUGGUCAACACACAAGUAAAACAAUGUACCAUGUGGGAUCAAAUGAUCUAGUGGUAUGGUAAGUAAUUGUGAAUUACGUUUUGUGCACUAACCUAUUCUAUGUGUUUUCUAUGUCUAUGUGGGUUAGGUGUUUCUCAUGGGCUUGCAUCAAAAGGAAAUAUUGUAAGUAGCCUACAUGUGGAUAACAUCAAGUGGAUAUGGUCAUCGGGUUCGAUGAGUCCAAGUGCAAGAUGGGAAGCCAGAGGUUAUAUGCUUUGAAUCUUGCGGUCAUUCCCCACCGGUUCGGGGUUUGUUCGUACACUUUGUAAACUCCAUUUUGAGCACCAUACCACCUCUCUCAAACACAUAUAUCACCUCUAUGUGAAGAGGGGUUUGUGGAUGGAUAUUGAAGUCAUUUGUUGAUGUCCUCCAUUGCACCCCCUCUCUUCAAUCUCCUACUUUCGAGAGUGCAUCCUGUGAGAUUGAGAGAGCGAGUUGAGCAUUUGUUGCCUGAGCUUGCAUUGCAUUUGUUUCAUUGGUUUGAAAUCCCCGACAUUGAUUUGUUCGAGUGUGAUCCCAUGAGUUUAUUACUCUUGGAGUCUUUCGCAUCCUAGACGGUUUGGGGAUAUACUGAAAAUUUUGUGAAGAGGCCUAGGUGGCCAAGGUUCCUCCAGAAGCUUCCUUUUAUGGUGUGCUAUGGGGAAGGCUUUGAAGUGGCAUAGGUGUUCCCGCAUCAAUAUGAGCUAGUAUGAGUUGCGUAAAGUAAAGGUGAGUCAAUGAGAUAAUCACAAGUGUGUCGGGGACGCACAUUUAUCCCGAAGUUCACACUCAUGAGAGUGCUAAUCUCCGUUGGAGCGGUCGCCAAGCCAAAGCUCCGGAGCGCCACCAACAAUAGUGUAGAAAAUCCUAGUGCCAACGUUUUUAAAAAGGGCCUUGCUGGCGUAGACACUCGACGCCACCAAUAUGACACCUUUUUUAACAAAACACCGAUGGCAUUCAUGCCGGAACACCAUCAAUAUUUUACAUACUGGUGACGUGGCAUUGUUCACUCACGCCACCACUAUUUAAAAUAGCAAUGUCAUUGACAUUUAUACACUGCAGUACUAUUAACUAACAGUACUAAUGUGAGCAAAACCAACCAACACCACCACUAUGUAUUUAUGGAUUUUAAAAAUAGUUAUACAAUUUGCUCAUGCAUCCAAAUAUUUAUUCAUUCAUCCAUAUAUCACUGAUAUAAUCCAUACAUUCAUCCAUAUGGUGUACACACACUGUCGGAAAACGAAGGAAGGAAGAUGAUUUUAUUUUGAGGUGGUGUACACACAUCUACACCUACAUCAACAUCAACAUGGCCAUGAGCAGAACUACAUAGUGUACACACUCCCGAUAAAUAAAGGAAGGAAAGGAACUUGUCGUGGUAAUUUUGCAGCAGAUGUCGUGCACAUCCGCCGUCGAAGAGAAGCCGCCAGGGACACCGGAGCCACGCCAGUGAUGAAGGUGAUCAUGACCCACAAGUAUAGGGGAUCAACCGUAGUCCUUUCAAUAAGUAAGAGUGUCGAACCCAAUGAGGAGCAGAAGGAAAUGACAAGUGGUUUUGAGCGAAGUAAUUUCUGCAAGCACUAAAAUAGCGGGUAACAAAUUGUUUGAUAGGAAGAUAGUUGUAACAAGUAAAUAGUAGCAAGAGUAACAAUAAGUGCAGCAAGGUAGCCCAAUACUUUUGUGGCAAAGGACAGGCUAAAGUGGUUUCUUAUAAUAGGCAAAGCGUUCUUGAGGGCACACGGGAAUUUCAUCUAGUCACUUCCACCAUGAUAGCUUGAUUCGUGUUUGAUACUUUGAUAGUUUGAUAUGUGGGUGGACCGGUGCUUAGGUGUUGUUCUUACUUGAACAAACCUCCUACUUAUGAUUAACUCCCUCUCAAGCAUCCUCAACUACGAGAAAAGUAUUAAGAUAAAUAUCUAACGAUAGCAUUAUACUUUUGGGUCCAAAUCGGUCCCUUACGAAGUAGAGCAUAAACUAGGGUUUAAGCUUCUAUCACUCUAGCAACCCAUCAUCUAAUAACUACUUCACAAUGCAUUCCCUUAGGCCCAAAUAUGGUGAAGUGUCAUGUAGUCUACAUUCACAUGACACCUCUAAGGGAAUCACAACAUACAUACCAUCAAAGUAUUGAACACAUAUCAACUUCACAUGAUUACUUGCAACAUGAUUUCUCUCGUGGCCUCAAGAACAAAAGUAACUACUCACAAAUGAUAAACAUGCUCAAGAUCAGAGGAGUAUUAAUUUGCAUAGACGAUCUGAACAUUUUUUCUUCCACCAAAUACACCAUAUAGUAAUCAACUACAAGAUGUAAUCAACACUACUAGCCCUUCACAAGCAACAAUCUAAGAUUGCAGUGCAAAGAUUGAACACAAGAUAUGAACUAGGGUUUGAGAGGAGAUGGUUCUUUGAAGAUGUUGAUGAAGAUUGGCCUCCCAAAGUUGAGAGGGUUGUUGGUGAUGACGAUGACGAUGAUUUCCCAUCGGAGGGCAAAAGUGCUCCUGCCCAAGUUCCACCUCGGGAUGGCAGCGUUUCAUCUCGAAGUUCCUCCUCUAUAUUUUUUUAGGUCAAAACCAAAUAUAUACCAGAAGGGGGGCACCUGAGUUAGGCUAGGAUGAGCACCACGCACCAGGGCGCACCUAAGGGGCCUGGUGCGCCCUGGUGUCUUGUGCUCACCACGUGCCCCCCCCUCCGGUAGCUCUUUGGUCCAGUAUUUUUUUCAUAUUCCACAAAAAAUCUUCGUGAAGUUUCAGCUCAUUUGGAGUUGUGCAGAAUAGGUAACCUUAUUUAGCUUUUUCAGAUCCAGAUUUCCACGUGCCGGUAUUACUCCCUUUUGUGCAAACCUUGCAUAUUAUUAGAUAAAAUGCAUUAGAAAUACCCCCGAAAGCAUUAUUAUGCAUAAACACAUUAUAAAUAACAGUAGGAAAAUAUGAAGGAAAAUGGACGUAUCAACUCCCCCAAACUUAGACCUUGUUUGUCCUAAACGAAAAACCGAAAUCGAAAAACAUGUCCACAUGCUUAGAGAGAGAGAGGUGUCGAUAAAAACAAAAUACAGACAUAGAAGCAUCAUGCAUAUUAUCAUAAUAGCAAUAAACUUAUUCAUAACACUUCCUAACAGAACUUUAUCAUAUGACUUCUCAUGGACAAGUAACAAUUCAUCACAAUAUCGAAGUAGAAGCAUAAACUUUAUUCAAAACCAACAAACUAUGUUCUCACUCAACUUUGCAACUACAAUUCAUCAUCUUUUCAGGAAAGGUCUCAUGUCGGAGCCUUUUGGCAAGUCCACAUGCUCAACCAUAUUAUAAUCAUGUAUGAUUGCUAACACUCACCAAAUACACAUGAGCAAAAAAGAUUCAACCGGACACAUAGAAAGAUAGGGGCUUUUAGUUUCGCCUCCCAACGCAUUCACCUCAAGGGUGAUGUCAACAAUAAUAACUCAUGCUCACCCAUAUUCAACUGGAUAUAGGUGCUAGAUCUUUCCUCGCCACAUGAUGCUUGCAAAAGGAUAAAAAUAAAAAGGAAUAGAAGAAAAUACUUUGAUUCUUUGGAUGAAAAAAAAAGAUAGGCCCUACGCAGAGGGAAGCACGGGUUAUCAUGCGCUGAUUUGCUUGUAUGCUAAAUCCCUUAAUGCAAAAGAACAUCACGUUAUAUUGCCCCUUAUGAUAGCAUCAUUUAUUAUGCGCACGUCGCUUUUAUUACUUUGCCAUCACAAGUUCGUACAACGCUCAAUUUUCUCUUACACUAAAUGGUCCAACACAUAUAGAAGCAAUUUUAACUGCCUUAUUGCAUCGAUGACAACUUACUUGAAGGAUCUUACUCAAUCCAUAUGUAGGUAUGGGGGACUCUUUGGUACAAGAUUUGGGUUUAAGGGUUUUUGGAUGCACAAGUAGUAUCUCUACUUAGUGCGGAAUUUUUGGUUAGAAAAGAUAUUGAGCAAGCACCACAUGUUAAAGGGCCCAUGACAAUAUAACUUCUAUGUGAAUAUAAGCAAGCAUAAAUCAUUACAUUGUCUUCCUUUUCCAACAUCAACCAUUUUGGCAUAUAAUAUUUUGAUGGUGGAUCACAAUCAUAAAAGAUGUUCAAGAUAGUGUAUUUGCAUGAGUUGCAUUAUUGAUCAAUGCUAUGUUUGUCAAUCUCUAACAGAUUUUACUACUUAUACUAUUACUUAUGUAAUGUCAUUACUCGACAUAAGAUUAGCAUAUGAUCUUAUUAAUUUAUUUCCUCUCCUUUAUUUUGAUUGCAACAUAGAACUAAAGAGGGCAAAACUUGAACUAACUUUAUUAUAUCUCGCGCAUGAUUACAAAGAUAGAUCACUAAGCAAACACUCGAGAAGAAAGGAUCAAACUAAACUUUUUAUUUAGCUAAAUCAUAGGAAAACUAAGGAUUGAACUAAAGUAGAUAAAAAUAAAUAUAGUGGUGUGAUACGAUACCGGGGCACCUCCCCAAGCUUGGCUUAAGCCAAGGAGAGCCCAUACCCGAUACUCAAUCCUCUCUUGGUGGUGUUGAUGGAGUAAGAUUGCACUUCACUUCCAAGAGGUACUGCAGUCUACGAAUGAUGCUUAAGAGAGUGUUGUUGUACUCUUGCAGCUGGAUAUUUUCAAGAGUGAGACAUUUAUUCUGAAUACGAACCGUUUCAAAGGUAUGAAAUGCUUCGAUUUUAGUGGGGGUAAGAUGAUCAUAGUAGGGUUUAAGGAUAUAUUCUUCUUCUUCCAAGGGUGAGGCUUGCUCCUCUGCUUGAAUUUUAUCCACCAGAGCCUCCUUGUCCUUUAUCUCCGAGAUGACUACCUUGGGUUUCUCCCUCUUGAGUUCUAUCUUCAUCAGCCAAGCAUCUACAUCCUCGUCGUUGGGAGAGGGGGAAGUCAUGAUGUCUGGCCGUGUUGGAUCUGACAAAGAAACAAGAGGAAAGAAGAACAAGAGAUCUCUCUGUGGUACAGUGGUCAACACGAUCGGGGAGUAUAUAUUGAUUUUUUAUCUUGGGAAACAAGCAAAACAAGGGGAAAACGGAGUCGGGAAGGGGUCCGAGGUGGGCACCACCCACUUGGGUGCACCUGAGGUGCCUGGUGCACCCUGGUGUCUUGUUCCCUCCUCGGGUACCUUCGAGGCUGUUUCUUAUUUUCCUAAUUUUUUAUAUAUUCCAAAACUGAGAAAAACAUUUUUGUGGAUUUUUCGGAGUCCGUUUACUUACUGUAUCACGUACCUCCUAUUUUUCACGAUUCUGGAGUGUUACAGAAGGAUUCCCUUAUGUGUUCCUCCGUUGUCAUGGUUUGAAUAAUAUCGCUUUUAACAUUAAUGGGUGUACUUGAGAUGUAGUGUUUAAUUCUUUGACCAUUGACGACCUUCGGGUUAGUACCUUCGGCAUUAUUUAUUUUGAUAGCUCGCUAAAUUUCUUCAAUGAUAUAAGGUCAUUCCCAUUUAGAGAGAAGUUUUCCUCCAAAGAAUCUUAAACGAGAGUUGUACAAUAAAACAUAUUCUCCCACUUUAAAUUCCCGCUUUUGAAUUCUUUUAUCAUGCCAUCUUUUAAAUUUUUCUUUAUAUAGUUUGGCAUUUUCAUAAUCUUGGGUUCUCCAUUCAUCUAGCGACCUAAUAUCAAAUAAGCUAUUUUCACCGGCAAGUUUGAAAUCAUAGUUGAGUUCUUUGAUUGCCCAGAAUGCUUUGUGUUCUAACUCAAGAGGCAAAUGACAAGCUUUUCCAUGGACCAUUUUAUAGGGAGACAUACCCAUAGGAUUUUCAUAAGGUAUUCUAUAGGCCCAAAGUGCAUCAUCUAAUUUCUUAGACCAAUUCUUUUGAGACCUAUUGACAAUUUUUUGUAAUAUCAAUUUUAUUUAUCUAUUGCUAAGUUCAACUUGUCCACUAGAUUGAGGAUGAUAGGGUGAUGCAAUUCUAUGGUUAACAUCAUACUUAGCAAGUACUUUACGGAAGGCGCCAUGAAUAAAGUGUGAACCACCAUCAGUCAUUAGAUAUCUAGGGACUCCAAACCUAGGGAAAAUAACUUCUUUAAGCAUUUUAAUGGAAGUGUUAUGAUAAGCAUUACUAGUUGGAAUAGCCUCUACCCAAUUAGUAACGUAAUCAACAGCAACCAAAAUAUGAGUAUACCCAUUAGAGGAAGGAAAUGGUCCCAUAUAAUCAAAACCCCAAACAUCAAAUGGUUCAACAGCAAGUGAAUAAUUCAUAGGCAUUUCUUGACGCUUACCGAUAUUACCAAUUCUCUGACAUACAUCACAAGAUAGAACAAACUUAUGGGCAUCCUUGAAGAGAGUAGGCCAAUAAAAACCAGAUUGCAAUACCUUGUGAGAAGUUCUAUCUCCUGCAUGAUGUCCUCCAUAAGCUUCAGAGUGACAUUUCUGUAGAAUUUUUGCCUAUUCAUGCUCGGGUACACAACGUCUAAUAAUACCAUCUACUCCUUCUUUAUAAAGGUGUGGGUCAUCGCAAAAGUAAUCUCUUAAAUCAUAGAAGAUUUUUUUUCUUUUGUUGGUAUGUGAAACUAGUUGGUAUAUAUUUGGCAACAAUAAAAUUAGCAUAGUCAGCAUACCAAGGUGUGUUGUGAGAAACAUUUAUUGCAGCUAAGUGCUCAUGAGGGAAACUAUCAUCAAUAGGUAGUGGGUCCUCAAGAACAUUUUCUAACCUAGAAAAGUUAUCAGCAACGGGAUUCACAACUCCUUUCCUAUUAGUGAUGUGUAAAUCAAAUUCUUGUAGUAAGAGAACCCACCUAAUGACUCUAGGUUAAGCAUCUUUCUUUUCCAUAAGAUAUUUUAUAGCAGCAUGAUCACUGUGAACAAUUACUUGGGAAUCAACAAUAUAAGAUCUAAAUUUAUCACAAGCAAACACAACUGCCAAAAAUUCCUUUUGAGUGGUAGCAUAAUUCCAUUGAGCACUGCCUAGAGAUUUACUAGCAUAAUGGAUGACAUUUAAUUUUUUAUGAACUCUUUGUCCUAGAACAGCACCAACAACAUAGUCAGUAGCAUCACAUAUAAUUUCAAAAGGCAAGUUUGAGCCAGGUGGUUGAACAAUGGGUGCAGUGGUUAAGGCCUUCUUAAGUGUUUCGGAGGCUUCUACACAAUCAUCAUCAAAAACAAAUGGAACAUCCUUUUGUAAAAGAUUUGUAAGAGGCAUAGAAAUUUUAGAGAAGUCUUUAAUAAACCUCCUAUAGAAACCAGCUUAACCAAGGAAACUAUGAAUACCGUUGAUAUCUUUAGGACAUGACAUUUUCUCAAUUGCACCAACUUUAGCUUUAUCCACCUCAAUGCCAUGUUCAGAAAUUUUAUGACCCAAGACAAUACCUUUAUUUACCAUAAAGUGGCACUUCUCCCAAUUCAAGACAAGAUUAGUUUUCUCACAUUUGUGCAAAACUCGAUCAAGGUUUCUCAAGCAAUCAUCAAAAGAAGUUCCAUAAAGAGAAAAAUGAUCCAUGAAAACCUCAACAAUCUUUUCACAAAAAUCAGAGAAUAUAGCAGUCAUACAUCUUUGAAAGGUAGCAGGUGCAUUGCAUAAACCAAAAGGCAUACAUCUAUAAGCAUAAGUUUCAAAAGGACAAGUAAAAGUGGUUUUCUCUUGAUCACAUUGUGAAACACGUAUUUGAGAGAAACCUAAAUAUCCAUCAUACGUCUAUACACUUUGGUUGUCUCUUGAUCACUUUGGGUGGUUUUCUCUUGAUCACUUUGGGUGGUUUUGUCUUGACCACAUUGUGGAUUCAUGCCCCCUGAUGUCUAGCUUGAGUGACAGAAACAUGAGACUAGGGGAUGUGCUGUUUCCACCAGGGAGAAAACAAUGGUGCGUGUAACCACGGUUGCAAGGAUUGUUUACCUUAUGCAAAGUUUGUUAAUGCAGUUGUCCGUUGCUUUGAGUUUACACUUUGGGUGGGGCUCGCAACUUAAUACCAGCGAGAUGUUCUGGACAGAUAUCUCAAGGUGGAUGAUUAAUGAGUGGAUGCUGAUGGAUAAACGGUCUACUUGUCUUGGCGUACUGCCCAUACUUAUGAGCCUCUAACUUUCUUGUAGCAUGAUUAGCAUUGUGGUGCGUUUAUAAUUUUGAUAAUUGCCCAACUGUAAUUCGUUUACCCAGCAUAGUUGUUUAUCGUAUUUUGGGAGAGAGACAUCAGUAGUGAACAUCAAGGGACUCUGGUCCAUAUUUCCACCAUUGUUUACACCUCCACCAUUUACUUAUUUUUUUUUACUUUUAUGUUGCAAUCACCAUCGCUAUUCCCGCUUGUGUUUGAUCCUUUGCAAACGACAAGGCCAGAGAGAUUGACAACCUCUCUGAACUCGUUGGGAGCAAAGUUAUUUGUUGUGUGUGCAUGUCCACGUCUUGUGCUAGUGCCAGAGCAGUAGACACCUACUUGUUGAUCCUUGGAGUCCUCCUGGUUCGAUAAACCUUACAGUCCUCAUGUAAGGGAAAUCUGCUGCUGACUACGUCUCAACCUUCCACUUGGGGUAACUGUGUUGGGGAACGUCGCAUGGGAAACAAAAAAUUUCCUACGCGCACGAAGACCUAUCAUGGUGAUGUCCAUCUAUGAGAGGGGAUGAGUGAUCUACGUACCCUUGUAGAUCGUACAGCAGAAGCGUUAGAGAAUGCGGUUGAUGUAGUGGAACGUCCUCACGUCCCUCGAUCCGCCCCGCGAACAAUCCCGCGAUCAGUCCCACGAUCUAGUACCGAACGGACGGCACCUCCGCGUUCAGCACACGUACAGCUCGACGAUGAUCUCGGCCUUCUUGAUCUAGCAAGAGUGACGGAGAGGUAGAAGAGUUCUCCGGCAGCGUGACGGCGCUCCGGAGGUUGGUGAUGACCUUGUCUCAGCAGGGCUCCGCCCGAGCUCCGCAGAAACGCGGUCUAGAGGAAAAACCGUGGAGGUAUGUGGUCGGGCAGCCGUGAGAAAGUCGUCUCAAAUCAGCCCUAAUUGCUCCAUAUAUAUAGGAGGAGGGAGGGGGGCCUUGCCUUGGGGUCCAAGGACCCCCAAGGAGUCGGUCGAGCCAAAGGGGGGAGGACUCCCCCCCCNNNNNNNNNNNNNNNNNNNNNNNNNNNNNNNNNNNNNNNNNNNNNNNNNNNNNNNNNNNNNNNNNNNNNNNNNNNNNNNNNNNNNNNNNNNNNNNNNNNNNNNNNNNNNNNNNNNNNNNNNNNNNNNNNNNNNNNNNNNNNNNNNNNNNNNNNNNNNNNNNNNNNNNNNNNNNNNNNNNNNNNNNNNNNNNNNNNNNNNNNNNNNNNNNNNNNNNNNNNNNNNNNNNNNNNNNNNNNNNNNNNNNNNNNNNNNNNNNNNNNNNNNNNNNNNNNNNNNNNNNNNNNNNNNNNNNNNNNNNNNNNNNNNNNNNNNNNNNNNNNNNNNNNNNNNNNNNNNNNNNNNNNNNNNNNNNNNNNNNNNNNNNNNNNNNNNNNNNNNNNNNNNNNNNNNNNNNNNNNNNNNNNNNNNNNNNNNNNNNNNNNNNNNNNNNNNNNNNNNNNNNNNNNNNNNNNNNNNNNNNNNNNNNNNNNNNNNNNNNNNNNNNNNNNNNNNNNNNNNNNNNNNNNNNNNNNNNNNNNNNNNNNNNNNNNNNNNNNNNNNNNNNNNNNNNNNNCGUAAUACAAGAUCCCGCAACUUACACUAAGUUACAUUGCUUGCAAGGCUUGUGUGUGAUGUUGCAUUACCGAGUGGGCCCCGAGAUACCUCUCCGUCACACGGAGUGACAAAUCCCAGUCUUGAUCCAUACUAACUCAACUAGCACCUUCGGAGAUACCUGUAGAGCAUCUUUAUAGUCACCCAGUUACGUUGUGACGUUUGAUACACACAAAGCAUUCCUCCGGUGUCAGUAACUUAUAUGAUCUCAUGGUCAUAGGAAUAAAUACUUGACACGCAGAAAACAGUAGCAACAAAAUGACACGAUCAACAUGCUACGUCUAUUAGUUUGGGUCUAGUCCAUCACGUGAUUCUCCCAAUGACGUGAUCCAGUUAUCAAGCAACAACACCUUGUUCAUAAUCAGAAGACACUGACUAUCAUUGAUCAACUGGCUAGCCAACUAGAGGCAUGCUAGGGACGGUGUUUUUUCUAUGUAUCCACACAUGUAAAUGAGUCUUCAUUCAAUACAAUUAUAGCAUGGAUAAUAAACUAUUAUCUUGAUACAGGAAUUAUAAUAAUAACUAUACAUUUAUUAUUGCCUCUAGGGCAUAAUUCCAACAGUCUCCCACUUGCACUAGAGUCAAUAAUCUAGCCCUCACAUCACCAUGUGAAUUACAUUGUAAUAAAUCUAACACCCAUAUAGUUCUGGUGUCGAUCAUGUUUUGGCCGUGGAAGAGGUUUAGUCAGCGGGUCUGCUACAUUCAGAUCCGUGUGCACUUUGCAUAUAUUUACGUCCUCCUCCUCGACGUAGUCGCGGAUGAGGUUGAAGCGUCGUUUGAUGUGUCUGGUCUUCUUGUGAAACCUUGGCUCCUUUGCUAAGGCAAUGGCACCAGUGUUGUCACAGAACAAGGUUAUUGGAUCCAGUGCACUUGGCACCACUCCAAGAUCCGUCAUGAACUGCUUCAUCCAGACACCCUCCUUAGCCGCCUCCGAGGCAGCCAUGUACUCCGCUUCACAUGUAGAAUCUGCUACGACGCUUUGCUUGGAACUGCACCAGCUUACUGCACCCCCAUUAAGAAUAAAUACGUAUCCUGUUUGCGACUUAGAGUCGUCCGGAUAUGUGUCAAAGCUUGCAUCGACGUAACCUUUUACGGCGAGCUCUUCGUCACCUCCAUACACGGGGAACAUCUCCUUAGUCCUUUUCAGGUACUUCGGGAUAUUCUUGACCGCUGUCCAGUGAUCCACUCCUGGAUUACUCUGGAACCUACCUGCCAUACUUAUGGCCAGGCUAACAUCCGGUCUAGUGCACAACAUCGCAUACAUGAUAGAACCUAUGGCUGAAGCAUAGGGGACGGAGCGCAUAUGCUCUCUAUCUUCAUCAGUUGCUGGGCACUGAGUCUUACUCAAUCUUGUACCUUGUAACACUGGCAAGAACCCUUUCUUGGAUUGUUCCAUUUUGAACCUCUUCAAAACUUUAUCAAGGUAUGUGCUUUGUGAAAGUCCUAUCACGCGUUUUGAUCUAUCCCUAUAGAUCUUAAUGCCUAGAAUGUAAGCAGCUUCUCCUACGUCCUUCAUAGAGAAACUUUUAUUCAAGUAACCUUUUAUGCUCUCCAAAAGCUCUACGUUGUUUCCAAUCAGUAAUAUGUCAUCCACAUAUAAUAUUAGAAACGCCACAGAGCUCCCACUCACUUUCUUGUAAAUACAAGAUUCUCCAACCACUUGUAUAAACCCAAAUGCUUUGAUCACCUCAUCAAAGCGUUUGUUCCAACUCCGAGAUGCUUGCACCAGUCCAUAAAUGGAUCGCUGGAGGUUGCACACCUUGUUAGCAUUGUUAGGAUCGACAAAACCUUCGGGUUGCAUCAUAUACAACUCUUCCUUAAGGAAACCGUUAAGGAACGCCGUUUUGACAUCCAUCUGCCAGAUUUCAUAAUCGAAAAAUGCAGCUAUUGCUAACAUGAUUCUGACGGACUUAAGCAUCGCCACGGGAGAGAAAGUCUCAUCGUAGUCAAUUCCUGGAACUUGUGAAAAACCCUUUGCCACAAGUCGAGCUUUAUAAACGGUCACAUUACCGUCAGCGUCCAUCUUCUUCUUAAAGAUCCAUUUGUUCUGAAUAGCCUUGCGGCCCUCGGGUAGUAUCUCCAAAGUCCACACUUUGUUCUCAUACAUGGAUCCUAUCUCGGAUUUCAUGGCUUCUAGCCAUUUGUUGGAAUCUGGGCCCACCAUCGCUUCUUCAUAAUUUGCAGGUUCAUUGUUGUCUAACAACAUGAUUGAUAAGACAGGAUUACCGUACCACUCUGGAGCAGCGCGUGAUCUCGUCGACCUGCGUGGUUCAACAGAAACUUGAACUGGAGUUUCAUGAUCAUCAUCAUUAACUUCCUCCUCAACCGGCGUCGCAAUGACAGAGGUUUCCCCUUGCCCUGCGCCACCAUCCAGAGGGAUGAGAGGUUCGACAACCUCGUCAAGUUCUAUCUUCCUCCCACUCAAUUCUCUCGAGAGAAACUCCUUCUCGAGAAAAGUUUCGUUCUUAGCAACAAACACUUUGCCCUCGGAUUUGAGAUAGAAGGUGUACCCAACUGUCUCUUUUGGGUAACCUAUGAAGACGCAUUUUUCCGCUUUGGGUUCCAGCUUUUCAGGCUGAAGCUUUUUGACAUAAGCAUCACAUCCCCAAACUUUAAGAAACGACAACUUUGGCCUUUUGCCAUACCACAGUUAGUAUGGUGUCGUCUCAACGGAUUUUGAUGGUGCCCUAUUUAAAGUGAAUGCAGCUGUUUCUAAUGCAUAACCCCGAAAUGAUAACGGCAAAUCAGUAAGAGACAUCAUAGAUCGCACCAUCUCUAACAAAGUACGAUUACGACGUUCGGACACACCAUUACGCUGUGGUGUUCCAGGCGGUGUUAACUGCGAAACAAUUCCACAUUGUCUUAAGUGAGCACCAAACUCGAAACUCAGAUAUUCACCCCCACGAUCAGACCGUAGGAACUUGAUCUUCUUGUUACGAUGAUUUUCCACUUCACUCUGAAAUUGCUUGAACUUUUCAAAUGUUUCACACUUGUGCUUCAUCAAGUAGACAUAACCAUAUCUACUUAAAUCGUCAGUGAAGGUGAGGAAAUAACGAUAUCCGCCGCGUGCCUCUACGCUCAUUGGACCACACACAUCGGUAUGUAUGAUUUCCAACAAGUCACUUGCACGCUCCAUUGUUCCGGAGAACGGAGUCUUAGUCAUCUUGCCCAUGAGGCAUGGUUCGCACGUGUCAAAUGAAUCAAAGUCAAGUGACUCCAAAAGUCCAUCAGCAUGGAGUUUCUUCAUGCGCUUUACACCAAUAUGACCCAAGCGGCAGUGCCACAAAAAUAUGGCGCUAUCAUUGUUUACUCUAACUCUUUUGGUCUCAAUGUUAUGUAUAUGCGUAUCGCUAUCAAGAUUCAAUAUGAACAAUCCUCUCACAUUCGGUGCAUGACCAUAAAAGAUGUUACUCAUAGAAAUAGAACAACCAUUAUUCUCAGACUUAAAAGAGUAACCGUCUCGCAAUAAACAAGAUCCAGAUAUAAUGUUCAUGCUCAACGCAGGCACUAAAUAACAAUGAUUUAAGUUCAUCACUAAUACCGAUGGUAGCUGAAGUGACACUGUGUCGACAGCGAUUGCAUCAACCUUGGAACCAUUUCCUACGCGCAUCGUCACUUCAUCUUCCGCCAACCUUCGUCUAUUCCGCAGUUCCUGUUUCGAGUUGCAAAUGUGAGCAACAGAACCGGUAUCGAAUACCCAGGCACUACUAUGAGAGCCGGUCAAGUACACAUCAAUAACAUGUAUAUCAAAUAUACCUGAUUUUUCUUUGCCCGCCUUCUUAUCUGCCAGAUACUUGGGGCAAUUGCGCUUCCAGUGACCCAUACCCUUGCAAUAGAAGCACUCUGUUUCAGGCUUAGGUCCAGCUUNNNNNNNNNNNNNNNNNNNNNNNNNNNNNNNNNNNNNNNNNNNNNNNNNNNNNNNNNNNNNNNNNNNNNNNNNNNNNNNNNNNNNNNNNNNNNNNNNNNNNNNNNNNNNNNNNNNNNNNNNNNNNNNNNNNNNNNNNNNNNNNNNNNNNNNNNNNNNNNNNNNNNNNNNNNNNNNNNNNNNNNNNNNNNNNNNNNNNNNNNNNNNNNNNNNNNNNNNNNNNNNNNNNNNNNNNNNNNNNNNNNNNNNNNNNNNNNNNNNNNNNNNNNNNNNNNNNNNNNNNNNNNNNNNNNNNNNNNNNNNNNNNNNNNNNNNNNNNNNNNNNNNNNNNNNNNNNNNNNNNNNNNNNNNNNNNNNNNNNNNNNNNNNNNNNNNNNNNNNNNNNNNNNNNNNNNNNNNNNNNNNNNNNNNNNNNNNNNNNNNNNNNNNNNNNNNAAACCCUCGUGACGUCCGUGAUCUCAUCCGGGACUCCGAACAACAUUCGGUAACCAACCAUAUAACUCAAAUACGCAUAAAACAACGUCGAACCUUAAGUGUGCAGACCCUGCGGGUUCGAGAACUAUGUAGACAUGACCCGAGAGACUCCUCGGUCAAUAUCCAAUAGCGGGACCUGGAUGCCCAUAUUGGAUCCUACAUAUUCUACGAAGAUCUUAUCGUUUGAACCUCAGUGCCAAGGAUUCGUAUAAUCCCGUAUGUCAUUCCCUUUGUCCUUCGGUAUGUUACUUGCCCGAGAUUCGAUCGUCAGUAUCCGCAUACCUAUUUCAAUCUCGUUUACCGGCAAGUCUCUUUACUCGUUCCGUAAUACAAGAUCCCGCAACUUACACUAAGUUACAUUGCUUGCAAGGCUUGUGUGUGAUGUUGUAUUACCGAGUGGGCCCCGAGAUACCUCUCCGUCACACGGAGUGACAAAUCCCAGUCUUGAUCCAUACUAACUCAACUAACACCUUCGGAGAUACCUGUAGAGCAUCUUUAUAGUCACCCAGUUACGUUGCGACGUUUGAUACACACAAAGCAUUCCUCCGGUGUCAGUGAGUUAUAUGAUCUCAUGGUCAUAGGAAUAAAUACUUGACACGCAGAAAACAGUAGCAACAAAAUGACACGAUCAACAUGCUACGUCUAUUAGUUUGGGUCUAGUCCAUCACGUGAUUCUCCCAAUGACGUGAUCCAGUUAUCAAGCAACAACACCUUGUUCAUAAUCAGAAGACACUGACUAUCAUUGAUCAACUGGCUAGCCAACUAGAGGCAUGCUAGGGACGGUGUUUUUUCUAUGUAUCCACACAUGUAAAUGAGUCUUCAUUCAAUACAAUUAUAGCAUGGAUAAUAAACUAUUAUCUUGAUACAGGAAUUAUAAUAAUAACUAUACAUUUAUUAUUGCCUCUAGGGCAUAAUUCCAACAGUCUCCCACUUGCACUAGAGUCAAUAAUCUAGCCCUCACAUCACCAUGUGAAUUACAUUGUAAUAAAUCUAACACCCAUAUAGUUCUGGUGUCGAUCAUGUUUUGGCCGUGGAAGAGGUUUAGUCAGCGGGUCUGCUACAUUCAGAUCCGUGUGCACUUUGCAUAUAUUUACGUCCUCCUCCUCGACGUAGUCGCGGAUGAGGUUGAAGCGUCGUUUGAUGUGUCUGGUCUUCUUGUGAAACCUUGGCUCCUUUGCUAAGGCAAUGGCACCAGUGUUGUCACAGAACAAGGUUAUUGGAUCCAGUGCACUUGGCACCACUCCAAGAUCCGUCAUGAACUGCUUCAUCCAGACACCCUCCUUAGCCGCCUCCGAGGCAGCCAUGUACUCCGCUUCACAUGUAGAAUCUGCUACGACGCUUUGCUUGGAACUGCACCAGCUUACUGCACCCCCAUUAAGAAUAAAUACGUAUCCUGUUUGCGACUUAGAGUCGUCCGGAUAUGUGUCAAAGCUUGCAUCGACGUAACCUUUUACGGCGAGCUCUUCGUCACCUCCAUACACGGGGAACAUCUCCUUAGUCCUUUUCAGGUACUUCGGGAUAUUCUUGACCGCUGUCCAGUGAUCCACUCCUGGAUUACUCUGGAACCUACCUGCCAUACUUAUGGCCAGGCUAACAUCCGGUCUAGUGCACAACAUCGCAUACAUGAUAGAACCUAUGGCUGAAGCAUAGGGGACGGAGCGCAUAUGCUCUCUAUCUUCAUCAGUUGCUGGGCACUGAGUCUUACUCAAUCUUGUACCUUGUAACACUGGCAAGAACCCUUUCUUGGACUGUUCCAUUUUGAACCUCUUCAAAACUUUAUCAAGGUAUGUGCUUUGUGAAAGUCCUAUCACGCGUUUUGAUCUAUCCCUAUAGAUCUUAAUGCCUAGAAUGUAAGCAGCUUCUCCUACGUCCUUCAUAGAGAAACUUUUAUUCAAGUAACCUUUUAUGCUCUCCAAAAGCUCUACGUUGUUUCCAAUCAGUAAUAUGUCAUCCACAUAUAAUAUUAGAAACGCCACAGAGCUCCCACUCACUUUCUUGUAAAUACAAGAUUCUCCAACCACUUGUAUAAACCCAAAUGCUUUGAUCACCUCAUCAAAGCGUUUGUUCCAACUCCGAGAUGCUUGCACCAGUCCAUAAAUGGAUCGCUGGAGCUUGCACACCUUGUUAGCAUUUUUAGGAUCGACAAAACCUUCGGGUUGCAUCAUAUACAACUCUUCCUUAAGGAAACCGUUAAGGAACGCCGUUUUGACAUCCAUCUGCCAGAUUUCAUAAUCGAAAAAUGCAGCUAUUGCUAACAUGAUUCUGACGGACUUAAGCAUCGCCACGGGAGAGAAAGUCUCAUCGUAGUCAAUUCCUGGAACUUGUGAAAAACCCUUUGCCACAAGUCGAGCUUUAUAAACGGUCACAUUACCGUCAGCGUCCAUCUUCUUCUUAAAGAUCCAUUUGUUCUGAAUAGCCUUGCGGCCCUCGGGUAGUAUCUCCAAAGUCCACACUUUGUUCUCAUACAUGGAUCCUAUCUCGGAUUUCAUGGCUUCUAGCCAUUUGUUGGAAUCUGGGCCCACCAUCGCUUCUUCAUAAUUUGCAGGUUCAUUGUUGUCUAACAACAUGAUUGAUAAGACAGGAUUACCGUACCACUCUGGAGCAGCGCGUGAUCUCGUCGACCUGCGUGGUUCAACAGAAACUUGAACUGGAGUUUCAUGAUCAUCAUCAUUAACUUCCUCCUCAACCGGCGUCGCAAUGACAGAGGUUUCCCCUUGCCCUGCGCCACCAUCCAGAGGGAUGAGAGGUUCGACAACCUCGUCAAGUUCUAUCUUCCUCCCACUCAAUUCUCUCGAGAGAAACUCCUUCUCGAGAAAAGUUUCGUUCUUAGCAACAAACACUUUGCCCUCGGAUUUGAGAUAGAAGGUGUACCCAACUGUCUCUUUUGGGUAACCUAUGAAGACGCAUUUUUCCGCUUUGGGUUCCAGCUUUUCAGGCUGAAGCUUUUUGACAUAAGCAUCACAUCCCCAAACUUUAAGAAACGACAACUUUGGCCUUUUGCCAUACCACAGUUAGUAUGGUGUCGUCUCAACGGAUUUUGAUGGUGCCCUAUUUAAAGUGAAUGCAGCUAUUUCUAAUGCAUAACCCCGAAAUGAUAACGGCAAAUCAGUAAGAGACAUCAUAGAUCGCACCAUCUCUAACAAAGUACGAUUACGACGUUCGGACACACCAUUACGCUGUGGUGUUCCAGGCGGUGUUAACUGCGAAACAAUUCCACAUUGUCUUAAGUGAGCACCAAACUCGAAACUCAGAUAUUCACCCCCACGAUCAGACCGUAGGAACUUGAUCUUCUUGUUACGAUGAUUUUCCACUUCACUCUGAAAUUGCUUGAACUUUUCAAAUGUUUCACACUUGUGCUUCAUCAAGUAGACAUAACCAUAUCUACUUAAAUCGUCAGUGAAGGUGAGGAAAUAACGAUAUCCGCCGCGUGCCUCUACGCUCAUUGGACCACACACAUCGGUAUGUAUGAUUUCCAACAAGUCACUUGCACGCUCCAUUGUUCCGGAGAACGGAGUCUUAGUCAUCUUGCCCAUGAGGCAUGGUUCGCACGUGUCAAAUGAAUCAAAGUCAAGUGACUCCAAAAGUCCAUCAGCAUGGAGUUUCUUCAUGCGCUUUACACCAAUAUGACCCAAGCGGCAGUGCCACAAAAAUAUGGCGCUAUCAUUGUUUACUCUAACUCUUUUGGUCUCAAUGUUAUGUAUAUGCGUAUCGCUAUCAAGAUUCAAUAUGAACAAUCCUCUCACAUUCGGUGCAUGACCAUAAAAGAUGUUACUCAUAGAAAUAGAACAACCAUUAUUCUCAGACUUAAAAGAGUAACCGUCUCGCAAUAAACAAGAUCCAGAUAUAAUGUUCAUGCUCAACGCAGGCACUAAAUAACAAUGAUUUAAGUUCAUCACUAAUACCGAUGGUAGCUGAAGUGACACUGUGUCGACAGCGAUUGCAUCAACCUUGGAACCAUUUCCUACGCGCAUCGUCACUUCAUCUUCCGCCAACCUUCGUCUAUUCCGCAGUUCCUGUUUCGAGUUGCAAAUGUGAGCAACAGAACCGGUAUCGAAUACCCAGGCACUACUAUGAGAGCCGGUCAAGUACACAUCAAUAACAUGUAUAUCAAAUAUACCUGAUUUUUCUUUGCCCGCCUUCUUAUCUGCCAGAUACUUGGGGCAAUUGCGCUUCCAGUGACCCAUACCCUUGCAAUAGAAGCACUCUGUUUCAGGCUUAGGUCCAGCUUUGGGUUUCUUCGGCGGAUUGGCAACAGGUUUGCCGCUCUUCUUCGAAUUGCCCUUCUUGCCUUUGCCAUUUCUCUUGAAACUAGUGGUCUUGCUCACCAUCAACACUUGAUGCUCUUUACGGAGUUCAGACUCUGCGACUUUCAGCAUCGCAAACAACUCGCCGGGAGACUUGUUCAUCCCUUGCAUGUUGUAGUUCAACACAAAGCCUUUAUAGCUUGGCGGCAGUGAUUGAAGGAUUCUGUCAGUGAUAGCCUCUUGCGGGAGUUCAAUCCCCAGCUCAGCCAGACGGUUUGAGUACCCAGACAUUUUGAGCACAUGUUCACUGACAGACAAGUUUUCCUCCAUCUUGCAAGCAUAGAAUUUAUCGGAGGUCUCAUACCUCUCGAUCCGGGCGUUCUUCUGAAAGAUAAACUUCAACUCCUGGAACAUCUCAAAUGCUCCAUGACGCUCAAAGCGAUGUUGAAGUCCCGGUUCUAAGCCAUACAAGACUGCACAUUGAACUANNNNNNNNNNNNNNNNNNNNNNNNNNNNNNNNNNNNNNNNNNNNNNNNNNNNNNNNNNNNNNNNNNNNNNNNNNNNNNNNNNNNNNNNNNNNNNNNNNNNNNNNNNNNNNNNNNNNNNNNNNNNNNNNNNNNNNNNNNNNNNNNNNNNNNNNNNNNNNNNNNNNNNNNNNNNNNNNNNNNNNNNNNNNNNNNNNNNNNNNNNNNNNNNNNNNNNNNNNNNNNNNNNNNNNNNNNNNNNNNNNNNNNNNNNNNNNNNNNNNNNNNNNNNNNNNNNNNNNNNNNNNNNNNNNNNNNNNNNNNNNNNNNNNNNNNNNNNNNNNNNNNNNNNNNNNNNNNNNNNNNNNNNNNNNNNNNNNNNNNNNNNNNNNNNNNNNNNNNNNNNNNNNNNNNNNNNNNNNNNNNNNNNNNNNNNNNNNNNNNNNNNNNNNNNNNNNNNNNNNNNNNNNNNNNNNNNNNNNNNNNNNNNNNNNNNNNNNNNNNNNNNNNNNNNNNNNNNNNNNNNNNNNNNNNNNNNNNNNNNNNNNNNNNNNNNNNNNNNNNNNNNNNNNNNNNNNNNNNNNNNNNNNNNNNNNNNNNNNNNNNNNNNNNNNNNNNNNNNNNNNNNNNNNNNNNNNNNNNNNNNNNNNNNNNNNNNNNNNNNNNNNNNNNNNNNNNNNNNNNNNNNNNNNNNNNNNNNNNNNNNNNNNNNNNNNNNNNNNNNNNNNNNNNNNNNNNNNNNNNNNNNNNNNNNNNNNNNNNNNNNNNNNNNNNNNNNNNNNNNNNNNNNNNNNNNNNNNNNNNNNNNNNNNNNNNNNNNNNNNNNNNNNNNNNNNNNNNNNNNNNNNNNNNNNNNNNNNNNNNNNNNNNNNNNNNNNNNNNNNNNNNNNNNNNNNNNNNNNNNNNNNNNNNNNNNNNNNNNNNNNNNNNNNNNNNNNNNNNNNNNNNNNNNNNNNNNNNNNNNNNNNNNNNNNNNNNNNNNNNNNNNNNNNNNNNNNNNNNNNNNNNNNNNNNNNNNNNNNNNNNNNNNNNNNNNNNNNNNNNNNNNNNNNNNNNNNNNNNNNNNNNNNNNNNNNNNNNNNNNNNNNNNNNNNNNNNNNNNNNNNNNNNNNNNNNNNNNNNNNNNNNNNNNNNNNNNNNNNNNNNNNNNNNNNNNNNNNNNNNNNNNNNNNNNNNNNNNNNNNNNNNNNNNNNNNNNNNNNNNNNNNNNNNNNNNNNNNNNNNNNNNNNNNNNNNNNNNNNNNNNNNNNNNNNNNNNNNNNNNNNNNNNNNNNNNNNNNNNNNNNNNNNNNNNNNNNNNNNNNNNNNNNNNNNNNNNNNNNNNNNNNNNNNNNNNNNNNNNNNNNNNNNNNNNNNNNNNNNNNNNNNNNNNNNNNNNNNNNNNNNNNNNNNNNNNNNNNNNNNNNNNNNNNNNNNNNNNNNNNNNNNNNNNNNNNNNNNNNNNNNNNNNNNNNNNNNNNNNNNNNNNNNNNNNNNNNNNNNNNNNNNNNNNNNNNNNNNNNNNNNNNNNNNNNNNNNNNNNNNNNNNNNNNNNNNNNNNNNNNNNNNNNNNNNNNNNNNNNNNNNNNNNNNNNNNNNNNNNNNNNNNNNNNNNNNNNNNNNNNNNNNNNNNNNNNNNNNNNNNNNNNNNNNNNNNNNNNNNNNNNNNNNNNNNNNNNNNNNNNNNNNNNNNNNNNNNNNNNNNNNNNNNNNNNNNNNNNNNNNNNNNNNNNNNNNNNNNNNNNNNNNNNNNNNNNNNNNNNNNNNNNNNNNNNNNNNNNNNNNNNNNNNNNNNNNNNNNNNNNNNNNNNNNNNNNNNNNNNNNNNNNNNNNNNNNNNNNNNNNNNNNNNNNNNNNNNNNNNNNNNNNNNNNNNNNNNNNNNNNNNNNNNNNNNNNNNNNNNNNNNNNNNNNNNNNNNNNNNNNNNNNNNNNNNNNNNNNNNNNNNNNNNNNNNNNNNNNNNNNNNNNNNNNNNNNNNNNNNNNNNNNNNNNNNNNNNNNNNNNNNNNNNNNNNNNNNNNNNNNNNNNNNNNNNNNNNNNNNNNNNNNNNNNNNNNNNNNNNNNNNNNNNNNNNNNNNNNNNNNNNNNNNNNNNNNNNNNNNNNNNNNNNNNNNNNNNNNNNNNNNNNNNNNNNNNNNNNNNNNNNNNNNNNNNNNNNNNNNNNNNNNNNNNNNNNNNNNNNNNNNNNNNNNNNNNNNNNNNNNNNNNNNNNNNNNNNNNNNNNNNNNNNNNNNNNNNNNNNNNNNNNNNNNNNNNNNNNNNNNNNNNNNNNNNNNNNNNNNNNNNNNNNNNNNNNNNNNNNNNNNNNNNNNNNNNNNNNNNNNNNNNNNNNNNNNNNNNNNNNNNNNNNNNNNNNNNNNNNNNNNNNNNNNNNNNNNNNNNNNNNNNNNNNNNNNNNNNNNNNNNNNNNNNNNNNNNNNNNNNNNNNNNNNNNNNNNNNNNNNNNNNNNNNNNNNNNNNNNNNNNNNNNNNNNNNNNNNNNNNNNNNNNNNNNNNNNNNNNNNNNNNNNNNNNNNNNNNNNNNNNNNNNNNNNNNNNNNNNNNNNNNNNNNNNNNNNNNNNNNNNNNNNNNNNNNNNNNNNNNNNNNNNNNNNNNNNNNNNNNNNNNNNNNNNNNNNNNNNNNNNNNNNNNNNNNNNNNNNNNNNNNNNNNNNNNNNNNNNNNNNNNNNNNNNNNNNNNNNNNNNNNNNNNNNNNNNNNNNNNNNNNNNNNNNNNNNNNNNNNNNNNNNNNNNNNNNNNNNNNNNNNNNNNNNNNNNNNNNNNNNNNNNNNNNNNNNNNNNNNNNNNNNNNNNNNNNNNNNNNNNNNNNNNNNNNNNNNNNNNNNNNNNNNNNNNNNNNNNNNNNNNNNNNNNNNNNNNNNNNNNNNNNNNNNNNNNNNNNNNNNUGCCCUCGGAUUUGAGAUAGAAGGUGUACCCAACUGUCUCUUUUGGGUAACCUAUGAAGACGCAUUUUUCCGCUUUGGGUUCCAGCUUUUCAGGCUGAAGCUUUUUGACAUAAGCAUCACAUCCCCAAACUUUAAGAAACGACAACUUUGGCCUUUUGCCAUACCACAGUUAGUAUGGUGUCGUCUCAACGGAUUUUGAUGGUGCCCUAUUUAAAGUGAAUGCAGCUAUUUCUAAUGCAUAACCCCGAAAUGAUAACGGCAAAUCAGUAAGAGACAUCAUAGAUCGCACCAUCUCUAACAAAGUACGAUUACGACGUUCGGACACACCAUUACGCUGUGGUGUUCCAGGCGGUGUUAACUGCGAAACAAUUCCACAUUGUCUUAAGUGAGCACCAAACUCGAAACUCAGAUAUUCACCCCCACGAUCAGACCGUAGGAACUUGAUCUUCUUGUUACGAUGAUUUUCCACUUCACUCUGAAAUUGCUUGAACUUUUCAAAUGUUUCACACUUGUGCUUCAUCAAGUAGACAUAACCAUAUCUACUUAAAUCGUCAGUGAAGGUGAGGAAAUAACGAUAUCCGCCGCGUGCCUCUACGCUCAUUGGACCACACACAUCGGUAUGUAUGAUUUCCAACAAGUCACUUGCACGCUCCAUUGUUCCGGAGAACGGAGUCUUAGUCAUCUUGCCCAUGAGGCAUGGUUCGCACGUGUCAAAUGAAUCAAAGUCAAGUGACUCCAAAAGUCCAUCAGCAUGGAGUUUCUUCAUGCGCUUUACACCAAUAUGACCCAAGCGGCAGUGCCACAAAAAUAUGGCGCUAUCAUUGUUUACUCUAACUCUUUUGGUCUCAAUGUUAUGUAUAUGCGUAUCGCUAUCAAGAUUCAAUAUGAACAAUCCUCUCACAUUCGGUGCAUGACCAUAAAAGAUGUUACUCAUAGAAAUAGAACAACCAUUAUUCUCAGACUUAAAAGAGUAACCGUCUCGCAAUAAACAAGAUCCAGAUAUAAUGUUCAUGCUCAACGCAGGCACUAAAUAACAAUGAUUUAAGUUCAUCACUAAUACCGAUGGUAGCUGAAGUGACACUGUGUCGACAGCGAUUGCAUCAACCUUGGAACCAUUUCCUACGCGCAUCGUCACUUCAUCUUCCGCCAACCUUCGUCUAUUCCGCAGUUCCUGUUUCGAGUUGCAAAUGUGAGCAACAGAACCGGUAUCGAAUACCCAGGCACUACUAUGAGAGCCGGUCAAGUACACAUCAAUAACAUGUAUAUCAAAUAUACCUGAUUUUUCUUUGCCCGCCUUCUUAUCUGCCAGAUACUUGGGGCAAUUGCGCUUCCAGUGACCCAUACCCUUGCAAUAGAAGCACUCUGUUUCAGGCUUAGGUCCAGCUUUGGGUUUCUUCGGCGGAUUGGCAACAGGUUUGCCGCUCUUCUUCGAAUUGCCCUUCUUGCCUUUGCCAUUUCUCUUGAAACUAGUGGUCUUGCUCACCAUCAACACUUGAUGCUCUUUACGGAGUUCAGACUCUGCGACUUUCAGCAUCGCAAACAACUCGCCGGGAGACUUGUUCAUCCCUUGCAUGUUGUAGUUCAACACAAAGCCUUUAUAGCUUGGCGGCAGUGAUUGAAGGAUUCUGUCAGUGAUAGCAUCUUGCGGGAGUUCAAUCCCCAGCUCAGCAAGACGGUUUGAGUACCCAGACAUUUUGAGCACAUGUUCACUGACAGAACAGUUAUCCUCCAUCUUGCAAGCAUAGAAUUUAUCGGAGGUCUCAUACCUCUCGAUCCGGGCGUUCUUCUGAAAGAUAAACUUCAACUCCUGGAACAUCUCAAAUGCUCCAUGACGCUCAAAGCGAUGUUGAAGUCCCGGUUCUAAGCCAUACAAGACUGCACAUUGAACUAUUGAGUAGUCCUCCUUACGCGCUAACCAAGCGUUCUUAACAUCCUGAUCAGCCGUAGCGGGUGGUUCAUCUCCUAGCGCAGCAUUAAGGACAUAAUCCUUCUUCCCAGCUUGUAAGAUAAGCUUAAGAUUACGAGCCCAGUCUACAAAGUUGCUUCCAUCAUCUUUCAACUUAGCUUUCUCUAGGAACGUAUUAAAAUUCAGGCUGACGCUAGCGUGAGCCAUGAUCUACAACACAAAUAUAUUCAAAGUGGACUUAGACUAUGUUCAAGAUAAUUAGAGUUUAACUUAAUCAAAUUAUAUGCUAAACUCCCACUCAAAAAGUACAUCUCUCUAGUCAUUUGAGUGGUUCAUGAUCCACUUACACUAUCCCAAGUCCGAUCAUCACGUGAGUUGAGUAUAGUUUCAGUGGUAAGCAUCCCUAUGCUAAUCAUAUCAACUAUAUGAUUCAUGAUCGACCUUUCGGUCUCAUGUGUUCCGAGGUCAUGUCUGCACAUGCUAGGCUCGUCAAGCUUAACCCGAGUGUUCCGCGUGCGCAACUGUUUUGCACCCGUUGUAUGUGAACGUUGAGUCUAUCACACCCGAUCAUCACGUGGUGUCUCGAAACGACGAACUGUAGCAACGGUGCACAGUCGGGGAGAACACAAUUUCUUCUUGAAAUUUUAGUGAGAGAUCACCUCAUAAUGCUACCGUCGUUCUAAGCAAAAUAAGGUGCAUAAAAGGAUUAACAUCACAUGCAAUUCAUAAGUGACAUGAUAUGGCCAUCAUCACGUGCUUCUUGAUCUCCAUCACCAAAUCACCGGCACGAUCUUCUUGUCACCGGCGCCACACCAUGAUCAUCCAUCAGCGUGUUGCCAUCAGGGUUGUCGUGCUACUUAUUCUAUUACUACUAAAGCUACAUCCUAGCAAAAUAGUAAACGCAUCUGCAAGCACAAACAUUAGUAUAAAGACAACCCUAUGGCUCCUGCCGGUUGCCGUACCAUCGACGUGCAAGUCGAUAUUUCUAUUACAACAUGAUCAUCUCAUACAUCCAAUAUAUCACAUCACAUCAUUGGCCAUAUCACAUCACAAUCAUACCCUGCAAAAACAAGUUAGACGUCCUCUAAUUUUGUUGUUGCAUGUUUUACGUGGUGACCAAGGGUAUCUAGUAGGAUCGCAUCUUACUUACGCAAACACCACAACGGAGAUAUAUGAGUUGCUAUUUAACCUCAUCCAAGGACCUCCUCGGUCAAAUCCGAUUCAACUAAAGUUGGAGAAACCGUCACUUGCCAGUCAUCUUUGAGCAAAGGGGGUUACUCGUAACGAUGAAACCAGUCUCUCGUAAGCGUACGAGUAAUGUCGGUCCAAGCCGCUUCAAUCCAACAAUACCGCGGCAUCAAGAAAAGACUAAGGAGGGCAGCAAAACGCACAUCACCGCCCACAAAAACUUUUGUGUUCUACUCGAGAAGACAUCUACGCAUGAACCUAGCUCAUGAUGCCACUGUUGGGGAACGUCGCAUGGGAAACAAAAAUUUUCCUACGCGCACGAAGACCUAUCAUGGUGAUGUCCAUCUACGAGAGGGGAUGAGUGAUCUACGUACCCUUGUAGAUCGUACAGCAGAAGCGUUAGAGAACGCGGUUGAUGUAGUGGAACGUCCUCACGUCCCUCGAUCCGCCCCGCGAACAAUCCCGCGAUCAAUCCCACGAUCUAGUACCGAACGGACGGCACCUCCGCGUUCAGCACACGUACAGCUCGACGAUGAUCUCGGCCUUCUUGAUCCAGCAAGAGUGACGGAGAGGUAGAAGAGUUCUCCGGCAGCGUGACGGUGCUCCGGAGGUUGGUGAUGACCUUGUCUCAGCAGGGCUCCGCCCGAGCUCCGCAGAAACGCGAUCUAGAGGAAAAACCGUGGAGGUAUGUGGUCGGGCAGCCGUGAGAAAGUCGUCUCAAAUCAGCCCUAAUUUGCUCCAUCUAUAUAGGAGGAGGGAGGGGGGCCUUGCCUUGGGGUCCAAGGACCCCCAAGGAGUCGGCCGAGCCAAAGGGGGGAGGACUCCCCCCCCCCCAAACCGAGUUGGACUUGGUUUGGUGGGAGGAGUCCCCCUUCCUUCCCACCUCCUUCCUUUUUUUUUCUUUCCUCUUGAUUUUUCUUCUCUUGGCGCAUUGGGCACUUGUGGGCUGUCCCACCAGCCCACUAAGAGCUGGUGUGACUCCCCCAAUGCCUAUGGGCUUCCCCGGGGUGGGUUGCCCCCCCCCUCCGGUGAACUCCCGGAACCCAUUCGUCAUUCCCGGCACAUUCCCGGUAACUCCGAAAACCUUCCGGUAAUCAAAUGAGGUCAUCCUAUAUAUCAAUCUUCGUUUCCGGACCAUUCCGGAAACCCUCGUGACGUCCGUGAUCUCAUCCGGGACUCCGAACAACAUUUGGUAACCAACCAUAUAACUCAAAUACGCAUAAAACAACAUCGAACCUUAAGUGUGCAGACCCUGCGGGUUCGAGAACUAUGUAGACAUGACCCGUGAGACUCCUCGGUCAAUAUCCAACAGCGGGACCUGGAUGCCCAUAUUGGAUCCUACAUAUUCUACGAAGAUCUUAUCGUUUGAACCUCAGUGCCAAGGAUUCAUAUAAUCCCGUAUGUCAUUCCCUUUGUCCUUCGGUAUGUUACUUGCCCGAGAUUCGAUCGUCAGUAUCCGCAUACCUAUUUCAAUCUCGUUUACCGGCAAGUCUCUUUACUCGUUCCGUAAUACAAGAUCCCGCAACUUACACUAAGUUACAUUGCUUGCAAGGCUUGUGUGUGAUGUUGCAUUACCGAGUGGGCCCCGAGAUACCUCUCCGUCACACGGAGUGACAAAUCCCAGUCUUGAUCCAUACUAACUCAACUAGCACCUUCGGAGAUACCUGUAGAGCAUCUUUAUAGUCACCCAGUUAUGUUGCGACGUUUGAUACACACAAAGCAUUCCUCCGGCGUCAGUAAGUUAUAUGAUCUCAUGGUCAUAGGAAUAAAUACUUGACACGCAGAAAACAGUAGCAACAAAAUGACACGAUCAACAUGCUACGUCUAUUAGUUUGGGUCUAGUCCAUCAGGUGAUUCUCCCAAUGACGUGAUCCAGUUAUCAAGCAACAACACCUUGUUCAUAAUCAGAAGACACUGACUAUCAUUGAUCAACUGGCUAGCCAACUAGAGGCAUGCUAGGGAUGGUGUUUUGUCUAUGUAUCCACACAUGUAAAUGAGUCUUCAUUGAAUACAAUUAUAGCAUGGAUAAUAAAUUAUUAUCUUGAUACAGGAAUUAUAAUAAUAACUAUACAUUUAUUAUUGCCUCUAGGGCAUAAUUCCAACAAACUGAUGACCCACAAGUAUAGGGGAUCAAUCAUAGUCCUUUCGAUAAGUAAGAGUGUCGAACCCAACGAGGACCAGAAGGCUGUGAUAAACGGAUUUCAGCAAGGUAAUAACUGCAAGCACUGAAAGUAGCGGUAACUAGUGAUUGUGUAGCGAGGUGAAACGUAGCAAGCAAAGAGUAAUAAGUAACAAGUAGUAGCAACGGUGCAGCAAGUGUCCCAAUCCCUUUUGUAGCAAGGGACAAUCCUGAACAAAGUAUUAUAGGAGGAAAAACGCUCCCGAGGACACACGGGAAUUUUUGUCAUGCUAUUUCAUCAUGUUUAUAUGAUUCGCGUUCGUUACUUAGAUAGUUUGAUAUGUGGGUGGACCGGCGCUUGGGUACUGCCCUUACUUGGACAAGCAUCCCACUUAUGAUUAACCUCUCUCGCAAGCAUCCGCAACUACAAAAGAAUAAUUAAUACAAAGUCUAACCAUAGCAUUAAACUAGUGGAUCCAAAUCAGCCCCUCAUGAAGCAACGCAUAGACUGGGGUUUAAGCUUCUGUCACUCCAGCAACCCAUCAUCUACUCACUACUUCCCAAUGCCUUCCUCUAGGCCCAAAUAUGGUGAAGUGUUAUGUAGUCGACGUUCACAUAACACCACUACAGGAAAAACAACAUACAACAUAUCAAAAUACCGAACGAAUAUCAAAUUCACAUGACUAUUAUUAACAUGACUUAUCCCAUGUCCUCAGGAACAAAAGUAACUACUCACAAGACAUAAUCAUAAUCAUGACCAGAGGUGUAAUGAAUAGCAUCAACGAUCUGAACAUAAACUCUUCCACCAAGUAAUCCAACUAGCAUCAACUACAAAGAGUAAUCAACACUACUAGCAACCUUACAAGUACCAAUCGGAGUUGCGAGAUGAAGAUUGGUUACAAGAGAUGAACUAGGGAUUGGAGAGGAGAUGGUGCUGAUGAAGAUGUUGAUGAAGAUGCCUCCCCUCCGAUGAGAGGAGUGUUGGUGAUGACGAUGGCGAUGAUUUCUCCCUCCGGGAGGGAAGUUUCCCUGGGAGGAUCGUCCUGUCGGAGCUUUAGAUUGGAUCUGCUCAAGUUCCGCCUCGUGGCGGCGGCGAAACCACGAAAAAGCUUCCUAUUGAUUAUUUUUUUCCAGACCAGGACGCUUCAUAUAGCAAAAUAUGGGGGCUAGUGGGCCUUCAGGAAGCCCACAAGUUUGCCCACCGCCACCAGGGGGUGGUGGCGGAGUGGGGGAUUGUGGGGCCCUGGUGGCCCCCCUCCGGUAGUUCUUUCACCCAGUAUUUUUAAUAUAUUCCAGAAAAAAUCCACGUAAAUUUUCAGGGCAUUUGGAGAUGUGCAGAAUAGUGGAGUAGGAUUUUCUCCUUUUCCAGUCUAGAAUUCCAGCUGCCUGAAUUCUCCCUCUUCAAAUAAACCUUGCAAAAUAAGAGAGAAAAGGCAUAAAUAUGGUACCACAAGUAAUAUAACAGCCCAAAAAGCAAUAAAUAUCAACAUGAAAGCAUGAUGCAAAAUGGACGUAUCAACUCCCCCAAGCUUAGACCUCGCUUGUCCUCAAGCGAAAACCAAGUUCCAUAAACAUGUCCACAUGUUGAGGGACGAAGGUGUCGAUAAAACAUAAUACGGACAUGAGGGCAUCAUGAUCACACAUAGAACAGCAAUAUAUCAUAAAUAUUCUUAUGGGGAAGUAACAAUUCCUUCACAAAGCAAAGCAUGAAGCAAAAACCUUACCGAGAAAUAACCAACAAUAGUCCAUAGUCAUUGAAGCAAUUGCAAUUUAUCACAACAUCAGAAAGAGUCAAAUAAGAGCUUGUAAGGCAAACCCACAUACUCAAUCAUCUCUUUUGUUUUCCACAAUUCUUACAACUCACGUGGUACUCAUGGUGUCAAAGUUUCAGCUGGACAUAGAGGAAGAUAGGGGCUUAUAGUUUUGCCUCCCAACCAUUUACCUCAAGGGUAAAGUCAACAACAAUAAAGCAUAAGUACUCAACUCCAAGUUGAUAUAUGAAUAUAGAUCUUUCCCAAGCAUGUGACGGUAGCCAAGGCAAAGGCAAAAAGGGAAUUGGUGAUGAUCACCAUGACUCUUACAAGGGUAAAAAGUAAAGGUACAAGAUAGGCCCUUCGCAGAGGGAAGCAGAGGUUGUCAUGCGCUUUUGAGGUUUGAAUGUGUGUCCUCUUAGUGCGGAGGAACGUCACUUUAUAUUGCCGCCUGUGAUAAAGAAUUUUAUUAUGCAGUCUAUCGCUUUUAUGUCUUCCUCAUCACAGGUUCGUACAAAGCUUAUUUUCCACACACUAAUAGAUCAUACAUAUUAGAGAGCAAUUUUUAUUGCUUGCACCGAUGACAACUUACUUGAAGGAUCUUAUUCAAUCCAUAGGUAGGUAUAGUGGACUCUCAUGGCAAAACUGGUUGGAGGUUUAUGGAUGCACAAGUAGUAUCUGUACUUAGUGCGGGAGUUUUGGCUAAUAUGAGGUGGAAGCAAUCGUCACAUGCUAAGGGAUCUCUAAUCAUAUAACAUUGUUUGGAACUAAGCAAGCACAAUUCAUUAUGUUGUCUUCCUUGUCCAACAUCUACUCCUAGGCAUGUAAUAGUUUGGUGAGUGCUCACAAUUGUAAAAAGUGUCUAAGAUGAUAUAUUUAUAUGUGAACCUCUCUUUCCUUAUUACUUCUUAUUAAUUGCAACAAUGACUGAGGUCUAUGUUGAUUUAUUCUCAACAAGUUUCAAUCAUCAUACGUGUCAUAAGUGAAGUUAUCACUUUCCAUAAGAUCGUCUCAUGAUCUUUCAUGCUAUCGUUCUUUUUCAUAAUAUUGAUCAUGGCACAAAGCAAAGCCCUUGACUAAGACACUCUUUAUUAUAUAGCUCGUAAGCUCAAAUACAUCGGGGGAGAGACAAAAGCAAAAGACUCAAACUAAAAACUAAAGACUUAUUCCUCUAAAAGAAGAAAUAAAACUGAAAAGGAAAGAACUAAAGCAAAGGUAAAAGCAAAAGAUAUAAAGGUGAUACGAUACCAGGGCAACUCCCCCAAGCUUGGCAGAAGCCAAGGGGAUUGCCCAUACCAAUGCUUAGUUGUCUUCCUUUGGUGGUGAUGGUGGUGUAGUUGUCGCCUUUGAUUCCAAGAGAGCUAUCAACCUUUGGUUUAUACCUUUGAGAUCUGUGACAUGGUUUUCCAGCAAAACAACUUCACGAGAAAGAGAAAUAUUGCGAGCACGAGUUGUUUCGCAAAACCUCAAGAGUUCAAUCAAGGAUGGAGACAGCACGUGGAGGAAGGGUUGGAGAAAAUCUACUCCUUCAACGUCUUCAAUGUUGAACAUAGGUUGAACUUCCUCCCUAGCUUGGGUUUUCUCCUUAGCUUGGUCCCUCGCUUUCGUGACCUCUACUCUUUUCAAAUCAGCACCUACUUCCUCAUGAACUUGGUGAAGAUCAUUCUCCCCAACAAAUUCCUGAGACAUCUUAGCUCUAAAUUUGCGGCAGACAACAAGCUCAAAACGAAAACAGAGGAAAACUACGCGAUACGGAGAUCAAAACCUUCGGGCAACUAUAUAUUGAUUUUUUCUGGGCCAUAAGGAGUCCUCCGCAAGAAAACGGAGUCUAGGAGGCACACGAGGUGCCCACAAGCUUGCCCACCGUCGCCAGGGGGUGGUGGCGGAGUGGGCCCUUGUGGCUGCCUCGUUCGCUCUCCGGACUGCUCUUUAUUUUUCUAAUUUUCCAAAAAUUCCAAAACGGAAGAAAUUUCCUAUUGAAAAGUAUCGGAGUCCAAUUUCUUGCCGAAACAGAUACAUCUUCGUUUUCAAGGUCUGAAAUAGGUUGAUAAACAUCCCUUAUGUACUCCUCUGGAGUUAUGACAUUGAUGAUAUUGGUCUCAACAUUUAUAGGAGUACCAGAGAUAUAAUGCUUGAUUCUUUGCCCAUUUACCGCUCUAAGAAAAUUUCCUUCCGUGUUAUUGAUUUUGAUGGCACCGGAAUGAUAUACUUCGUCGACAACAUAGGGACCUUCCCAUUUAGAGAGAAGCUUGCCUGUAAAGAAUCUCAAACGAGAAUUGUAUAGCAAGACAUAAUCACCUACAUUGAACUCUCGUUUCUGUAUUCGUUUGUCGUGCCAUCUCUUAACCUUUUCCUUGAACAACCUGGCAUUCUCAUAUGCUCGGGCUCUCCAUUCAUCUAACAAGCUGAUAUCAAACAACUGCUUCUCACCGGCAAGUUUGAAAUCAAAGUUGAGCUCUUUGAUUGCCUAAUAAGCUUUGUGUUCCAGCUCAAGAGGUAAAUGACAGGCCUUACCGUAGACCAAUUUAUACGGUGACAUGCCCAUGGGAUUCUUAUAAUCAAUCCUAUAAGCCCAUAGUGCAUCGUCAAGUUUGCUAGACCAGUUCUUUCGAGAUCUAUUGACGGUAUUUUGUAGGAUCAACUUGAUCUCCCUAUUACUCAAUUCCACUUGACCACUGGACUAAGGAUGACAAGGAGAUGCAACUCUAUGGUUGACAUCAUACUUAGCUAGCAUCUUGUGGAAAACACCAUGAAUGAAGUGUGAACCACCAUCAGUCAUCAAGUAUCUAGGGACUCCAAAUCUUGGGAAUAUGACUUCUUUAAGCAUCUUAAUAGAGGUGUGGUGAUCAACAUUUUUAGUGGGGAUAGCUUCUACCCACUUAGUAACGUAAUCCACAGCAACUAAGAUGUGAGUGUACCCAUUGGAACUCGGGAAGGGUCCCAUAUAAUCAAAGCCCCAGACAUCAAAUGGUUCAAUGACAAGUGAAUCGUUCAUAGGCAUUUCCUGACGCUUACUGAUGUUCCCUAUUCUUUGGCAUUCGUCACAAGACAAGACAAACUUACGGGCAUCCUUGAAGAGAGUGGGCCAAUAGAAACUUGAUUGCAAUACCUUAUGGGUUGUUCUAUCUCCAGCAUGGUGUCCUCUGUAAGCUUCGGAAUGACACUUGUGCAGGAUCUGUCCCUGUUCAUGUUCAGGCACACAACGUCUAAUAACACCAUCAACUCCUUCCUUAUAAAGGUGCGGAUCAUCCCAAAAGUAGUGUCUCAAAUCAAAGAAGAAUUUCUUCUUUUGUUGAUAGGUGAAACUGGGUGGUAUGUAUUUGGCUACGAUAUAGUUUGCAUAAUCGGCAUACCACGGUGCACCAUGUGAAGUGUGGAUGACAUUUAAUUGCUCAUCAGGAAAGCUGUCAUCAAUAGGUAGUGGGUCAUCAAGGACAUUCUCUAGCCUAGACAAGUUAUCUGCUACAGGGUUAUCAGCACCCUUUCGGUCAACGACGUGCAAAUAAAAUUCCUGUAGCAGGAGAACCCAUCUGAUCAGCCUAGGCUUAGCGUCCUUCUUCUACAUAAGGUACUUAAUAGCAUCAUGAUCAGAGUGAAUAGUGACUUUGGAGUCAACUAUGUAAGAUCUGAACUUUUCACAUGCAAACACGACUGCUAAAAAUUCCUUCUCCGUAGUGGCAUAGUUUCUUUGAGCACUGUCUAGAGUUUUACUAGCAUAGUGAAUGACAUUCAACUUCUUGUCAACUCUUUGUCCCAGAACAGCACCAACAGCAUAAUCACUAGCGUCACACAUGAUUUCAAAGGGCAAGUUCCAGUCAGGUGGUUGAAAAAUAGGUGCGAUUAUCAAAGCCUUCUUAAUUAUUUCAAAGGCUUCCUCACAAUCCUCAUCAAAAACAAAAGGAACAUCCUUCUGCAAGAGGUUGGUAAGAGGCCUAGAAAUCUUAGAAAAGUCUUUAAUGAACCUUCUAUAGAAACCAGCAUGACCUAAGAAACUUCGUAUGCCUCUGAUAUCUGUGGGGCAAGGCAUUUUCUCAAUUGCAUCAACCUUAGCCUUAUCAACUUCAAUGCCUCUUUCAGAGAUUUUGUGUCCUAAGACGAUACCUUCAUUAACCAUAAAGUGGCAGUUCUCCCAAUUCAAGACGAGGUUGGUUUCUUCGCAUCUCUGUAAGACUCGAUCAAGGUUGCUGAGGCAAUCAUCAAAGGAAGACCCGUAAACGGAGAAGUCAUCCAUGAAAACCUCGACAAUCUUUUCACAAAAGUCAGAGAAUAUAGCCAUCAUACAUCUUUGGAAGGUGGCAGGUGCAUUACAUAAGCCAAAAGGCAUACGUCUAUAGGCAAAGGUACCAAAAGGGCAGGUGAAAGUGGUUUUCUCUUGAUCAGAUUGUGCAACAGGUAUCUGCGAGAAACCUGAAUAACCGUCUAGAAAGCAGAAGUGUGUGUGUUUUGAUAGCCUUUCUAGCAUUUGGUUGAUGAACGACAAAGGAUAAUGAUCUUUCCUGGUUGCCUUGUUCAGUUUCCGGAAGUCUAUCACCAUUCUAUAGCCGGUAAUAAUCCUUUGUGGGAUUAGUUCAUCCUUAUCAUUAGGAACGACGAUGAUACCUCCCUUCUUGGGUACGCAAUGUACUGGACUUACCCAAUCACUAUGAGCAACAGGAUAAAUGAUUCCUGCUUCCAGAAGCUUUAAUAUUUCUUUUCUAACGACCUCUUUCAUCUUAGGAUUUAAUCUCCUUUGAUGAUCAGCAACUGGUUUAAAGUCAGGAUCGGUUUUAAUCUUGUGCUAACAUAGAGUAGGACUAAUACCCUUAAGAUCAUCAAGAGUAUAUCCAAUAGCAGCGCGGUGCUUCUUCAGAGUUUUUAGUAACUUCUUCUCUUCACACUCUGAGAGGAGAGAACUAAUAAUGACAGGAUAUAUCUCCUUCUCAAAAAGAUAGGCAUACUUAAGAGUAUCAGGCAACUGUUUAAGCUCGAACACAGGAUCACCCUUUGGUGGGGGAGGAUCCCCAAGCAGUUCAACAUGCAGAUUAUUCUUGAGAAUAGGAUGUUGUUCUAAGACAAUUCUAUCUAUCUCAUCUCUCUCCUCCAUAUGCAUAUCAUUUUCAUGCUCAAGCAGAUAUUGCUCUAAAGGAUCCGUAGGAGGUACGGCAAUAGAGGCAAGAGCAAUGAUUUCAUCCCUACCAGACGACUCUCUUUCAUGGGGUUGUCUUCCAAACUUGGAGAAGUUAAAUUCAUGAGACACACCCUCGAAACUUACUGUGACAGUCUGCUUAAUGCAAUCAAUGUGAGCAUUGACAGUGUUGAGAAAGGGUCUACCAAAUAUGAUGGGACAAAAGCUAUCUUGUGCAGUACCAAGCACGAGGAAAUCAGUAGGAUACUUCGUCUUACCACACAGGACUUCUACGUCUCUCACAAUUCCCAGAGGGCUGAUAGUGUCUCUAUUAGCUAGCAUAAUAGUGACAUCAAUGGGUUCUAACUCAGCAGGUGCAAUCUCAUCUUUGAUUUCAUCAUAUAGAGAACGGGUUAUUGCACUAACACUAGCUUCCAUAUCACAUAAACCAUGGUAACAGUGAUCUCCUAUCUUAAAAGAAACAACGGGCAGGCCAACUACAGGUCCGUGUUUGUCUUUCACGUGAGGUUUAGCAAUUCUAGCGGAGUCCUCACAGAAUUUGAUAACAUGCCCAUCUAUGUUUUCGGCUAGGAGAUCUUUGAUAAUAGCAACACUAGGUUCAACUCUAAUCUCCUCACGGGUGCAAGUGGUCUAAUGUAACCCCUACGUAUCACAGUUGGAGCUUUAGAAUAAUCCUUUAACCUAGCAGGGUAUGGUGGUUUCUCAGUGUAAGCACAAGGAACAACAGGAUCACUAAAAGCUAUGAAUUUCUCCUCAACUAGAUUGGUUUUGGCUAUGUUGCUUUCUACAGGAGGAUGAUAUUUAAACCACUUCUCUUUGGGAAGAUCAACAUGAGCAGCAAAAGAUUCACACAGAGAAGCUACUAUCUCAGAGUCAAGUCCAUACUUAGCGCUAAAAUCUCUAGAAGUGUUUGUCUCAACAAUAGAUUUAACGCAAUCAAACUGGAAAUUCAUACCUGACUCCUUACCUUCCUCCAAUUCCCAAUCUUCAGAGUUGCGUUUGAUUCUCUCCAAUAAAUUCCACUUGUGAUCAAUAUCCUUCUUCAUAAAAGAACCGGCACAAGAAGUGUCAAGCAUGGUACGAUCUUCAUGAGAAAGCCGAGCAUAAAAGUUUUGAGUGAUGAUUUCUCUCGAGAGCUCAUGAUUGGGGCAUGAAUAUAGCGUUGAUUUAAGCCUCCCCCAAGCUUGAGCUAUGCUUUCCCUGUCACGAGGCCAAAAGUUAUAAAUAAAGUUCCGAUCAUGAUGUACUAAAUGCAUAGGAUAGAACUUUUGAUGAAAUUCCAAUUUCAACCGAUUGUAGCCCCAUGAUCCAGUAUCAUCACAUAGCCUAUACCAUGUCAACGCCUUAUCCUUCAAAGAUAAAGGAAAGACUUUCUUCUUUACCUCAUCCUCGGGCAAACCUGCAAGCUUAAAUAAACCACAAACUUCAUCUACAUAGAUUAGAUGCAAGUCUGGAUGUGAAGAUCCAUCUCCUGUGAAAGGAUUAGCCAGCAGUUUCUCAAGCAUACCCAAAAGAAUUUCAUAAAAGAUAUUUUGUAGGUACCUCAGGUUGAGGAGCAACUCCUCGUGCUGCCGUUCGUGGUGAAGAUACCCCGAACAAACUCCUCAAAGGAAGAGUUUCCAUAGUGACAAGUGACAAUAAAUUUCAGCACAGUAUAUAAAUGUUUCCUUACCAAUUUCCACUUACCAAAGGCGCUUCACUCCCCGGCAACGGCGCCAGAAAAGAGUCUUGAUGACCCACAAGUAUAGGGUAUCAAUCGUCGUCCUUUCGAUAAGUAAGAGUGUCGAACCCAACAAGGAGCAGAAGGCUCUGAUAAACGGAUUUCAGCAAGGUAAUAACUGCAAGCACUGAAAGUAGCGGUAACAAGCGAUUGUGUAGCGAGGUGAAACGUAGCAAGCAAAGAGUAACAAGUAACAAGUAGUAGCAACGGUGCAGCAAGUGGCCCAAUCCCUUUUGUAGCAAGGGACAAGCCUGAACAAAGUCUUAUAGGAGGAAAAACGCUCCCGAGGACACACGGGAAUUUCUGUCAUGCUAGUUUCAUCAUAUUCAUAUGAUUCGCGUUCGUUACAUUGAUAGUUUGAUAUGUGGGUGGACUGGCGCUUGGGUACUGCCCUUACUUGUAUAAGCAUCCCACUAGUGAUUAACCUCUCUCGCAAGCAUCCGCAAUUACAAAAGAAGAAUUAAGACAAAGUCUAACCAUAGCAUUAAACUAGUGGAUCCAAAUCAGCCCCUCACGAAGCAACCAUAGACUGGGGUUUAAGCUUCUGUCACUCCAGCAACCCAUCAUCUACUUACUACUUCCCAAUGCCUUCCUCUAGGCCCAAAUAUUGUGAAGUGUUAUGUAGUCGACGUUCACAUAACACCACUAGAGGAAAAACAACAUACAACAUAUCAAAAUACCGAACGAAUAUCAAAUUCACAUGACUAUUAUUAACAUGACUUAUCACAUGUCCUCAGGAACAAAAGUAACUACUCACAAGACAUAAUCAUAAUCAUGACCAGAGGUGUCAUGAAUAGCAUCAAGGAUCUGAACAUAAACUCUUCCACCAAGUAAUCCAACUAGAAUCAACUAUAAAGAGUAAUCAACACUACUAGCAACCUUAGAAGUACCAAUCGGAGUUGCGAGACGAAGAUUGGUUACAAGAGAUGAACUAGUGAUUGGAGAGGAGAUGGUGUUGAUGAAGAUGUUGAUGAAGAUGCCUCCCCUCCGAUGAUAGGAGUGUUGGUGAUGACGAUGGCGACGAUUUCCCCCUUCGGGAGGGAAGUUUCCCCGGCAGGAUCGUCAUGCCGGAGCUCUAGAUUGGAUCUGCUCAAGUUUCGCCUCAUGAUGGCGGCGAAACCACGAAAAAGCUCCCUAUUGAUUUUUUUUCCAGACUAGGACGCUUCAUAUAGCAAAAGAGGGGGGCUAGUGGGCCUUCAGGCAGCCCACAAGCUUGCCCACCGCCACCAGGGGGUGGUGGCGGAGUGUGGGCUUGUGGGGCCCUGGUGGCCCCCUCCGAUAGUUCUUUCGCCCAGUAUUUUUAAUAUAUUCCAUAAAAAAUCCACGUAAAUUUUCAGGGCAUUUGGAGAUGUGCAGAAUUGUGGACUAGGAUUUGCUCCUUUUCCAGUCCAGAAUUCCAGCUGCCUGAAUUCUCCCUCUUCAAAUAAACCUUGCAAAAUAAGAGAGAAAAGGCAUAAAUAUGGUACCACAAGUAAUAUAACAGCCCAAAAAGCAAUAAAUAUCAACAUGAAAGCAUGAUGCAAAAUGGACGUAUCAGUAACCAACAAGGGGCGAGGAGAAUAUUUCCAUCAACUCACCAUCAAAGUCGUAUCAGCAUCCCCAAGCUUAAGUCAGGCUCAUCCUCGAGUAGGUAAAUGAUAAAAACAGAAUUUUUGAUGUGGAAUGAUGCCUCACGUGUUCAUUGUAUUCUUUUUCUUUUUAGCAUGGGCAUAUGGUUGUAGAUGAUUCAAAACAAUAAUCUAUAGUUUGACAUGAAAAUUUCAAUACUCAAGCAUAUCAACAAGCAACCAAGUCUUUCAAAAUAUCAACGCUAAAGAAUGAUAUCCCUAGCCCAUCAUGCUCCAUCAUGGAUCCAUUCAUGCAACACACUCAAAUAUUAGCUACAUCCAAUGCUCAAGUAUGAUAAUGGUGUUCCUUAGUUGGUGAUUUAUAAGAGAAGAUGGAGACUCAAAUUCAAAAUAAAAUUGCGUAAAGUAAAUAGAUAGGCCAUUCGUAGAGGGAAGCAGGGAUUUGUAGAGGUGUGGGAGCUCAAAGUGAAAAUUUUAGAGAUAAAAUAUUCUGGGUGGUAUGCUUUUCGUGUCAACGAAAACGACUAAGGGUUUUCAAUAUCUCCCAUGCUAAACAAAUCAUAGGCGGUUCCCAAACUUAAAAUUAUGUUUAUUCCUUUUUCACCAUUCUUUCACAUUACAUGGCUAGCCGCAUUCAUGGGUACCGUCCAUACCAGCACUUUCCAAUGAAUUUAUCAUUUGACAACAUAAAAUAUUUUUCUUUGCAUUUUGGGACUCGGCAAACCUAUUACCGCCAUAAUCUCAUGCAAUGAUAAGUGAAUAAACACUCAUCUUGAGAAUAAUCUAUUUAACAUGGAAGAUACCAGCCACCCUUCGCCGCCUCAUGAGCGGUACGGGCACACAAGACAGAAAUCUAUUUUGAAAAUUAGACUUGGCACUUGCAAAUUUACUUAGAAUGGCGUUGAAAUAGCGCUUAUAGGUAGGUAUGGUGGACUCUUUUGGCAAAAUUUUGGGUUUUGGAUUUGGAUAGACAAGUAGUAUUACCGCUUAGUACAAGUGAAGGCCAGCAAAUAGAUUGAGAAGCGUCCAACCAAGGACUAAAAAUCAUUAUACGUGAACAUUAAACAUAAAUAACGUCGAAUAAUGCAACACAAGUAGAGUGUAAUUUCAUAGCAUAAUUAUUACCUUCAUGUGCAUGCAUAGGGAAUCACAAACCUUAACACGAGUAUACUUACCAAAGCAUAAUUACUCAUCAACAUUACUCAUAUAUCACUAUCUUCAUAUCACAAAUCUAUUGCAAAGAAUCAAGUUUAAUGUCCAAUGAUAUUCAUGAAUUUUUUUAUUAUAUCUUUCGUGGACAUCCAUUACUUUGGGAAUAAUUUCAUUUAAAACAAAUUGAAAUUGCAAAUAACAAUCUCUCAAACAAGUAUUAGUGAACAACGAGAGCACAAGUUUCUUUAAAAAAUUAACUCUCAAAAUAAUAUAAGUGAAGCAAGAGGGGAUUUCUUCAAAAUUUCUACUACUAUCGAAAUAAUCUAAGUGAAGCAUUAGAGAAAAUUUAUUCAAAAUAACAGCACCACCAUGCUCAAAAAGAUAUAAGUGAAGCACUUGAGCAAUUUCGUGGCUCUAAAAUAUUUAAGUGAAGCAUAAAGAGCGAUUCUAACAAAUCAUAGCAUAAUUUGGUUCUGUCAAAUGGGUGUGUCAAUCAAGGUUUAUUAUGACAAACUAACCAGCAAAGAAAUAAAAUACACAAAUGAUACAAGAUGCUCCAACGAAAACUCAUGAUAUGUGACGAAUAAAAUAUAGCUCCAAGUAAAAUUACUGAUGGUUGUUAGAAGAAAGAGGGGAUACCUUCUGGGUCAUCCCCAAGCUUAGUUGCUUGGUACUCCUUGGAUGUUACCUUGGCGUGCCAUGGGGCAUACUCAAGCUUAGACUUUUAUCACUCCUUAUUUCUUUAUCCAUGGUGAUCUCACCCAAAACCUGAAAACUUCAAUCACACAAAACUCAACAAAACUUUCGUGAGAUCCGUUAGUAUCAGAAAACCAAACUUUACUUUAGGUACUGUUGAAUACCUAUUAAAAUUUUGUUCUUGCAUUAUACCCAAUGUAUUCUAACUUUACCAUGUCUUAUACCCCCCGAUACAAACCAUAGAAUCAUCAUAACAACCACAUAAUGCAAAGAAAACAGAAUCUGUCAAAAACAGAACAAUGUGUAAAGAAUUGAAUUUUACCCAUACUUUUGUAAAUCCAAAAAAAUUGAAAUUUUAGGACAACUUAGGGAAUAUGUAUAUCAAUCUUGUAUAAAAAUUCAGAUACUUUUUAUGCUUCUCUGAUUUUUAGGAUUUUUUCUACUAGAUGCAAAUUUUUCUGUUUUUCAAUAGGAUUAAAGCAACUAACUCCCCACAUGAUCCCAAAGGCUUUACUUGGCAAAAACAAUAAAUAAAACAUAAAAAUACAAUUAUAACAGUAUCAUAAUUGUGCAAACACUCAAGAACAGAAAGAAAAGUGAAAAAAUAAAUUUUAUUGAUUGGGUUGCGUCCCAACAAGCGCUAUCGUUUUACACCCCUAGCUAGGCAUAUUGCAUAGAUUUCAGGUAUUGUCAUCCUUAGUGAUUGAUCCAUAGGUUUCCCUCAUGAUUUAUUCAUAUGAUAGUCAUGUUCUUUCACUCCAUAAUGUCGUUCUGUUAUGGUGUGUAUGGACCAGAGAACUCAUGAGAGACACCAAGGGAGUCAAGAUAGGUAUCUAGACCCGUGUUCUUGAACUUUGUGCCAUUGUCAAUCUCGAUAUGCUUGAUCUUGACAUUGUAGCUGGUCAGGCACAUGUUUGCAAAGCACGUGAAGAUUACGAAGUGAUAUAGAUUUGUAGUGGUAGAGAAAGUGGCCGAAUAAGUCCAUGUGGAGCAAGUCGAAGGGACUGAGAGUCAUCAAGAUAGUCUUCGAGGGGUGUUUGUCGCUAGUCAACUUCCCGGCUUCGCAGGCACCACACAGGUGAUCCUUCUUGAACUUGACACCCUCGACGCCAAUGAUGUGAUUCUUCUUGGUGAGUGUUCGCAAGUUCCUCAUACCAUCAUGUCCUAGCCUUUGAUGCCAUAGCCAUCAUUCUAAAGUUUUUCCUAGAAGACAUGUGGGCAACUAUGGUCUUGCAGAGAAGUCUACCAUGUAUAGAUCACCUAUUAGAAAACCUUCUAACACUUUGGUUUUGUCAGACGCCAUUAGUACAACGCAUCAGAAUUUGCCAAAUAUGAGAAGCAUGUCUAGAUCACAAAGCAUUGAGAUAGACAUUAAGGUUUAACCAAGGGAUUCGACAAACAUAACAUUUUCCAUGUGCCUAUAUCUUGUGAUAGCAACUCAACCUAGUCCCGGUAUUUUGCUACUACUUUUGUCGACAAAGACGAUGUGAUCUUAGGUUGGAGCUCGAAUAGUUGACUCCAUCAAUAGGCUUCGAUCACCAUUCAUGUGACUAGUGCAAGCACUAUCCAUGAUCCAUUUGGUUGGACUGGAUUUAUCUACCUAUAAUGAUAAUUAGUCUUGUUCACCUACACAUGCAACAACAUCAUGCAUUGAUGAAGAUAUUGCAGUGUAAGUAAUAGUAACACUAGACGAUAUAAAUGGUAACACCAUUUUCAUUUGUUUUCUUGCAUCCAGACAAGAAUGUUUUUCGGUCUCUAGAGAUAGUAUUCAAGAUAAGCUUCAUCCCUUCUAGAAUCCUGAUGUCGCAUGAAGAUAUUAGUUCUCUUAACCACCCACAUCCUAAGGGGUGGUUUAGAAGCCAUGAUACGUAAAGUAGCAUCAGAGAAUUUAUGCAAUGUUUCCCUAAUAGCAUGUUUCACAAGUGGGUUAGAGUACUCAAAUGAAUAUGCAGAAAAGUUCUUAGAUGGGUGAACAUAAAUAUGCAUGCCGUAGUGCUCAUAUUCAUGAGUAUUUUGAGUCCUUCCGUGUGAAACAUAUUUGUUAGUUCGAUCAUAUGAAGACCUUUGUCUUCUAGGAGACAUUGAUCUAGGGAAUGUCUUCCUCUUGAGAGAUGGCAUCGUGACAUUGACAGGAAGCUUCUUAAUAAGACUUUUGGGAACCGAGAUCUUCUUCAUGGGUGAACCAUUCCUGCAGUUAGUGCCAAUGAACCUAGCAAACACUUCACCAUUUUGGCAUUUGAAUAGUUUAUAGUUGGAAUUGAAGGAUUCAUCGGUAAUGAUAGGAUUAGCACAGUUAAAGCUAGAUAACUAAGGGGCCUUUGCAUCAGCAUUGAUGUUUCUUUCGAAACCAACACCCUCUUUCCUAGGGUUUUUGUUCAGGAUUAUCUUCUUGAGGACAUCUCACAAGAUUUGAUGUCCCUUCAGACUUUUGACAUGCAUGUCUCAAGCAAUGUCUUCAACCUGUCAUUGUCAUCAGUGAUAGCAGUGGUUUCCUCGGAUGAGAGGUUAGAUACCACAGAUAUAUUUGAAGAUAAUGCAUUUCCAUAAGCAUUUGAACAUUCAACAGUAGAAUCAUUAGCUUCAUGAGCAAGGCAUUUGAAGCAUGGAGCAUUAAAUUCAUCCUAAGGUAUACUGAUCCAUUCAGCAAGGAGUGGGUCAUUUUCCUUCCGAACAUCCUCAAGAGCCUCUUUCAACUUUUCAAGAUCAAGUUUUAUUUAAAUAUAUUCAAGGGAAGGCUUCUCAUGGUAAGUUGAGAGAGACUCAUGACGAUUUUGGAGAUCCUCAAACCUUGAACGAAGAUCACACAUAUCUUCUGCCAAGGCUUCGUUCAAACUCAUCUAGCUGCGCAACAGGUCAUCGCUUUUCUCAAGAGUUUGUUGCGUUUUUUCCAUAGCAUUGUGUUUCUUAGUGGCAAUCUUAAUGAGGUCAGAAUAUCUGGGUUUGGAUUCGCACCCAGAUUCACCAUCACUAUCAGAUCCAUCUUCACCUGAAGAUGAUGAGGCAUAAGAAGAUACCUUAGAACCUCACGCCAUGGGGCAGAUCGCAGGAUCAUUCUGUAUGAUAUUUUCCUUCAUUUCAUCAAGGUGCUUCCUGAAGCCAGUGAUGAAGGAACCUUGAUGAGUUGAGGUUCCUUCGCAGAUAUCUGAGAUCAUGUCCCAUAUAAGGUUCGUAGAGCCUAAACUGCAUACACGCGUGAACCAUGUCUUAGAGAGGCACAAACAUAUGACAUUCUUGGCGCGGGUAUCUAGGUGAGUAUAUAGACGAAUGUCUUCGUCGGUAGUGUCUUUGCAUAACCCUGAGAUGCCCCUAUCAGUGAUAGUUCAUAGAUCAUCAUUCGACGCUUGUAAAAGAUUACACAUCAACUUCUUUCAUAAUGGAUAGUUCGUGCUAUCAAAGACUGGGCAUGCAAUGGAGACCUUGAUUAUAUCUGUAAUCGACAUAGCUAAUACACCAGGUGGUUAAACCGAAACACGGAAUAAGGGAUUACCUUGCUCUGAUACCAAUUGAAAGUGCUAGUUAUUGAUUAGAGGGGGUGAAUGGGCGAUUUUUAUGAAAAGCUUCAAAACAGUAAAUGUAUUCAAAGUAAGCGGAAAUGAUGUAGGAUCAAGUAUGGAUAACGAUUAAGGAUCUAAGCAUAACAUGCAAUACUACGAAGACAUUCAGACAGACAAAGCAUAGUCAUCAUGAACACUAAUAUAUAUCAAGGAUAAACUUAGGUAGUAUGAGAUAGAUGAAAGUUAGGAAUGUCUUUUGUGAAUGUCUUCGAGUUGAGAUGAUCAAGAAAUGGCUUCAUAGUAUAGUACAGUAAGUGAGAGAGUGAAAGAUAGAACUAGUAGCUUGACGAAGAUACAUGAUUCGUUGGACCAGUUCAGUUGCUAUGAUAACUAUACGUCUAGUUGGGGAGGCUUAGACAUCGUCUUCACCUUGAUCCCCUUGAGCCGAAGUCCCUCAGACCAUGCCCAAUCACUCAGAUAAGUCUUCAGGGGAGACUUUUGAAACCCGUACAAACUUGGUCACCCAACAAUCCACAAUGACUCUUGGAUUGUUCUAGAUCAUGGUCACCCGGAAAUCCACAAUGAAUCUUUGAUGCACUAGACCACGACACCUAACAGUCUGGAAGAUCACAGUCUUCAAGUGUAACGAGUCUUAAGUUCUCUCAGAACAGAAAGAGUUCGAUAAUGCUCGAACACUCUCGCUCUAGGUGUUUGGGUUUGUCCUUGCGUGAUAGUUCUCUAUCUCAAUGUCUUCGAGGUGGGUUGCUCCAAACGAUAAUAGUCGUAUCUAACUCUGAGCACCCACCAACUUAUGGUGGAGGGGUGGGCUAUUUAUAGCCAGCAAGCAACCCUACAUGAUAUGACCAAAAUGACCGUGGGUCAAUGGCCAACCGACACGUGUUCCAACUGUUGGAUUUCAAAGACACACUCGGCAACAUUACUUGGGCUACAAAUAAUGUUGACUCAACCAACUCUGAAAGAGAUUUCCUCUCAUUGUCUUCGCUCGAAGACAUAGGUAAUUUGGGUUGACUAUUACGUCAACGUUUGACUUCGAUCACAUCGAUCCCACUUAACAGUUCGGUGGUUCCUAUGAUUCAGAAAAGAAGAAAUAAAACAAACAAAAGACUUCGUCUUUGCGUUUCAUUACCUUCAAGUGAUUAUCUUUGCAAACCGCCAAUGGUUUUGGUCAUCAUCAAUGUCUUCGGACAUUUUUUGGGGUAGUCUUUGACGGUUAAACCGAAUUUUCAGGGACUUCUAUCUAUGUUAAACUGUGAACUCUCACAAACACAUUAGUCCCUCAACCAUGUUUGUCUUCAGUAUACUCCAAAGCCAACAAGGGAUGGCACUAGAUGCACUUACAGCAUCCUAAGGCCAUUGAUUUGCAUCCGUAGUAGUGUGGUGCAACGGUUUUGCAAACUUAUUUAAAUAUGUGGAAAUACACUUCCAUGCAUAUACGUAUAUAUGUGUUAAAUGUAACCGUAUGCAAGUUAGUCGAAGUGUACGUAAUGCAUAUCGCUACCUUUUUUAAAAAGCAUCCAGAUAUAUUAUAAGGUUCAUCACAAUUGCAAAACACCCAAAAUAUAAUAAAGAUUACAUCAAGGUCCCUAGACCACCAAACGACCAUUGUCAUCGUCAGAACGAGUUGUCGACGCGUCGUUGUAGUCGCUCCCAUACCGGAGCCCGACUGACCUCACCGAUGACAAACGGAAAUCUUUGUGCACAUGUCCCAAGGACCAGCGUCUUGAAGCUACGGUUGUCAUUGUUGAACCCUUGAAUCGAUCGAAAGUACUUGACACCAAAUUUCCUCAUCGCGCACGAACGACGAGAGACCCUAACCUCGACGAGCUGAUAGAAAUCUACAUCGAAGCUCCGUCUAAUUCAGCCUGAUGAACGAACAUGAAGAGGAUCGACCCGAAAGACUGAGUCAAAGAAGAAGGGACGCCAUUUGUCAGAGCCCCACCCAAGGACUAAAAAAUACUAAGCUAUCUACUUCCGGGAGCCGAGGCACCAGAAUUCAGGUUCCGCCAUUACCUGCCAAGAUGACUAUGAUGAGAGGCAAAUCCACGGACGCGUUCGCAAAGAUUAAGGGAGGAAGCCUUUGACAUAAUCGUCUUGCGAGAGGGGAAAGAAAGACAAUCUCCUUCUCACGGACAAUGCAUAUCACUACCUACCACACAUGGUUACAGAAUGCGCGUAUAAUUCCAUCCAGAAACUAAGUCCGGACAUUUUCUGACCGCCAGCAAAUUGGAGUUAACUACCACCAAGUGGUUUACAAACCGCAGCCUUUGGCCUGAACUUUCUUGAGAUGGAGCUAAUUAUUGAGCUCCAUCUCUCCAUUUGCUUGACUGCACCAAAGUCUAUGCAAGUUGUUAUUUGAUACUUCAGCAGCCAGUAGAAAGGCUCGUACAGUACGUGUUUCCAUUGUGCACGUAGCGGCGUCACCUUCACUGCAAAGUAGAGUAGAAAUAAAAUCCGUCACAGUCGUACAUCGUGAGCAAGGGUGAUAGCUAGGUGCAUGGGAAUCUUCCAUCCAUGCAAACAAAACGGCAUGCGCGCGAUCGCGAGAGGGGCGAGCAAAGGGUCACGUCAGCGGAAGCCAACAAACGCAGCCAGGGCUCCAUCUCCAUGCAUGCAUGCAUGAUCACGAUGCGUCCGUCGACGCUCGCCAUGCACACGGCCUGUUUUUGUUAUUUUUCUUGAUAGCUUACCAAGCCGACCUGUUGGUCCCAAAUGAUGAUGCUUUGUUGAACAAGCACCGCACAGUACUACGAGUACGAAGGAGCCCGAAGAAGAAUUAACAACGCGCACGCCUCUGCGCGCGGCGGAGGCCAACCCCGGAAGCGGAGGCCGCGGGCGCCGGUUUAAACGCCGAUUCCCAUUGACCCCGCUCCGGCGCGUCGGCGCGGGGCAACGCGGCCUCGACAGGCAAAGACGGGAACGCCAUAUUUUUGCGGCACCAACGCACUGUCCAAACGAACCACGCCGGAACGGCGUCCUGCAUACAAAAAUGUAUAGCAUCCUCUUGAUGGCAAAGAAAAAUGAUAUCUCGAAGCUUAGAGUAAACGGGGUGGUCGAGCCAGCCAGCCAGCAGGGCUGCGUUGAAACCCGUGGGGAUAGAUGGCCAGGUCAGGGGCACAGGGCAGCGUGUGGAACGACGCAAGGGUACGUGUGAUGCUCGCCGGUCGUCCGGCUAGGCAGGCCCUGGAUAAUACUGAAUUAUACUCUGUAUCAACAUAGAUGCGUAUAUGCAUGCUCCUCGUGCAAGCCUGUCAUGACGAUCCCUUUUUGUCUCUUAUAAUGUGUUGCCGUUAGACUGCUUAUUAAGAAAUAACGUACUAGUAAGCUUGUCUUGGUCCUUUUCAGACACGCAAGACUUGGCCGAUCCUUUGCUUGAUUAUUAGAACCUCAAGUUCCGUGUGCGCCAGCGUGGUCUUGACUCUGGUGAGGCGUCAGGAAGGAUUAAUUGGGAGCUGUUCUGGACGGCGGGAACUCUAGCUACCUAAUGUCGCCAAUGUACCAUUUCUAUUCGGUACGGCUACCAGAAUAUACAUUUGACAAUAAAAAAAUGGAAUAACGCACCGCGUCUUAUGAUCGAAUUUCAACAACAUCGAUGCGGCGUAUACACUAACCUAUAUUUAUACCGUAUUUUUGCGGGGGUAUACACUAACCUAUAUAUGCGUACGUCUAAACGCAAGACAUGUGUGCGUAUCAUUUCUUAAUCUAGGCGCCGUCAGAAGAAAUUUUCUUUCCAUAAAAUGUCUCGUAGCAAAACUUCCCGCAAAAACAAAUGCGUACCAAACCAAUGUCGUCCGUGUGUACUCUUACAAAGUACAAACUGGUAAUUUGACCUCUGGUUGUUUGUUAGUAGAGGUCACUGUUCAUAUCUAAAAUUUAUAUUCGGAACGUUAGAAAUCACAACACAAAUCAAUGUCAUAUACUAUUGUCGUAUAGGUUCGUAGGGUAGGUACGUGUCUGUGUUUUUUUAUUUGCAUACGUUAAAAUAUGAGUGAAAAAAUUAGUUAAGUUUGUCGUGUUUGCAAAAUACAAUGCAGGUCUGACUAUCUACAUUUAUUCAAUAAUAAAUCUCUUUUCAAAUUUUGAAAUGGCACCAAAAUAACUAAGUCAAAUCAAAUCUGCCAACCCCUCCCUCAAGACUUCACACAAAAGUUCGUCUAUAUUUGUUCCAGAAAUGUCUGCAUGCCCGUUGGAUGUGCGGACGCGCGACAAAUUGGCAAUGAUGAAUCAGCAAUAGCUGCAUGCGCUAACGUGCAUACGUGACUUGAAUUUGUGCAAUGGCCGCAGAAUUCCAAGGUGGCAGCAACACCGAUGGUCAUGUGAGAGCAACUCCAACCAAACGACCUAAGCGGACACGUGUAACCCUUUUUUGUUUGGAUAUGUUCAACGCGUCGAUUCAUUUUUCACCCGCACGGUAGGCUUGCAGUCAUUUUUUGAUCACUCAAGAACCACACGAAAUUUAAUUCUAAAUUAACAAAUGUUCAACACAAAACAUUGCAUAAUUAAUUCAAGAAUUACAUAAAUAUCUCAUAGCUUAACAUUAAAUUGUCUCAAAGACAUUUAAAACAACAGGUUGCUGAUACAUCUAUUAGUUGCCGACAUGAAUUUACAUAUGCUCAACCAAACCAUUUUACAGCUGCAUGAAAAUCGAUGAAAUGUACAAAUGUUGCCGCUCCUCCAUGCUCAAACACAACAUUGCCAUCCUGAAACUGAAACCCUUGAACACAGAGACGUUCUGCGCGUUCAUCCUCUAUGAUCAUGUUGUGCACGAUCACACAAGUUGUCAUCAUCUCCCACAACUUUUUAGUGUUCCAAGUUCUAGCAGGAUACCGAACGAUGCCCGUCGAGAUUCCAGAACGUCAAAGGCACGCUCUACAUCCUUUCUAACACUCUUUCGCUCUUCGGCAAAUCUCUUUCUCUUCUCUCCUACGGGAUUGGAGAUUAUCUUCACAAGAGUAUACCAUUGUGGAUAGAUAACGUCACCUAGAUAGUAUUCAAUGUUCUAUUUGUGGCCAUUGAUCUCAACAUUGACCUCCGGGCAAUUGCUUUGUGCCAUCCUAUCAAACACCGGAGAGCGUUGGAGCACAUUGAUAUCACUGUGAGAUCCGGCCAUGCCGAAGAAAGAGUGCCAAAUCCAGAGAUCUUUGGAAGCCACGGCCUCAAGUAUGACAGUGCAAGCUCGUACAUGGCCCUUAUACUGGCCAUGCCAAGCAGAAGGGCAGCUUUUCCACUUCCAAUGCAUACAAUCUACCAAGCAUCCCCGGUAACCCCCCUGCAAGCAUUCAUUGCCAGCAAGCGUGUUGUAUCAGCAACUGUUGGUUCUCUCAAAUACUCCCGCCCAAACACAGCUAUGUGAGCUUUGCAAAACUUAUACGUGGACUCAAGGCAUGUGAACUCACUCAUCCGGGCAUACUCAUCAAUGAGAUCGUCGGGAACUCCGUAUGCAAGCAUCCGAAUGGCAACAGUGCAUUUCUAAUAAGAGGAGAAGCCAAUAUUUCCAAGGACAUCCGUCUUGCACUCAAAAUAGUUAUCGUACUCCACCACCCCCUCCUGAAUACGGUUGAACACAUGCCUAGCCAUAGGAACACAACAUCGAAACAUGUGAUGUUUGAAGAGCGGGUUUGUGGUCUCAAAUUAGUCCUUCCAAAGUAGGAAAUGACCACUCUCUCGGUUGCGAUUCAGUGUCGGCAUGUGCCCCAAUAUGGAGGCCCUAAAUAGCAGCCGCUCCAUACUUGGGUGGUCAUGGACGACCAACGUAGCUGCUAUGAUAUCCUCUUCAUCGGAUGAAGAAUCAUCUCACGAAGAACGUGGUAGAAAAAGAACUCAUCAUCGUUGUCCAUUUGUACCUUGCAGGUAAACUGUCGAACAACUUGCGGCCAUCAUGGAAGAAGCGAGCCGGUGAGGAGCCACACGCCCCACCGAGACAAAGUAGCAGAGUUGGGCGGCGGUGGGAGAUGAGGCUGCCAUGAGGGUGAGUCUACGGGCGGAUGGCUAGGAACGAGGACGGAAGUGGGCGGUGGCGGUGGUAGGCGGGGCAAACGGCUGAGUUGGAGGCGGAGGAGGAAGGGGAAAGUGACGUACGUGCCACUGACUCAUGGCCCAGUGUGAAGAGAAGGGAGGGUGACGCGAGCGUCCGUCCCAUGUCUGCGCCAACGCAAAUGCGGCCGAAAUUUCGGCCUGGAAUGGGUCGUGGGCGGACAAAAAAAUGAACAUGUGUCUGUUUGGGUCACCGCGUUGGGACGUGUUUUGUGUCCGCGAUGACCCAAACGGACACGGGCGGACGAAAUGGGUCGCCUGGUUGGAGUUGCUCUGAAUGUUUGUCUCACUGUGCAAUAGUUUCCCCUAAGACACAUUAUGCCAAUACUGCAUAAAUGAGCUACAACUAUAUUUAUAUCAUCUAAUAUUAAAAUGAGAAAAAUGAUAGGUGAAGAUUGGAUUGUGCAGAGAAGAUCUUAGAUUUAGAAAAAUCAAAAUAAAAGCAAAAUAUUUGCAUCAUCCAUUAAUUAAGAAGUUAAGAGUUGUUUUUCCAAACAAAAGAAAAAAAUAUUAUUGCAAAGCCACUACUCUCACGGCAUGAUGUUACUGUGCUUCGCGAUGGCGGUGACCCAGAGUGUAUCCUAGCUCUUGAUAUUGGAGAGGAUAUUGGAUGGGAGCGUGGACUUGAGACUAAAAACUAGCAUUUCGUUCACACCAAAUCGUCCAACAAACUAGCAUGGUUAGGGACGCCAUCACUUUCCGGUUGCUAGUAUUCUUCUCGGGCAUAUUGAUUCACCAGUCCUUGGUGGAACACUCAUCUAUCCAGUGAGAAGUGUUGAUGUGCACUAGGUCUAGCCAAGCCUUGAUCAUGCCCCAAAGCCUCAAGGUGAACCGACAUUUGAAGAAUAGAUGCUCACUGAUUCCUCUAUUUGCCUGCAUGGGGGACAAAGUCCACAAUUCGGCCAACCACGCCUCUUGAGUAUGUCCAUGGUCCAAAUUCAAUUUCAAAUAGCAAGCCACGCAAAUCAUUGACCCUGGGAGGAGCCCAAGUGUUCCAAAUCGCAUAGGCCAUGAGCGAGCGAGUGGUUUCGUGGAACUGUGCUUUGUAAGCUGAGGUGGCGUAGUAGGGGCCACUAGCCAUAUGCUUCCAAAUGAUGUCGUCAUGAGUGUAUUCCUGAAGGAGGAUCACAUGUAAACAAGCCCAUAGGAUCACAAUUUGCUGAAUGUUGCUCAUCCCCCAAUUAGUGGGGAGCUUGAUCUUAGACAGCCAAGUGCCUUGCAUGGCUUCCCUAACCUUCCAUUUAUUUCUCGUGGAUGCCUCAAAAAUGGGCGGUGCCAUGCCAAUAGGCCUUUUUCCAUUUUAUCCGAGGUGAGUCCUACAAAGGUGUGCGAGCCCCAUUUCCCAAGAUAAUGUUCGUGGAUGCGUAAAAGAGAUGUUGCUCAAGUUCGUCACAAGGGUUUUCUAAACCAACCCACAUCUUUGUUGGCUCCUGAUGACGAGAUGAUGUAUAUACUUCUCGCCCCUCGUUGGAUACCCCAAGUGGAAGGUGGAGAUGUAGUCAGCAGCAAAUUUCCCUUACACGGAGACUGUAAGGUUUAUCGAACCAGGAGGACUCCUAGGCUCAACAAGUAAGUGUCUUCCACCCUGGCGCUAGCAGAAGACGUGGACCUGCACACAUAACAAAUAAUUUUGCUCCCAAUAAGUACAAAGAGGUUGUCAAUCUCUCUGGCCUUUUAGUUUGCAAAUGAUCAAAACACAAGCGAGAAGGUAAUAAUGAUAGCAACGGAAAAGUAAAUGAAAGUGGUAAAUGAUGGAGGUGUAAACAAUGAUGGUGAUAUGGACCGGAGUCACAUGAUGUUCACUAGUGAUGUCUCUCUCCCAAAAGACGAUAAAAACUAUGCUAGGGUAAACAAAUGAUAGUUGGGCAAUUGAUAGAAUUAUGAUCGCACCGCAAUGGUAAUUAUGCUACUUGAUAGUUAGAGAUUCAAUAGUAAUGGGCAGUACGCCAAGACAAGUAGAUCGUUUAUUCAUCAGCAUCUACUUACUAAUCAUCCACCUUGAGAUAUUUAUCCAGAACAUCUCUCCGGUAUUAAGUUGCAAGCCCUACCCAAAGUGUAAACUCAAAGCAACGGACAACUGCAUUAACGAACUAUGCGUAAGGUAAACAAUCCUUUCAACCGUGGUCACAAGCACCGUUGUUUUCUCCCUGGUGGCAACAAGCACAUCCCCUAGUAUCAUGUUUCUGUCACUCAAGCUAGACAUCGAGGGGCCCGAACCCAGAAUCAUGCAUAAUGCUCCCUCUUGGAGUUACGAUCUACUACUUGGCCAAAGCAAUAAAAAGCAAUGGAGAACAUGCAAGAAUCACUACGGAACAAAAUAUAAAAGGACAAUCAAAUAUAUAACUCAUAACAAUCUAAACAUAAUCUCAUAAUCCAUCGGAUCCCAACAAACCGAGCAUAGCAAAAGCAAGAGGAUUACAUAGAUGCCUUCAUCAUGUAGGGCAGCUCACAAGGACUAACCAUUGAAGCACAAGAUUAGAGAGAAGACAUCACAUAGCUGCUGGUCAUGGACUCAUGGUCCAAGGAGGGCUACUCACGGCACGUCCGGGAAGCAUCCAUGGCGGUGGAGUAGCUUCCGGAGGUCAAUCCUCCCUCCGGAGGGUGCCGAGAAGAGGUCUCGUGACACUCUCGAUCUCAGAAGCGUUGCGGCAGCGGAACGAUGAAGAAAUUCGCGAUUCCAGAAAGUCUGCGAGGGUUUCCUCACGGAUCUCAAAAUAUAGGCCAAAGCAGGGCACCAUAGAAGGUGGGACCCACCCAGGCGACCUCNNNNNNNNNNNNNNNNNNNNNNNNNNNNNNNNNNNNNNNNNNNNNNNNNNNNNNNNNNNNNNNNNNNNNNNNNNNNNNNNNNNNNNNNNNNNNNNNNNNNAGACAAUAUUGGGCUGACCCCACCUACUUGGUGCGCCACCCCCAAGGUCCUUGGGCCCUCCCGGGUGGGUGGUCCCCCCUCCCGGUGAAGAUCCGGAACCCAUUCGUCAUUCCCGGUACAUUACCGGUAAUGCCCGAAAACCUUCCGGUAACCAAAUGAAGUCAUCCUCUAUAUCAAUCUUCGUUUCCGCACCAUUCCGGAAACCCUCGUGACGUCCGUGAUCUCAUCCGGGACUCCGAACAACAUUCGGUAACCAACCAUAUAACUCAAAUACGCAUAAAACAACGUCGAACCUUAAGUGUGUAGACCCUGCGGGUUCGAGAACUAUGUAGACAUGACCCGAGUGACUCCUCGGUCAAUAUCCAAUAGCGGGACCUAGAUGCCCAUAUUGGAUCCUACAUAUCUACGAAGAUCUUAUCGUUUGAACCUCAGUGCCAAGGAUUCAUGUAAUCUCGUAUGUCAUUCCCUUUGUCCUUCGGUAUGUUACUUGCCCGAGAUUCGAUCGUCAGUAUCCGCAUACCUAUUUCAAUCUCGUUUACCGGCAAGUCUCUUUACUCGUUCCGUAAUACAAGAUCCCGCAACUUACACUAAGUCACAUUGCUUGCAAGGCUUGUGUGUGAUGUUGUAUUACNCGAGUGGGCCCCGAGAUACCUCUCCGUCACACGGAGUGACAAAUCCCAGUCUUGAUCCAUACUAACUCAACGAACACCUUCGGAGAUACCUGUAGAGCAUCUUUAUAGUCACCCAGUUACGUUGCGACGUUUGAUACACACAAAGCAUUCCUCCGGUGUCAGUGAGUUAUAUGAUCUCAUGGUCAUAGGAACAAAUACUUGACANNNNNNNNNNNNNNNNNNNNNNNNNNNNNNNNNNNNNNNNNNNNNNNNNNNNNNNNNNNNNNNNNNNNNNNNNNNNNNNNNNNNNNNNNNNNNNNNNNNNAUAUCGUUACAAGUACAUGUACUGAAGAGAAGAGUUAUAUAAAGAGUUGGCUUACACUCGCCACAAGCUACAUCAGGGUCACAUCAGUACAUUACAUAAUCAUCACGAGUAAGAGCAGGGUCCGACUACGGACGAAAACAAACGACAAAAGAAGAACGACGUCCAUCCUUGCUAUCCCAGGCUGCCGGCCUGGAACCCAUCCUAGAUCGAUGAUGAAGAAGAAGAAGCAACUCCAAAUGAACAAACAACGCGCUCGUGUCAAGUACCCUUUACCUGUACCUGCAACUGGUGUUGUAGUAAUCUGUGAGCCACAGGGGACUCAUCAAUCUCAUUUCCAAAGGUAUCAAGACUAGCAAAGCUUGUUAGGUGAGGCAUGGUUAAGUGGUGAGGUUGCAGCAGCGGCUAAGCAUAUAUUCGGUGGCUAACUUACGAGUACAAGAAAAGAGGGGGAAGAUCUACGCAUAGCGGACGUGACUACUGAUGAUCAAAUGAAUGAUCCUGAACACCUACCUACGUUAGACAUAACCCCACCGUGUCCUCGAUCGGAGAAGGAACUCACGAAAGAGACAGUCACGAUUACGCACACAGUUGGCAUGUUUUUUUAAUUAAGUUAACUUCAAGUUAUCUAGAACCAGUGUUAAACAAACUUUCCACGUUGCUACAUAACCGCGGGCACGGCUUUCCGAAAGAUUUAACCCUGCAGGGGUGCUCCAACUAGUCCAUCACAAAUUACCACAAGCCGCAUAGAAAUCCUCAAUCACGAAGCUCGCGAUCUCGUCGGAUUCCCUAGUGGAAAACCUCAACUCUGAGAUUACCCAAAGCAUCACCGGAAUCCCGAUGCACAAGAUAUUCCGUCAAAGGUAAAACUAAUCCAGCAAGGCCGCCCGACGUGUCGACGAUCCCGAUAGGAGUCGCGUACCUCGUUCUCAGGACACGGCGGAUGAGCUAGACGUCGGGAUCGCUAAACCUCCGGGUGACCAGAGGGGCGCCGGACAUCGCUCAUGUGGGGCCAACACUCAUGAGGAGCACUGGCCCGGGGGUUGAUUAAAUAUCCUCGGGUUAAUUACUCCCUAUGCAGUUUGUUAGUUAUUAGGCAAAAGUAGUACCAAAGUUGGGCCCUGCCAGACCAGCUUUAAUCUAAAACGAAUUAUCAAGGGGGUCCCCAUAACAACCCCGAUCGUGUUAGGAGCGCUCGUUUAUGGAACAUAACACCGGUAGCCAAAACUAAGGGGGCAAAGGUGGAACAAAACACCAGGCUAGAAAGGCCAAGCCUUCCACCUUUUACCAAGUAUAUAGGUGCAUUAAAUUAAAUAGCAUUAAUAGGGUGAUAUGACAAGGAACCCAUGUUUUCACAUGGAAGCAUCUGCACCUGCAACUAGCAACGCUAACAACAGGGUUAAGCAAGCAGUAACAUAGCCAAUCAGUGGUUUGCUAGGUCGAACAGGUUGAAGGUAAUCAUGGCAUUGUUGAGAGGCUGAUAUGGAAACAUGUGGUAGGCAACGAGACAUAAACGGUAGCAACGAAAUAACUAGCAUGGCAAUGAUAGUAAUGGUAUCUGGGGAAAUGAUCAUCUUGCCUGAGAUCCCGCUUGGAAGAAGAACAACUCGGUGAAGUCAGCGAACCAACGUAGUCGAACGGGUCCUCACAUUCCGACACACUUGCGGAGCUCUAUCGAGACGGGCAAACCGGAAACAAACAUCAAUACAAGUAUUCACCACCACAAAGCGAGACAUGAUGCAACCCUAAUAUGAUGCAUGAACAGGUCAUCGAUGCACGGGAUGGCACGGCAAAACACCUCACACAUACACUACACAUUAAAUGAAGCUCGAUAUGCAACGGGUUGCAUAUCGACGAAACUCCACGUUUAAAAAUUUAAUUAACUCCCAUUAAUUAUCACGGCAAUAUUAAAUGUUGUUAACAUGGCAAGGGGUGUAGCGAUGAUCCUACCUGGCACCCUAGUCGGUUAUCAAACGGGGCACGGAACGUAGCUACGGCACGAGAGACAUGCAACACACGAUCAUAUGCCAUGAAUGCGUCAUGCAUGAGAGUUCAACACAUCACGACAAGGAGGGAAAUAAGCAUGGUGUCGCCAUGGCGAGCGAGAGGAAACCAUGGCGGUAAAUCGGAAACGAUGCCACGGCAACAUUCGGGUCCCGAUAACUCGAGGAGAAACCGGUGCCAACGUAUACGAACGCGUGCGGGAAUGGUAAAUAAAGAUGGGGUGAUCCCGUAUCUCGGGUUCCCAUGUGUCGAGGGCUCGACGAAAAGGAAGACGACGUGCACGGCAAAUAAACGGUGCAUACAUGCAUUCAACUUGUACAACACACACAUCCGUACAUCACUAGCACACGGUACACGACAUGCCCCAACGGUAUACCUUCGACGCGUGCGAAUCGGAGGGGUUCAGUCGAAGCGGACGUCGUGGUCGUCGUGGAAGUAGUCGUUCACGCGCCGGUAGUGGAGGUAGUGGUACACGGUCUCGUCGACGGUAGUCGUUCGCUCGGCGUCGUGGUUUCGAGGUCUUCGGCGUCGGUAGUCGAUCACGGGUCUUCUGGGAGGUCGAGGAAGUCGAACUCGCCUCCGGGGGUCGUCGAGGGCGUUGUGGAAGUCGGUCUUGUCGGUUCCAUGAAGGAGGGGUUGGUGCACACGGCGACGGCAAGCGACACAACAGCAACAUCAAACGUGCAUCGACGGCACAACGAAAAGCGGCUACAUCUAGCGCCAGCAGGCUUGGACUAGCAUCGGCAGCAAGCUAGCUAGCAAGCAUCAACUGCAGCUAGCACAUCGGGCAACAACAACCUAGCAGCAAUAUCAGCGAGGCACACAGGAGCACAAGCUCGGCAGCAACAAGCAUGACAGCUUGCAUAGCAGUAGCAGCAACACGGCNNNNNNNNNNNNNNNNNNNNNNNNNNNNNNNNNNNNNNNNNNNNNNNNNNNNNNNNNNNNNNNNNNNNNNNNNNNNNNNNNNNNNNNNNNNNNNNNNNNNNNNNNNNNNNNNNNNNNNNNNNNNNNNNNNNNNNNNNNNNNNNNNNNNNNNNNNNNNNNNNNNNNNNNNNNNNNNNNNNNNNNNNNNNNNNNNNNNNNNNNNNNNNNNNNNNNNNNNNNNNNNNNNNNNNNNNNNNNNNNNNNNNNNNNNNNNNNNNNNNNNNNNNNNNNNNNNNNNNNNNNNNNNNNNNNNNNNNNNNNNNNNNNNNNNNNNNNNNNNNNNNNNNNNNNNNNNNNNNNNNNNNNNNNNNNNNNNNNNNNNNNNNNNNNNNNNNNNNNNNNNNNNNNNNNNNNNNNNNNNNNNNNNNNNNNNNNNNNNNNNNNNNNNNNNNNNNNNNNNNNNNNNNNNNNNNNNNNNNNNNNNNNNNNNNNNNNNNNNNNNNNNNNNNNNNNNNNNNNNNNNNNNNNNNNNNNNNNNNNNNNNNNNNNNNNNNNNNNNNNNNNNNNNNNNNNNNNNNNNNNNNNNNNNNNNNNNNNNNNNNNNNNNNNNNNNNNNNNNNNNNNNNNNNNNNNNNNNNNNNNNNNNNNNNNNNNNNNNNNNNNNNNNNNNNNNNNNNNNNNNNUUAAAAUAAGCUCUUUUAACAAGAAGAUAAAAAUAACCCCUUUUCGAAAGAAUUAAUUAAAACCUCUUUAUUCAAAGAAUAAGUAAAAGCCUUUUAAAAGAGAAAAUAAAAUGGGAGGGUUUUUAAAAUGAAACAAACGGAGAGUAAAAUUAAAACCUAAGGUUGCCCCUACGUUUAAUAAAAGGACUUUUUAAAAGAAGACGAAUAUUUUGGAAGAGGGGUAAAGUUAGAAAUCUUUAGGAAAACCACAAAACAACUUAGGAGGGGAGAGGAGGGAAGAAGGUUUAGGUCGGCGGUGCAACGGGGUUUAGCGGUGGCUCUCNNNNNNNNNNNNNNNNNNNNNNNNNNNNNNNNNNNNNNNNNNNNNNNNNNNNNNNNNNNNNNNNNNNNNNNNNNNNNNNNNNNNNNNNNNNNNNNNNNNNUAGCGACCUAAUAUCAAAUAAGCUAUUUUCACCGGCAAGUUUGAAAUCAUAGUUGAGUUCUUUGAUUGCCCAGAAUGCUUUGUGUUCUAACUCAAGAGGCAAAUGACAAGCUUUUCCAUGGACCAUUUUAUAGGGAGACAUACCCAUAGGAUUUUCAUAAGGUAUUCUAUGUAGACCAAUUCUUUUGAGACCUAUUGACAAUUUUUUGUAAUAUCAAUUUUAUUUAUCUAUUGCUAAGUUCAACUUGUCCACUAGAUUGAGGAUGAUAGGGUGAUGCAAUUCUAUGGUUAACAUCAUACUUAGCAAGUACUUUACGGAAGGCGCCAUGAAUAAAGUGUGAACCACCAUCAGUCAUUAGAUAUCUAGGGACUCCAAACCUAGGGAAAAUAACUUCUUUAAGCAUUUUAAUGGAAGUGUUAUGAUAAGCAUUACUAGUUGGAAUAGCCUCUACCCAAUUAGUAACGUAAUCAACAGCAACCAAAAUAUGAGUAUACCCAUUAGAGGAAGGAAAUGGUCCCAUAUAAUCAAAACCCCAAACAUCAAAUGGUUCAACAGCAAGUGAAUAAUUCAUAGGCAUUUCUUGACGCUUACCGAUAUUACCAAUUCUCUGACAUACAUCACAAGAUAGAACAAACUUAUGGGCAUCCUUGAAGAGAGUAGGCCAAUAAAAACCAGAUUGCAAUACCUUGUGAGAAGUUCUAUCUCCUGCAUGAUGUCCUCCAUAAGCUUCAGAGUGACAUUUCUGUAGAAUUUUUGCCUAUUCAUGCUCGGGUACACAACGUCUAAUAAUACCAUCUACUCCUUCUUUAUAAAGGUGUGGGUCAUCGCAAAAGUAAUCUCUUAAAUCAUAGAAGAUUUUUUUUCUUUUGUUGGUAUGUGAAACUAGUUGGUAUAUAUUUGGCAACAAUAAAAUUAGCAUAGUCAGCAUACCAAGGUGUGUUGUGAGAAACAUUUAUUGCAGCUAAGUGCUCAUGAGGGAAACUAUCAUCAAUAGGUAGUGGGUCCUCAAGAACAUUUUCUAACCUAGAAAAGUUAUCAGCAACGGGAUUCACAACUCCUUUCCUAUUAGUGAUGUGUAAAUCAAAUUCUUGUAGUAAGAGAACCCACCUAAUGACUCUAGGUUAAGCAUCUUUCUUUUCCAUAAGAUAUUUUAUAGCAGCAUGAUCACUGUGAACAAUUACUUGGGAAUCAACAAUAUAAGAUCUAAAUUUAUCACAAGCAAACACAACUGCCAAAAAUUCCUUUUGAGUGGUAGCAUAAUUCCAUUGAGCACUGCCUAGAGAUUUACUAGCAUAAUGGAUGACAUUUAAUUUUUUAUGAACUCUUUGUCCUAGAACAGCACCAACAACAUAGUCAGUAGCAUCACAUAUAAUUUCAAAAGGCAAGUUUGAGCCAGGUGGUUGAACAAUGGGUGCAGUGGUUAAGGCCUUCUUAAGUGUUUCGGAGGCUUCUACACAAUCAUCAUCAAAAACAAAUGGAACAUCCUUUUGUAAAAGAUUUGUAAGAGGCAUAGAAAUUUUAGAGAAGUCUUUAAUAAACCUCCUAUAGAAACCAGCUUAACCAAGGAAACUAUGAAUACCGUUGAUAUCUUUAGGACAUGACAUUUUCUCAAUUGCACCAACUUUAGCUUUAUCCACCUCAAUGCCAUGUUCAGAAAUUUUAUGACCCAAGACAAUACCUUUAUUUACCAUAAAGUGGCACUUCUCCCAAUUCAAGACAAGAUUAGUUUUCUCACAUUUGUGCAAAACUCGAUCAAGGUUUCUCAAGCAAUCAUCAAAAGAAGUUCCAUAAAGAGAAAAAUGAUCCAUGAAAACCUCAACAAUCUUUUCACAAAAAUCAGAGAAUAUAGCAGUCAUACAUCUUUGAAAGGUAGCAGGUGCAUUGCAUAAACCAAAAGGCAUACAUCUAUAAGCAUAAGUUUCAAAAGGACAAGUAAAAGUGGUUUUCUCUUGAUCACAUUGUGAAACACGUAUUUGAGAGAAACCUAAAUAUCCAUCAUACGUCUAUACACUUUGGUUGUCUCUUGAUCACUUUGGGUGGUUUUCUCUUGAUCACUUUGGGUGGUUUUGUCUUGACCACAUUGUGGAUUCAUGCCCCCUGAUGUCUAGCUUGAGUGACAGAAACAUGAGACUAGGGGAUGUGCUGUUUCCACCAGGGAGAAAACAAUGGUGCGUGUAACCACGGUUGCAAGGAUUGUUUACCUUAUGCAAAGUUUGUUAAUGCAGUUGUCCGUUGCUUUGAGUUUACACUUUGGGUGGGGCUCGCAACUUAAUACCAGCGAGAUGUUCUGGACAGAUAUCUCAAGGUGGAUGAUUAAUGAGUGGAUGCUGAUGGAUAAACGGUCUACUUGUCUUGGCGUACUGCCCAUACUUAUGAGCCUCUAACUUUCUUGUAGCAUGAUUAGCAUUGUGGUGCGUUUAUAAUUUUGAUAAUUGCCCAACUGUAAUUCGUUUACCCAGCAUAGUUGUUUAUCGUAUUUUGGGAGAGAGACAUCAGUAGUGAACAUCAAGGGACUCUGGUCCAUAUUUCCACCAUUGUUUACACCUCCACCAUUUACUUAUUUUUUUUUACUUUUAUGUUGCAAUCACCAUCGCUAUUCCCGCUUGUGUUUGAUCCUUUGCAAACGACAAGGCCAGAGAGAUUGACAACCUCUCUGAACUCGUUGGGAGCAAAGUUAUUUGUUGUGUGUGCAUGUCCACGUCUUGUGCUAGUGCCAGAGCAGUAGACACCUACUUGUUGAUCCUUGGAGUCCUCCUGGUUCGAUAAACCUUACAGUCCUCAUGUAAGGGAAAUCUGCUGCUGACUACGUCUCAACCUUCCACUUGGGGUAACUGUGUUGGGGAACGUCGCAUGGGAAACAAAAAAUUUCCUACGCGCACGAAGACCUAUCAUGGUGAUGUCCAUCUAUGAGAGGGGAUGAGUGAUCUACGUACCCUUGUAGAUCGUACAGCAGAAGCGUUAGAGAAUGCGGUUGAUGUAGUGGAACGUCCUCACGUCCCUCGAUCCGCCCCGCGAACAAUCCCGCGAUCAGUCCCACGAUCUAGUACCGAACGGACGGCACCUCCGCGUUCAGCACACGUACAGCUCGACGAUGAUCUCGGCCUUCUUGAUCCAGCAAGAGUGACGGAGAGGUAGAAGAGUUCUCCGGCAGCGUGACGGNUGAUCUAGCAAGAGUGACGGAGAGGUAGAAGAGUUCUCCGGCAGCGUGACGGCGCUCCGGAGGUUGGUGAUGACCUUGUCUCAGCAGGGCUCCGCCCGAGCUCCGCAGAAACGCGGUCUAGAGGAAAAACCGUGGAGGUAUGUGGUCGGGCAGCCGUGAGAAAGUCGUCUCAAAUCAGCCCUAAUUGCUCCAUAUAUAUAGGAGGAGGGAGGGGGGCCUUGCCUUGGGGUCCAAGGACCCCCAAGGAGUCGGUCGAGCCAAAGGGGGGAGGACUCCCCCCCCCCAAACCGAGUUGGACUUGGUUUGGUGGGAGGAGUCCCCCUUCCUUCCCACCUCCUUCCUUUUUUUUUCUUUCCUCUUGAUUUUUCUUCUCUUGGCGCAUUGGGCACUUGUGGGCUGUCCCACCAGCCCACUAAGAGCUGGUGUGACUCCCCCAAUGCCUAUGGGCUUCCCCGGGGUGGGUUGCCCCCCCCCUCCGGUGAACUCCCGGAACCCAUUCGUCAUUCCCGGCACAUUCCCGGUAACUCCGAAAACCUUCCGGUAAUCAAAUGAGGUCAUCCUAUAUAUCAAUCUUCGUUUCCGGACCAUUCCGGNNNNNNNNNNNNNNNNNNNNNNNNNNNNNNNNNNNNNNNNNNNNNNNNNNNNNNNNNNNNNNNNNNNNNNNNNNNNNNNNNNNNNNNNNNNNNNNNNNNNCGUUGCGACGUUUGAUACACACAAAGCAUUCCUCCGGCGUCAGUAAGUUAUAUGAUCUCAUGGUCAUAGGAAUAAAUACUUGACACGCAGAAAACAGUAGCAACAAAAUGACACGAUCAACAUGCUACGUCUAUUAGUUUGGGUCUAGUCCAUCACGUGAUUCUCCCAAUGACGUGAUCCAGUUAUCAAGCAACAACACCUUGUUCAUAAUCAGAAGACACUGACUAUCAUUGAUCAACUGGCUAGCCAACUAGAGGCAUGCUAGGGAUGGUGUUUUGUCUAUGUAUCCACACAUGUAAAUGAGUCUUCAUUGAAUACAAUUAUAGCAUGGAUAAUAAACUAUUAUCUUGAUACAGGAAUUAUAAUAAUAACUAUACAUUUAUUAUUGCCUCUAGGGCAUAAUUCCAACAGUCUCCCACUUGCACUAGAGUCAAUAAUCUAGCCCUCACAUCACCAUGUGAAUUACAUUGUAAUAAAUCUAACACCCAUANNNNNNNNNNNNNNNNNNNNNNNNNNNNNNNNNNNNNNNNNNNNNNNNNNNNNNNNNNNNNNNNNNNNNNNNNNNNNNNNNNNNNNNNNNNNNNNNNNNNNNNNNNNNNNNNNNNNNNNNNNNNNNNNNNNNNNNNNNNNNNNNNNNNNNNNNNNNNNNNNNNNNNNNNNNNNNNNNNNNNNNNNNNNNNNNNNNNNNNNNNNNNNNNNNNNNNNNNNNNNNNNNNNNNNNNNNNNNNNNNNNNNNNNNNNNNNNNNNNNNNNNNNNNNNNNNNNNNNNNNNNNNNNNNNNNNNNNNNNNNNNNNNNNNNNNNNNNNNNNNNNNNNNNNNNNNNNNNNNNNNNNNNNNNNNNNNNNNNNNNNNNNNNNNNNNNNNNNNNNNNNNNNNNNNNNNNNNNNNNNNNNNNNNNNNNNNNNNNNNNNNNNNNNNNNNNNNNNNNNNNNNNNNNNNNNNNNNNNNNNNNNNNNNNNNNNNNNNNNNNNNNNNNNNNNNNNNNNNNNNNNNNNNNNNNNNNNNNNNNNNNNNNNNNNNNNNNNNNNNNNNNNNNNNNNNNNNNNNNNNNNNNNNNNNNNNNNNNNNNNNNNNNNNNNNNNNNNNNNNNNNNNNNNNNNNNNNNNNNNNNNNNNNNNNNNNNNNNNNNNNNNNNNNNNNNNNNNNNNNNNNNNNNNNNNNCCCCCCCCCCCAAACCGAGUUGGACUUGGUUUGGUGGGAGGAGUCCCCCUUCCUUCCCACCUCCUUCCUUUUUUUUUCUUUCCUCUUGAUUUUUCUUCUCUUGGCGCAUUGGGCACUUGUGGGCUGUCCCACCAGCCCACUAAGAGCUGGUGUGACUCCCCCAAUGCCUAUGGGCUUCCCCGGGGUGGGUUGCCCCCCCCCUCCGGUGAACUCCCGGAACCCAUUCGUCAUUCCCGGCACAUUCCCGGUAACUCCGAAAACCUUCCGGUAAUCAAAUGAGGUCAUCCUAUAUAUCAAUCUUCGUUUCCGGACCAUUCCGGNNNNNNNNNNNNNNNNNNNNNNNNNNNNNNNNNNNNNNNNNNNNNNNNNNNNNNNNNNNNNNNNNNNNNNNNNNNNNNNNNNNNNNNNNNNNNNNNNNNNUUGAGUAGUCCUCCUUACGCGCUAACCAAGCGUUCUUAACAUCCUGAUCAGCCGUAGCGGGUGGUUCAUCUCCUAGCGCAGCAUUAAGGACAUAAUCCUUCUUCCCAGCUUGUAAGAUAAGCUUAAGAUUACGAGCCCAGUCUACAAAGUUGCUUCCAUCAUCUUUCAACUUAGCUUUCUCUAGGAACGUAUUAAAAUUCAGGAUGACACUUGCGUGAGGCAUGAUCUACAACACAAAUAUAUUCAAAGUGGACUUAGACUAUGUUCAAGAUAAUUAGAGUUUAACUUAAUCAAAUUAUAUGCUAAACUCCCACUCAAAAAGUACAUCUCUCUAGUCAUUUGAGUGGUUCAUGAUCCACUUACACUAUCCCAAGUCCGAUCAUCACGUGAGUUGAGUAUAGUUUCAGUGGUAAGCAUCCCUAUGCUAAUCAUAUCAACUAUAUGAUUCAUGAUCGACCUUUCGGUCUCAUGUGUUCCGAGGUCAUGUCUGCACAUGCUAGGCUCGUCAAGCUUAACCCGAGUGUUCCGCGUGCGCAACUGUUUUGCACCCGUUGUAUGUGAACGUUGAGUCUAUCACACCCGAUCAUCACGUGGUGUCUCGAAACGACGAACUGUAGCAACGGUGCACAGUCGGGGAGAACACAAUUUCUUCUUGAAAUUUUAGUGAGAGAUCACCUCAUAAUGCUACCGUCGUUCUAAGCAAAAUAAGGUGCAUAAAAGGAUUAACAUCACAUGCAAUUCAUAAGUGACAUGAUAUGGCCAUCAUCACGUGCUUCUUGAUCUCCAUCACCAAAUCACCGGCACGAUCUUCUUGUCACCGGCGCCACACCAUGAUCAUCCAUCAGCGUGUUGCCAUCAGGGUUGUCGUGCUACUUAUUCUAUUACUACUAAAGCUACAUCCUAGCAAAAUAGUAAACGCAUCUGCAAGCACAAACAUUAGUAUAAAGACAACCCUAUGGCUCCUGCCGGUUGCCGUACCAUCGACGUGCAAGUCGAUAUUUCUAUUACAACAUGAUCAUCUCAUACAUCCAAUAUAUCACAUCACAUCAUUGGCCAUAUCACAUCACAAUCAUACCCUGCAAAAACAAGUUAGACGUCCUCUAAUUUUGUUGUUGCAUGUUUUACGUGGUGACCAAGGGUAUCUAGUAGGAUCGCAUCUUACUUACGCAAACACCACAACGGAGAUAUAUGAGUUGCUAUUUAACCUCAUCCAAGGACCUCCUCGGUCAAAUCCGAUUCAACUAAAGUUGGAGAAACCGUCACUUGCCAGUCAUCUUUGAGCAAAGGGGGUUACUCGUAACGAUGAAACCAGUCUCUCGUAAGCGUACGAGUAAUGUCGGUCCAAGCCGCUUCAAUCCAACAAUACCGCGGGAUCAAGAAAAGACUAAGGAGGGCAGCAAAACGCACAUCACCGCCCACAAAAACUUUUGUGUUCUACUCGAGAAGACAUCUACGCAUGAACCUAGCUCAUGAUGCCACUGUUGGGGAACGUCGCAUGGGAAACAAAAAUUUUCCUACGCGCACGAAGACCUAUCAUGGUGAUGUCCAUCUACGAGAGGGGAUGAGUGAUCUACGUACCCUUGUAGAUCGUACAGCAGAAGCGUUAGAGAACGCGGUUGAUGUAGUGGAACGUCCUCACGUCCCUCGAUCCGCCCCGCGAACAAUCCCGCGAUCAAUCCCACGAUCUAGUACCGAACGGACGGCACCUCCGCGUUCAGCACACGUACAGCUCGACGAUGAUCUCGGCCUUCCUGAUCCAGCAAGAGUGACGGAGAGGUAGAAGAGUUCUCCGGCAGCGUGACGGCGCUCCGGAGGUUGGUGAUGACCUUGUCUCAGCAGGGCUCCGCCCGAGCUCCGCAGAAACGCGAUCUAGAGGAAAAACCGUGGAGGUAUGUGGUCGGGCAGCCGUGAGAAAGUCGUCUCAAAUCAGCCCUAAUUGCUCCAUAUAUAUAGGAGGAGGGAGGGGGGCCUUGCCUUGGGGUCCAAGGACCCCCAAGGAGUCGGUCGAGCCAAAGGGGGGAGGACUCCCCCCCCCCAAACCGAGUUGGACUUGGUUUGGUGGGAGGAGUCCCCCUUCCUUCCCACCUCCUUCCUUUUUUUUCUUUCCUCUUGAUUUUUCUUCUCUUGGCGCAUUGGGCACUUGUGGGCUGUCCCACCAGCCCACUAAGGGCUGGUGACUCCCCCAAUGCCUAUGGGCUUCCCCGGGGUGGGUUCCCCCCCCCCUCCGGUGAACUCCCGGAACCCAUUCGUCAUUCCCGGCACAUUCCCGGUAACUCCGAAAACCUUCCGGUAAUCAAAUGAGGUCAUCCUAUAUAUCAAUCUUCGUUUCCGGACCAUUCCGGAAACCCUCGUGACGUCCGUGAUCUCAUCCGGGACUCCGAACAACAUUCGGUAACCAACCAUAUAACUCAAAUACGCAUAAAACAACGUCGAACCUUAAGUGUGCAGACCCUGCGGGUUCGAGAACUAUGUAGACAUGACCCGAGAGACUCCUCGGUCAAUAUCCAAUAGCGGGACCUGGAUGCCCAUAUUGGAUCCUACAUAUUCUACGAAGAUCUUAUCGUUUGAACCUCAGUGCCAAGGAUUCGUAUAAUCCCGUAUGUCAUUCCCUUUGUCCUUCGGUAUAUUACUUGCCCGAGAUUCGAUCGUCAGUAUCCGCAUACCUAUUUCAAUCUCGUUUACCGGCAAGUCUAUUUACUCGUUCCGUAAUACAAGAUCCCGCAACUUACACUAAGUUACAUUGCUUGCAAGGCUUGUGUGUGAUGUUGCAUUACCGAGUGGGCCUCGAGAUACCUCUCCGUCACACGGAGUGACAAAUCCCAGUCUUGAUCCAUACUAACUCAACUAGCACCUUCGGAGAUACCUGUAGAGCAUCUUUAUAGUCACCCAGUUACGUUGUGACGUUUGAUACACACAAAGCAUUCCUCCGGUGUCAGUAACUUAUAUGAUCUCAUGGUCAUAGGAAUAAAUACUUGACACGCAGAAAACAGUAGCAACAAAAUGACACGAUCAACAUGCUACGUCUAUUAGUUUGGGUCUAGUCCAUCACGUGAUUCUCCCAAUGACGUGAUCCAGUUAUCAAGCAACAACACCUUGUUCAUAAUCAGAAGACACUGACUAUCAUUGAUCAACUGGCUAGCCAACUAGAGGCAUGCUAGGGACGGUGUUUUGUCUAUGUAUCCACACAUGUAAAUGAGUCUUCAUUGAAUACAAUUAUAGCAUGGAUAAUAAAUUAUUAUCUUGAUACAGGAAUUAUAAUAAUAACUAUACAUUUAUUAUUGCCUCUAGGGCAUAAUUCCAACAGUCUCCCACUUGCACUAGAGUCAAUAAUNACUGAUGACCCACAAGUAUAGGGGAUCAAUCAUAGUCCUUUCGAUAAGUAAGAGUGUCGAACCCAACGAGGACCAGAAGGCUGUGAUAAACGGAUUUCAGCAAGGUAAUAACUGCAAGCACUGAAAGUAGCGGUAACUAGUGAUUGUGUAGCGAGGUGAAACGUAGCAAGCAAAGAGUAAUAAGUAACAAGUAGUAGCAACGGUGCAGCAAGUGUCCCAAUCCCUUUUGUAGCAAGGGACAAUCCUGAACAAAGUAUUAUAGGAGGAAAAACGCUCCCGAGGACACACGGGAAUUUUUGUCAUGCUAUUUCAUCAUGUUUAUAUGAUUCGCGUUCGUUACUUAGAUAGUUUGAUAUGUGGGUGGACCGGCGCUUGGGUACUGCCCUUACUUGGACAAGCAUCCCACUUAUGAUUAACCUCUCUCGCAAGCAUCCGCAACUACAAAAGAAUAAUUAAUACAAAGUCUAACCAUAGCAUUAAACUAGUGGAUCCAAAUCAGCCCCUCAUGAAGCAACGCAUAGACUGGGGUUUAAGCUUCUGUCACUCCAGCAACCCAUCAUCUACUCACUACUUCCCAAUGCCUUCCUCUAGGCCCAAAUAUGGUGAAGUGUUAUGUAGUCGACGUUCACAUAACACCACUACAGGAAAAACAACAUACAACAUAUCAAAAUACCGAACGAAUAUCAAAUUCACAUGACUAUUAUUAACAUGACUUAUCACAUGUCCUCAGGAACAAAAGUAACUACUCACAAGACAUAAUCAUAAUCAUGACCAGAGGUGUAAUGAAUAGCAUCAACGAUCUGAACAUAAACUCUUCCACCAAGUAAUCCAACUAGCAUCAACUACAAAGAGUAAUCAACACUACUAGCAACCUUACAAGUACCAAUCGGAGUUGCGAGAUGAAGAUUGGUUACAAGAGAUGAACUAGGGAUUGGAGAGGAGAUGGUGCUGAUGAAGAUGUUGAUGAAGAUGCCUCCCCUCCGAUGAGAGGAGUGUUGGUGAUGACGAUGGCGAUGAUUUCUCCCUCCGGGAGGGAAGUUUCCCUGGGAGGAUCGUCCUGUCGGAGCUUUAGAUUGGAUCUGCUCAAGUUCCGCCUCGUGGCGGCGGCGAAACCACGAAAAAGCUUCCUAUUGAUUAUUUUUUUCCAGACCAGGACGCUUCAUAUAGCAAAAUAUGGGGGCUAGUGGGCCUUCAGGAAGCCCACAAGUUUGCCCACCGCCACCAGGGGGUGGUGGCGGAGUGGGGGAUUGUGGGGCCCUGGUGGCCCCCCUCCGGUAGUUCUUUCACCCAGUAUUUUUAAUAUAUUCCAGAAAAAAUCCACGUAAAUUUUCAGGGCAUUUGGAGAUGUGCAGAAUAGUGGAGUAGGAUUUUCUCCUUUUCCAGUCUAGAAUUCCAGCUGCCUGAAUUCUCCCUCUUCAAAUAAACCUUGCAAAAUAAGAGAGAAAAGGCAUAAAUAUGGUACCACAAGUAAUAUAACAGCCCAAAAAGCAAUAAAUAUCAACAUGAAAGCAUGAUGCAAAAUGGACGUAUCAACUCCCCCAAGCUUAGACCUCGCUUGUCCUCAAGCGAAAACCAAGUUCCAUAAACAUGUCCACAUGUUGAGGGACGAAGGUGUCGAUAAAACAUAAUACGGACAUGAGGGCAUCAUGAUCACACAUAGAACAGCAAUAUAUCAUAAAUAUUCUUAUGGGGAAGUAACAAUUCCUUCACAAAGCAAAGCAUGAAGCAAAAACCUUACCGAGAAAUAACCAACAAUAGUCCAUAGUCAUUGAAGCAAUUGCAAUUUAUCACAACAUCAGAAAGAGUCAAAUAAGAGCUUGUAAGGCAAACCCACAUACUCAAUCAUCUCUUUUGUUUUCCACAAUUCUUACAACUCACGUGGUACUCAUGGUGUCAAAGUUUCAGCUGGACAUAGAGGAAGAUAGGGGCUUAUAGUUUUGCCUCCCAACCAUUUACCUCAAGGGUAAAGUCAACAACAAUAAAGCAUAAGUACUCAACUCCAAGUUGAUAUAUGAAUAUAGAUCUUUCCCAAGCAUGUGACGGUAGCCAAGGCAAAGGCAAAAAGGGAAUUGGUGAUGAUCACCAUGACUCUUACAAGGGUAAAAAGUAAAGGUACAAGAUAGGCCCUUCGCAGAGGGAAGCAGAGGUUGUCAUGCGCUUUUGAGGUUUGAAUGUGUGUCCUCUUAGUGCGGAGGAACGUCACUUUAUAUUGCCGCCUGUGAUAAAGAAUUUUAUUAUGCAGUCUAUCGCUUUUAUGUCUUCCUCAUCACAGGUUCGUACAAAGCUUAUUUUCCACACACUAAUAGAUCAUACAUAUUAGAGAGCAAUUUUUAUUGCUUGCACCGAUGACAACUUACUUGAAGGAUCUUAUUCAAUCCAUAGGUAGGUAUAGUGGACUCUCAUGGCAAAACUGGUUGGAGGUUUAUGGAUGCACAAGUAGUAUCUGUACUUAGUGCGGGAGUUUUGGCUAAUAUGAGGUGGAAGCAAUCGUCACAUGCUAAGGGAUCUCUAAUCAUAUAACAUUGUUUGGAACUAAGCAAGCACAAUUCAUUAUGUUGUCUUCCUUGUCCAACAUCUACUCCUAGGCAUGUAAUAGUUUGGUGAGUGCUCACAAUUGUAAAAAGUGUCUAAGAUGAUAUAUUUAUAUGUGAACCUCUCUUUCCUUAUUACUUCUUAUUAAUUGCAACAAUGACUGAGGUCUAUGUUGAUUUAUUCUCAACAAGUUUCAAUCAUCAUACGUGUCAUAAGUGAAGUUAUCACUUUCCAUAAGAUCGUCUCAUGAUCUUUCAUGCUAUCGUUCUUUUUCAUAAUAUUGAUCAUGGCACAAAGCAAAGCCCUUGACUAAGACACUCUUUAUUAUAUAGCUCGUAAGCUCAAAUACAUCGGGGGAGAGACAAAAGCAAAAGACUCAAACUAAAAACUAAAGACUUAUUCCUCUAAAAGAAGAAAUAAAACUGAAAAGGAAAGAACUAAAGCAAAGGUAAAAGCAAAAGAUAUAAAGGUGAUACGAUACCAGGGCAACUCCCCCAAGCUUGGCAGAAGCCAAGGGGAUUGCCCAUACCAAUGCUUAGUUGUCUUCCUUUGGUGNCGGUAACCAACCAUAUAACUCAAAUACGCAUAAAACAACGUCGAACCUUAAGUGUGCAGACCCUGCGGGUUCGAGAACUAUGUAGACAUGACCCGAGAGACUCCUCGGUCAAUAUCCAAUAGCGGGACCUGGAUGCCCAUAUUGGAUCCUACAUAUUCUACGAAGAUCUUAUCGUUUGAACCUCAGUGCCAAGGAUUCAUAUAAUCCCGUAUGUCAUUCCCUUUGUCCUUCGGUAUAUUACUUGCCCGAGAUUCGAUCGUCAGUAUCCGCAUACCUAUUUCAAUCUCGUUUACCGGCAAGUCUCUUUACUCGUUCCGUAAUACAAGAUCCCGCAACUUACACUAAGUUACAUUGCUUGCAAGGCUUGUGUGUGAUGUUGCAUUACCGAGUGGGCCCCGAGAUACCUCUCCGUCACACGGAGUGACAAAUCCCAGUCUUGAUCCAUACUAACUCAACUAGCACCUUCGGAGAUACCUGUAGAGCAUCUUUAUAGUCACCCAGUUANNNNNNNNNNNNNNNNNNNNNNNNNNNNNNNNNNNNNNNNNNNNNNNNNNNNNNNNNNNNNNNNNNNNNNNNNNNNNNNNNNNNNNNNNNNNNNNNNNNNCUGGCGCAGCCUAGGACCUGGCUGCGCCAGCAGGCCGCCUGGGAGGCCCCUAGCCCUCCUUCGGUUAUCCCGAAGCUUCUGUUUUGGUGAUAACAAGCAAGAGUCUAUAUCUAGUAUUGAAUUUAGCAAAGUAAGAACAUAAAGGUGCAAGACCUCUCGCUAUCCAUGACUCGAAUGUCUCCAAAUGGUGUUUGCGUGCAAGAAGUGGGAGAUGGGUCAGAGAUAAAAUAUUUUUUAAAUUGAGAACUCAAUCUACUAAACCUAACACUUAGUCUCCUUCGGAAUCUUAUCUUGACUCAUCCCGGGACCACUUGUCAGGCACAAGUCAAAAUGAUCCUCUCCCUUUCGACUUUGAGCACUCAUGCAAUGAAUGAGCAUAAGCAAGAUAUGUUGGCACUUAGGAUGGAAAAUAGAAUAAUGAUGGGGAAGGAAGACAAAAAGGUAUGAAAGGCUCACAUCAAUGAGGAUAACCAUAGGCGAGAGAAAGCCAAAUGAUAUAUAUUAUGUGAGGAGUAGGGAUUGCCAUGUAAGGGAUGCACAUAUGAGCUAAGGUAAGCUCUCCAAUGGAACUAGUGGGGGUGCAUCCAACUUGUUUGCGCAUGAAGACCUAGAGCUCAUUUGAGGAGGCUCAUAAUUGGAAUAUGCAAACCAAGUUCUUUAGUGUAAGGGUCCCCACAUAGUUAUGCAUGAAUAUAAUCUCUAUAUAGUACCAAUAUAACAAUGGAGUACGAGUGUGGAUCUUUCAAAAGGAAUAGUAGUGUUGCCCCUUUCUCUCUUUUUAUUUCUUUUUNUUUGUCCACUUUGGGAUCUUUUCCUCACUUAAGGGCAACACUCUAUGUUUUACAUGAAUAGAAAGAAAAAUCAUCACACUUUAUAAGAAGUACUCAACAUAAAGACAAGUGAAAACUAUCAUGAUGUAUGCAAAUGUAUGCCUCUGCCAGUGUAGCAGGAUAUGCAAUGAUACUAGCGCGUCACGUAGCAGUAUGAGGGCAUGGCCCAACUAUCAUGCGACUCUACGAUCAUGCAAAAGCAUGUAUGACAUGAAGAUCAAGUCAUGAGAUGAUGGAUGUUACAUGGCAAUGUAUCUCGGAAAGGCUAUGGAAAUGCCUUAAUAGGUAGGUAUGGUGGCUGUUUUGAGGAAAGAUAUAAUGAGGCUUAUGUAUGACAGAGUGUAUCAUGUCAUGGGUUUGGAUGCACCGGCGGAGUUUGCACCAACUCUAAAUGUGAGAAAGGGCAAUGCACGGUACCGAGGAGGCUAGCAAAAUAUGGAUGGUGGAAGUGCCAAAAGUCGAAUACUCACAUUAGUCCGAAGAACUCAUACACUUAUUAUCGGUAACUAUCUAUGUAGUUAGGAAAUUCACAAAGAGACAAGUACCCCGAGGAGGAUUUGGGGGUUUGGUUAUCCUUGCGCAUCCUCGACUCAUGGUGACGUGAGAGUUCUCAACUAAUUUUUAGUUUUUAAAAAACACACGGACUUCCCAAAAUACGACACCUAUCACUAAUAGGCUUAAGCUCUUGGCAGCAAUAGUCCAAACAUUACUCAAACCAAUACCUCAAAACUAUUGCAAGUUACUACUAUACUUAAAUAGCAACCUCAAUUACCUACUCAUGCAAGACACACAAAUUAGUGCAACAAGCCAACUCUCUAAACAAGAUAAGCAUGAUAACUCAAGAGAGUUCCAAAAUCAACCUAAGUAAAAGCUCUAAAAAAGAUAAGCAUCAAAGCUAAGAGCUAAGUAUGACAGUAGCUAUGAAAAUAUGAAGAACACACAAAAAGAAUAAGCAUGAAAACUUAUGUUGUAUUCUAGAGUGGAAUGGAGCGUGUGUCUCUCGCAAACAAGGUAGGCUAGGUUUUGACUUGCUAUGACCAGCAAACUAAACUAAAACAAAACUAAAAAGCNGCAGGAUGCUCCAAGCAUAGCACAUAUCAUAUGAAGUGAUAAAAAUAUAGCAUGGAGAUGGACGACCUGAUGAUUGUUGAUAGAGAAGGGGAUGCACGGGGGUGCUGCGGCAACAAAAGACCUUCCCCGGCAGUGGCGCCAGAGAUCCUUCUGCUGCUGGCUACGCCUACAGGUACUUCCUUGGCAAAUAUGCAAAGGAUUCCCCCGCGGCCUUGGAGCCUUGCGUUGGUGUUCCCUUGAAGAGGAAAGGGUGAUGUAGCACUGCGGCAGUAAGUAUUUCCCUCAGUCUGAGAACCAAGGUAUCGAUCCAGUAGGAGGAUCGCGUCAAGUCCCAAGUACCUGCACAAACACAAAGAGCUUGCACCCAACGCUAUGAAGGGGUUGUCAAUCCCUUAUAGAUUGUUUGCAAAGUGAGAACUGGAAGCAAAAAGUAAACAAAGCAAAGUAAAAGUGAAAGCUGAGAUGAUAGUUGUGAAUAGACCCGGGGGCCAUAGUGUUCACUAGUGGCUUCUCUCAUGAAAGCAAGUAGAUGGUGGGUGAACAAAUUACUGUCGAGCAAUUGAUAGAACCGCGCAAAGUCAUGACGUUAUCUAUGGCAAUGAUCAUCAUAUAGGCAUCACGUCCAAAACAAGUAGAACGAUACUUUCUGCAUCUACUACUAUUACUCCACACGUCGACCGCUAUCCAGUGCAUCUAGUGUACUGAGUUCAAAAGAACAGAGUAACGCCUUAAGCAAGAUGACAUGAUGUAGAUGGACAAUCUCAAAUCUAUGAUGAAAGCCCAUCUUGUUACCCUUGAUGGCAACAACAUGAUGCGUGCCUUGCUGCCCCUUCUGCCACUGGGAAAGGUCAUCGCACGGUAUGUACCCAAAACCAAGCACUUCUCCCAUUGCAAGAAUCAUAGAUCUAGUUGGCCAAACAAAACCCAAGACUCGGAGAGACUUACAAGGAUAUCAAAUCAUGCAUAUAAGAAAUCAGCAAAGACUCGAAUAUAAUUCAUAGAUAAUCUGAUCACAAAUCCACAAUUCAUCGGAUCUCGACAAACACACCGUCAAAGAAGAUUACAUCGGAUAAAUCUCCAUGAAGAUCAUGGAGAACUUUGUAUUGAAGAUCCAAGAGAGAGAAGAAGCCAUCUAGCUACUAACUAUGGACCCGUAGGUCUGAAGUAGACUACUCACGAGUCAUUAGAGAGGCGAUGAUGUUGAUGUAGAAGCCCUCCAGCUCCAAAGUCCCCUCCGGCAGGGCACCGGGAAGGGUCUCCAGAUGAGAUCUCGCAGAAACGGAAGCUUGCGCGACGAAAAAGUGGUUUCGUGGAUGCCCUGAUUUUUCUGGGAUUUUAGGGAAUAUAUAGGCCAAAGAGCUAGGGCAGGGGACCUCCAGGGAGGCCACAAGCCUGGUCGCCGCCCCCCCCCCCCCCCCCCCCCCCCCCCCCCCCCCCCCCCCCCCCCCCCCCCCCCCCCCCCCCCCCCCCCCCCCCCCCCCCCCCCCCCCCCCCCCCCCCCCCCCCCCCCCCCCCCCCCCCCCCCCCCCCCCCCCCCCCCCCCCCCCCCCCCCCCCCCCCCCCCCCCCCCCCCCCCCCCCCCCCCCCCCCCCCCCCCCCCCCCCCCCCCCCCCCCCCCCCCCCCCCCCCCCCCCCCCCCCCCCCCCCCCCCCCCCCCCCCCCCCCCCCCCCCCCCCCCCCCCCCCCCCCCCCCCCCCCCCCCCCCCCCCCCCCCCCCCCCCCCCCCCCCCCCCCCCCCCCCCCCCCCCCCCCCCCCCCCCCCCCCCCCCCCCGACCGCGGCGUCAGGGCUUGUGGGCUCCCUGUGGGCCUCCUGCCUUGGCCCUCAAGUCCCCCGAUCUUCUUCUGUUCUGGAAAAAUUUAUUUCGGGGAUUUUAUUCCGUUUGGACUCCGUUCCAAAAUCAGAUCUAGAAAGAGUCAAAAACACACGAAAAACAUGAACUGGCACUUGGCACUGAAUUAAUAAGUUAGUCCCAAAAAAGAUAUAAAAGGUAUAUAAAACAUCCAAAGUUGACAAGAUAACAACAUGAAACCAUCAAAAAUUACAGAUACGUUUGAGACGUAUCAAGCAUCCCCAAGCUUAACUCCUGCUCAUCCUCGAGUAGGGAAGUGAUAAAGAAUGAAUUUUUGAUGCUUUCAUGCUACCUAGCAUAGAUGUCCUUUCUAACUCCUCUUAUGUGACCUGAAUGUUCAGAUCCGUUAGAUUCAAAACAAUAGUUUGCUAUUGACGUGGAGACAGUAAUACUUCAAGCAAACUAGCAAGGUAAUCAUGAACUUUCAAAAUAACAAGGCCAAAGAAAGUUAUCCUUACAAAAUCAUAUAGUCUGGCUAUGCUCUAUCAUCCUUGCACAACGGAUUUAAAUCAUGCACAACCUCGGUAUUGGCCAAGUAAUUGUUUUCACACCUUUACUUUCUCAAACUUUUUCAACUCUCACGCAAUACAUGAGCGUGAGCCAUGGUUUUAGCACUAUAAGUGGAAUGGAGUGUGAUGGAGGUUGCAAGGUAAACAAGGAGAAGAUGGCCACAUUGACUAGGCAUAUUAAUGAGCUAUGGAGAUGCUCAUCAAUAGAUAUCAAUGUGAAUGAGUAGGGAUUGCCAUACAAAUGAUGCACUAGAGCUAAGAGUAUGUGAAAGCUCUUAAAGAAAACUAGUGGGUGUGCAUCCAACUUGCUUGCUCACGAAGACGUAAGGCAAUUUUGAGGAAGCCUGUCAUUGGAAUAUACAAGCCAAGUUAUAUAAUGAAAAUUUCCCACUAGCUAUAUGGUGGUGACAAAACGAGAGACUCUCAAUCAUGAAGAUCAUGGUGCUUAAUAAGCACAAGUGUGGAAAGAUAGUAGCACUGUCCCUUCUCUCUUUUUCUCUCAUUUUUUGGUGGGCUCUUUGGCCUCUUUUUUUAUGGUGGGCAUCUUUGGCCUCUUUUUGUAAAUGGGCUUCGCUGGCCUUUUUUAUUUCCUCACAUGGGACAAUGCUCCAUCAAUGAUGAUCAUCACACUUACAACUCAAAACUUAGAGCAAUGAUGACUCUAUAUGAAAUGUCUUCGGUAGUGUACCGUGACAAUGAUCUAGCAUGGCAUAGACAUCAAUGGAAACAUCAUGCUAGCUAUCUUAUGAUCAUGCAAUGGCAAUGUAGAAGUGGUGGCACAUGUCAUGGUGGUAGUUGCAUGGCAAUAUAUCUCGGAAUGGCUUUGAAAAAGCCAUAGUAGGUAGGUAUGGUAGCUGUUUUAAGGGAGGCUAAUGGUGGGUUUUAUGCACCGACGAAAGUUGCACGACACUAAAGAAGAUAGUGAUGGUGGAAGGUGAAAGUGCAUCUAAACCAUGGACUCAACAUUAGUCAUGAAGAACUCAUAUACUUGUUGCAAAAGUUUUAGUUAUAAUCGAAACAAAGCAUUCAACGCAUACUCCUAGGGGAAGGGUUGGUAGGUAUAAACCAUCGCGCGAUCCCGACCGCCACACAAAGGAUGACAAUCAAUAAACUAAUCAUGCUCAGACUUCAUCACAUAGCGGUUCACCAUACGUGCAUGCUACGGGAAUCACUAACUUCAACACAAGUAUUCUAUAUCCACAACACCUUACUAGUAUAACUUCAAUAUUACCACAACCACAACUCAAAACUAAUUGAGAUGAAUCAAACUUCUCUAACUACUCAAUGCACAUGAAGGUGGAAGUUUUCAUAUCCCUUUGGAUAGCUGCCCCUUUUGAGACUACUUUCAUAGCAUAGAUCAACUACCACGCCACGCGCUUCCGUGCUCUAAAAUAUAGAAUUGAAAUACAAAGAGCAAAAUCAACUAGCUCAAAAGAUAUAAGUGAAACACAUGUGAGCUGAAUUGUCUAACCAAAGGAUAUAAGUGAAGCUCGACAAAAUCACGGUGAGUGCAUGUCUCUCUCUCUAGCUGUGCAGCGAGGAAGAUUGUGACACAACAAAAAUAAAAGACUCCUACGAUACAAGACACUCCAAGCAAAAUACAUAACAUGUGGUGAAUAAAAAUAUAGCCCCAAGUAACGUUACCGAUGGAUUGAAGACGAAAGAGGGGAUGCCUUCCCGGGGCAUCCCCAAGCUUUGGCUUUUACGGAAUCCUUUAAUCAACUUGGGGUGCCUUGGGCAUCCCCAAGCUUGAGCUCUUGCCACUCUUUAUCUCUAUGUCCAUAAGAACUUCACCCAAAACUUGAAAACUUCACAACACGAAACUUAAACAGAAAGUCGUGAUAACAUUAGUAUUAGAAAGCAAACCACCACUUCCUUAGGUACUGUAGCAAACUUAAAUUCUACUUAUGUUGAUCUUGGGUUACUGUAUUUUCAAUCUUCCAUGGCUAAUACCCCCCGAUACUAUCCAUAGUUUCAUCAAAAUAAGCAACCAACUCAACAAAAACAGAAUCUGUUAACAGCAGACCAGUCUGUAGCAAUCUGUAAACUUCGUAUACUUCUGGUACUUCAAAAAUUCUGAACAAUUACGACAGUUUGAAGAAUUUGCGUAGCAAUCAGCAGCAAACAGAAUCAACUCAAAACCUCUUACAGAAAAAAAAUGAAAAUUAUUUUCAUGAGCAGAAAGUUUAUGCCUUUUCUAGCAUGACCAAACGAUCAUCCCCAAGACUAAUCAUAACGGUUUUACUUGGCACAAACGCAAAAGAAACACAAAAACACAAUCAUAACAUAAUUAUGCAGGUGUGUAAAACACAAAACAGCAAGAAAAAGGAUAGAUUCGUUGGGUUGCCUCCCAACAAGCGCUAUUGUUUAACGCCCUUAGCUAGGCAUUGAAUGAUGCUCUCUCAAAAGACAAGAAUUGAAGCACAACGAGAGCAUCCUAAACCAUGUGAAAAUCACAUCUAAGUCUAACAUACUUCCUAUGCAUAGGCAUUUUAUAGGAAAACAAAUUGUCAAGACAACCAAUAGCUGCCAUAUGCAAGGAAGAAUAAAGAGACAAGAGCAAUCUCAACAUCACGAGAGGUGCUUUAGUAACAUGAAAGUUUCUACCACAAUAUUUUCCUCUCUCAUUACAUGUGGGAUCAUAUUCGAAUUCAACGAUAUAGCUAUCACAUAGGAUAUUCUUUUCAUGAUCCACAUGCAUGCAAAGUUGACGCUCUUCAAAAAUAGUGGGAUUAUCAUCUAAAGUCAUGACUUCUCCAAACCCACUUUCAAUAAUAUUGCAAAUAUCAUAUUCAUCUUGAGGCUUGAACAAAUUUUCAAGAUCAAAAGAAAAAUCAUCACCCCAAUCAUGAUCUUUGCAACAAGUAGUGGACAUAGAAAAACUAGCAUCCCCAAGCUUAGGGUUUUGCAUAAUUUUAGCAUGAUUGUCACUAAUAGAAUUUGUAGUGAAACCAUUGCAAUCAUGCUUUUCAUCCAAGGAGCCCUUGUGAAUCACUUCGUAAAUUUCUUCCUCACAAUUUCCAGAUUCACGCAUCUCAAGCAAAACUCCAUAAAGAUAGUCAAGUGCACUCAACUCACUAGCAAUUGGAUCAACAUAAUUGGAUCUCUUAAAGAGAUUAGCAACUGGAUGAGGAUCCAUAUCACUAGAUUUUUAGCAAGCGAAGAUGCAAGCACAUUGAAGGCACAUGGCACACAAGCGAACAGAGACCAGGCGAGAAAAAGGGCGAAAUAAAAGGCGAAAGAAAAAGGCAAAAGAAAAAGGAAAAUUGGUGGAGUGAGGGAGAGGAAAACGAGAGGCAACUGGCAAACAAAGUAAAUGCAAGAGCUGAGUUUGCGACACCUACUUGGAUGAGUUCUUGACUUGAUCUCUCCCCGGCAACGGCACCAGAAAUCCUUCUGCUGCGACAACAAAAGACCUUCCCCGGCAGUGGCGCCAGAGAUCCUUCUGCUGCUGGCUACGCCUAGAGGGACUUCCUUGGCAAAUAUGCAAAGGAUUCCCCCGCGGCCUUGGAGCCUUGCGUUGGUGUUCCCUUGAAGAGGAAAUGGUGAUGUAGCACUGCGGCAGUAAGUAUUUCCCUCAGUUUGAGAACCAAGGUAUCGAUCCAGUAGGAGGAUCGCGUCAAGUCACAAGUACCUGCACAAACACAAAAAGCUUGCACCCAAUGCUAUGAAGGGGUUGUCAAUCCCUUAUAGAUUGUUUGCAAAGUGAGAACUGAAAGCAAAAAGUAAACAAAGCAAAGUAAAAGUGAAAGCUGAGAUGAUAGUUGUGAAUAGACCCGGGGGUCGUAGUGUUCACUAGUGGCUUCUCUCAUGAAAGCAAGUAGACGGUGGGUGAACAAAUUACUGUCGAGCAAUUGAUAGAACCGCGCAAAGUCAUGACGUUAUCUAUGGCAAUGAUCAUCAUAUAGGCAUCACGUCCAAAACAAGUAGACCAAUACUUUCUGCAUCUACUACUAUUACUCCACACGUCGACCGCUAUCCACCAUGCAUCUAGUGUAUUGAGUUCAAAAGAACAGAGUAACGCCUUAAGCAAGAUGACAUGAUGUCGAUGGACAAUCUCAAAUCUAUGAUGAAAGCCCAUCUUGUUACCCUUGAUGGCAACAACACCAUGUGGGGACCCCGACUAGUAAGUCGAGAUCGCCGUGCCCAGUGAUCCCAAGGAUAAAUGCUCACUGAACACAGAUACUGAAUAAUAGAGUCUUACAUCCAAAUACCGAAUAUUACAUCAAAUGGCCGAAGGGUCAGGUUCACAAGCAGGGCCUAAGGCCAAUUAAAACGGGUACGACGGGUAGCAGAAACUCAUAAGGGCUAAGCGGGUGCCCAUGCCAUCAAGCCUACACCGACAGGCGUUCUGACUUGGAAGCGUCCUAGAUCGCAGGUCCGUCUCCGAUGACGUACUCAUCGCCAAACUCCGGUCCUUCCAUGUCUGGUCAAUAAUAUAACCAGUGGCAAGCCAAUGAGUACUUUGAAUGUACUCGCAAACAGCCCAUGAUAUGAAUAAUGAAAGUGAAGUACAACAAUAACAUGCAGCUUUGAUGAAAUUCAACUUGGGGGGAUGAUCAUGUAUAUGCAUCAAGCUAAAGAAUUACUCUUGAAGGACAGGUUACAGAUGCCAUCGCAUCUGUCAAGGGCUGAACACUCCGGGUUCCCCCUAUAUGCCAAGUCACCAAACUUGGUCAUAUCAAUUCAUCUUGUAACACCAAUUACCACACAUACACACACACUCACACUUGGUUUAUGCGGAAACACUGGACGUAGUUUAAGCAGGAUUACCCAACUGUCCUUGACCGUGGACACGGCUAUUCGAAUAGUUUGACACUCUGCAGAGGUUGCGCGUUGUACCCACGAGAACCGGGAAACUUCUGUGUCAUCCACGACUCGCGGUAUAUCACAUAUACCCGAGGUAAGUACCCGAUCAUUAUCUUUCCCCUAACGAUACUAGACAAAGAGGUCCACUCGAUUGGUACCCAGCCCACAUGUUGUACGUCUUACGAGCACCGACUCUGGACAGUAUCAACCAUGCGGGGACCAACGGUGUGCCUGGAACUCGUAAAAAUGGCAUAGUCGCCCUUCCUGGCACGACCCCAUCACGAGAGUGACGACAAUCCCCCCCGCCACUAGUAAUGUGGUUCUUUGCUAGUACCGACCAGAGUAAUCAACAGAGCCCCGUCCCAUAAAGGGGUAACGUGGUCGCACAGGUGAGGUUGGGACGGUCGACACAUCAUAAAUCUAAUCCCAUUUCCGAAACCAUACUCACACAAAACACCGGUGCACCACUUCACCAAAAGUGGCCACCCAUCUCAUCAUCACCCUCGGGCAUUAGUGGCACCCGACGAGGUUUUUCAUAAACCUUUGAUUUAACUCAUCAUCAUGCUCUUGCAAUGGUUCUCUAACUCUACUAGUCAACAUGAUAGUAGCAUGAUCCUCAUAGAUGGUAGGAUCAAGCUCAUCAUGCUUGUGCUCCGAGGAGCCAUAUGUAUAACAUUACCAUCAUGCAAGUGCUUCGAAGAAGCCUUCGGUACCAUCACACCAAUGAUGAACCGGCACUAUGAUCACAUGCAACGGAAAAGUACUUGCUAUUCUAGCAUGCAUCCAUUCAUAUGCUCAAGUCAUGGUAAAAGGGCUGCUUGCCUUGGUCAGCUAGGUAUCCAGGGUCUUCGAGGUCUUUCGCUUCGAAUCCUUCGUCACUCGGUAAUUCUAUCGUCGAGAAUAGAAUAAAUAAGAAAUAGCUCACACAAAAAUAGAUCACAAAUCACUUUUAAAAAUGUUGCAAAACUUGGUUAAAUUCAGGUUGUUAAUUUGAAAAAAUAUCUUCUCUUAGUUUAAUAGCUAAUCAUUUUUAAUAAUUACUAAACAGGGGCAAACUAUUGCCUUUAAUGCCUUUAUAUUAUUAUAAAACAGAUUCUGUUUUUGAAAAAUGUCAACAAUGGCAGAAUCAAAUACUACUCAUUUUUAGAAAAAUAUCAGUGGAAGAAUUAUAUUUUUCCACUGGGUAGUUAUUUUUACAAAAAUCAUUUCAGUCUUUGUUUUAAAAAUAAAAGAAAAAGGCCAAAGCCUGGCCUGGGAAGCAGGCCGGUCCGGCCAGCUAGCAGGUUGCCAGGCACGCGCGCGCGCCAGGUUUGAACCUGACGUGCGGGCCCCUGGGGUCAGUGGCUGCGCGCGGGGCUACUCUAGGACGCCGACAGGUGGAGCCCACCUGUCGGGUUCUUCCCCUACCUCCGGCCAGGGAGGAGGAGAUGAACUCCGACGAGGCUACCGUCGUCCUUAGGCCUAGCUAAGGGCAGGAAUGGGUGCAGCAUGCCUCCGCCUACCUGCAGGUGGUCGGGACAGUGCGGAGAGGCUCGGAGUCGCCGGCAACGAGGUGGCCGUGGCGGAGGGGUUUCGAGACGUGGUUGAACUGGUAGCUAGGGGCCCGGAAUCGCUCGGGGCAGUUGGGGGAAAGGUUCCUCGUGUCGAGGGGGGUGCUCUGGUAGUUCGAGUGUCGCAGGAGCCAGCGUGUAGCCGGAGAUCGACCGGAGCUCCGAGGCGGAGGGGCCUCGGUCGAUCUCGAGCACCGGGGCUCUGCGAGCUCGAUUGGGUGGCUAGGGAGGAGCUAGUGGUCGUGCAGAGGCUGCUGGAGGGGUGCUGAGGCGCCGGGGAGGCCUAUUUAUAGGCUCGCGACGAUGAGCCAACUCGGUGCGCCGGUGACUCACCAUGGCACGCGUGCGUGCACAGUGAGGAGUUGGCUGCGAAACCACGGUCUCCGGACGUGGUUUGGGACGCUCUGAAGCAUCGGCCGCAGAGGGAGAAGGCGUGGGGUCGAGCUGCAGCGUCUGUGCAUGCUCGGCCGAGUCGGGUGCGGGCGGGCACGCGUCGCCCGAGCUCUAGCGCGGGAGAGUAGGGUCCCUGGCAGCUGCUUUACACAGAGGGGUUGUCGGGGGAGGUUUUGGACACUUCGGGGGAGGUUGGAACCGGCCGGGAGCGUCGUCCCCUUCUCGGUGGCUCCCUGUAGCGCGUCCAGAGCGCAGUUUUGGCAUGCCACGGCAUGCUGGCGCGCUCUUGGGCACUUUAGACGUGUCCCUCAUGUCCUGGGUGUUGCUGGGAGUGUUUCUAGCCGUUGUGUGCUAGUGAGAGCACUAUCUGGUCAAGGGGGACAGCUUUCACUAGUGCUGUCAGCCCUGAUCUGUGGCACAAAUUGGGGUUCUUGUCACUUGUGCUUUGAACUAGGGAGGGGCCAGUUGACUGGGUAUUUAGGUUGAUCUGAGGCACUAAUACACCAAGUUUGAGGCUUUCCCAUUGGGUAAAACAGUGGCUAGGUGGGUUUUUACCUUCCAGUCAGAAGGUUUUCGAUAGUGGUUUGGGGUGCUUCCACUCCACCACUGGAACUGCAACUUAACAGGUUUGGUCUUGGGGUUAAAGUAGGGGUUUUCACCAAUUUUGAGCUCCAUUGAACAAGUUUAGCUUUGUAAACUUGAAAAUGCAUCAAAGUGGCCAGAUCUGUCCCCUCCAAAGGGAGUGUGACUAAACAGAGUCUUACAAAUCUCAUUUUUGGUGUGGAGUCCUCAUUUGAGGUGCCAAACACCCCUACAAAGUUUCAGCCCCAUUGGACAAACUUUUCUAUGUAGAGUUGUUCCAACUCUAUUCUGGACAGAGAGGGUUUUAGGCUCAUUUGGUGAUCUUCCCCACCUUGGAUCAAGGUGAGAUUUUAUGUGGGCACCAAAUAUGGCUUGGGGAGGCUCCUGUAAUUUAAUGGGAUUUUAUUGAGAGUAUUUUCUUUGGAAAUAUCUAAAAAGGUUAAAACAGACAGGAAUGGUUUUCAGGGUUUUAUUCAAAUAAUUAUAAUAUAAAAUAGGAUUGAAAAUAUUAUAUAUGGAAAAUAUAUGUCCUUCUGAGUUUCCAUGAUUUUACUCAGAAUUUUAUAAGGAAGAGAAGCAUUUUUCCUUGUGGGAAUAUCAUUCCUGUCCUUAGAAACAGACAUGUAUUUAAAAUAGAAAAAAUAAUGUUUUAAAUCAUUAAUCAAUGUUUUUGGUAAAUAAUAAUAGUAUUUGAGUUCAGAUCACCAACUUUGGUUGGGAGUUCUACUAGGCAUCAUGAGCUAGUAGUGUAACCCAAGCAAGGUAGUGGUGAUCUCGUGUUAAAGAAAAAGAGUUUUGGAAAUCCAUUUAAAAAUAAAUUUAUUAUGGGUUUUGGACCAACAAGCACACAAGCAUACAUUCAUACAAGGCAUUCAUAGCAUUCAUAACAUCAUUAGGAAAAGUUUUAACAAGCUCUGAUUUUUGCAACUUAAAACAUUGGUGGUGAAAAACAGGGUGUGACACACGAUGCGUGCCUUGCUGCCCCUUCUGUCAUUGGGAAAGGUCACCGCACGGUAUGAACCCAAAACCAAGCACUUCUCCCAUUGCAAGAAUCAUAGAUCUAGUUGGCCAAACAAAACCCAAGACUCGGAGAGACUUACAAGGAUAUCAAAUCAUGCAUAUAAGAAAUCAGCAAAGACUCAAAUAUAAUUGAUAGAUAAUCUGAUCACAAAUCCACAAUUCAUCGGAUCUCGACAAACACACCACCAAAGAAGAUUACAUCGGAUAGAUCUCCAUGAAGAUCAUGGAGAACUUUGUAUUGAAGAUCCAAGAGAGAGGAGAAGCCAUCUAGCUACUAACUACGGACCCGUAGGUCUGAAGUAGACUACUCACGAGUCAUUGGAGAGGCGAUGAUGUUGAUGUAGAAGCCCUCCAGCUCCAAAGUCCCCUCCGGCAGGGCACCGGGAAGGGUCUCCAGAUGAGAUCUCACGCAAACGGAAGCUUGCGGCGGCGGAAAAGUGGUUUCGUGGACGCCCUGAUUUUUUCUGGGAUUUUAGGGAAUAUAUAGGCCAAAGAGCUAGGGCAGGGGAGCACCAGGGAGGCCACAAGCCUGGUCGUCGCGGGCCCCCCUGGCCGCGGCGUCAGGGCUUGUGGGCUCCCUGUGGGCCUCCUGCCUUGGCCCUCAAGUCCCCCGAUCUUCUUCUGUUCUGGAAAAAUUUAUUUCGGGGAUUUUAUUCCGUUUGGACUCCGUUCCAAAAUCAGAUCUGAAAAGAGUCAAAAACACAGAAAAAACAGGAACUGGCACUUGGCACUGAAUUAAUAAGUUAGUCCCAAAAAAGAUAUAAAAUGUAUAUAAAACAUCCAAAGUUGACAAGAUAACAACAUGAAACCAUCAAAAAUUAUAGAUACGUUUGAGACGUAUCAGGGGGCAUCCCCAAGCUUAGACGCUUGAGUAUCCUUGAAUAUUUCUUGGGAUGCAUGGGGGCAUCCCCAAGAUUGAGCUUUUGACACUCCUUUAUCUUCUUUCAUCAUAUCUCUCAUCGCAAUACUUGAAAACUCCCUUCAUACAAAACUCAUCAUAAGCUGAUUAGAGUGGUUAGUUCCCUUAAUAAAAUAAUUCAAUACCUAUUGGAAAUAAAGAUUUUCAUGAAAAGCUACUGCUUUUUAUGAAUGCCAAAGGGUUUUUGCAAAAAAAGCAAGCUUAGAACUUGCAAAACAAUGAAAACGCAAAACAUAGCAGAAUGUGUGAAAAACAGAACAACACGUAGUAAAUAAUUUAUUCGGGGCACUUAUGCAACUGAAAUCAAAAAACUCAGAACAGAUGCCAUAAAGACAAUUAUAUAGAGCAUGCUGUCAAAAAAAUCAGAUCAAGAUGAUCUGGUGUUUUUGGCGAAUUUUUCCGUCAAGCAGACAUAAUCUGUUUCUGGACAACAUGUCACAACUUUUGAAAUUUCUUGCAAUCGGAGGAUAUAACUUGGCACAAAGCUCAAAAAUAAAGAUACAAUGAUGUUGCUACAGUAGUAACACACAUCAAGACCACUAAAACAGAAAGUAAAAACAUAUUGGGUUUCCUCCCAACAAGCGCUUUCUUUUAUGCCUUUGAGCUAGGCAUAAUGCAAGAAGAUCAAGUGUUAUCAACUCCAAAAGAAUAGCUUGCCCGUGUAGCGGACUCAUAAGGUAACUUAAUUUUCUUUCUAGGGAAGUGUUCCAUUCCCUUUUUAAGAGGAAAUUGGAAUUUAAUAAUUCCCUCUUUCAUGUCAAUGAUAGCACCAACGGUGCGGAGAAAAGGAUGUCCCAAAAUAAUUGGACAUGAAGGAUCACAUUCAAUGUCCAUAAUAAGAAAUCAACGGGCACGUAAUUAUCAUUGACAAUAAUAAGAACAUCAUCAAUUCUCCCUAAAGGUUUCUUUAUGGCGGAAUCAAUAAGACGAACACCAAAAGAACAUGGAUCAUAAGGUUUCCAAUCAAGCAUAUCAUACAUUCUUUUGGGCAUAACGGAGGCACUAGCUCGAACAUCACACAAAGCAAAGCAAGAGAUAUUAUUCGAUUUAAUUUUGACCAUAGGAUCCCAACCAUCUUCUAGCUUCCUAGGAAUAGAAGUCUCUAGCUUGAGCUUCUCCCUAGCUUUGAUAAGAGCAUUGGUAAUAUGCUCGGUGAAGGCAAUAUUGAGUGUACUAGUGUGGGGAUCUUUACCCAUUCUUUGCAAAAAGGUGAUGACUUUGGAGAGACUACAAUUGUCAAAAUAAAGGUCACUACCAUUAAUUAAAGUGGUAGUAAUGUCAUCUAAGCUCAUUCUUUUGGUGGUAUCUAAAUUCAUAGGACUUUCUUGUCCUAUAGUUGAGGUAUUAGCACCACCAUUAAUAGGUCCACUGGGACUAGGAGUGCGAUGGGUGCUAAAAGUUUUGAGAUCCUCAACAACUUGUAUAGUAGCAAUGGUAGUGUGUGUAGGAAGGCUCUUAAUUCUCUCUUCCUCUUCCUCUUCCCUGUCUCUUAUACACAUCUCUGAGCGGGNAUUCUUAUGUUCUCAUUAAUUUGGCAUAGCAUUCAUGGGUGUGGUGUUCCUUUCCUCAAGUCGGCAAGUUCUAAUUUUAAGCAUCUCUACAUCAUGAGCUAUGUUGUCCACCUUCAAAGAGAGACUAUCUAAUUUGUCUAGUUUCUCUUCUACACUCUUGUUGAAGGCUUUUUGAGAAGUGAUAAAAUCUUUAAGCAUGCUCUCUAAUUCAGAAGUGGAGUUUUUGGUGCUAGGAUAAUUGUUGUUGUUCCCAUAGUUGUUGGAUGGGAACGGUUUAGGAUUUCUACCAAAAUUACUCCUAUAGGCAUUGUUGUUGAAGUUGUUCCUAGAAAUAAAAUUAACACCCACUUGCCCUCUCUCUUGAGAAACCAAAGAAUUUAGAGUAACAUCAUGAGAAUCAAUAGGAGCUUGCUUAGUAAGUAGAGUCAUGAUCAUGUCAACCUUAUCAUUAAGGGAGGAGAUAUCCUCACAGAGUUUACCUUCCUACCUGUUGAAGCUCUCUCGAUGUGCCAUUGAGAAUAAUUUUUCAUCAUCUCAUCCAUCGCUUUGUGGCAGCACCAAGUGUAGUCGACAUAAAGGUUCCUCCCGCGGCCGAGUCUAACAGAUUCCGCGAGGUAAAGUUCAAUCCUACAUAGAAAGUUUGGAUAACCAUCCAAGUAAUCAAACCAUGAGUAGGGCAAUUCUUAACAAGAGAUUUCAUACGUUCCCAAGCUUGAGCAACAUGUUCAUUAUCCAGUUGCCUAAAAUUCAUAAUGUUACUCCUCAACUGGAUAAUCUUAGCAGGCGGGUAAUACUUCCCAAUAAAAGCAUCUUUGCACUUAUCCCAAGAAUCUAUGCUAUUCCUAGGCAAAGAUUGAAGCCAUACUUUAGCUCCUCCUCUCAAAGAGAAAGAAAAAAAGCUUAGGUUUAACAAUAUUACCAUCUACUUCUUUAUAUUUUUGCAUAUCACAGAGCUCAACAAAAUUGUUCAAGUGCAAAGCAGCAGCAUCUCCAGCACCGAAGAAUUGAUCUUUCAUAACUAGGUUCAGCAAAGCAGGUUUAAUCUCAUAGGACGUGGCUCCAGUGGUGGGAGCAGCAAUAGGAGUGCAGAUAAAGUCAUUGUUGUUGUGACUAGUGAAGUCACACAACUUGGUGUUCUCAGUGUAACCCAUAGCAGCGGCAACGAGCAAGAGCAAAGCAACUAUUUUUUUUGUGGUUUUCAGUAUAGGCCUCUAAAGCAAAAACUAGAAAGCAAACUAACAAGACUAAAAAGCAAAGGUAAAAGAUGGUGUGCAACUCUCCUAUCUUGAAGAGUGGAGUCCCCGGCAACAGCGCCCGAAAUACGCUUGAUGACGAGAUCAUGUAUAUACUUCUCGCCCCUCGUUGGAUACCUCAAGUGAAAGGUGGAGAUGUAGCCAGCAGCAAAUUUCCCUUACACGGAGACUGUAAGGUUUAUCGAACCAGGAGGACUCCUAGGCUCAACAAGUAGGAGUCUUCCACCCGGUGCCAGCAGAAGACGUGGACCUGCACAGACAAAAAAUAACUUUUCUCCCAACGAGUACAGAGAGGUUGUCAAUCUCUCGAGCCUUGUAGUUUGCAAAGGAUCAGAACACAAGCGGGAAGGUAAUAGUGAUUGCAACGGAAAAGUAAAUGAAAGCGGUAAAUGAUGGAGGUGUAAACAAUGAUGGUGAUAUGGACCGGAGUCACAUGAUGUUCACUAGUGAUGUCUCUCCCCCCAAAAGAUGAUAAACAACUAUGAUAGGGUAAACAAAUCACAGUUGGGCAACUGACAUAAUUAUGAUCGCACCGCAAUGCUAAUUAUGCUACUUGAUAGUUAGAGGUUCAAUAGUAAUGGGCAGUACGCCAAGACAAGUAGACCGUUUAUUCAUCAGCAUCUACUUACUAAUGAUCCACCUUGAGAUAUCUAUCCAGAACAUCUCUUCGGUAUUAAGUUGUGAGCCCCAUCCAAAGUGUAAACUCAAAGCAAGGGACAACUGCAUUAACGAACUAUGCGUAAGGUAAACAAUCCUUGCAACCGUGGUCACGAUCACCGUUGUUUUCUCUGUGGUGGCAACAAGCACAUCCCCUAGUCUCAAGUUUCUGUCACUCAAGCUAGACAUCGAGGGGCCCGAACCCACAAUCAUGCAUAAUGCUCCCUCUUGGAGUUACGAUCUACUACUUGGCCAAAGCAAUAAAAAGCAACGGAGAAAAUGCAAGAAUCACUAAGGAACAAAAUAUAAAAUGAUAAUCAAAUAUAUAACUAAUAACAUCUGAACAUAAUCUCAUAAUCCAUCGGAUCCCAACAAACCGAGCAUAGCAAAAGCAAGAGGAUGACAUAGAUGCCUUGAUCAUGUAGGGCAGCUCACAAGGACUAACCUUUGAAGCACAAGAUUGGAGAGAAGACAUCACAUAGCUACUAUUCAUGGACUCAUGGUCCAAGGAGGACUACUCACGGCACGUCCGGGAAGCGUCCAUGGCGGUGGAGAAGCUCCCGGAGGUCAAUCCUCCCUCCGGCAGGGUGCCCGGAAGAGGCCUCCUGACGCUCCCGAUCUCGGAAGCGCUGCGGCGGCGGAACGAUGGAGAAAUUUUCAAGAAAGUAUGCGAGGGUUUCCUCACGGAUCUCUAAAUGUAGGCCAAAGGAGGGCACCGGAGGAGGCGAGACCCACCCAGGCGACCUCCUGGCGCUGCCUAGGGCCUGGCCCGCGCCAGCAGGCCGUCUAGGAGGCCCAUGGCCCCCGUCUGGCCCUCCUUCGGUGAUCCCGAAGCUUUUGUUUCGCUGAUUUUUAUAUAUAUAUUUUGGAUUUUUUUGGGCUUCGAAAAUUGGGUAAAAGCCCCUACAAAAUAGACAUCAGCAGAUAGACACUGGCACUGGGUGCACUGAGUUAGUAGGUUAGUCCAAAUAUGUGUAAAAUGAUAUAAAAGUGUAGCAAAACAUAUAACAAUGUCACCCAAAAGAUCAUGGAACAAGCAGAAAUUAUAGAUACGUUUGGAACGUAUCAGCUCCUUCCAUUCAAACCAAUACCAUCUAACUAUCAGCGCCUCGCAAAUUUCUUGAUGUCGAUGAUGCCCAAUCCUCCAAGAUCUGGAGGGCGGCACACCAAUCGCGAGUUGAAUUGCACUCCACACCAGAAUCUUUUUAGUGCUCGACCACAAAAAAUCCCUUUCGAUCUUGUUGAAGUUGUUUAGGGUACUUUGAGGAGAUUUGAGAGCAAUGAUGUGGUAGAUAACUUGUGAAGUUAGCACCAACUUGACGAGUACGCUUCAGCUUGAGGAAGUGAUAUUUUGACCAUCCCAUGGCACAAGUCUCUUAGAUGCCUUGUCCUCAAGAAACUGGAAAUCACUUGUCCGAAGUUGCCACACCGAUAGCAGUAGGCCCAAAUAUUUGAUGGGGAAGGAGGCACGUGUUGUUAGCAGGCUAGCAAGAAUAGCAUCCAGAUCAAGGUGUCAACACCAUAUUGGCACCAUUGAACUUUUUCCAAAAUUUAUGUGCAGGCCCAUGACGUCACCGAAGUGGUUAAGCAUUGUCGCAAGGUUGUCAAUAUCUCUCCUAAUAGGGGCCAUGAAGAGUGUCGUGUCGUCGACAUAGAGAAAAAUGCGCAGAAUUGCCCUUCAUUCUCUAAUAUUGUGAAAGAGGCCAUGAGUAGUCGCAAGGUUGAGAAUUUGUUGAAACAUAUAAAUCGCAAGGAUGAACAAAAGCGAUACGAUGGGAUCACCCAAUCGGAGACCAUAAUAGUGCGACACUUGGGGUCGGCCUCCCCAUUGAGCAUGAUCCGUUAGGAGGAAGUAUGAAGCAAAGCAGUGGUCCACUCUCGGAAUCUAGGAGGAAACCCCCUCCUUUGCACGAGCUCGAGAAUGUACUCCCACCUGAUCGAGUCGAAGGCUUUUCUAAUGUCAAGCUUGAACAAAAGCAUCGAGUUUUACUCUUGUGAAGCUUGCGGGCAAUCCUACGCACAUACAUGAAAUUGUCGUGAAUACAUCUUAUCUUGAUGGACGCGCUUUGGGCAUUGGGAAUGGGUAAAUGCAUGUGUGGCCGAAGCCGGUUGGCAAGCACCUUAGCAACUAUUUUUGGCACUCUCUUGAUGAGACUUAUAUGUCGGUAGUGAGAGAUCCCCUACACCCCCUCCUUCUUGGGUUCCUUAUUGGAUACGAGUACAAUGUUUGCCGAAUUGAGACAUGUAAAAUUGAUCGCCUGGAGGCUACCAAAACAAUGGAUGACAUGCAUGAAAUCUUCCCUGAUGAUGGAACAAUAAUUUUUGAGGAAGGCACCGGUGAAUCCAUCCGGACCGGGGGCCUUGUCACUAGGCAUUUGAUUGGUCGCCUCUUUGACCUCUUGCUUGAUAAUGUGGGAGUCAAGGUCGGAAAUCUCAUGCUCCCAAAAAUCAAGCCCAUACCAAUUAAAAUCAACACAUCUUUGACUCCCCUUUCCCAAAUCUUUGGAGAAGUGUUCGUGGAUCAAAUUUUCCUUUUGCUCAUGAUCCGUGAUCCAGCCGUUGUUGUGUCUGAUUCUACCAAUGUGGUUUUUUCUCCAUCUCGCAUUCACCCUCCAGUGUCAAAAUUUGUAUUGGUGUCACCCUAUUUAAGUGUGGAUAUUCUCUCACAUUCCUUUUUUAUUGCCCUUUCAAGCACCGACAAAAACACCACCCUUCUUUUAAACCUAGUCUGCAUGUAUUGUUCCUCAGCUUAUAGGGCAUGGUCCUCCUACGCGAUGUCAAGGCGAAGUAUCACCAAGAGAGUCGCGUAAAGGUGGCGCUUAGCUUUGGAGAACAACUUAUGACUCCAUUCAUUGAGCCGCAACCCCAUUUUUGAGCUUAUGAAGUAGUCUCUAAUAAGGCUCAACAUGGUUACAAUCCUCAUUCCAAGCAUUUAGAACCACCUCAUUAAAUCCCGGCAAGGAUAUCCAGAAAUUCUCAAAUUCGAAGCAACGAGGCCUACAUGGGACGAUGUCACCUGUUAGGAGAAGGGAGCAGUGGUCUGACAGUGAUGAGGAGAGGGCAUGCAACACAUGAGUGUUGAAGGUAGUCUUCCAGUCUGUAUUACAAAAGGAGUCAAGCUUGCACAUCGUCGGGUUGUCUCUCUCAUUACUCCACAUGAACUUCCUAUUUUAGAGGUGGAUAUCAUUUAGCUCACAAGCAUGAAGGGUGUUUAGAAAAUGGUUGAUUCGCGAUGAAUUUAUCUUUCUCUUAUUUUUGUCCCUUGCACGAUAAUUUUGAUUCUGCAAGAGAAUGAUUCAGGACAAAAGUAGAAAAUGUACAUAACAAUCUUAUGGUAGCAGACUCAACAUAGCUCCAACUAUGCACAACUCAAGCUGGUUAAGUUUCUUCUUGUUGAAUCUUUCUAGUCAGGCUCAAGUACAAGAAUUGACACAUGUGUUGAUAAUACAUCUCCAACGCAGCGAUAAUUUUUAUUGUCCCAUACAUAGCUUAUAAUUAGCAAAAUAGAUUAUAUUAUCAAUCUUGGAUGCUUUAUAUGCUAUUUGAUAUCAUUUUUGGGAACUAAACUAUUAACCAAGUGCCAAGUGCUAGUUGUUUUUUUUCUGCAUGUUUCUUGGCUUUUCGCGAAACCGCUACAAAAUGGAGUCCAAACGCUAUGGAACUUUUUGAUGAUUUUUUCUGGACCAAAAUAGGACUUGGAAGCUUCGCACGGAGUCCAGACGACACACGAGGAAACGACAAGGCAACAGAGCACACCUAGGGGGUACCCAUGCACUGAUGCCUUGUGGGCCCAUGUGGCUCCGUGUGGCCUAAUUUCACCUUCAUAAAUUAUCUAAUAUCGUGAAACCAAGAGAGAGCCACCCAAAACACGUUUUCCUCCAUCGCAAGUUUCUGUUCCGACGGGAGACCAUCUGGAGACGUUUUCUGGUGCCCUACCAGAGGGGGGAUCGAUCAGAGAGUCCACCACAGACCUACGGGUCCAUAGCUAGUACCUAGAUGGAUUCUUAUCUCUCUUUGAUCUUCAAUUCCUGCGGCGGUCUAUUCCUUGUGAUCUUCUUUUACGAUGUGUUUGUUGGGAUCCGAUGAACUGUGGGUUUAUGAUAAAAUUAUUCAUGAAUAUAUAUUGAGUCUUCUCUGAAUUAUUUUAUGCAUGAUUAUUAUAGAUUCAUAUUUCUCUAUGCUCUAUCAGUUUGGUUUGGACAACUAGAUUGAUUUAUCUUCGAUGGGAGUGCUGCAUUGUGAUGGGUUCUAUCUUGCAUUGCUCAAUCCCAGUGACAGAAAGGAACAUGACAUGUACUAUAUUGAUGCCAUUAAGGAUAAAAUGAUAGGGUCUGAACAUAUUGCUUGUCUUACUUUGUCUACAUCAUGUCAUCUUGCUCCGAGCAUUACUCCGUUUCAUACUUAAUACUGUAGAUGCAUGUUGGAUAGCAGUCGAUGAGUGGAGUAAUAGUAGUAGAUGCACGCAGGAGAUGUUCUACUUGUCUAUGGACAUGAUGCCUAUAUACAUAAUCAUUGUCGUGAAUAACAUGUCAUAAAUAUGCACUAUUCUGUCAAUUUCCCAACAGUAAUUUGUUUACCCAUCGUAUGAUAUGUUCAAAAGAGAAGCCUCAUGCUACGUUCAAGAGAGAAUCCUCUAGCGAAAAUUGUACCCCCUGGGUCUAACAUAAUAACAAAACUCCAAAAAAUAAUUUGNCUUGACAACCCUCUUGCCCGUGUGGGGGAAAGUGUUUGGUUCUGUGUGUAGGUGAUGUUAAAGAAGGUUUGAGUUGUUCUCCUAUUGGUUAGAUAACCUUGUUUCUCACUGAGGGAAAUAUUUAUCUCUACUAUGUUGCAUCUCCCCUCCUCUUCUGGGGAAAUGCCAAUGCAGUUUACAAGUAGCAGGAAGAAUUUCGGGCGCCGUUGUCGGGGAGUUAUAAUCAAAAUCUUUUCAGGUUGGUUGACACAAAUUAUCAUUCACUUGUUCUACUUUUUAUUUGUUGUUUUAUUUUCUUUCUCAAAAAAUAUUAAAAACUCAAAAAAUACUUACUUUUGCUAGUUUACUUGUUUUGCUUGUUAGUUGAUACUUGUGAUCCGCAUUGGGUUUUCCGCGAAGAAGAAUGGGUUAUCGUAGCACAAUGUGGGUAAGUAUUUCCCUCAGUUAUGAAACCAAGAUUUGUCAAACCAAUAGAAAUAUCAACCACAACCAUCUUCAGCGGAUGCACACAAAAGAACAAACAACUAGCACCCAACGCGGGCAAGAGGGUUGUCAAUCCUCUUGUCUUGUUAUUUACAAACAAGUAAGGUGUGUAGAUAAUUGUAGAUAGCAAGAUAAAAUAAAAACAAGUAAACAACAACAAGGUAAUGAAGGUUUUAUCAAUAUGUUGUGAAUAGACCCGGGGGCCAUAGCUUUCCCUAUUGGCAUCUCUCGUGAAAAAUAACAUAUAGUAGCUAAAUAAACUACUGUUGGGCAAUUGACAGAAAAGCGGACAAUUAUGCAAUAUUCACGACAAUGAUCAUGUGUAUAUAGGCAUUACGUCCAUAAACAAAUAGUUCGACUCCUGCCUGCAGCUAUUACUAUUACUACACUCGUCGACCGCUAUCGAACAUGCAUCUAGAGUAUUAAGUAAAAUAGGGUAAUGCAUGGAGAACGAUGACAUGAUGUAGACAAAGUAAACUAAAGCAAUAUAAAUAAACCCCGUCGGUUUAUCCUUAGUAGCAGCAACACAAAGGUGCACCUUGUCCCCUUCUGUCACUUGGAUAUAGAAAUUAGCCAAGUCGAACCUACAACAAUGCACCUCUCUCACCGAAGAAAUAUCGAUCUAGUUGGCCAAACUAUUUCAACAAAUCGGAGAGAAAUAGGAAGCUAUCAUAAUCAUGUACAUCAGAAUCAUAUAAGUAUUCAUAGGAGACUCAAAUUUUUAUAGUGAAUAAUCUGAACAUAAACCCAUAAUUCAUCGGAUCCCAACAAACGCACCGCACAAAAGGAUUACAUCAUAUGGAUCAAAGCGAAGAUGUGAUGAGCAUUGUAUUGAAGAUCAAAAAGAGAGAGAGAUAUUGCCAUCUAGGUACUGUCUAUUGACUCGUAGGUCUCUAGUAAACUACUGACACAUCAUCAUGAGGGCAACAAGGUUGAUGAAGAGGCCCUCCUUGAUCGAUCCCCUUCAGCAGGGUGUCGGAACGGAGCUCCAUAUGGCCUCUCGUCGGAACAGAGACUUGUGAUGGUGUAAAAAUUGUUUUGGGACUCCCUUUGGUGUUUUAGGGUAGAUGAGAAUUUAUAAGCCAAAGAACACAGUCAGGAGGGCCACGAGGGAGGCACAAGCUAUCAUCCUACCAAGCCAUGCCCUUUUGGCAUGUGGGCCCCUCGUGAGGCCUCCAGACUUCUCCCGAUGCUCGUUGGUCUUCUUUUGGUCCACAAAAAAUCACCAAAAAGUUUCAGGGCAAUUGGACUUCGUUCGGUAUGCAAAACCUGAAAAGUGAAAAACACGCAGAAAACAUCAACUGGCACUGGGCACUGGGUCAAUAGGUUAGUGCUAAAAAACAAUAUUAAAUGGUAAAUAAAUACCUCAAAAGUAUUCUAGAAUGAUAUUAUAUCAACAUGGAACAAUCAAAAAUUAUAGAUAUGUUGGAGACGUAUCAAGCAUCUCCAACCUUAAUUCAUGCUCGUCCUCAAGUAGGUAAAUGAUAAAAACAGAAUUUGUGAGGUGACAUGGUAUCCAUGAUGUAACCUUAUGCAUGUAUGCUCAUUGAGAAAUGAUGAAUUAACAAACAGUAACAUAGCAAUACUCAUAGGUAUAAGCAGGAAAUCAUUAAUUUUUCAAAGUAUACGAUCCUCAAAGAUUGUUUUACCCCCAUCCAUAUUUAUUAUAUUACCAAGGCAUGGCUCCAUCUUCUCCACAUUAAUACAAAUGUCAAGCACCACGGUGUCGAAGUUAGGCAAUUGGAUCGUACUUUUUCAAUAUGCAUCAAUUUUUAAUUCUUCAUGCAAUACAUGAGCGUGAACCAUUGGAUAUAGCAUAAAGGUGGAACAAAAUAUGGUGGUAGGUUUCGAAGGGGUAAAAGUGGAGAAGAUAGUUUCACAUCAACUAGGCGUACCAAUGAGCUAUGGAGAUUUUCGUCGAUAGAUAUCGAUGCUGUGAUAGCCCGAGACCGACGUUCCAGAAGAUCCCCCCCUUUAUUCCGUUUUCGUCGUGUGUUUAGUUUUUAUUCGUUGCACCGUCAUGUAGUUUGCAUCAUCGCAUCAUGCAUGGCAUCAUGUCAUCGGUGUUUUGUCGGUGUUGCUUGUUGCUUCGUGUUGUUGGGUGUUAGUGUUUCGUGAGUGGCGUCGUUUGUUGGCGCGAUGAGAGAGGGAGCGUGAGAGCCACCGCUAAACCCCGUUGCACCGCCGACCUAAACCUUCUUCCCUCCUCUCCCCUCCUAAGUUGUUUUGUGGUUUUCCUAAAGAUUUCUAACUUUACCCCUCUUCCAAAAUAUUCGUCUUCUUUUAAAAAGUCCUUUUAUUAAACGUAGGGGCAACCUUAGGUUUUAAUUUUACUCUCCGUUUGUUUCAUUUUAAAAACCCUCCCAUUUUAUUUUCUCUUUUAAAAGGCUUUUACUUAUUCUUUGAAUAAAGAGGUUUUAAUUAAUUCUUUCGAAAAGGGGUUAUUUUUAUCUUCUUGUUAAAAGAGCUUAUUUUAAUUCUUUUUAAAAAGGGUUGUGAUUUUAAUUCUUUUAAAAAGGGUUUUGAUUUUUUUUAAAAUUCUUUUAAGUAGGGUUUUAUUUUAAUUCGUAAAAGGGGUUUCAUUUUAUUGUUUAAAAAUGCCCAAGCUACUUUAGAGUUGGGGUAUAAUUUUCAAAAGGGGUAAAACAUUUAUUUUAUUCUUUUUUUUGUGUUAAAAGGCCUUUCUUUAUUUAAGGAGUUCUGUUUUAAAAAGUAAAAAAAAACCUUUUAGAGGAGGCNGCUGCGCUCGUGCCGAGUUGUGUCGUUGGCUGCUGGCGUUGAUGCUUGCCUGUUGCUUUAGACUGCUAGGCCGCUGUUGCGUUUUGCUAUGCUGCUACUCCUGCUGUCGGUAGUAGAUGCGCGCGUUGCUUGCUGCCCUGCUUGCCUGCAGUCGCUGAUGCUGCUUGAUGUUGCUGCUGUGUGCUGUAGCUAGCUGCAGGAGGUGGCGUUGAUGCUUGCCUGUUGCUGUUAGACUGCUAGGCCGCUGUUGCGUUUUGCUAUGCUGCUACUCCUGCUGUCGGUAGUAGAUGUGCGCGUUGCCUGCUGCCCUGCUUGCCUGCAGUCGCUGAUGCUGCUUGAUGUUGUUGCUGUGUGAUGUAGCUAGCUGCAGGAGCUGGGCCGUGUUGCUGCUACUGCUAUGCAAGCUGUCAUGCUUGUUGCUGCCGAGCUUGUGCUCCUGUGUGCCUCGCUGAUAUUGCUGCUAGGUUGUUGUUGCCCGAUGUGCUAGCUGCAGUUGAUGCUUGCUAGCUAGCUUGCUGCCGAUGCUAGUCCAAGCCUGCUGGCGCUAGAUGUAGCCGCUUUUCGUUGUGCCGUCGAUGCACGUUUGAUGUUGCUGUUGUGUCGCUUGCCGUCGCCGUGUGCACCAACCCCUCCUUCAUGGAACCGACAAGACCGACUUCCACAACGCCCUCGACGACCCCCGGAGGCGAGUUCGACUUCCUCGACGUCACUGAAGACCCGUGAUCGACUACCGACGCCGAAGACCUCGAAACCACGACGCCGAGCGAACGACUACCGUCGACGAGACCGUGUACCACUACCUCCACUACCGGCGCGUGAACGACUACUUCCACGACGACCACGACGUCCGCUUCGACUGAACCCCUCCGAUUCGCACGCGUCGAAGGUAUACCGUUGGGGCAUGUCGUGUACCGUGUGCUAGUGAUGUACGGAUGUGUGUGUUGUACAAGUUGAAUGCAUGUAUGCACCGUUUAUUUGCCGUGCACGUCGUCUUCCUUUUCGUCGAGCCCUCGACACAUGGGAACCCGAGAUACGGGAUCACCCCAUCUUUAUUUACCAUUCCCGCACGCGUUCGUAUACGUUGGCACCGGUUUCUCCUCGAGUUAUCGGGACCCGAAUGUUGCCGUGGCAUCGUUUCCGAUUUACCGCCAUGGUUUCCUCUCGCUCGCCAUGGCGACACCAUGCUUAUUUCCCUCCUUGUCGUGAUGUGUUGAACUCUCAUGCAUGACGCAUUCAUGGCAUAUGAUCGUGUGUUGCAUGUCUCUCGUGCCGUAGCUACGUUCCGUGCCCCGUUUGAUAACCGACUAGGGUGCCAGGUAGGAUCAUCGCUACACCCCUUGCCAUGUUAACAACAUUUAAUAUUGCCGUGAUAAUUAAUGGGAGUUAAUUAAAUUUUUAAACGUGGAGUUUCGUCGAUAUGCAACCCGUUGCAUAUCGAGCUUCAUUUAAUGUGUAGUGUAUGUGUGAGGUGUUUUGCCGUGCCAUCCCGUGCAUCGAUGACCUGUUCAUGCAUCAUAUUAGGGUUGCAUCAUGUCUCGCUUUGUGGUGGUGAAUACUUGUAUUGAUGUUUGUUUCCGGUUUGCCCGUCUCGAUAGAGCUCCGCAAGUGUGUCGGAAUGUGAGGACCCGUUCGACUACGUUGGUUCGCUGACUUCACCGAGUUGUUCUUCUUCCAAGCGGGAUCUCAGGCAAGAUGAUCAUUUCCCCAGAUAUCAUUACUAUCAUUGCCAUGCUAGUUAUUUCGUUGCUACCGUUUAUGUCUCGUUGCCUACCACAUGUUUCCAUAUCAGCCUCUCAACAAUGCCAUGAUUACCUUCAACCUGUUCGACCUAGCAAACCACUGAUUGGCUAUGUUACUGCUUGCUUAACCCUGUUGUUAGCGUUGCUAGUUGCAGGUGCAGAUGCUUCCAUGUGAAAACAUGGGUUCCUUGUCAUAUCACCCUAUUAAUGCUAUUUAAUUUAAUGCACCUAUAUACUUGGUAAAAGGUGGAAGGCUUGGCCUUUCUAGCCUGGUGUUUUGUUCCACCUUUGCCCCCUUAGUUUUGGCUACCGGUGUUAUGUUCCAUAAACGAGCGCUCCUAACACGAUCGGGGUUGUUAUGGGGACCCCCUUGAUAAUUCGUUUUAGAUUAAAGCUGGUCUGGCAGGGCCCAACUUUGGUACUACUUUUGCCUAAUAACUAACGAACUGCAUAGGGAGUAAUUAACCCGAGGAUAUUUAAUCAACCCCCGGGCCAGUGCUCCUCAUGAGUGUUGGCCCCACAUGAGCGAUGUCCAGCGCCCCUCUGGUCACCCGGAGGUUUAGCGAUCCCGACGUCUAGCUCAUCCGCCGUGUCCUGAGAACGAGGUACGCGACUCCUAUCGGGAUCGUCGACACGUCGGGCGGCCUUGCUGGAUUAGUUUUACCUUUGACGGAAUAUCUUGUGCAUCGGGAUUCCGGUGAUGCUUUGGGUAAUCUCAGAGUUGAGGUUUUCCACUAGGGAAUCCGACGAGAUCGCGAGCUUCGUGAUUGAGGAUUUCUAUGCGGCUUGUGGUAAUUUGUGAUGGACUAGUUGGAGCACCCCUGCAGGGUUAAAUCUUUCAGAAAGCCGUGCCCGCGGUUAUGUGGCAACGUGGAAACUUUGUUUAACACUGGUUCCAGAUAACUUGAAGUUAACUUAAUUAAAAAAACAUGCCAACUGUGUGCGUAACCGUGACUAUCUCUUUCGUGAGUUCCUUCUCCGAUCGAGGACACGGUGGGGUUAUGUCUGGUGUUCAGGAUCAUUCAUUUGAUCAUCAGUAGUCACGUCCGCUAUGCGUAGAUCUUCCCCCUCUUUUCUUGUACUCGUAAGUUAGCCACCGAAUAUAUGCUUAGCCGCUGCUGCAACCUCACCACUUAACCAUGCCUCACCUAACAAGCUUUGCUAGUCUUGAUACCUUUGGAAAUGAGUUUGCUGAGUCCCCUGUGGCUCACAGAUUACUACAACACCAGUUGCAGGUACAGGUAAAGGGUACUUGACGCGAGCGCGUUGUUUGUUCAUUUGGAGUUGCUUCUUCUUCUUCAUCAUCGAUCUAGGAUGGGUUCCAGGCCGGCAGCCUGGGAUAGCAAGGAUGGACGUCGUUCUUCUUUUGUCGUUUGUUUUCGUCCGUAGUCGGACCCUGCUCUUACUCGUGAUGAUUAUGUAAUGUACUGAUGUGACCCUGAUGUAGCUUGUGGCGAGUGUAAGCCAACUCUUUAUAUAACUCUUCUCUUCAGUACAUGUACUUGUAACGAUAUCCAUUCUUGCGACACGACGAGAUGCGCUUCUAUCCCUGACGAGGCCCUCGUGCCAAAUUGAGGAUAGGGUCACAUCUUGGGCGUGACAAGUUGGUAUCAGAGCAAGGACCGACCUAGGAGCCCCCUUGAUUGAUCGAACUUGGCCGAGUCGAGUCUAGUGAAAAACUAUUUGAGUCUUAGUUAUAUAUCGGAGAGUAGGAUUCUUUUUUCUCCUCUUCUAUGCUCUGGUGAGGAAUCUUGACGUAAUAAUUUAUUCUACUCCUCUUCUCACUCAAAAUUUUUUUAGGAUCACGCGGAUAUUUUUGAGAUCUAUAUGAUGCCGAUGUGACGGAGUUCUGUCUUGGUGCCUCAUGUCUGACUUGAUCUUCUUCCGGGAAGUUGAGCUCCAGGGGAUUCUUGAGCACAUCGUUAUCAUUCAGAUUUCUUAGUAUCUAAGAACGAAGGAUGUUCGUAAUUGCUUCAAUACUAGUAGUGGAGAGAUAACCCCGAUGUCCCCAGUACUGGUGUAGAUUGUUCGGGAGUACUGCCAUACUUUGUAUCGUUGUGAUCACGAGGGUCUGUUGUAGAUGAAGGUCCGAGAUUCUGGUCGUAUGUUGACGGAUGUGAUACAAGUGACGGGUUAGUAUAGGAGUUGUGCGAUUAUUACUCCUUGUAUCCGUGUACCAGAUUGCAUGACCAGAUAUUUCGGGAAUUCAUAGGUGGGAAUUCAAGUAGUUACUUAUAGGACAUUCUUCCAACAAAUACAUGAUGUUAGGUUGGGGUUCGACAUCUAGUGGAUUCGUUUGUUCACGGUCGACUUACAGCAGUACAUGUUGUGUCUUAAAGAGUCCUUGUAGCUUGCUAUGACUCGGGGACGCUUCGUAUGUCAGGUGCACUGCCUUGCACUUGAUGACUACUGUAAAUCGUGCCCGUGCGAUCCUGUCCACGAAAAUAUCGAACGGAAAUCUUUCUCAUGAGUUUGUUCUGGCUUGUUUCGUAAGCCUCAUCCCUUUGUUUUGUUGUAUAUGGUAAUUCGUGUUGCUUCGAUGUCAAGUGGUGAUUUCAGAUCUUUCCUAAGUGGCGCUCUCAUAUUUUUAUGUGGGAAUGCAAAUUCUUUUGUUCGUCCAAAUUUUCAGAUCAAUUCUUGUCAACCGGAGUCAUCGUAUCAAGUCUUUUCAACCGAUGUGUUUCUCUCCAAGUGGAUUCAACCCUCUCCAAUUUGCAAGAUCUUUCUCUCGUUUAUUCCGGAGUUCAUCUCUUCUAGCCCAAGUUGUCUUUGUUUUUCCCCACCCUCCCGCCCUUUUCUCAGCGAUUCAAUUUCCAUCCAAGAAUUUCUUUUCAUUGUGCUUCCGCUAUGUGUUCUUUUCUCUCUUAUCUGGUGAUUCGUUGUGAAGAUUCUCAGGAGCUUCAUGUUCAUCUUUGUUCAUUCUUGUCUUCGUUACCGGUGAAUUUAAUUCAGCUAUCCGUGUUCAUCAUAUCCUUUCAUCCUUGUAAUUCUUUCCUAUGUUGGAAAUUUUUAUCAGCCUAUCUUCUUGUUGUCGUUUCUCUCUGUUCUAUCCGGAGUGUUGAAGUUAUCUCAGUAGUUCUUGUUUCCAAUAUUUUCAAUUAUUUCGAGGUGCUAACCUUAUCUAGUCCUCUUCAUACCGGUGCAAUAUCAAUCUUUCCAGCAAUCUUCUCUAACGGUGGAUUUCUUUGAGUGGGCCCAUAACCCACAGGUUUUUCCCAGGAUCUGUUAUAGCUUUUUAAUCUUUCCGGAGAUCUUUAAUUCUUUUCAACUAUGACGUAAGUAUGAAUUUCAUCAGUCAUAUCCCUUCUUCAAGGCCUAUUUGAGUUAACUCUCAUAUUUGGCUCAACCUUUCAUUCUUCUUUAUUCCGGAGUGUCUCAGCUAUUCUUGGUGUUGCUCUCGUCAUCAUUCUCAGCUUGCAAUUCGAAGGAGUGUUUUUCUCGAAUCUUGGUUCAUUCUCUUGGAUAUUCAUCAUUUCAGCUUCGUGUUAUCAUCUUGAAUUUGUUUCCAUUCAUGAGAAUCUGUUUCUUGCUAUCCGGUGCAUUUCUGAGUUGUUUUCUUUCUCGGUCCUCCGAAGGCUAUCAUUUCAGAAGAUUCUUCGUUCUCAGCUUUCAGCUUUCAUCCUCAAUUCUUCUCAAUUGUUGUCUCUUCGUUCGUCUCUCAAUUAUUCUGGUGUCUUGUUUAAAUUUCUCUCUCAGGUGGAUCAAGAUCUCUUCAUUCUCAUGUUUAUCCAUGCUUUCUUGGUAUUCCCAUUCAAUUGGAAUUCUUACCCGUGCUUCUUUCAUUUUUGGCUUCAAGUGGUGCUUAUCUCUCUGCCUCUUCUAGAUUCAUUUUUAGAGGAAUAAGUUGUAUGCUAGAACCAUUGCUUGUCAUCAAUUAUACUUGAUGAAGGAUGAGCAUAACAUAAUUCUUAUUGUUCUUCCUUCUUCCAAGAGAUUUCAAUUCUUCUUCCGGAGUGGCUCUUGAUAUCAAUUGUUUUCUCAAGUGCUUAUCUUUCUUUUCCGAAGUUCCAAGUCUAGUAGUAUCUCUUUGUAAAGCUUCAUCUAUAUCAUUGCAAGGCCUUUAAUCUUAUUCAUUUCUACCUUGAGAUCUUUGCAUCAUUCUUUUGUAUACGGAGGUCCUUCAUGGUGGUUCAUCAAGGUUUCAAUUCAUUCUCAUGUGUUCUUCAAGAUUCUUGUUGGAGCACCUCUAGUAUCCUUUCUCUUGCAUUCAUAUGUGCAAUUGUUCUUCCUUUAUCCUUUGAGGUGGUAUUAUAGCCUUCUUGUUAGUGUAGGAGCCUCGAAGAGAUUUCCUUUCAAGAAUGAGAUAAUUAAAACCACCAAUUCUAUGAUCAUGAGUUAUUUCAACCCAUGAUUUCUUCAUUGAGUUAUCUUGGUUUGGAUUUCACCUAAAGCUUUCCUAGGGAUUGUGCUAUCUUGGUGCUUGUCAUUAAUCCAAGUUCUCGAUGUAUCCUCUUGGUGUAAGAUUGUUCAUGUCUUGUUUCUCCCAAUCUAUCCUUGUUUCUUUUAGUGGCUGGUUGUCACUUCAUUAGUUUGAAAAGGUUUCCAUAAGCCCACUAUUGUCUUGUUCUUUCGUUGUUGUUUUCCAACAACUCCGUUCAAUUCUUCUCGCAAGGGUGCUUGUCAAGUUCAUUUGUGAUGAUAGUUGUCAUUCCUUUCUUCAUUCUCUUCUUCCGCUUGAGCUAGUUCCUAUUCUAUUGUUCCGGAGGCUCUGUGGUAUUGCUCUUUUGGGUCAAUCUUGUUGUUCUAGCAAGAUCAUGGUGUUCCCUUGCUCUAUUUAGUUGUUUGUUAUGAAUAUUGUCUAUUUCUUCUACCUUUUCGAAUUUUUUGUCCCAUUUUCCUACCGAAGUGCUGCCGAAAUUUUCCGUGAAUUCUGGCUUCUUUCUCAUGUCAUUCCUCAUCGUCUUGCAACCUUCAAGGAUCGUUGGUUUCACUCGUUUGUCAAAGAAGCGACUAAUUUUUACCUCUUGUUCUUUCUCAUCCUCUCCCCCUUUCAUUCUUGGAUCUCGGGACGAGAUCUUCUUGUAGUGUGGGAGAGUUGUGACAGCCCGAGACCGACGUUCCAGAAGAUCCCCCCCUUUAUUUCGUUUUCGUCGUGUGUUUAGUUUUUAUUCGUUGCACCGUCAUGUAGUUUGCAUCAUCGCAUCAUGCAUGGCAUCAUGUCAUCGGUGUUUUGUCGGUGUUGCUUGUUGCUUCGUGUUGUUGGGUGUUAGUGUUUCGUGAGUGGCAUCGUUUGUUGGCGCGAUGAGAGAGGGAGCGUGAGAGCCACCGCUAAACCCCGUUGCACCGCCGACCUAAACCUUCUUCCCUCCUCUCCCCUCCUAAGUUGUUUUGUGGUUUUCCUAAAGAUUUCUAACUUUACCCCUCUUCCAAAAUAUUCGUCUUCUUUUAAAAAGUCCUUUUAUUAAACGUAGGGGCAACCUUAGGUUUUAAUUUUACUCUCCGUUUGNCUAAAGAUUUCUAACUUUACCCCUCUUCCAAAAUAUUCGUCUUCUUUUAAAAAGUCCAUUUAUUAAACGUAGGGGCAACCUUAGGUUUUAAUUUUACUCUCCGUUUGUUUCAUUUUAAAAACCCUCCCAUUUUAUUUUCUCUUUUAAAAGGCUUUUACUUAUUCUUUGAAUAAAGAGGUUUUAAUUAAUUCUUUCGAAAAGGGGUUAUUUUUAUCUUCUUGUUAAAAGAGCUUAUUUUAAUUCUUUUUAAAAAGGGUUGUGAUUUUAAUUCUUUUAAAAAGGGUUUUGAUUUUUUUUAAAAUUCUUUUAAGUAGGGUUUUAUUUUAAUUCGUAAAAGGGGUUUCAUUUUAUUGUUUAAAAAUGCCCAAGCUACUUUAGAGUUGGGGUAUAAUUUUCAAAAGGGGUAAAACAUUUAUUUUAUUCUUUUUUUUGUGUUAAAAGGCCUUUCUUUAUUUAAGGAGUUCUGUUUUAAAAAGUAAAAAAAAACCUUUUAGAGGAGGCCCAGCCAGCCGAAGGCCAAGCCAGGCCUCCAACCCUAGCGAGAGAGGGGGAGCCUCUCGUUCCUCUGCCUGCCAGCGCCUUCUCCCUCCCGAUCCCGAGCGUCCUCCCCAGCGCCGCCUCUUCCCGAGCGCCAUGGCCGCCGCCUCGCCUCUGUUCCCUCGCCCCACCACGCUUAGUCCCCUCUGCGCACCGCCUCUUCCACCCCUGCACGCCGUCGUCGACCUUAGCUGCAGGCGCCCCGAUCCCUNNNNNNNNNNNNNNNNNNNNNNNNNNNNNNNNNNNNNNNNNNNNNNNNNNNNNNNNNNNNNNNNNNNNNNNNNNNNNNNNNNNNNNNNNNNNNNNNNNNNNNNNNNNNNNNNNNNNNNNNNNNNNNNNNNNNNNNNNNNNNNNNNNNNNNNNNNNNNNNNNNNNNNNNNNNNNNNNNNNNNNNNNNNNNNNNNNNNNNNNNNNNNNNNNNNNNNNNNNNNNNNNNNNNNNNNNNNNNNNNNNNNNNNNNNNNNNNNNNNNNNNNNNNNNNNNNNNNNNNNNNNNNNNNNNNNNNNNNNNNNNNNNNNNNNNNNNNNNNNNNNNNNNNNNNNNNNNNNNNNNNNNNNNNNNNNNNNNNNNNNNNNNNNNNNNNNNNNNNNNNNNNNNNNNNNNNNNNNNNNNNNNNNNNNNNNNNNNNNNNNNNNNNNNNNNNNNNNNNNNNNNNNNNNNNNNNNNNNNNNNNNNNNNNNNNNNNNNNNNNNNNNNNNNNNNNNNNNNNNNNNNNNNNNNNNNNNNNNNNNNNNNNNNNNNNNNNNNNNNNNNNNNNNNNNNNNNNNNNNNNNNNNNNNNNNNNNNNNNNNNNNNNNNNNNNNNNNNNNNNNNNNNNNNNNNNNNNNNNNNNNNNNNNNNNNNNNNNNNNNNNNNNNNNNNNNNNNNNNNNNNNNNNNNNNNNNNNNNNNNNNNNNNNNNNNNNNNNNNNNNNNNNNNNNNNNNNNNNNNNNNNNNNNNNNNNNNNNNNNNNNNNNNNNNNNNNNNNNNNNNNNNNNNNNNNNNNNNNNNNNNNNNNNNNNNNNNNNNNNNNNNNNNNNNNNNNNNNNNNNNNNNNNNNNNNNNNNNNNNNNNNNNNNNNNNNNNNNNNNNNNNNNNNNNNNNNNNNNNNNNNNNNNNNNNNNNNNNNNNNNNNNNNNNNNNNNNNNNNNNNNNNNNNNNNNNNNNNNNNNNNNNNNNNNNNNNNNNNNNNNNNNNNNNNNNNNNNNNNNNNNNNNNNNNNNNNNNNNNNNNNNNNNNNNNNNNNNNNNNNNNNNNNNNNNNNNNNNNNNNNNNNNNNNNNNNNNNNNNNNNNNNNNNNNNNNNNNNNNNNNNNNNNNNNNNNNNNNNNNNNNNNNNNNNNNNNNNNNNNNNNNNNNNNNNNNNNNNNNNNNNNNNNNNNNNNNNNNNNNNNNNNNNNNNNNNNNNNNNNNNNNNNNNNNNNNNNNNNNNNNNNNNNNNNNNNNNNNNNNNNNNNNNNNNNNNNNNNNNNNNNNNNNNNNNNNNNNNNNNNNNNNNNNNNNNNNNNNNNNNNNNNNNNNNNNNNNNNNNNNNNNNNNNNNNNNNNNNNNNNNNNNNNNNNNNNNNNNNNNNNNNNNNNNNNNNNNNNNNNNNNNNNNNNNNNNNNNNNNNNNNNNNNNNNNNNNNNNNNNNNNNNNNNNNNNNNNNNNNNNNNNNNNNNNNNNNNNNNNNNNNNNNNNNNNNNNNNNNNNNNNNNNNNNNNNNNNNNNNNNNNNNNNNNNNNNNNNNNNNNNNNNNNNNNNNNNNNNNNNNNNNNNNNNNNNNNNNNNNNNNNNNNNNNNNNNNNNNNNNNNNNNNNNNNNNNNNNNNNNNNNNNNNNNNNNNNNNNNNNNNNNNNNNNNNNNNNNNNNNNNNNNNNNNNNNNNNNNNNNNNNNNNNNNNNNNNNNNNNNNNNNNNNNNNNNNNNNNNNNNNNNNNNNNNNNNNNNNNNNNNNNNNNNNNNNNNNNNNNNNNNNNNNNNNNNNNNNNNNNNNNNNNNNNNNNNNNNNNNNNNNNNNNNNNNNNNNNNNNNNNNNNNNNNNNNNNNNNNNNNNNNNNNNNNNNNNNNNNNNNNNNNNNNNNNNNNNNNNNNNNNNNNNNNNNNNNNNNNNNNNNNNNNNNNNNNNNNNNNNNNNNNNNNNNNNNNNNNNNNNNNNNNNNNNNNNNNNNNNNNNNNNNNNNNNNNNNNNNNNNNNNNNNNNNNNNNNNNNNNNNNNNNNNNNNNNNNNNNNNNNNNNNNNNNNNNNNNNNNNNNNNNNNNNNNNNNNNNNNNNNNNNNNNNNNNNNNNNNNNNNNNNNNNNNNNNNNNNNNNNNNNNNNNNNNNNNNNNNNNNNNNNNNNNNNNNNNNNNNNNNNNNNNNNNNNNNNNNNNNNNNNNNNNNNNNNNNNNNNNNNNNNNNNNNNNNNNNNNNNNNNNNNNNNNNNNNNNNNNNNNNNNNNNNNNNNNNNNNNNNNNNNNNNNNNNNNNNNNNNNNNNNNNNNNNNNNNNNNNNNNNNNNNNNNNNNNNNNNNNNNNNNNNNNNNNNNNNNNNNNNNNNNNNNNNNNNNNNNNNNNNNNNNNNNNNNNNNNNNNNNNNNNNNNNNNNNNNNNNNNNNNNNNNNNNNNNNNNNNNNNNNNNNNNNNNNNNNNNNNNNNNNNNNNNNNNNNNNNNNNNNNNNNNNNNNNNNNNNNNNNNNNNNNNNNNNNNNNNNNNNNNNNNNNNNGUGUCGGAAUGUGAGGACCCGUUCGACUACGUUGGUUCGCUGACUUCACCGAGUUGUUCUUCUUCCAAGCGGGAUCUCAGGCAAGAUGAUCAUUUCCCCAGAUACCAUUACUAUCAUUGCCAUGCUAGUUAUUUCGUUGCUACCGUUUAUGUCUCGUUGCCUACCACAUGUUUCCAUAUCAGCCUCUCAACAAUGCCAUGAUUACCUUCAACCUGUUCGACCUAGCAAACCACUGAUUGGCUAUGUUACUGCUUGCUUAACCCUGUUGUUAGCGUUGCUAGUUGCAGGUGCAGAUGCUUCCAUGUGAAAACAUGGGUUCCUUGUCAUAUCACCCUAUUAAUGCUAUUUAAUUUAAUGCACCUAUAUACUUGGUAAAAGGUGGAAGGCUCGGCCUUUCUAGCCUGGUGUUUUGUUCCACCUUUGCCCCCUUAGUUUUGGCUACCGGUGUUAUGUUCCAUAAACGAGCGCUCCUAACACGAUCGGGGUUGUUAUGGGGACCCCCUUGAUAAUUCGUUUUAGAUUAAAGCUGGUCUGGCAGGGCCCAACUUUGGUACUACUUUUGCCUAAUAACUAACGAACUGCAUAGGGAGUAAUUAACCCGAGGAUAUUUAAUCAACCCCCGGGCCAGUGCUCCUCAUGAGUGUUGGCCCCACAUGAGCGAUGUCCGGCGCCCCUCUGGUCACCCGGAGGUUUAGCGAUCCCGACGUCUAGCUCAUCCGCCGUGUCCUGAGAACGAGGUACGCGACUCCUAUCGGGAUCGUCGACACGUCGGGCGGCCUUGCUGGAUUAGUUUUACCUUUGACGGAAUAUCUUGUGCAUCGGGAUUCCGGUGAUGCUUUGGGUAAUCUCAGAGUUGAGGUUUUCCACUAGGGAAUCCGACGAGAUCGCGAGCUUCGUGAUUGAGGAUUUCUAUGCGGCUUGUGGUAAUUUGUGAUGGACUAGUUGGAGCACCCCUGCAGGCUUAAAUCUUUCAGAAAGCCGUGCCCGCGGUUAUGUGGCAACGUGGAAACUUUGUUUAACACUGGUUCCAGAUAACUUGAAGUUAACUUAAUUAAAAAAACAUGCCAACUGUGUGCGUAACCGUGACUAUCUCUUUCGUGAGUUCCUUCUCCGAUCGAGGACACGGUGGGGUUAUGUCUGGUGUUCAGGAUCAUUCAUUUGAUCAUCAGUAGUCACGUCCGCUAUGCGUAGAUCUUCCCCCUCUUUUCUUGUACUCGUAAGUUAGCCACCGAAUAUAUGCUUAGCCGCUGCUGCAACCUCACCACUUAACCAUGCCUCACCUAACAAGCUUUGCUAGUCUUGAUACCUUUGGAAAUGAGUUUGCUGAGUCCCCUGUGGCUCACAGAUUACUACAACACCAGUUGCAGGUACAGGUAAAGGGUACUUGACGCGAGCGCGUUGUUUGUUCAUUUGGAGUUGCUUCUUCUUCUUCUGUAUCAUCGAUCUAGGAUGGGUUCCAGGCCGGCAGCCUGGGAUAGCAAGGAUGGACGUCGUUCUUCUUUUGUCGUUUGUUUUCGUCCGUAGUCGGACCCUGCUCUUACUCGUGAUGAUUAUGUAAUGUACUGAUGUGACCCUGAUGUAGCUUGUGGCGAGUGUAAGCCAACUCUUUAUAUAACUCUUCUCUUCAGUACAUGUACUUGUAACGAUAUCCAUUCUUGCGACACGACGAGAUGCGCUUCUAUCCCUGACGAGGCCCUCGUGCCAAAUUGAGGAUAGGGUCGCAUCUUGGGCGUGACAGAUGCAAGGAGUAGGGAUUGUCAUGCAAAUGAUGCACAAGAGUUAUAAGUGUAUGAAAGCUCCACUGGGGCUAAGUGGGGUGUGCAUCCAACUUUCAUGCUCAUGAAGACCACAUGCAUUUUAGGAAGCCCGUCAUCGUAAUAUACAAGACAAUUUUAUGAAAAAUUGAUUCCCACUAGCAUAUGAAUAAUAUAACAUGAGAUUAUCUAUAUGAAGAACAAGAUGCCACUUUGAGGCACAAGUAUGUUAAAGGAUAGUAGCAAAGUCCCUUCUCUCUUUUUCUCUCAUUCUUUUUUUAUCAUUUUUUUAUUAUUAUGGUGGGCUCAUUUGGCCUCCCCCAUUUUUAUUUCCUCACUUUAAGAUCCAAAUCCAUCUUUAAGACAAUUGUUUUUGUAGGCCCUAACAAGAAAUGAAAAGCCCAAGCAAGACAUUCUUGGAUGGCUCUGCUUUAAAAACAUAUGAAUUGAUUUAUAUGCGGUAGUUUGAGAAUUACUUUAUGCAGAUUGUUUGCAAGCAGCUUUGUUAGCUUUUUUUAUGGUGCAGUUAAGUAAGGAAAUUGACCUAAAGUCACUUGAGGUUUGAGGAUUGUCUUCCUUUGGAUGAUAAAAGAUGCACUAAUGAACUACAAGUUAAUCAUUCCAUGAUAGAAUUCCUCAAUAAGCUCACAAAUAUACUUGACAAUAAUAUCCCAACAUGGCUUAAUAAAAGCAUAAUUAAAGCCAUAUGGUCGAGGACCCUUGUACGAAGGGAUUUUUUAUGACAUCAUUAAUCUCUUAUGUGAAAGAAGGAACCUCUAGAUCUCCAAGAUUAAUAGAUGUAUUUAGCGUACCAACAAGAAAGAAGGGUGAGCUAGUGACCUUAGUAGUGCCAAGUCUUUCUUUAAAUGAUCUCCAUAGGAUGGUAGCUUUUGCAUUAUGAUCAUUAUGGUCUUGGCCCAAGCCAUCUUGUAGUACUAAACUAUCAUGUGAUUAAAUUUAUGAGGGACCUCCUUCUUAUAGAUUAUGGGAGUAGUAGGGAAGCUCUACAAUUGGGUAUCGCAAAGAAUUUUAAUAUAUUUUGAUUCUUAUUUCUCUUGGAUUAUUCCAAAAGAUGGUACCGACAAUAAAAUGAACACAUUGGAUUCAAAGAUUAAAAUGCUAGAUAUCUUUUAAAUAAACAUCAACUAUGGAUGGUAGAUAUCUUUUAAAUAAACAUCAACUAAAAUCAUGGUUAGGAUGGUAGUUGUUAAAGUACUCCCUCCGUUUUAAUUCACUCUCCAUAUUAGCUGUGACAUGAGUCAAUCUUUAUAAAUUUGACCAAACUUAUCAAAAAUAAUCUAAACUUUCACAAUAAUAUGUAUAUAUGGUAUAAAAAUAUAUUAAGUGGCGAUUUCAAUGGUAUUUAAUUGGUAUUGUGGACAUUAAUAAUUUUUUUAUCUAAACUUGAUCAAAAUUUAAAUAAUCUGACCGGAGACAAAGCUAAUAUGCGAACAAAAUAAAAAACCAAGGGAGUACACAUUUUGCAGGACUUAUAGUUGGGUGUCUCCAAGACGGAUUUUUCUUUCUACAAUUCCAGGCCUUUCGUAUUAUUAUGAUUAUUAUAUGCUACUGAUAAAGAAGCUUUACUAAAUAAGCGAGCAUUGCACAACAUAAAUCAAUGGAUAUGCUAUCUCAAAGCGUUUGCGAUCACUAAAAACAACCGGUGACUAAUCUUUCUCUAUCCCCACGAUAAGGCGCCCCAACAGCUUCAUCAUUUGGGUCUAUAAAGUCGUGCGGAGGCCCUCACGCCAAAGCGCAGAGACCGACACAACAGUGCACACAUCACAGCACAGCAAACCGCAGCCCCUCCCACGCCUCUCAAAGCUGAUUUAUUUAUCAAAUCAUAACCCCCCUUCGCCGUUCCUGCUUGGAGUGCACAGCAUCGCCGGCCCGUCCUCCUGCACCUCCGGCAUUUCGUGGGAACUGAUGGGGUGCAAGUCGUGCCAGAAGCCCAAGGCGCAGCACCGCAAGGGGCUGUGGUCGCCGGAGGAGGACCAGAAGCUCCGCGAUUUCAUCGUCCGCCACGGCCACAGCUGCUGGAGCACCGUCCCCGUCAAGGCCGGUAAGAUCAAGAACUCCCUCCCGCUCCCAACCAAGCGCGCGCAGCAUUUCGCGCGCGAUUCCCCCGGGAAUUUCCAAGGGGAAUUGCACGGAUUUUCUUGCGAGCUCGCAUUGCGGCGAGCCUGCGAGGUUCAUGCCCAAUUUCCCCUGCUUUCCUGUUGAGGUUCUGCAAUGUACCUUGGCUCGUGGGAAGGGGGGAGGUGGGGGGUUAAUGCCGCCAGUGGAAUUUAGCAAAUUUUUGCGGUGCUUUCGGAAAAGAAUCCAGCAGAAUUUUGUCAAAUGUACCUUGGCAAGUGGGGUGGGGACUAAAGGUUUGCCGUGAAUGAAUUUGCAGGGCUUCAGCGGAACGGCAAGAGCUGCAGGCUGCGAUGGAUCAACUACCUGAGGCCGGGGCUGAAGCACGGCAUGUUCUCCCGGGAGGAAGAAGAGACCGUCAUGGGCCUCCACGCCGCCCUCGGCAACAAGUAAGCAUCCCAAGCACACACCCCAAUUCUCACCUCUUCCACCUUCAUCUUCUUCGGAGCAAGACGCCAACUGAUUACCAGCCGCGAUUGAAUCGAAUCAAUCAGAAAUUCCCAAUUAAUCAACAAUCAUCCUUAUCAGUUCAACAAGAGGAAGAGAAAAGUAUACCCGUAGUCUCGCGCAUGCCACAUAUUGCUGCCUACUGCAGCCCGAUGCCAAUUUGCUAGUGUCAGCACGGUAGUGUCGUUAAGCCGGCCAGUUGGGUUUCAGGGCAGAAAGUGAAACAAAAACGUUUUUGAUUUGGUGGCUCAAACAAGGGGAAAUGCUGAUGUCUGCCAAGGGGAAAAACAUGGAGACCGCUUUACGUGGCUGAGUUGAUGCUGACACCUGCGUUCCACAUCGAGGCACUCGAUCGCUUCUCUUCUCGAGUGCUCGUUCGGUGACAGUGAGCAAGCGCCUCGCUUUCGCUAACCUACUGCGUAGAUGGAAAGCCGGCUUGGUCACGGCUAACCUCUUUUUUGGGACAAAAAGGGACGAAAGAACAAGUGAGGAUCGCUACGCUAGGCUUGUGUUGUGUCUAAAGGGUCUUUUUUGCAGUUGCCUGUCGGUGCAAGCAAGCUGGGCUUUCUCGUUUCCAUUUCGUUUCGCAUGUCCGAUAUCAUAGCUAGUAGUACAGCACCGUGCUUAAUCUUGAUAAUGGAGAUGUUGUGUGUACAAUCAUUUCUGAACACGGCUGUAAGUACAGUCAACUGUUGAGACCAAUGAUAGUGUAACAGAUGCUUUGACAUUGACAUUCUGAUGGGAGAAGACUUGUAGGAGCAGCUACAAGUCUGCAACAAUCAUAGGUUUUAUUUAUUGGAGCGACUGUACAAUCGCAAUACCCCGAGAGACCUGGGGAUGAUUAGUUCCAAAUUACUUGACGGUUUGCUUGUCUGACAUGGAGAGAUUUUUUCUCUGGCGCAGGUGGUCUCAGAUAGCGCAGCACCUGCCGGGCCGGACGGACAACGAGGUGAAGAACUACUGGAACUCGUACCUCAAGAAGCGCGUCGAGGGCGCGCGGUCACCAGCGAAAUCCGCCGGCUCGGGCGCGCCCCGGAG